rnacentral:lncRNA from 1 species
UUUUUUUUUUUUUUUUUUUUUUUAAUAUCAAAAGCUUUGUAAAAAGGGGGGAAAACAAAAAGAAGAAAGCCUUAACACGGUGGACAACGCCAAGGACAAUUCAUGAUUUUCCUUUUUUCUUUAUUUUUUAUUGAAAUUAAGUCCCUAAUUGGUUUAGCUAAAUUUAAAUUUUUAGGAGAUUUUGAUAUAAGUUGGUGAAAAGUGUUGUUGGAAAGUUAUUAAACAUUAUGAAUUCCAUAAACUAAAUAAUUAAAAUUACUUGUUGAUUUUAUCUUAAAUUUUUAUCAACUUUAACUUAACCAAAUAAGUAAUGUUAUUCAUAUUCAGUGUUUGCAGUAAUCAUCCUUAUGUAACAGUUUGUUAUCUGAAGUAUCAGCUUAUUAUUUGAAACAACAAGAUUAUAGGAAUUUAAUGCCUCAUAUUACAUGCUGUCACAUUGGAUAGUUGCUGUAGUUUUUGACUAUAAAUUGCAUUAUUCGGUUUGAACAGGAGAUAAGUAUUUAACCAUUUCUUCUAUUAAAAAAUAGUGUAGAAUAUAGAUUUUAAUUUGCACAUUUAAUAAAAAAGUGAGUGCCAUCACAAUGCAAAUUUAGAAGAAACCAGACCAAAACAAACCAUUGGUCCUGGUCUGGGUCAAGACCUCACAUGGUAGGAUUAAAAUCUAAAGAGUAAAUCACGCCAACAACUAUGAUUCUUAUAGACCCAGACAAAUAAUAAUGACCAUAAUUUGCCCCAAUCUCCAGGAUUUACGGGGUCCUACCUUCGACAAACUUAUGAACAUUCUGAUAUGAAAUGUUGGAAAAACAAUUGGAAAUGUCAUCAACGUGUUUAAUUUUAUUUUUAUGCUUACUAAAAAGUUGAGUUAAGUUUAUUUUAACAAGUGAUACAUAAAUUUAUAUGUUGCAACCCUUCAAAAAAUUACUAAUCUAAGUAUAAAUAUCAGUUUCAACAUAAUUUUUACUCAACCAUGGAUAACAUCUGGUUAAGAAGUUAAUAGAUCAAGAUCACAAAUAAAUUAGUCAGUUAAAGUCAAUUUAACUAAACAAAAAUCAACUAGAAAAAAGUUGUGUUGGGUUAAAAUCGAAAGAAAUCAAGGUUAGAUGCAUUUGUAUUUAAUUGGAAAACAAAAAUAUAAUAAAACUAAAAAUAAAAAAAAUAAAAAUAUACGUGCUAUCGUUCUUUUUCCACUUCUCUUCUAUUUUCGAACAAUAUCCAAAUAACUUGUCGGUUUAAAAUCGGAAGAAAUCAAGGUAAGAUGCAUUUGUAUUUAUUGGGAAAACAAAAAUCCAACAAAACUGAAAAGAGAAGGAUAAAAAUAUACGUGCUAUCAUUCCUUUUCUUCUUCUCUUCUAUUUUCGAACGAUGUCCAAGUAACCUCUUUAUUAACUUUCUGAAAUGAGGCCAUUUUGAUGUAUUCUAGGAUUCAGUAAUAGUAAAUACUAUUAUCUUUCUUAGUACCUUGUUAUUUCAAAUACUUAUUACUAAACGUGUCAUAAAUGUUGAUUUAUAGUGUUUAUCGCGAUCAGCAAUUUCUCAUAAUUUUCUACUUAUUUAAUUUUGUAUCGUACAUUUUCUCUACUUUUCUCAUCAACUUAAAUUGAUAGUGUAUUUAUAAGAGAAAUGUUUUUUUUUCUCACUCUAUUUGCUAUUUUCCUUUGCCCUCUUAUAACAGUGAUAAAAAUGUGAGACUGAGCAUGUAAAUCAAAAGUCCAUUUUCUAUGUUUUGUUAAUAAAAUGUAGUUCUUCAAAUUAUGAUCGAUGAAAAAAGUUUAAAAUGAACUUUUCAUUUCUAUUUCAAGUUUGUUGAACACGUUCUUUUGCAUAUGACAUAAAAGCAUGCUGUAAAAGAAUGUAAACAAGAAAUUUCUUAAUUAGAAUUAUGUAAAGAAAAUAGUUAUGAUUAAAAAAUGAAUUUAAUCAUGGAUUAAGGAGAAACUGUAGUUCUUAAGUAGAAACUUUUCUUUGGUGUUUUUGGUGGGGAGGGGGGGGGGGGGAUAAUUACCAGGUUGGUACUUGAUCGUCGCUUUUAUGUUUUGCAUUUAGCCCCAAUUUGCUUUACAUAAAAAUAAAAUUUUCAGUAGAUUUUGAUAAAAAAAAAAAAAUUUAAUAUAAUGUACGAUUGAAAAGUUAUGAAUUCCGUAAAGUCUGUGGCAAAAAUUUAAUUAUUGAAUUUUGACUUAAAUUUUUUAAUUGAAUUUUAUAUUGAAUAAAAAGUACACAAUUAAUCUUAACAACAUAUUUUAUAAAAUCCACAACUUUUUAACUACAUAUUUUAUCAGCUUAUUCAAAAUUUACUAAAAAUUUAAUUUUAAUCCCAUCAAACAUGAGCAUAUUUGUAUCUCUUGUACAUAAGUAGUGUAUAAAAUUAAAUAACAUAACAAGUAAAAUAGUAAUUUCUAUUUCUUUUUCAAUAACGACAGUACUGUCAAAUUCUAACCCAUAGUAACGUUCCUUCACAUUUUCCUAUUUUCACACACAGACACACGCAAGCUGGCAUUCCUUUUGCUGUACAAAUAUAAAGCAUAAAGCAUAAACUUUAUCUUAGACCCUUCGAGCUUGUUUACAAGAUGGGUUUGAAGAUUUCGUUUGUGCUUUCUCUCUGCUUUUUCUACACAGUUCCUGCUCUUGCAUCUGCCCCUUUGGAAGGUAAAUGCUCAAAAAUCUUGUCUAGUUUACUUAAGAGUUCUUAAAUAAAGCUAGACCUUUGUUAGUGUUUCUCUUUCAUUGGCAUUUCUUGAAAUGUAUAAUGAUUUGUCCUGUUUCUUUUCUAUAUCCUUAUGGGGUUUUAUUUUGCAUCAUUUGCACAUAUCAAUUUUUUGUAGUUUCUAUCAAUUGUUGGGCUUUCUCAACGAAGAGUGGUGAGGGUUCGAGUCCUAGGAGUCUGGCGGUCUGAGGCAUGAUUUUGGAGAAAAAUGUACUUCCUGUGGAGUAGGUAAGUUCGUGCGUGUCUGACAGAGAGUAUUUGAUAGGACGGAUACAUACCCUUCUGUUUUCACCCAUAGGAUGUUCAAAAAGUGUUUCAUUUGCUACUUCUAUGUUUUCUCAGGUCUACUUCCAAAUGGAAACUUUAAAGAGAUAACAAAGCCCAUUGACAUAAAGAGAACAGUGCUCCAAGGGAAAUAUGCACUGCCCAAGUGGGAAAUCAAUGGCUUAGUCAAGUACAUCUCCAUUGGGCCACAGCCGGUGGAAUGUUCUUUGCAGUAGAGCGUGGCAUUCACACUGUGAGACUUGGAAACGAUGCCUCAAUUUCCUCAAAAAUGGCUCGACAUAUGCACACGCAUUUGGUGCAUCAAGAACUUGUGCCCAAGAUGAGGUCUUGAGGGUGUCGGUACCCCCUCAAUCUGGGGAUCUCACUUCACAGACUCUGUAUAGUAGUAAUGGUGCGACACUUAUGCUUGGAGACUCGGAGCCACUUCUAAUUCAGUGAAGGUGAUUUUUCAUAAUCCAGGAAUGCAAGAGGAUCCUGCUUGUGGACCUCUCCUGGAUGCUGUUGCUAUUAAAGAACUUUUCCAUCCAAGAUUCACCGAAGGUAAUUAUAUACUUUUCGUGACUAGAUUGAAAUUGUUUUCAUAUUCUACUUCCUAUGAAAUAUAUUGGAAUUCAAUUAUUCUAACAUGUUUGGUACUAGGGAAUUGAAAAUUAAGUAAAUAAAAUUUGUGCGUUGUCUUAUCUUAUGCAAUACUAUCGAAAAAUUUUGCUGCACUAUUUUGAUUCUUGAUGUAAGCACAUUCUGCAAUCUCUAGGGUGGCUAUAUGUUUAAUUUUACAUAUCAAGCAUAAACUGUUGCUAAUAAUUAAGCUUAUGAAUGGCUUAAGCAGCAAAUGGAUGACUUUGAGCUAAUUUGUCCCAAAUUCUUGCAGCUAACUUGGUCGAGAAUAAUGGUUUUGAGGAGGGUCCUCAUCUCUUGAUCAACUUUUCUCAUGGUGUCCCACUUCUUUCGAAACAGAAAGAUUUGACAUCCCGACUUCCUGGUUAGAUCAUCGAAUCUAUUAAAGCCGUCAAAUUCAUAGACUCAAAUCAUUUCAACGUCCCCCUUAGAUGAGCAGCAGUAUAACUAGAUGCAGGAAGAGAGAGUGCCAUAGCCCAAGUAAUCAGAACAGUCCCCCACAAGGUCUAUAAUGUUGCAUUCACUGUAGGAGAAGCAAAGAAUAACUGUCACGGAUCAACGAUGGUCAAAGCAUUUGCUGCUAAAGGAACAGUGAAAACUCCCUUCAAAUCUGAAGGAAAAAGAAAUUUCAAGACCUUCAAUUUCCAGUUCAAAGCAAUCUUGUACAGGACCAGAUUAACCUUCUUUAGCUCCUUCUACCACCCUAGGACCAACAACUACGGGACUCAUUGUGGUCCUGUCCUAGAUGAAGUUCUGGUUUUUCCUGUAUCUUAGAUUUCAAUCUAUCUGCAUCAAGCUCGAAGAAGGCAUGUACUGACGAGUAUUAUAGAAUUAUAGCAAUGGUCAUUUGUCGUUUCUUUUUUAAUUUAGGUUAAGCAUAAUGAGGCGCCCUACAUUCUGAUGUGUGGGAAGUACUAAGUAUUUGCUGUUUUUUGUUUGCAUCGUGUCCCCUUCAGUUGUUUUCUUGUUGGCUCAAAUACAUGGUACACAGAAAAUAUUUUGAUAACCGAUAUAUUAUUAAUCUGGCCGAGUCAUUCUGAUAAUGCUAAGUUAGGCUUCAUCUUAAAAUGCACUUUAACGUGAUAGCAAAGUGGGAUUCCCAUUCAAGUCUCAUCAUUACUCAUUUAUGGAAAUUGUUAUAGUCUGGUGAAAAUAAAUUUGGUCUACACAUAGAGGAGGUUGUUGGUCUCAGAAUCGAAUUUACAAAGAAUUUAUAUCGACCGUUUUCAGAAAAUUAAAUUAACACGAAGAAUUUCACCCCCAAAGGUCCGAAUUUAAGCUUUAGCCUACUCACCCAUUGAGCAUCUACAAGUAGAUUACGCUCAAAUUCACUAUGAAAUCACCAAGAAGUAAUACAAAUGUAUAAGAUUUCUUUAGAUUUGUCUCGCCUCUCUUUCAAACACAAAGAUAAAGUAAUCCAUACAAUUUUCUCUCUCUGAUCAUUUACCAAAAACGAUUAGAAUCAAACGUUCAAAAGAUUUACAGAGAAAGACAUCAAUAUUAUAGAAAAAGAACAAGACUAGAAAACCUUAAAAGUUCACAUCGAAGAAACAGAUCUAACGACUCCAAUAGGUCAACAUUUAUCACAAUUAAAAAAUAGGAAUAGAAUUGCCAAUUAUAUGUAACUUAUUUAGACUUUAAUAUAUUUGGCAUUGCUUAUCCGAAUUAAUUUUGGUAGUCUUCUAAGACUUGAGUAAUUUCAAGCAGACCCAAAUAAUUUGGUAACAUUCAAAUUUACCCAAUAUAAAGUUCUUCGAUUGAGAGAUUAACAAUUAUGUAACAUCAUUGUUUUCAAGGAUGGACAAUUUUCUAUAUACAAUAAUAUAUAUAAAGAUAUGUUGUUAGGGAACAUCUCCAAAAAUGCACAAUUCCUUACACGGAGAUGAUCAAUUGUAGGAAGAACACCAAUUUCUACAAUAGAUGAAAGCUGAGGACAUCAUUUAACCUCGAAUGUUAGUAGGUUGACUAGGCUUUGCACAAUAUUAUCAUUUGACCAAAAAGUCACUAGGUCCUUACAAUCAUCACUUUUCAAAAUUUUCAAGUCGCAUGAAUGCAUUGUUAAUUGAAGUCAUACCAACUAUAUUCUUCAAUUUUAAAUUGGUUGGGGUGGUUAAAUUGUGCAUACCAUUUAACACAUCUUCACCACACCCUUCUACUUAUAGUUCACAAAUAGAAAUAACAAUUUUGGAAUCUUUAUCAAUUUGGGACGUUCCUUUAUGCAAUACAUCUUGAGGAAUUUAAUUUCCCCAUGCACUUCAAGUUUUAAUCCAAGCCAUUCCUCCCAUUCUGUCAUGUCCUAAAAAAUAGAGUCUCCAGUGAUUUGGAUGGUAAUUCUCCCCAACACAUAUUUCCAUAAAACUCCUCUAUAAUUACUUUUAAUUGAUUCAUGCUCAAGUCUCUAACACAAGGGUAGAUACUCUAGUGUUGGUAAAGAGAUGCACUUUAUACAUUGUCGGAGCCAAUCUUCAAAAUUGGGUUACUCCAAUUAUCCUAACAAAUGAGUUUAGUUACACAUCAUUUAAGUAAUAAGCAAAUUGAGUGGAGAUAUCCAUCGUAGGGUUAGAUUUGCUUGAAAUUUGUGCCCAAAACACCAGAAUCACCACCCUGAGACCAUCCACGAAGUUUGGUGCCGCUAACUUGAACCAGUGAUGCUUCAACUCGCACCACCACCUUACACCGACAGUGCUUGUACUCGUCUCUGCAGUCCAACUUCAGUUUCGCAUGACAUUUUAUCUACAACUCUGAUUUGCAACCCAUCUUUUUGCGUUAGACUCCAGAUUGGAUGAUCUUUCCCAUAAUAUAUUAUAUGCCAAAUGGAAAUUCAUGAAUCUUCCCAUGCUGCUCUCCAAAUUGCUCCUCUUUCGGUGUUUAACACUAAUUUUUGCUCCAUUAUUCGCCCACGUGUUUUCGAAGCUCGGGACCACCCCUAAGACAUAAAGAAAUGUCAAAAAUCAGCAGAUACUCGAGCAAUAUAGAUAGGUUAUAUACACUUAUCAACAACAUUGGCUUCAACUGACAAUAAAUGUUCCCAGAGUUGCUCGACACUCGAAGAAAAAAGUGUCGCUAGAUGAUGGUUCGCCGUGCUGCCCUCUCUUGUUAACUGUGUAAUAACAGAAACAAUGUUUAUGUCAAAUAUGAUGUAAAACAGCAAGCCAUGAAAUCCAGCUGAUGUAACCGCUAAAUAGGAUCCAAAUUAGCCAACUGGAGCUUACAACAAAAGAUAUACAAAGCGCGAUGUGGAUUACUAAUUUGUUAGUUGGGCCAGUCAUGAAACUCGGUACAUUGGAGUACAAGCUGUCAAAUCAUUCUGUAGACCAACAUUCAUAUUCACUGAUCAGCAUAAAUAAAAUGAAAACACAAUGUUACUAGUUUGUUUGAUAUAUAGUACUAGAUAUGAAGGGACGAGAAUAUCAUCCAAAACUGCUCAAUUUGCCUUAUCAAAUAUGUUAUACAAGUUUAAAUAGGAAAGGGAUGCAAUUCACUAAGAAGUUAGUUUUGAUUUUUUUUUUUUUAAAAAGAUUAUUCCUUAUUAUAUAAAUGUGUUUUUAUUAAAAAAUCUAAAGUUAUUAUGAGACUGUCGAAAAUGUCCUACUUAAAUGGUCAAAAUAUCCAAUUUUUAGAUAUUCCGGGUCAACUAAUGGCCAAAUUUGGACCUCAGGUGCAAAUUUUUCAAAGGUUGGAGGCCUCGACUGACAAAAACUUGAAGGUCAGGAUAAUGUUUGCUAAAAAAAAAAAGAAAGGUUAUGGACCAUUGCUACAAUUUUCCCUAAUUUAAAUAGAAGGAGUAACAUAAUAAAUAUGAUAUUCCUCUUAUAUACAAAAUGCUAAACGGAAAAUUAGAGCCAGGUGGUAAAUCAAUUUGAGGGUCUACUUGCAAAAAAUUUCAUGUCCUAUAUAGCUUAUAUAGUAAUGAACUUUUAUAGAACGGUUAUCUAUUAACGGUUUUGCUAGUGGCAUAUCGGGAUGUACCUAAUGGUGUACACCCCACUCAUAUGGGUGAGAGACCCACUCGAAUAAAAUAUUAUUUCUUUCACAUGGGUCCCACACCCAUGUGAGUGAGGUGUACAUCGGUACACUCCAUUAUGUUCCACUAGACAAAUUCAUCUAUUAAAGGAAUAUUCUUACCAUCAUUUGAUGCAUAAUGGGUGAGAGAAAGAAGAGAGAGAAUACUUGUAAGGAGUAAUUUAAUAUCACUCAAAUGGUCUGCAUAUUCAAUAAUAUUAGUCCUAUUUUUUAUACUUCGAAUCCACAGUAAACAUUAAAAGUUAACCACAGUAAAUAGAUGAAAAAUUUUCUGCUUCGAAAUGGAUAGAAAUAAAUCAAAAUUGAUUCAAACUAAUCCUAGUCUAUUUCUUCAUUUAAUAUCUUUGGUGAAUGCAUAAUUUGGGUAAUGAGAAAAAAACAUGUUAGUUUGCCAUUCAAGAAUUGUUCUUUUUGAGGAAGAAGAACAUGUCAGUGUCAAAAACAAUAAAAUCACAAGGCAGGAGUAUUGUUGAAGCAUUUGAUCUAAAAGUUUAAACUGUUAGAAAUAAUCAAAUGUUUAUCAUUUAAAUAUUAUUUUCAUCACGCCAUCUCACGUGUAAGCAAGAUUAUCUUCUUUUCAGUAAAGCCUUACAUGGGCACAAUUUUAAUGAAUGGCUGGUGGUGAGACUUGAACCUGGGACUUUUGCCUACUCUAAUACCUCGUUAAACCAUUUGAUCUAAAAAUUUAAACUAUUAGAUAUGGUCAAAUAUUUAUAGUCAAAUAUUAUAUUCAACAGCUUUCUAUAUUUCCAAUCAAGAAGUAAAAUAAAACAGUACCAAAAAAUUCGUCAUAUGUACCAACAAUUCAUAAGAUAGUAAAAACACUCUCUAACAAGUCAUUGCUCCAGUCCAGUGAUCUUUUUUAAAAUUACUCCCAAAUGGGCCCUAAAUUUUAACGGGAUUUUCUUAGCAACAAUUUACUGUCUUGAACACAAUGUUAUACAAGUUUAGAAAGGAAAGAGAUGCAAUUUACUUGCCUUGAAAACUUGAAGAAGCAAGAAACCAUACAAUCAGUAGCACCAGAAUUCUCUUGAUGUUAAGUUUGUCCCUCAUAAUUUGCUGAAAAGAAUAAGAAUAAUGUUUGCAUACUGAUAAAUAGGAGAUAAAAGAUAAUAGUAAAGGUAGACAUGGUUUACCGAAGUCGUUUGCUCCUUUUUCAAGACCAAUUGCUCAUAUUCCACAUCAAUUAGAACUGGCCAUAGAAAAAGAGAGCGUCAAUUCUUUUUGAAAAGAAAAAAAUAUUGCUGUAUGAAAAAUAGCAUACGUUUCGUAUGUACUUACUUUCCCCAUUAGAGUUAACAAACGUUUAUUGUCCCUCUGCCUGGCUUUCUGCAAUUACAGAAUCCAAAGAGAAGAAGCAACCAAUCUGCGAAGUCCCUACUGCCAUAUGAACAUAGUAGUUUAGAUUAAAAGUAUUUCAUUCUCAGGUAAUCGUAAAUUGCAUACCGAUGAACAGAAUAAUGAUUAAGAAAUAAUGAGCUCAUACAAUCAAUCUGCGAACCUCCGACUUGUUUGGCAAUGGACGGUCAGACAGUAAUCAGGUGUUCAUAAGAGGAUUAGAAUUCUCACUUUUGCUUCUCUUUCCAGCGGAAACAUCAAGUUUUUGCAUCUAAACGAGCAUGGAGCUUCUAAUGAUGAAAAGACUGCACAAAAUCAAGAAACGAUAAUAAGUAUUGCAAAUAAACUUAUCAACUAAUAAACCUCAACGAGAGAGUGCAUAAAUUGUAUGUGUUUCCUACUAAAGAGAGAAAAAUAAUAAUGAUUGAUUUCUGUAACAAAGUAAUUUUAGUUGAUUGAUUUCUGUAACAAAGUAUAUAGAAUUCAGUAGGAACUAACUGGAAAACAGAGUUUGAGCAGAAUUAUAUGACAACAUAGGAUAAAGGAAAUGGAUUAAGUAAAACGUUUAUGCGUGAUUAUAGCUAGCUAAGUAGGCUAUGUCACAGUCAUUCGUUUAACUAAGCAUAUAAUGAAUAAUUGAACUUGACACACUUGGAGUUGGAGUUCUACAUAAAAGCUUCAAAACAAUUUAAAAGUGAAAUGUUUCUCAUUAAAAACAUAUCAAAUUUAGAAUCCAAUAAACUGGAAAUAAAGCAAUGUGUCACAUGAUUAUCACUUACCAUGCAUUAUUAUAUGAUAAACAUGCAUAUUUCUGAAAAAUUAACAAAUAAUUUCCUAAAGAAACAGCAAUUACUACACUAACUGGUGAUACAGUUUAUUUUGGAAAGUCAAAAUUGGACGUUGAUCUGAAUCAAUCACACUUUGUUCUUGACAAAAAUUUUAAAGUGAAAUGUUUCUCAUUAAAAACAUCUCAAAUUUAUUAUCCAAUGAACUGGAAAUAAAACAAUGUGUCACGUAUAAUUAUCAAUUACUAUACAUCAUUAUAUGAUAAAUAUGCAUUUUCCUAAAAAAUUAACAAAUAAUUUGCUAAAGAAACCGCAGUUACUACACUAACCGCGUGAUAUAAUUUCUUCUGGAAAGUCGAAAUUGUGUUGUUUGUUUCAGCAAAUUGUAUAUGUUACUUGAGGGUUUCAUGAUCAUUGAUCUGGAUCAUGGACGGAACGCUAAUCAAUUUCAAUGUCGGGAAUGUCAGCGAUGAUUUUCCAGUAGUCUCCUUCGUUCUUCAAACACCGUUUUUUAAGAAGCGGGCACUUAUCAAUAUGAAGACUCCAAAGCCUGUCGAGCUGGUCUUCCAUAGGCAACGCCACAAGUUUUGGACAUCUGGAGAUCCAUAAAUGCCGAAGUGAUGUGAGGUUUUGGAAGCCCUUUGUUAGACUUUCUAGAUUGGGAAAGUCAAACAAGUUCAAUUUCCUUAUAGAUGGAGGAAGCAAAUGGUUGUUAUCAUCAUCAUUGUCGUCAUUAGAGAAGGAAAUCAGCUCUUGAUAGCAAAGACUCAAUUGGAAUAUUUCAAGAGAGGUGAUUUUGUGUAAGCCCCACUCCCCCAGGGGUUUUAGAUUCCCACAAUUACAGAAUGAAAGAUCCGUCAGAUUUGGAGGAAAUUUCCUUUGGGGAAAGGGCUCUACUAAUAAAGGACAACGCGUUACUAACAAGCUUUCAAGUGAUGAAAUUAGUUCCAUCCGAUCCGGUAAGGACUUCAAUUGUUGACAAUCAUGUGUAAAAAGACAUUUCAAAUUGGGAGUGGGCAAGCCUCCAGGGGGAAACGACUCCAGACCAUCACAGAAAUAUAUAUGUAGCCGAUGGAGACUUGUGUAAUUGUGAACUGAUCCCAGUAAAUUUGUCAAAUUAAAAUUCACCCUCAUUUCGACCGAAAGAAAUUCAAGUGAGGUGUUGCAAUCCUGUAGCUUCAUCAUGGUCUUCAAUGAGGAACAAUUCCUGAUUUCUAAACUUUUUAGACAAGAUAUGCUAUUGGGAACAAACUCUAGAGAUUCACAUUUCAGUAUGCGAAGGUCUCUAAGAACUGGAAGAGCAUCAAUGUCUCUAAGGGUCAAGAGCUUAGGACACGUGUUAACAGACAGCCGUCGUAGGUUGACUAGGCUUUGAGCAAUACGAUCACUUGGCCAUAGAGUCUCAAGGUCGUUACAAUCACAAACUUCCAAAUUUUCAAGUGCAAAAGGAAACUGCAUAAAUGCUUUUGAAACUGAAGUCAAUCUGAAAAUUUUCUCCAAAUUUAAUUGGGUUAAAGAUUCCAAAUUGUGCAUGUGACUUAGCACCACCUCAUUACACGCUUUCACUUUUAGUUCACGAAGGGAUGGCAAUGAGAGAAUUGGUAACUUGACCAAUUUUGGACAUUUUCGUAUGCACAAUUUAGAGAGCUGAGGAAAUCUGAUAACACCUUCUACUUCAUGUGUUAAUCCAAGCCAUUCCUCCCAAUUUGGCAUGUCCUCAAUAGUCAGCCUCUCUAGCGCUGGAAAAGGGCCCUUAUCUCCAUAAAAUUCAGCUCCUAUCACUUUUACUCGAUCCAUCCCUCCAAUGCUCAAUUCACAAAGGGAUGGCAGUGAGGGAAUCGGUAUCUUGACCAAUUUGGGACAUCGUUGUAUGCACAAUUUAGAGAGCUGAGGAAAUCUGACAACACCUUCUACUUCAUGUGUUAAUCCAAGCCAUUCCGCCCAAUCUAGCAUGUCCUCAAUAGUCAGCCUCUCUAGCUCUGGAAAAAGGCCUUUAUCUCCAUAAAAUUCGGCUCCUAUCACUUUUAUUCGAUCCAUCCAUCUAAUGCUCAAUUCUCUUAGGGAAGGUAGUUGCCCUAAUGAUGGUAAAGUAAUGCAAUUUCCACAAAAACUGAAGCUUAUCUUUUCCAACUUACUGAAUGAUAAAUCUCCAAUCCAAUUAGAGAAUUUUGAACCUCCAUAACAAUCAAUUUCAAGACUUUUUAAGUUAUAAUGAGGCUCUAAAGCAUUAAGCACGUCAAAUUCUAGAAUUUCAUUUCGGGAAUCACCAAACUCGCCAUUCCAUGCCAACCUUACUUCGUUAAGGCUUGGAUUAGACGUUAGUCUUGCGUCAAUUGCUUCCUGAACAUUUACCACAUUUUGCAAUUCCUCAAUAGAAAUUUUACCUUGUAGAAGUGAUAGAUUCCCCAAAUCCUUUAACCUCAUCCCACUGCUUUUGCUCACAAUCAUCUUGGGUAAUGUCUGCAAACUUUUUAGUUGAGCGAUUCCUUGAGGCAUCUCAUUUAAUUCACGAGUACCAGCAAUGUCCAGAUAGAAAAGAUUAAUGAGGUUUUCCAUGCUGGCAGGUAAUUUUGUAAGUUUGUAGCAUCCUCUUAGAAUCAACACUUGUAAAUUGAUAAGGUUGCUCACAGAUUCAGGCAAGCACUUCAAUAAAGUUUCAGCUAGGUCUAGGUACCGUAGAUGUUUUAAAUCACCAAUAGAAUUUGGCAACUCAUAUAUCGUAUAACCACUUAAUGAUAGAACUCUUAAGCAGUGCAAUUUCGGCAAUAUUUCAACCGAAACUUUGUCGGGAAAGAAUCUUUCAGGAUACCACCGCGGACACGGUAAGCGUAAAAAUGUUCUUAAGCUUCGAACUUUCUUCAGAAAAUUAAAUCUUUGGUACAUUUCAUAUUGAUGGGGAAUGAAUGACAAGUGACGGACAUUUCCAGAUAUGCUGCUGGGAAGAUUUUCCUUCAACUCAUCGUCCAUCCUCAAACAUUUUUCUCCAUCAACAAAUGUAGCUAGAUCGUUAAGGAGAUCAUGCAUCACAUAAUAUGAAGCAUUGGCACUUGAUCUUUGGAAGAAUGAUCUCGCAAACAGUUCGUCGAAAUAUUUACUGCCUACUUGUGUUAGCAUCUCUCUUUGUGAUACUUGUAAAAAACCUUCUGCUAUCCAAAGGUACACUAGCUUGGACUUGUCAAACUCGAAGUCUUUAGGAAACAGAGCACAAUAAGCAAAGCAUCUUUUCAGUUGUGGACGCAGAUAUUGGUAACUCAGUUUUAAAGAAGGAAGAAUUUUACUUUUGUCUUCUGCCAUCCAAUUCUCACUAUUCAAUACAUCCUCCCAUUCAUUAGGACUACCCAUUGUCCGCAGAAGCCCUCCAAGUGCCUUUAGUGCCAGUGGCAAGUUUCCACAUUUUUCCACCACGGCCUUACCAAUAUCUCUUAGAUCUGGACGUGCAUCAAAAGUUUUGGCUUCAAGUGCAUGUUGAGCUAACAAUGAUAAAGCAUCAGUACCCGACAACACAUUCAAAUCAUAAGCUGGACUAUGAGACAUGAUUUUCGCCACCGAACGCUGACGAGUUGUUACGAUGAUUUUGCUUCCAAGUUUGCUAGCCAGGAAUGGAUGCUUCAGGAUGUCCCAAUAUUCAUAAUAUUCGUUCCAAACAUCAUCUAAAACUAACAGAAAUUUCUUGUUUGACAGAUUUUGCUUUAGUUUCACCUGAAGCGUGUUAAAAUCAUGAUCGUCAUACCUUCCAGGGGAAACCUGUUUAAGAAUGGUUUUUGUAACCGUUGAAGCAUCAAAUUGAUCUGAAACGCAAGCCCACGCCUUCAGAUCAAAUUCGUCCUUUAAUCGAUCAUCAUUGUACACAAGUUGUGCAAGAGUUGUUUUGCCGACACCUCCCAUGCCCACUAUUGGAAUCACAGAUAUUGGAAUAUCACUUGAUUCUCCCCCCAACAACAUAUUGAUUAUAGUCUCUCUGUCUUUUUCCCUGCCAUAUACUCCAGAUUCUUCAACAACUGAAGUCAGAUCCAAUCUUUCUGUUGUUCUAUAAGGCCUCCCUCUCACAUUCUCGACCAAACUGAGUAUACUAAUCUGUUUGAAUAGAUCUUCCAAUCGACCACUAAUUUCAUUCAGCUUGGAAGCCAUCCCGCGAUCAGACAUAAAAUCAUGGAAAGAGAAAUUAGUACAACAAGAAGGAAUAAGCUUCCGUACCAUACUAGUGCUUGGCCUGUUGGCUUCGUGAUUUUCCUUUAUUUUGCGCCGGGUAGCUUCAGUGUUCAACUCAUCCACUAAGUCAUCCAGAUCAUAAGCCAAAUCCUCCAGAUCCUUCAGCCACUCCUUCACAGCUCCGUUUGUUGUUUGUUUGUUUUCAGCAUCAGUAAGCACUGCUUCCAUCAUCAACAAUUUCUUACGCCAUUCUUUCAGCUGGGAGUCGAUUCCUACACCAUGCAGGAAUUUCAUUAGCUCGCCAGAGACCAACUUCUCAAGCAAAACAGUAAUUAGUGCGCCAAUAAAAACUUCUCCGAUAGCCAUUGUUAUCUUUUUCUUAAGAAAGGAAACAAUAGAUGAAAGAUAGAAUGAAAGAGAGUUUAACUUCUUGAAUAGAAAUGAAAGGAAAAUUUCAAGUUGUGGUGGUCGUUUCACAAACUGAGAAAGCUGUCUACAAGUGCUGACAAUGGUGGGGUCAAUUAUCAAUUCACGCGGAGACAAUAAUUGAUCGGAGAAAAAAGCAAAGGUAUUGGUUUCUUUGUUGCUUCCUCUGUCAUUUUCUUUCCUUCUUUCUUUUUUUCAUUUUUUUUCCUUCCUCUCUUUCUUUUGAUUUUAUAUCUAAAAAAAUAAAAAUGCAAUUACCUGUCGGCCCCAUUAUUUCUCUUUAAUUUUCAUUUCUCAAUCCAAAUAUCACAUUAUAUUUUAUCAUUGAACAGUUUAAAAUACAGUUAAUUUUUCCAUCUAAUCUUUCUUCUACAUGCAAUUAUGUCAACCUUUUGAUCAAAAUUUUCUGUCAAAAUAGUUUUAUUCAUAAAUUUCAUCCAGUUGUCGACAAUCAAAUGGAUCAUUAGGCCCUCGUUCUUGGAUGAAAAAUGACACAAACGGGGGCAAUAAUGAAAAUUUGUAUUUAUAGUGGUGGGGGCACAAAUAAUUGAACAUCAAUCACCACCUGAGCUGGGAACCGUGUUUGUUGAACAAAUGGGCACCUUAACAUGAGAAAUAAUGAGAAUUAAUAGCAAAUAAUUUGAUCAAUCCAGUCUUUAGCCAAAAUUUAAUUGAAUCACUCAACCUUUUACACAGGCGAUAAAGAUAGUAAAAGCAAGCAAGGUAAUAUUUUAUUAUUUUUAUUUUUCUUUAGUACUUUGUAUGAUGAAGUUUUGAUAAAAUUUGUCAACUUUUUAACUUAUUAAAUUUUAGCUUUAAACAAAUAUUUCAUGCAAUCCAUAACUUUAUUUUUUAUCAACUUUUUAACAAUAUAUUACGUUAAUUUUGAAUCAAAAUCUAUUAAAAAUUUUCUUAAAAGUUUUGUAAAAGUAAAAAACCCUUAAAGGGGUGGGCGAGCACCAAGGACGAUUCAUGAUUUUCCUGUUAGUAUUAUAUUUUUGAUUAUAUAUAUAUCUAUGUAAAUUACAGCACAUAUAAUGCAAAGCUUUUGAAAGAGUUUUUUUAUUUUCUAUUGAAAUUAAGCCCUAUUUAGUUUAACUAAAAUUAAUUUUGAUAAGUUUUGACAUAAGUUGAUCAAAUGUAUAGUUGAAAAAUUGAUCAAAAGUGUGAAUUCCUUAAAAUAAGUGAUUAAAAUUAAUCGUUGAUUUUGUGUUUGUUUGGUAGAGAUUUUGAAAAUUGAUUUUUUGACUAUUAGAGAUAAAGUGGGUCCUAUCUAUAAGAGAAAAAUUCAAAAACGACAGCUGGAAUAAUGAAAUAACGGUCAAAAAAUUAAUUUUAAUUGACUUGAAAUAUGUACCAAACAAGCACUUUAACUUAAAUUUUCAUUAACCUUUUUAACUUAACCAGAAAGGAGCAAAGUAUUUUAUUCAUAUCCUCUAUUUAGACUUGGUGUAGAAUAUAGAUUUUAAUUUGGACUUUGGUUAUAAAGGCGAAUGGCAUCACUACGCAAAUUUAGAAGAAACCAAACCAUUGGUCCGGGGUCAAUAUCUCUCACAUUGUAGGAUUGAAAUCUAAAGUGUAAAUCAAUAAUAGUGGUGAUAAUGGUGGGAUCAAUUAUCAAUAAUCAAUAAUGGUGGUGAUAAUGGUGGGGUCAAUUAUCAACAAUCAAUCGGAGAAAAAAGCACGUGUUGGUUUCUUUGUUGCUUCCUCUUAUCAUUUCUUUAUUUUUUUUAUUUUUUUUGGUCAAUAGAAAUAAUAACAACUUUACAUAUAGAUAUAAAUUAAUGUGAUCAAUCCAACCUUUAGCCAAAAUUUAAUUCAAUCAUUCAACUUAAUUUUAUUACAACUAGUAAGUGUUCGCAAUUCAAAUACUACAAUCUUAUAUAACAAUUGAACUCGUAAACUUAAUGUCACGCUUUACUUGAUUAGAAUAUUAAAAUUUGUUAAUUGAAAUUGAAACAUAAAUAUUAAACUCGUAUUUAGCAACAACAUAUAUUAAUUUAUUUCUCAUGCUCAUUUUCAAUCACACAUUCGCAUAAUAAAACGUCCAUUUGGCCCCAUUAUUCUCUAUAAUAAUGAGAAUUUGAUUUUAAAAUAAUAAUUUUUUAGAGAAUAUGUGAUUAAAAAUGAAGAAAAAAUUUAGAGUUUAUGUAUAAUAUUAUGAAUUAUGCUAUAUGUACACCCCCCUCCUCACAAAUAAUUGAACAUCAAUCACUAUAGGAGGUGGGAACUGCAUGUGUUGAAAACGUUGGCAUCUUAACAUGAGAAAUAAUUGCAAAUAAUUGUGAUCAAUCCAGCCUUUAGCCAAAAUUUAAUUGAAUCACUCAACCUUUUACAUAGGUGAUAAAGGCAGUAAGACCAAGCAAGGUAAGGGUUUGGGAGAGGUUGUAAUAUUUUAUUAUUUUUAUUUUUCUUUAGUUCUUUGUUUGAUGAAGUUUUGAUAAAAAAUUUCAACUUUUUAACUGAUUAAAUUUUAGUUUUAAACAAAUAUUUCAUGCAAUCCAUAACUUUAUUUUUUUAUCAACUUUUUAACGACAUAUUACAUUAAUUUUUACUAAAAAUCUACUAAAAAUUUUCUUAAAAGUUUUGUGAAAAUAAAAAACCCUUAAAGGUGUGGGGGAGCACCAAGGACGAUUCAUGAUUUUCGUGUUAGUAUUAUAUUUUCUAUUAUAUAUCCAUGUAAACUAGCAUAUAUAAUGCAAAGCUUUUGAAAGAGUUCUUUAUUUUCUAUUGAAAUCAAGCCCUAUUUAAUUUAACUAGAAAUUAGUUUUGAUAAAUUUUGACAUAAGUUGAUCAAAUGUAUAGUUGAAAAAAAUUGCUCAAAAUUGUGAAUCCCUUAAAAUAAGUGAUUAAAAUUAAUCGUUGAUUUUAAGUUAAAUUUUUAUUAACCUUUUUAACUUCCAGAAAGGAGUAAAGUAUUUUAUCCAUGUCCUCUAUUUAAACAUGGUGUAGAAUAUAGAUUUUAAUUUGGACUUUGGAUAAAAAGGCGAGUUGCAUCACUAUGCAAAUUUAGAAGAAACCAAACCAAACCAUUGGUCCGAGUCAAUACUUCACGCGGUAGGAUUGAAAUCUAAAAGAAUAAAUCAAUAAUGAUGGUGAUAAUGGUGGGAUCAAUUAUCAAUACUCAAUAUUGGUGGGGUCAAUUAUCAAUAAUGGUGGUGAUAAUGGUGGGGUCAAUCAUCAACAAUCGAUCCGAGAAAAAAGCACGUGUUGGUUCCUUUGUUGCUUCCUCUUAUCAUUUCUUGAUUUUUUUUUAUUUUUCUUUAGUCAAUAGAAAUAAUAAUAACUUUACAUGUAGAUAUAAAUCAAUGUGAUCAAUCCAACCUUUAGCCAAAUUUUAAUUCAAUCAUUCAACUUAAUUUUAUUACUUCUAAUAAGUGUUCGUUACAAUUCAAACACUUAUAUAACAGUUGAACUCAUAAACUUGAAGUUAUGCUUUACUUGAUUAGAAUAUUUGAUUGAGUUAAAAUUCCUUAAUUGAAUUUGGAACAUAAAUAUCAGACUCGUAUUUGGCAACAAUAUAUAUUAAUUUAUUUAUCAUACUCAUAUUCAAUUACACAUUCACACAAUAAAGCAUCCAUUUGACCCCCAUUAUUCUCUCAUAAUAAUGAGAAUUUGAUUUUAAAAUAAUAAUUUUUUAUAGAAUAUGUGAUUAAAAAUAAAGAAAAGUUCUAAGUUUACGUAUAAUAUUAUGGAUUAUGCUGUGCAUACACUUUUACGUUGACACCCCCUCACAUGGAGGGGGUGUAACGGUGUACACAUAAUAUAAACCUAAAAUUAUUUUAUUGGAGAAUAUGUGGUUGAUAAGAAAAGGGAAAAAAUGAAUUAUAAUUUAAUAGAGGCAAAACGAGUAGAAAAUAUUAUAUACAUAAACUCAAAAUUUUCUCCAACCCCACGCAUUUUCCAAUAAAUGCUAUUCAAAUCUAUGUUUUUUGAAAUUUAAGACCACCAAACCAUGGCCAAAGUAUAUUUGUGACCAACUUUACAUAUGAACAAUAGCUUUUGGUAAAAUAUGUGCUAUCAAAAUUUAUAAAUUUUAUAACAAUUGUCAAUCUCGUUAACAGAAUUACUACGUAACUCAGAAUUAAUUUACUCGAUUUGAAAUGACCCUAAUAAAAGUUUUUUGAUUUGAAGUCUCCAAAUAUUUGUCGUGUGUAUGUCUUUUGUUGAGUCAUUUCGUAUCAACUAAAAUUUUUGAAAUCUUAAAAUCAAGAGAAUUUUGUUGGAGUCAAAGUGAUAAUUUUAGAAUACUGCAACUGCAAUUUCCCUUUAACUUAUCCCACCAAAAAAUGAACUCACACAUCAACAAAUUCUACCUAUAUUUUGCAAAACACGAAAAUCUUCUUGAUGUCAAUAUUGAAAAGAAAAAAAUAAAAUAGUUAUUCAAUUGUGUUCCCAGGCAAGCUGUUCAAUGGAAUACUGGUUGAAAACAAUUUACAGUUGAUAAUGAAAAGCCUUUCUUCUAUGCUAAUUCUUAAGGAGGGGUGGGGGGUGGGGUGGGGUGACUGACUAAAGCAAAAAUCUCCAUAACUUAUCCUGCAAACUAAGCACAAUCAGGAACUAGUCAGAAACAUAAAAAUAUCAAAAAAUGAAUAAAUAAAUAAAAAUUAGGAUAAUAAAUUGAACUCGAAUAGAGGUAAAUAUCAGAAAUGUUUAGAGCAAUACAGAAAGCCAUCUACAAAUGUUGAUAAUGAUGGGGUCAAUUAUCAAUUCACGAAAAAAGCACGAGUGUUGGUUUCUUCGAUGCUUCCUCUAUCAUUUUCUUUUAAAUUUUUAUUUUUAAAAAUUAUUAAUUUAUUUGGACUUCAUUAAAAUUAUAAUCUAUUUUUUUAGUUUUUUCUCUAUCACACAUUCUUUGAUAAAAUAAUACUAUACGUAAAUAACAAAAAUUUCCUUCUUUUUUAACCGCACAUUUUUCAAAAAGUAAUUAUUCCAAAAUAUAUUUUUCUCAAAAAUUUAUUAAAGUAGAGCGCAAACUAUCAAUACAAGCUUCAGCCAAAAUUUAAUUGAAUCACUCAACUUAAUUUAUUGCAACUAGUCAGUGUUUGCCACACAAACAAUGCAAUUUUAUAUAAAGUUGAACUAAUGGACUCGAUGUCACACUUCAGUUGAUUAGAAUUUCUUUAGACGUAGUUAAAAGUCCAUUAAUUGAAUUUGAAACAUGCAUAUUAAAAUUGUAUUUGGCAACAGUAGAGUAUAUUUGUGACCAACUUUACAUAUGGACAAAAGUUUUUGAUAAAAAGUGUGAUCGAAAUUUAUCAACUAUCUUUCAAUAAUUAUUGUAUACUGGAUAACAAAAUUACUAUGUAACACUAAUUAAAUAUUCAAUCAAUAUAUGGCAUGUCGAUGAGUAUAAUUGUAUUAUUUAGUUAAAUUUGUCAAUAAUUGAAGGCAAAAACAUAGAAGCCUAAAAGAUGAAAGGUCGGCAACCACACAAGGCUCAAUCAUCGGAUUAGUAUGUGGGUUCAAUCAUCUCGAUUGGAAAUCAUACUAAACGACCUUUGUCAAGAAUUAAAGCCUGCCCUCUUUUAAUGAAACCCCCUUUUCCAGCUGGGCAAUGAGCAAUAGUUCGACCUAAAUAACUCAUGAACAUAUAUAAAAUGUUGUAUUUUAAAUACUUUCAGAGUACUUUUUUUUAUUUUAAAAGAAAAUGAGAGUACUUAAACAACAACUCCCACUAACUAAAUACCACUUAAUAAAUAUUAUUGAUUUAAUAAAUAUAAUUUAGAACAUAAUAAGUUUAAAAAUAUUUUUAAUGUUUUUUACAAAUUUAUUUUAAGCAUUACAUAAAAAAAUAAAAUUAACUAUCUAAAAAUUAAUUUAUUUAUAUUGAAAAAUAAAAAAAAAUUCAAGGAUCAAACUGCAAUUUUUAAAAUUGAAAUCGGGUCCCAAACGUGCCCUUACGUGUGGGACCAAUUUGCAAUUAUGUAUUUUUUAAAUUAAUAAAAAAAUGGGGGACAUGUCACUGUCGCCACACUGUUCUAGAAAAAAAAUUUCUUAUUCAUCAUGCGACUAAUUUCGACGUUCUGAGUCAUUUGUGUAGUCAAAUAUGAAGGAUGUUUGGUAAGAAUUAAAAUUAAAGUUUUAAGUAGAUUGUGAUAAAAUUCUUUGAAAUGUGUGAUUAAAAAGUUGCGGGAUCCAUAAAAGAUGUGGUCAAUAUUGAUUGUUUGAUUUAGACUCGAAUUAAACUCAGAUUUUAAUCAAAGCCAAACAUGGACAUGACAAAAUCAAUUUUUGAGGUUGCAUUUGGGACAUCAACAGAUAUGGAUGAGAGUAAAAAUGGCAAAAGUUACUGUUCAUUGUGUUUAAUUUCAUGCAAAAUUCUCAGAUUUUCGAUGAAAUUUCAGGAGGUCAUAACCUUUUUAUUAUAAAAGCCAAAAUUUUAAUGAUCUUCAUACUGUUGGAAAUGUAUCAAGAAGAUCUAUUCAACCAUACUAAACGUGAAGCAUGAAAUGAAGUGUAAAAGAAGUUAUCGUAUGAUAAAGUUUUAUUAAAGAAACCGUGAAAUAUGAAACACAAUAAAAUAUAAGAGUUAAUAAAAUCUAAUAAGUUGUUCCAAAAUUCAAAUGCCCCCAGUCAAGCUCAUCUUUUAGGUUGAUUUUCUGAGGAGCAACAACCAUGUCUGGAUUGUGUACUCUUAUCCAUUACAUAUUUACAAGAAACUAUACUAUUUGAUGGAUCCAUUCAGUUCUUGUCAAAUGUAUCAUGCCAGUCCCUUUCCUUUUGUAUUGCCUUUCACAUUUCCUUUUCCCUUAUAGAUUGCUACAUUGACUAAAGUCUCGACUUUUUCAUCAGAUAUCCAAGAUAGACUCUAAAACAUGGGAGAGAAAUCUUCAUUUGCAUCUUUGGCUGUCGGUUUAAUCAAAAUAAUGCUACUGGAUUCACCAUCGCCAAAAGCUCCACUAGAUUCUCGUUCUUUGAUCCACUCGAAAUAUUCACAUUAAGCACUACAACAAUUGAAUAACCUGUUGGAAUGCGGAAGCGGAAUUAUCCGGAAAUUAAAAAUUUCUUUAAUUAAAAAAUAAGAUCGUUUAGAUGUUCACGUGUAUAUUAUACCAAAAAUAAAGAAUUCGAAUUUUUACUAAAUUUGAUGAUCAAUUAUUGUUAAUUUUGAAUCACAAACUUCCAGCUUUUUAAUUCCAAGAAUUUGAUACUUCAAAACUCCAAGUUUUCUAUGGUAUUCUCUAAAGUCAAGACUACAUCGGAAGGUGGGCACUUUUUUUUAAUUAAAUCAAGAAACUAAUUCUUGAAUUAGACAAUUGAAGAAUUAAGAAAAAUAAUUUUUCCCUGUCUCCAAAAUUUGAAUACCAUGGAAUUAUGUAUUAUGAAUGUUGUAAAAUUCUAUUCCGUAGGAUGUCUAGGUUCCAACUAAUCUCUAUUUAUAGAAAUAAAAGAGUUUCAAUCCUUAUACAAUAAUAAUUCCACAUUCAAAUAGGAGUUCUAAUUAAAAUCCAAGUAGGAGUAUAAACUAAAGUCCAAAUCCAAUUAGUUUACAUUUAGUUAUAUGUGUAGACUUAGAACUUUAAUUAUAUUUAUAAUUAAGUUUACAACUUUCAUAGUAAUUACAACUAAGUAUAAAAUUUUAUUGUAAUUAUAAUUUAGCCCAAAACUAUUAUAAUUACCUUAAUUAAGUUCUAAUACUUCAUCGAGCUACCACAGGGACCAGAUUGGACAUAUAUUAUCCAAACUCCAAUAAUUAGAUCAUAUUUAGUUGAACCAAGACCACCCAAUCCAAUUGUUAUUCUUGAUUUUUCCACUAAAGGCAAAAGACUGAACUUUUGAAAUAUAUAAGAUUACAGAAGCCAAUAAAUCUGUAAUACAUUCCUAUCGUAUAUGUAUUUUAUCCCUGUUCGAGAUCUGAUAAUUAGGUAUGAGCAUAAAUAACCGUUUUGCCAAUCUAAUUAUACUCACUAACUUAGGUAUCAUUUUCUUCAACGAUCCUGUGAACUAAUCACAGAUGUCGAAGUUUAGCCAUCGCUAAAUACUGAGCUUUAACCGUUCAAAAGAAAAUAUUUAAACAGUCACUCUACCCAUUUUUCAGGGUGAUAGUUCCCAACAAGAAUUCACGUUCCCCACUCCGCUCAUUCUCAAGUUUCCAACUUAUCGAGAUAUUUGACCAAUCUAAUUGAUUUCACCCAUUGAUAACCAUUAAAAUCACGAAAAUAUAUACAUGAUCAUGUCAAGGGAUUUAAAUGAAAUACAUAGCGUCAAGUGGAAUUUAAUUCUUCACACGAUCAUGCUAUAGAAUUAAAUUCGACACGCGAUCCGUUCAAUACACUCCAAGUGUACUAGUGUCACCUUUAACUAUUUAUGUGAUAAUGACAAAUCACAAACCUGAAAAGUGAAUCGGUCUACACUACAACCUUCUAGUACAAGACGCCAACCCUUAUACAUUGGUUGUGAACAAAUUAUUUAUGAUCAAAUUAUAAGUUGUGCUACACUGUACUUCUCAACACAAGUACCCAACUGAUCAUUGGGACUUUAAUUUGCAGGCUCAAUAAUAAAUAAUGCAAUAAAUAUAUAAAACAACAAUUGUGGUAAAUGGAAAGUCCAUUAAAGUUUAUUGGUGAAUGACAUUUGUACCCCUGUAGCCCUAGAAAUUAUUAUCAUUGUAUCCCUGAUUCUUAUCUAUAAAUAUAGGGCUUUAGUUUUCAAUAAUACACACAAAAUGUUUAUUGAAUUUUCUCUAUUCUCUUUGAGUUUUCUCUAUUCUCUUUUCCUCUCAUUUUAUAACACGUUAUCAGCACGAAACUCUUAGAAGGUAGUAAUUUUUUUUCAUAAUCAUCUAUCACAUAUAUCAAAAUUAAUUUGAUAAUACGUGAAUUUUACAUAUACAUAUGUUGAAUCUGCAAUACGUGGUUUCAUCUUUCUCGAUCAUUAUGUUUUCUUUGUACCUUUCUUUGAAUUAAUUAAUAUUUUUUCCUUUACAUCAAUCCAAGUGCAUUUUUAUGGAGAUAUAUUUAAGUUAAAUCAAUUGAUAUGUAUUAAUUCAUGUUCCUAUACCCUCCUUAUAUUUAAAUUAGCCCUUUACAUUCUACACAUGUUUAUAAUUUUUUUUUGUUUAAUUGGUCAAUGUUCUUUGUAAGCAAGCUUCAAUUCCAGAUCUCUAUUUUGGCUGACUCCAUAUAUAUAUAUAACAUACAAUUAAAAAAUAACUGUACCCAACUCAUCUUUUCUCUCAAAUCCAUUGGCUUCUGCAAAUUUCAUGCCUUAAUUGGUUAAUACUAAUUCAAUUCUUUUAAUUGCACAUAAUUAGAAUUUCGUGCCAUAAUAUGUGAAUAGGUUUCUACAUGUCAUCAAUUUUUUUGUGUUUCACUUGACUCACGUUAUUAAUUCAAAAUAAUAUUUUACAUGUGUUUGUAUAUUAAUUAAUGGUGAGCAAUUGGAUGUAUUAUCAUUUUUUUUAUGUUUAGUUAUGAAACAUUACAUUAAAUUUAUUUUUAAUUGUUGUUGCUCCUGAAGUAGCACAACAUUAUAAUUAAUAUUUCAGAAGAAUAUUAAUCAUAGAUCUAUUCGUUGUUGCUCCAGAAGUAGCACAACAUUAUAAGAAUAUUAUUUGCUGCUGAAGAGCAUAAAUUAUAACUCUCAAUAUUCCAGAAGAAUAUUAAAAAAUUACACUUGAAGAAAUAAUAACAAAAUAUAAUGUGCUUCAGAAGUAGCAUAUGUUUCAAAGAACAUAUUAUUUCAAAUUAGUGUUUAUCCCUAGAGGAAAACACGUAACUUAAAGUCAUGUUGAUAUCGACUAUUUGAUUAACAUGUGAUGAUUAAUCAUAUUCUUCGAAACUAAUUGUAUUUUUUAUUGUGUAGUUAAACAAAUGGCAAACAUUACGAAACUUGAGUUUGCUACACUUGACAUAUCUGGUAAAAAUUAUUUGUCAUGGAUACUGGUUGCUGAUAUCCAUCUCGUCUCAAAGGGUCUGGGAGAGACAAUAAAAGAAGGAAACAAUGAAUCCCUGCAGGAUCGUGCAAAAGCACUCAUUUUCCUCCAUCACCAUCUUCACGAUGGAUUAAAAAUUGAAUAUCUCACUAAGAAAGAUCCACAAGUUCUUUUGAAAAAGUUAACUGAAAGAUUUUAUUAUUAGAGGACUAUAGUCCUCCCCAAAGCACGUUAUGAGUGGAUGCACCUUCGUUUGCAAGACUUUAAAACGGUUAGUGAGUACAAUUCUGAAUUGUUCAGAAUAUGUUCAAAGUUAACUGUGUGGAGAAAAAAUCACCGAUGAAGAUACGCUGGAAAAAACUUUCUCCACCUUUCAUGCCUCGAAUGUGCUCCUGCAGUAGCGAGCGUGGUUUCAAAAAGUACCCAGAACUUAUAUCUUGCCUACUAGUUGCUGAACAAAAUAAUGAAUUGUUGAUGAAAAAUCAUGAAUUACGUCCAACUGGUUCUGUACCAUUGCCUGAAGCAAAUGGUACUACAUUGUCUGGAGCAAAUACAAUAUCAAGACAAGGACGUAGACACGGACGUGGAUGCGGAUGUGGACGUGGACGUGGACAUGGAUUUGGACGUGGACACGGACACGGACGUGUACGUGGAAUAAAUCAUGGAAGAAAUAAUCAACAAAGUUAUCAACAACAAGGCAAUAAAUUCAAAAGGUACAAAGCAAACGAGAGUGACAAAUCUAAAAAUGAGCAUGAAAAAAGUUGCUUCAAAUGUGGAAUGAAAUGGCAUUAGGCACGUACGUGUCGUACCUCAAAACAUCUUGUGGAUCUCUACCAGAGAUCAAUCAAGGGAAAAUAAAUGGUUCAGAUAGUGCAACUACACAUACUAUUCUUCAAGACAAAAAAUGCUUUUUGGACUUAAUAUUAGCUAAAAAUAAUCUUAACACGAUAUCGGGUACGUCGAAUAUAGUUGAAGACUCCGGAAGAGCUUGUAUUAUUAUUGUAUUAUUUUACCAAAUAAUACAAAAUUAUAUAUUGACGAUACACUUUAUUCUAACAAAUCCAGAAUAAAUUUGCUUAGUUUUAAAGAUAUUGGCUGCAAUGAAUAUCACAUUGAGAAGAUACAAGAAAAUAAUGUUGAAUAUCUUUGCAUCACUUCUUUUGUAUCUGACAAGAAGUAGAUAAAAGAAAAUUUUCAUGCAUUCCCGUCUGGCAUGUAUUUUACAUUUAUAAAAAUGGUCGAAUCAAAUAAUGUUACGAACCAGAAGUUCGUUGAUUCAAAAAGUUUUAUACUUUGACAUGAUCGACUUGGACAUCCAGGAGCCAUAAUGAUGCGUCGAAUAAUAAAAAACUCACAUGGACAUCCUUUAAAGAACCAGAAGAUUCUUUUAUCUAAUGAUUAUCCAUGUGUAGCUUGUUCGUAAGGCAAGUUAGUCAUUAGACCUUCAACUACAAAGGUCAAUAUUGAAUCUCCAACUUUCUUGAAAAGAAUACAUGGAGAUAUAUGUGGGCCAAUACACCCACCAUGUGGACCAUUUUGUUACUUUAUGGUAUUAAUUGAUUCUUCUACAAGAUGGUCACAUGUUUGCCUACUUUUAACUAGGAAUGUAGCAUUUGCUAGACUACUUGCUCAAAUCAUAAAAUUGCGAGCACAAUUUCCCGAUUACUCAAUCAAGACUAUUCGUCUUGACAAUGUUGGUGAAUUUAGAUCACAAGCAUUUGAUGAUUAUUGUAUGUCAAUUGAGAUUGAAAUUGAACAUUCAGUUGCACAUGUUCAUACACAAAAUGGUUUAGUGGAAUCGUUUAUUAAACGUCUACAACUUAUUGCUAGACCAUUACUUAUGAAAACAAAACUCUCAAUUUCUGUUUGGGGUCAUGCCAUAUUACAUGCUGCAUCAUUGGUUCGUAUAAGACCAACUGCCUAUCAUCAAUAUUCACCUUUACAACUUGCAUUUGAUCAUGAACCAGAUAUUUCUCACCUACGGGUUUUUGGUUGUGCUGUCCAAGUUCCUAUUUCACCCCCACAACGUACUAAAAUGAGUCCCAACAAAGACUUGGGAUUUAUAUGGGUUUUGAUUCACCAUCUAUUAUUAGAUAUCUUGAACCUUUAACGGGUGACUUAUUUACUGCACGUUUUGCAGAUUGUCAUUUUGAUGAAAUGACUUUCCCAACUUUGGGAGGAGAAAAACUACAUCCUGAAAAACAAGAUAAAAUUUCUUGGACUGAGACAACUCUAUCUCACUUUGAUCCCUGCAGUAAUCAAUGUGAACAAGAGGUUGAAAAAAUCAUUCAUUUGCAAAGAGUUGCAAUUCAACUAUCUGAUAUAUUUGUUGACACGAGAAAAGUGACAAAGUCAUAUAUUCCAGCAGAAAAUAUUUCAGCAAAAAUUAAUUUCCCUGCAGGACAAUCUGCUGUGGCAAAUGAAUCUCAAAUAUUCCAGAAGCAUCGUCGACCAGUUGGUUCAAAAGACUCUGUACCUCAAAAAAGAAGAGUACAGGAGAAAAACCAACCAAAAACUUCAGAAGAAAUUACAUUAGAAAAGAUUGAUCAAUCAAAUAUUGAAUGUACGGUUCCUGAAGAACUAGAGGUGUCCGAAAAUAAUGAGAUCUCAAUAAAUUAUAUGAUAUCUCAUAAAUUAUGGGAAUGGAAUAAUAUUGUUAUAGACAAUAUUUUCGCCUUUAACAUGGCUCUUGAUAUUAUGCAAAAUGAGGAUCCUGAAUCACAGUCUGUUAAUGACUGUCGAAAUAGAAAUGAUUGGCCAAAAUGGAAAGAAGCCAUACAGGCAGAACUGAAUUCUUUAGAGAAACGAAAAGUGUUUGGACUAGUAGUUCGAACACCUGAAAAUGUAAUCCCUGUUGGAUACAAAUGGGUUUUUGUACGAAAGAGAAAUGAGAAUAAUGAAAUUACAAGAUACAAAGCCCGACUAGUGGCUCAAGGUUUCUCCCAAGACCGGGAAUUGAUUAUGAGGAAACAUAUUCUCCCGUAAUGGAUACCAUCACUUUUAGGUUCUUUAGUUUGACCGUGUCACAAGGGCUUGAUAUGCGUCUUAUGGAUGUAGUAACUGCCUACCUAUUGGUUCACUUGACAGUGACAUAUAUAUGAAAGUCCCUGAAGGAUUUAAGGUGCCAGGAAUAAAUGAUACAUGUCCGAGAACUAUGUUCUCAAUUAAAUUGCAAAAAUCAUUAUAUGGAUUGAAACAAUUCGGACGCAUGUGGUAUAAUCACCUCAGCGAAUAUUUGUUGAAAGAGGGUUAUAAAAAUGACGAUAUUUGCCCAUAUGUUUUCAUAAAGAAAACAAAUAUUGGAUUUACAAUUGUGGCAGUUUAUGUUGAUGAUUUAAAUUUAAUUGGAACUCCUGAAGAGCUGAACAAAACUGCAGAUUAUUUGAGAAAUGAAUUUGAGGUGAAAGAUUUGGGAAAACCAAAUUUUGUCUUGGAUUACAAAUUGAACAUUUGCCAGAGGGAUUAUUUGUUCAUCAAUCUACUUAUACAAAAAAGUCUUGAAACGCUUUUAUAUGGAUAAUGCACAUCCAUUGCCAUCACCUAUGGUUGUUCGAUCACUUGAUGUGAAAAAAGAUCCAUUUCGUCCACUUGAAGAUGGAGAAAAGAUUCUUGGUCCUAAAGUACCAUACCUUAGUGUAAUUGGAGCAUUAACUUAUCUUGCAAAUUGCACUCGACCUGACAUAGCUUUUUCUGUAUAUCUCCUUGCAAGAUAUAGCUCUACACCAACUCAAAGGCAUUGGAAUGGUGUUAAACAUAUUUUUCCUUAACUAAAAGGUACUAUUGAUAUGGGACUGUUUUAUUCUCCAAAGUUAGGAUCUGCUUUAGUGGGAUAUGCAGAUGCAAGUUAUCUCUCCGAUCCACAUAAAGCUAAAUCACAAACAGGAUAUGUGUUUACACGUGGAGGAAUAGCUAUUUCAUGGAGAUCUGUGAAGCAAUCCUUGACAGCAACAUCUUCAAAUUAUUCUGAGAUUAUUGCAAUCCAUGAAGUAGAGCGAGAAUGUGUAUGGUUGAGGAAUAUGACCCAUCAUAUCCAAUCAUCAUGUGGAUUGACUUCAACAAAAGAUAAUCCAACAAUUUUGUUUGAAGAUAAUGCAGCUUAUAUCGCACAACUCAAGGGAGGCUAUAUCAAAGGCGACAAGACGAAGCAUAUUUCUCCAAAAUUCUUUCAUACACAUGAACUUCAGAAGAAUGGUGACACUGAUAUUCAACAAAUUCGCUCAAGUGACAAUGUGGCUGAUCUAUUCACAAAAGUGUUGCCAACAUCUACAUUCAAGAAAUUAGUUCAUGAGAUUGGAAUGCAUCGACUCAAAGAUUUUCAGUGAUCAACAUCAGGGGGAGUAGUUGUACUCUUUUUCCUUCGCUUAGGUUUUGUUCGAUUGGGUUUUCCUAGCAAGGUUUUAAUGAGGCAGUAUUUAAUUUUAAUACUGCAAAAUAACUGUACGCUUUUUCCUUCAUUUGAUUUUUUUCCCAUUGGGUUUUUAUCAAACAAAGUUUUAACAAGGUAGAUAUUUUGUAAUAUGUCAUUCAAGGGGGAGUGUUGUAAAUGGAAAGUCCAUUAAAGUUUAUUGGUGAAUGACAUUUGUACCCAUGUAGCCCUAGAAAUUAUUACCAUUAUAUCCCUGAUUCUUACCUAUAAAUAUAGAGCUUUGGUUUUCAAUAAUACACAUAAAAAGUUUAUUGAGUUUUCUCUAUUCUUUUUGAGUUUUCUCUAUUCUCUUUUCCUCUCAUUUUAUAACAACAAUUUAUUUAUUAUAAACAAUUAAUUUUUCAUACCAAAUAUACUGUAUGGGCACACAACCCAACAAAUCUCCCACGUGCCCUAGAGCAUAUGUGUCAUGUCUUGCAACCUCGUGUCAUUCAGGUGUCCCUCGAAAACUUAGCCGAUCGCCUUAGUAAAAUAGUCUACAAGAUUAUCUCAGUAGCAAUGUUACUGACAACUACAUUAUCUUUACCAAAUAUCUCUCUUAAGAGAUGACAUUUCCGUUCAAUGUGUUUAUCCUUCUCAUGACUCAUGGUUCUUUAACAUUUGCCACAAUCUCACUGUUAUCCCAAUGCAGUGUAGAGACAUGUGCAAAUGCAAGCACCACCACGAUGUCUAUAGGGAUUUCCAAGUCAUACAGCCAAUUUGGUAGCUUCAUAAGCUGCUACAUACUUGGAAUCAAUGGUGGAAUCAACAAUGCAUGAUUGCAUGAUAUUUAUCCAAAUAAUGGCCCUGCCAUAAAGUGUAAACAACAAUACCAAUGUAGACAUGUAAUAGUCUUCAUCACUCUGGUGGUCUAAAUCCUUUUAAUCUAUUGAAAUAAUAUCUAGCAACGAGCAUAUAAUUCCUUGUUCUCCUUAGGUACUAAAAGAUAUGCUUUAUCGCCAUUCAGCGUUUCAAUCCUAAGGCUUAGCAUAGCAUACAUGAGACUAAAUUACCAACGCAUAAGGCAUAUUUCUCAUGUAUCGAUCUCUUUAGGAGUCUUUGUGAACUAACCCUUGAAGAGUUGGAUUCGAUACUUGAGGGAAAAACCUUGCCUAGCAAAUCUGACAAGUAUCUUGUCAACAUAAGAGACUUAGUACAAGUCUAUUGUCUUUUUCUUUUGAUCUCUCAAGAACUGAAAAUUAGAACAUAGCUAGCUUCACUAUGCUUUCAUAUGAAACUAUUGGACCAACCAAGCUUUCGUAGACAAUAAUGCACCCACAUUAUUUCUAAUGGAUUAAAUAUCAUCUACAUAAGCACUAGGAAAAAAUACAAUUUUGUCUUGUAUCUUCUUACAGAUACAGGAUUUACCAAAGUUCUGAUUAAAAUCAAAUGUCUUAAUCACUUUGUCGAACCUCUAUUCCAAAAACUCGAUAAUCGAAGGUUUCGAUUCUUAAAUAGAUCGCUGCAUCCACAUCAUCCAUAAUCUCCUUAUAUGAAGUCAAACAAUCAACUUGUACCAUGGAGAUCACCAUAUUGGACUCUCCACUCAACUAGUACCUUGAAGGUGAAUCGAUAAUCUUCCAACUUUGUUUAAGGGACAAUUGAUCUAGGACUGGGGCAUCUUUGAAACGUAAUAUUUUAAUCAAUACUGACAUUACCAUUAGGCGACGCCAUUACCUCCUCAUUAUCUUCAACGUUCUAUUGAUUGAUUAGAUCAGAUGACUACUCAUCUUUCCCACUCAUACCACAUUGCCCAAGUUUUUACUUGACACCAUGGGAUGUCUGCCCUAGGUUGUGUUCCAGGAAUUAAUGAGAUAGAAUUGCUCCUAUUCAUUUCUUCCACCACGACCUUAUUAUUGGACUAUGAUCAUUAAUAUACUUAUCUUCUAGGACAGUUGUAUUUGUGUUAACAAAAACCCUCAUAUCUAGAGGAUUAUAAAUAUUAUCUCUUGGUAUUUUUAGGAUAUCCCACAAACAGACACAUCUCUAACCUAGACUCCAACUUUUCAGCCUUUUCUUUCAACACAUGUGCUGGACCCCUAAAUCUUGGAUAUGAUGCAAAUAGGACUUGCAUCUAUUCCAAAAUUUCAGGAGAGUCUUGAGAACAAACUUAGAAAAAAUUAAGUUAAGAAUAUAGCCAAUUGUUUUCAGUGUAUAUCCCAAAAUGUGAUAGGUAGAGUUGUGAAACUCUUCAUUGACCUAACCAUAUCUAACAAUGUCAUGUUUCUUCUUUUUGAAAACCAUUCCUUUUAGGUAUAUCAUGCUUAUUCAAUUAAGAAACAGUACCAAUUUCUAUUGAGUGUGCCUAAAUUCUUUUGAGAGGUAGUUACCACCUCGAUCAAAUUGAAGCAUGUUAAUAGUCUUACCCAAAUGUUUCUCGAUCUUAGUCUUAUACACUUUUGAUUUCUCAAAGGUAUUUGACUUUCAAAAUAUUAGGUAAAUGUAUUUGAAUAUAGAGUAAUCAUCUAAAUAUAAAGAAAUAUUCAUAAUUUCCCUUCCCAAGUGUAUUCACAGCUCCACACAUGUCAUAAUGCACUAGUUCUAAUACAUCUAUGACUCUAUUCUUUUGAUGAAAAAUGAUAUCUUGGUCAUAUAACCUUCCAAACAAGAAUUACAAACUGACAAUGGUUUGAACUUAACCGAGUUGAGAGAACCAUCUCUAGUCAAUUUUAUAUUUUGUUAAGGUCGAUUUGUCUAGGACGCCAUAUAUAUGUAUCACUAGUAUAGUGCGACAUUUUAUGGUAUACAAGACUAGCCUUUUUUAUUUUAUAUGCGGAAUAGUUUAAAAUAUAAAGACUAUUAAUCAGAUGGUCUUUAUUCGUUAAAAUGGACCAUUAAUCAGAUGGAAUGGUUUUAUAUUCCGUUAAAUUCAGUGGCCAAAACUCGACAUUUUAAAUUUCAGUGAGCAAUCGAAGAUAUGGACAUAAGUUUAGUGGCCAAAACUUGACAUUUUAAAUUUCAGUGGCCAAUAAAAAAUAUGAAUUUAAGUUCAGUGACCAUUGGAACAAUUAACUCAAGAAAAAAGCACUAGUGUUGGUUUCUUUGUUGCUUCUUCUAUCAUUUUUUUUCUUUUGUUUGAAAAUUAAGAAAAAAAAUAAAAGAAUAAAAAUUAUACGUAGAUAUAAAUUGUGAUCUGUCCAGCCUUUAGCUAAAAUUUAAUUGAACCAGAGGCAGAUCCAAGAAUAUGAUUUGGUGAGGUCGAGACAGAAUUAUGUAAAAAUUAUAGUUUAAAAACUUAAAAUUAAGGACUAAAUAAGUAUGUUGGCUAUGUUUUAAACUUAAAAAAUUAAUGGGUCUGCCCUGAAUUGAAUCCCCCAACUUUUUACAUGGCCGAUAAAGGCAGAAGAGUAGGCAAGGGUUUGGAAGAGGUUGUAAUAUUUUAAUAUUUCUUUAUUGCUUUGUUUGAUAAAGCAUUCAUAAAAUUUGUCAAGUUUUAAACCGACCAAAUUUUAUAUAUAUAUAUAUAUAUAACUUUAUUUUUAUCAACUUUUUGGCGACAUAUUACAUCAACUUUUAAUCAAAAUCUACUAAAACUUUAAUUAAAAAUUUUGUUAAACAAAAAUUAAGCACCAAGGAUAGUUCAUGAUUUUCCUGUUUUCUUUAUUUUCUGUUGAAAUUAAGCCCUAUCUAAUUUAACUAAAUUAAAUUUUUGAUAGAUUUUGAAAGAUUUUUAACUUAACCAAAGAGCGAAGUAUUUCACUAUUUCUUCUAUUUAAACAUGGUGCGGAAUAUAGAUUUUAAUUUGGACAUUGGAUAAAAAAGUGAGUGGCAUCACUAUGGAAAUUUAGAAAAAAUAAAAUCAAACCAAACCAUUGGUCCUUGUCAAGACCUCACAUGGUAGGAUUGAAAUCUAAAGAGUAAAUCACGCCAGUAACUAUGAUUCUUUAGACAGCAUAAAGUAAUAAUGAUCGUAAUUCCUCCAAUUUUCUUGAUUUAUAGGGUCCCACAUUCCACAAAUAUUUGAAAACGCUCAUAUCAAAACUGGAAAAACAAUUGGAAAUGGUCCCCUGCUUGUUUAAUUUUAUUAAUAAAAUUUUGAAUUCAGUUUAUUUAAAUAAGUCAUAUAUAAUUUAUAUGUGCAACCCUCCAAAAAUUUAAUAAUCUAAAUACAUAUAUCGGUUUGAAUAUAAUUUUUUACUUGACCAUGAUAAUAUCUGCUUAAGAAGUUAAUAGAUCAAGACCACAAAUAAAUUAGUCAAUUGACUUCAAUUUUACUAAACUAAAUGAACUAGAAAAAUAAGUCAUGUUGGGUUAAAAUCCAAAGAUCGAAAGGUAAGGAGCAUUUGUAUUGUUGGGAAAAUGAAAAUCCAACAAAACGGAAAAGAGAAAUAUAAAAACAUAAGCAUCAUCAUUCAUUUUCUUCUUCUCUUCAAUUUUCAAACAAUAUCCAAAUAACCACUUUAAUAACUUUCUCAAAUGGAUCAUUUUGAUGUAUUUUUGGAUUCAAUAAUAGUAAAAUACGACAAUCUUUUAUAAUAUUUGUUAUUUUAAAUAAUUAGUACUCAACGUGUCAAUUUGUUGUGCAUGUUGUGUUCAACUAUGUCUCAUAAUUUUCUACUCUGUGUGCUGGCAAACUUUCCAUAAUGGACGCAUUAAUUUUGCCAUCUACUCUUUAUUAAAGUUUCUACACACUGGUAGGUUUUCUUAUACUUUCCAAUUCCAACUGACAAAAAGAAAAUUAAGAAGAAUUUGGUCUGACAUUAAUAGGCUUUAUUUCGUUUGGUACAUUUUGUCUACUUUUCUCAUCAACUUAAAUUGAUAAUGUAUUCAUAAGACAAAUUAAUACUCUUUAUCGUAGAUCCUUCGAGCUUGUUUACAAAAUGGGUUGGAAGAUUUCGUUUGUGCUUUCUCUCUGCUUUGUCUACACAGUCUCUGCUCUUGCUCCUGCCCCUUUGGAAGGUAAAUGCUCAAAAAUCUUGUCUAUUUUACUUGGGAGUUCUUAACGUUCUAAUCUUUUCUUAUAAAGCUAGAUCUUUAUUAGUGCUUCUCUUUUCUCUGGCAUUUCUCGAAAUGAAUAAUGAUUUGCUCUGUUUCUCUGUUGUAUCCUUCUGGGGAUGUUUGUUGCAUCAUUUGCACAUUUCUUUAUAGUUUCUAUUAAUGUUUGGGCUUUCUCAACCAAGAGUGAUGAGGGUUCGAGUCCUGGGAGUCUGGGACAUGAUUUUGGAGAAAAAUGUACUUCCUGUGGAGUAUGGGUGUGUGUCUGAGAGAGAGUUUUUGAUAGUUCGGAUACAGAUCCUUCUGUUUGCACCAAUGGGAGGUUGAAAAAAGUCUUUCGUUUUGCUACUUCUAUGAUUUCUCAGGUCUACUUCCAAAUUGAAACUUUGAAGAGAAACCAAAGCCUACUGACAUAAAGAAAACAGUGCUGCAAGGGAAAUAUGCACUGCCCAAGUGGGAAAUCAAUGGCUUAGUCUAGUCUAUCUCUAAGGACCACAGCUCGGUGGAAUGUACUUUGCAGUAGCCCAUGGCCUUCACGCUGUGAGACUUGGAAACAAGGCCUCAAUUUCCCAAACAAUCCCUGUCAAAAAUGGCUCGACAUAUGCACUCACAUUUGGUGCAUCAAGAACUUGUGCCCAAGACGAGGUCUUGAGAGUGUCGGUACCCCCUCAAUCCGGGGAUCUCCCUUUGCAGACUCUGUAUAGUAGUAAUGGUGGUGACACUUAUGCUUGGGGACUCAAAGCCACUUCUAAUUCAGUGAAGGAGAUUUUUCAUAAUCCUGGAAUGCAAGAGGAUCCUGCUUGUGGACCUCUCCUGGAUGCUGUUGCUGUUAAAGAACUUUUCCCUCCAAGGUUCACCAAAGGUAAUUAUUUACUUUUCAUGACUAGCCUAAAGUUUUCAUAUUCUACUUCCUCAAAAUAGAUUGGAAGUCAAUUAUUCUUAUAUGUAUGGUACUAGGGAUUGGAAAAUGGAGUCAAAAAUAUUUUAUGUUGUCUUGUCUUAUGCAAUACUAUCGAACCAUUUUGCUGCACCAUUUUGAUUCUUGAUGUAAAAAUAUUCUGCAUUCUCUAGGAUGUAUACAUGUUUAAUUUUACAUAUCAAGCAUAAAUUGUUGCUAGUAAUUAAGCUUAAGCAUGGCUUAAGCAGCGAAUAGACGACUUCGAGUUAAUUUGAUCCCAAUUUCUUGCAGCUAACUUAGUCAAGAAUAAUGGUUUUGAGGAGGGGCCUCAUCUCUUGAUCAACUCUUCUCAUGAUGUCCUACUCCCUCCCAAACAGAAAGAUUUGAUAUCCCCACUUCCCGGUUGGAUCAUCGAAUCUGUUAAAGCUGUCAAGUUCAUAGACUCAAAGCAUUUCAACAUCCCCUUUGGACGAGUAGCAGUAGAACUAGUUGCAGGAAGAGAGAGUGCCAUAGCCCAAGUAAUCAGAAAAGUCCCCAACAAGGUCUAUAAUGUUGCAUUCACUGUAGGAGAUGCAAAGAAUAAUUGCCAUGGAUCGAUGAUGGUCGAAGCAUUUGCUGCUAAAGGAACAAUGAAAGCUCCCUUCAAAUCUGAAGGAAAGGGGAAGUUCAAGACUUUCAAGUUCCAGUUCAAAGCAAUCUCGCACAGAACCAGAUUAACCUUCUUUAGCUCCUUUUACCACACAAGGACCAAUGACUACGGGACUCUUUGUGGUCCUGUCCUUGAUGAAGUUUGGGUUUUCACUGCUAUUUAGAUUUCAAUCUAUCUGCAUCAAGCUCAAAGAAGGCAUGUGUUGAAGAGUAUCACAGAAUUAUAGCAACGGUCAUUUGUCAUCUUUUGUAAUGUAGGUUAAACAUUAAUGAGGCGCCCUACAAUUCUGAUAUGUGAGAAGUACUAUGUAUUAGCUGUUUUAGGUCUGCUUGUGUCCCCCUUCAGUUGAUUUUUUGUUGGUUCAAAUGAAUGGUAUACAGAAAAUUAUUUGAUAACCGACAUAUUAUUAAUCUGGCUAAGUCAUUCUGAUAAUGCUAAGUUAGGCUUCAUCUUAAAAUGCUUUUUAACAUGAUAGCAAAGUAGGAUUUCCAUUCAAGUCUCGUUACUCAUUUAACAAAAUUGUUGUUCUGAUGGAAAUAAAUUAGGUUUACACAUAGAAGACUUGUCAAAUAAACAAGCUAAAAGUAUAAUUUCGAUAAAUUGAUAUGGAUCAAUUUACUAGGCGACCGCUAUCCUACUGGUUUCAAAUUUAGGAAGUACGCAUAUCAACCAAGGCAAAGUUGGGCAAUUAGAUUGAAUAACACAACAAAUGGUUGACUACUUGGAUUAACAUGGAAAGAUUCUCGGUCCAAGGAAACAUUGAUUAGCUUGACUAACACAAUCUUACAAACUAAUGUCUUUGCAGAAAAUGCGACUGGAGAGCAAAAAAUAUGGAGAAGUGGUAGCAACAUUAUUCCACCUCUAUUUGUGCUGGUGCAUGUGCUUGCAUUUGUAAAUUAUAAUUUGAAUAAGUAAAACAAAGUAAACUACAUUCUUGAAAUGACAAAAAGAAAUGAAGAAAUGAAAAAGGAAUAAUAGAUUUAUAAACCGAGGCUAGUGUUUAACACUAUGUCUUUAAGAUGAAUUUGUCCGCCAAUGUGCUCAUUGUGUCUUGAUAAUAGUCUUCCAAGAUGCAAUAGUUUCUCCUUAUAAUGGAAGCAAUUCAAACAACAAGAAAGAACAAAGUCGAGAUUGAAAAGAACUCUCUACUUUGAAUGAUCUUUUAUGCAAGAAAAUCAACGAUUUUGGAGUGUUUUGAUGCAAUGUAAUCAAAGCACAUGAAUUGAAAUGAAGUUAGACCAUCAAAGGAGUCAAUUUUAUAGAGGUUGACGUGCUAUGGCUUGGGAGACACUCCCCAAAAUUCAUCAGGUUUAACAAAGAGACACAGCCCUUCAAACAGCUAAUUGGUUGCUUCCUCAUGGCUCGAGUGUCUCUUUGAGAGACAUGGCCACUCACUACGCACAACGCAACUGCUCGAGCGAUCAAGUGAUAUGUCCAGUUUUUCCUUUUUUCUGCCUCACUUUGAACAUCAAUUUCUUAUUCAUCCAGACUUGAUUUUGUAAAUCCAAAUUAUCACGAUCAUCUACUUGAUGUUUACUCUAUUAAAACAUGAGAAUUAACCAUCAAAGCAUAUUCGAAUACUUGGUCAAAAUUGAUACAAAAUCAACAUUUUAUAAACUUGAUUCCAACAAUCCCCCAUAUAAAUGAAAUUUACUAGAAAUGCAAAUGAGAAUGCAGACGCGAGUGAAGAGUAUAAGCAAAAAGACAUUGUAUCACGAGAGGUAGCUUCUAACUUUGAACUUGCCUUGGUAAAAUUUUAUCGAAUUUACUUGGCUAAUUAGUGAACAUGAUAUAUUGAGCUAUUUAACAGUUGUUGUAAACUAAGAUAACAAUACUCACACUGUAUCUUUCCUAGCAAUUUUAAUUCUCAUGGCUAUGUUCAUUUUAGCUCUGAACCACUAUUGAGUUUUAUAAGUGUUUAGGAGAAUUUCACCUAAAAAAUUAUCAUAGAGGUGGCCCACUUUACACUUACAUCGGUGACCUCCUAUUGAGAGUAUUCUACCAUACUCCAUUUGACUUAAUCAACUUAUAGGAAUCAUUAAAAACUUAACUUAAUCUCAAACAUUCUGUAGAAAGCACUUUUAAUUAAAAUAGGAAUAAGUAGGAAAUAUUUCCUUAGUGCUUUAUGAAACCUUCAUAACUUAGUUAUCUUAUUGAACAAAGAUCUCGAGAUCUCCAGUCAACGAGUUUGAAUUACCAUUAUAAAGACUCUUAUGUAAUAAUCUUUAAUAUCAUUCCUUUCGAUAGAAAAUAUAUUUGAUCUCUAGGCAAACCUUUCGUAACCAGAUCCGUAAUAUUUUCUUUAGAUUUCACAUAAUUAAUGGAAAUAAUACCAUUUGGUAUCAAUUGCUUAAUGUUAUUGUAUCUACGACGUAUAUGUCUAGACUUAUUACUAUACAUGCUAUUUGUGCUCUUCGAAUAGUCGAUUGAUUGUCACAGUGUGUACCAAUUGCAGGUACUGGCAUAGGCCAACUUGGAAUGUCCUCCAAUAAGCUACUAAAUCACUCUACUUCUUCUCCAGCUUUGUCUAAAGCUAUUAACUCUGAUUCCACGUUGAUUGAGCUAUAUAACUUUAUCUUGAGGACUUUCAAGAUAUGACAACACCACUAAUGGUAAAAAUAUAACCAAUAGUAGACUUGAAAUCCUUUGUAUCGGAUAAUCAAUUCGCAUCACAAUAUUCUUCCAAUACAAUUGGAUAUCUUGUAUAAUAUAAUCCAAGAUUUAAGGUAAAUGUUAAAUAUCUAAAAACUCUAUUUAAUGCCUUCCAAAUGGUUAGUUGUUUGGAUUACUUUUGAAUCUACUAAGUUUAUUCAUCGCAUGCUAUACCCAAUCGAUUGCAAUUUUUAAUAAACAUUCGAUUGUCAUAACCUAUGAAUACUUUAGUUGAGACACCAGUACAACAUUAUUUUGACCAAGUGUAAACUUGAAUCAAUUGGGGUUUCACUUGCAACAUGAUUUUGACCAAUUGUAAACUUAAAUCAAUUGGGGUUUCCACUGACCUUUCCUCAUAUAGAUUGUAUCCUUUUAGUACGUUCUCAACAUACUGAGAUUGGGAAAGAAACAAUUCCAUCAUAUAUUCUAUAAAUUUCAAUUCCUAAUAUAACGUCUGCCAUACCCAUAUCCUUUUAUGGCGAAGUGUUUCAUCAAUAUUUUCUUUGUGUUCAUGAUGAUAUCAUGACCGUUACCCAUAAUUAAAAUGUCAUCAACAUAUAAACACACAAUUAUAUAUGACUUAGGUGUGUAUACACACUUAUUGCAUUCAUUAAUUUUAAAAUCAAUUCAUGAUAUUGUUAUGUCAAACUUUUUGUGUCAUUGCUUUGGAGGUUACUUCAAUCCAAAAAUAGACUUAACGAGUUUGCACACUUUUUUCUUGGUUAGGAGCAAUAAACCCUUCAGGUUGCUCCAUAUGUAUUGUUUCUUCUGAUUCACCAUUCAAAAAUAUCACUUUAAUGUCCAUUUGAUGAAUCUCAAUGUUUUGCAAUGCAACAAUUGCAUUCAAAAGUCUAAUCAAAGUGAUUCUUGUCAUAGAUGAGUAAGUAUCGAAGAAAUUAAGAUAUUCCUUUUAUCUAUAGCCUUUUGCGAUCAAUUUUCUUAUAUUUAUCAAUGGAUCCAUCUGGUUUCAAUAUCUUCUUGAAAAUCUAUUUACAACCAACUCUUGAGUAUAAUUUUACAUUAUGGAAUCCAUCUCACUAUUGAUAACUUCUUUCCAAUGCGAUUAAUAAAUAUAUUUCAUGCACUUAUUCGGGUUAUUUGCAAAUCUUUUAUGUCAUCAAAGUGUUAAUUUCCACUUAACUUAGGUUGAUUUUCUUUUAUUUUAAUAUUCGACCCGUCUCUAAAUAUUUAAAAAAUAAAAGGAAUGAAAGGAGAAUUUUACAACUAACUUGAAAAUUCAGAGACCAACGUGUAAAAUAUCCAAUAGUUGAUUCAUAACAUAAAAUUAUGAUUAAAUAUCACAUAGGAUUGAGGUCAAAGGAGUGAAUUAUAGUAAAAGUAUUUUCACAGAUUAAUUUUUAGCCGCACAAGCUUUGCUCCAUAUAUUUUCUUUGGCCGCAGAUUGAGACCCACUUUUAGUGUAGCAAACAUUUAAAUUGGAAAAUUAAUGUUUAAAAAGAAUUGUAGCCUUUUAGUUAGCUAUCCAACUCAUUUUGAACCAUCUCAAUUCAAUAUCAUGAUUGAAACUUAUGACUAAAAUUCUAAAAUACAGUUUCAAACAAUUGGAGUGGUUUGGGGGAUCACCCAACUAUAGUUGCCCAACCCGAAAACAUGGCAGCAGGCAUCAAUUUCAUAGCCUGGGUGAUUGCCCAAGUUUAGCGUAGGUAGUCUGCCGAGCAAAAAGCACCCAGAUCCAUUUUUUCGUACAGAAUUCUACUCCAAUAAGGAAAUCUUUCUUUAGGCUUUUCUUUGAACAAUGCUUUGAGAUCUUUGGGACACUUUUGAGAGGAAUAUAAAUAUGACUUAUCAACUUUAAAUUAGGGGGAUCAUAUAUACAAUUCUAUUCAUCUUUUUGGAGAAAAAUUAGGAUUUUCAUUGGAGAGUUCAUUCGGGUUGAAGAUCAAGCACGAAGAUGUAAUUAUACUAUUUGAUUUUCUUCUUUCCCAGGUUAAUAGUUCAAUCAUUUGUAUUUGUUUUUGUCUCUUUAUCAUGCUAGGCUAGAUUAUUUUCGGCCCCUAAGUUUUUGAUGAACCGUAAUAUGAAAUUUUAACUUUUGAAUUUUGUUUUUGAUAUUAAAAACCAUUUUGAAUUCUUCAGUGGUUGACAUAGAUUUAUUUUUCCCUACAAUUAUAUGUGUAAUAGUUUUAUAAGUUUUGUGACUUGUUUUAUGUUCAAAAAAUUGAAAGUAAGACAAAAUGUUAAUUGCCAUAAAAUCUGAUAGGGGAUAUGAUAUAUUGCUAUACUCUACGUGAUCUUUAAGGAUUAAAAAAUCCUUAAAUUAUUGUUGUAUACUCGCAUCCAUCACAGAAAUAUAGUCGGGGUUAAUAUAAGAAUAUUUAAUUCUAAUUUAGAGAAAUUGUUAAACAAAUUAGAAAUAUCAAUCUUUAUAAUUCAAUCAUGUUGUCAAAUUCAAAGGUUCGAGGUUAAAUAGGAUUCGGGAUCUUUGUACGCUUUUCAUCAUUAUAUUUUCAUCAGACUUGCAUUCAUUAAUUGAUUUAGGUCUUUCAUUCAUAAGUAGAUUAUUUGAUUAUUAUUUAGUUUUAGAAUAAUUACAAAUUUUCAUUGUUUCAGUUAAAAUUAAGUUAGUUUGAACUUGAAGUAAUACAAAUUCUGUGAGUAUGAUACUUACACUCAAAGUCCACUUUACUAUAUGUCAAUGAACCAUGAACUUGCGGUAUUACAAACAAAAGAAACAAUAUUUUUGUGAAAUUGAGAAAAAUUCCAACAAAUAAAAUAAGAGGAGAAGACUUUCCAUAACGAUGUCAUUCUUUCUUCGCCAAAAUUUUGGAUACGGACAUUGAACUCGAGAAAGUUUCAAUUUAAAGAAGAUGAGCAUGAAAAGAUCUAAAAAAUUAAUCAUAAAGGGCAAAAAGAAUUUGUAUUAUUCAAAGAAGAGGACAUUAGUAUUCAAUCCCUCAAAUUUAUCGUUUACUCAAAAAUUGAGUUUGUGAUUAAACCAUAUGAGGAGAUUUAGGUGUACAUUGUUGAGUUUGAAACUGGUGAUGAGGAAAAGUCAUACUACUUGAAGAAGGGCAAUGUUAAAAUUUGGAGAAAAGUUGCAAUAUAGAAGAAUGUCAAAUUGAGCAAGUUAAGCAGGAUUACCAAAGCCAUAUUCAAAUUGCCAUGAAACACUUGUACAAAAGUCUAGCUUGGGAAUAUAAACCAAGAACUUAAUGGGAAGUAACCCAUUUUACUGACCCUUAUCUUUUUAAUUUUAGUUAUUGCAUUACAUGUAGAUUUAGGAAUUGCAUUAGUGUUUAGGAGCAUACAUUGAGUUUAUGCAUUUACGUUUCUUUUUCAUCAUAAUUUAUCAGUUAAGGUUAGUUUUCUAAUUCUUCAUAGACAUCACACAAUUUAUUAGGAAUAUAUUGGUGUUAAAAAUUUUUAAAAAAAAAUGUGUUGGUAGCUUGGGCCCAACUUUAACAAUCGGGUGAUCGACUAAGCGGUUCAAGGGCUAGCAGGGUGAUCGCCCAAUGUUAAAGGAUAACAUAGUUGGCACUUCCAUUCAUGGCUUCUCUUCUCCAACAGACAUGACACUUUCACUUUCAUCUCUUUCACAUUUCAAUCUCAUCAUGAAUCCAUAAUUUGAGUUAUAAUUGAGGAGCACGGGCUUAGGUAAAUUGCAGUGUAUUGGAUUAUGCUGUGGUGUGAAAAUUGUCGUUUUGAUUCAAACUGUAACAUCUUCUAAUUUUUUGGGGGUUGCUAGAAGAUAACUUCAAUGUGUUUGACAAAAUGCCUAAGUAGAGAUUUGUAUUUAUGUAGGGCUAAUAUAGCAAUUGGCAUUAUCGAUACACAUUUGGGAUUUCUUUUAGUGCUGAAAUUAAUUGAAAAUAUAGUAAAGAACACCAAACCUAGUUAGCACCACCAUGACAUGACAUUAGCUUGACAUUUGCUAGGCAUCGUCUACUUUAUGUCACCAACUACGCUCCCCCUCAUCUAAUCCAAACAACCUCUGCUUGACCUCAAACUUGAACAUGAGUUAGAUUAACAUAUAAUCUUUCAGAUGUCCAAAGAUUGCUCCAAAAAAGUUCAUUAUUCCUUCACAUUUUUUGGUGAUGAAAGUCCUUGUUCGGUUUUGAGUAGAUUCAUGAAAUUGUUUCCUUUAUGUUAGUCGAGGGAAUGUGGACUAUAUUUUCAACAUCUAUUAAGCACAUACCCUAUAUCAUGAUAAAGAUUUUCGAGCAUGGCAUGAUUUUUAUGCUUUGGUACAUAAAAAUUGGCACAUAUUAGUAUAGUUUGGGAGCGUCUUUAUGUAUUAUGCUAAUAGCUUAUAUCCUCUAUAUAGUUACAAUGCCACGAAAGAGAAAAACUACCACUCUAUAGAAAGGAAAGUCCAAAGUGAGUGAGACAUCAACUUGUUGUAGGAGGAUGGAGAAACUCUUAACGAUGGAAGGAAGUUAAGUGGAGAUGAUUGACAGAAACGUAGCCCAGGUAACAGAGAUUGUCGAGUUCAUGAGGCUCACCACUUCAACUAGCCAACCGAACCAACUCGAUCUUUCUACUUAUGCCCCGAGGAGUUUAUGAUUCUUACUCCUUUAUUUUGAUUAUUUUCACGUUUAUAUUAGGAACAACGUAAUAUUUUUAUGUUGGGAUAGGUAAGUAUUAGGACGCUUAGGAUUUUUUUUUUCUUUCUUUUCAACUGCUUAUCGGGUUUGUAUAACUAUUUUAAUUUGAAAAAGAAAAAAUUUUUGAAAAAUUUGAAAACAAUGUCUAGUAUAGUGUCGAACAGCUUGCCGCCUAUGAUGAUUUUUAAUUGUUUGAAUUGAGUACAGCUUUAGUUCGAAAUAGACAACAUCAUAUCUUAUGCUUUUACUUGAGUACUUAUUCAUGUUAGACUUGACUUUUUGAGGACUUAGCUAUUACUAACUUGUUACUUUUGUUGGGACAUGAUAUUUUGUAGACUUAAUUGUUGAUGUUGUUGACCUAGGUUUGGAUAGAUUCUCUAACCCUUAACAUAAUAACCUAACUACUAGAAUCCCCAAAUCCUUAAAAUAGAAACAAAACUAUUCUUUUGAAGUAUGAGGUGGGAAGGUUUGUACUUGUAUUCAUAAAAGUUUGAUGGUUUGGAGUUCUAUGAUACCGCCUUUNNNNNNNNNNNNNNNNNNNNNNNNNNNNNNNNNNNNNNNNNNNNNNNNNNNNNNNNNNNNNNNCUUGGGGGGUGGGGGGGGGGGGGGGGGGGGGGGGGGGGGGGCACUAACCAAUUUUUAAAAUUCGAAUCACUUAUCAAAAAGAAGUAUGAUACAUCUUAUGCUUCUCUUAAUAAUUUUUAUGGCUCCAGUAAUUAAACUUGCUAGGGAUCUAAAACCUUGUUUUCUUUGGCCACCAAGUUAGGAGUCACUGUCUUAAACUGGGGUCAUUAAGAAGGCUUAGUAGAGAGAAGUCUUGCAAAUAAGAUGUCAAUAAUAAUAAUAAUAAUAAUAAUAAUAAUAAUAAUAAUAAUAAUAAUAAUAAUAAUAAUAAUAAUAAUAAUAAUAAUAAUAAUAAUUGAGAUUAUCAAUAAGUCAACAACACUUGAUUGGUUGUACUCUAAUAUGGGUGUGAGUUCAAUGUCGGCUAAUUAUGCACGCGAAAUCAAGCAUUGAAUAAGUAAAAGUUAUUUUUGAGGCUGUUUGGAUCUUUUUAAAAUGUUAACUUAAAUUCAAACCUGAAGCAUACGGGAAGUAGUUCAACGUGAGUCUGUUAUGUGUGAAUUGCUUAGGUUAGUAAUAUAUCUUAUGCCUAAGUUUUUUUUUUUUUGUUUUGUUUGAGGAAGAACAAGUGUUUUAGUUUAUCGGUAUUUGAUAAGUGCAUUUUGUGCACUUAUCGGACCAUAUUACUAAGUUUUUAUAUCAUCAAAGUGUUGAUUUUUACUUAACAAAGAUUGAUUUUAUUUUAGUGUUGAACCUGUCUCUACACACUUGAAAAAGAAAGGAAUCAAAGAAUGAUGGUUUUGCAACUAACUUGAAAGUUCAUAGAUCAACAUGUAAAUAUCAACUGUUGGAUUUGAACCUUCAAAUGAUGCUUGAAGAUAACAUAGGAUCAAUUGGAUGGACCUUGAAGUCAAAGGAGUACAUUAUAGUCAAAGUAUUUUGACAAAUCAAUUUCCAACAGCACAAGUUAUACUCCAUAUUUUCUACCUUAAAUUGAAACCCAUUUUUGGCAUAGCAAACUUUCAAAUUGUAAAGUUGAUAUUUCAAAAAUUGUAGCCUUUGAGUUAACUAUCCAAUACACUUUGAAUCAUCUCAAUCCAAUAUUUGAAGAGAAAGUUAUGACUAAAAUAUUAAAGUGAUGUUUUGAAAAAUUGAAGUGAACUGGGUGACCGCCCAAUUACAGGUUGGGCGACUGCAUAACCUCAAAACUUGGCAGCAGGCAUCAUUUCCAUAGCCUGGGCGAGUGCCCAAGUUAGAUCACCCAUGCAAAAAACUCCCAAAUCCAUUUUUUCAUAUAAAAUUAUACUCCAAUGAGGAAACCUUUCCUUAGGCUAUUCUAUAGACGAUAUUGAAUAUCUUGAGACACUUUGAGAGGGAUAUAAAUACAACUUAUUAACUCUGAAUUAGCGGGAUCAUAUAUACAAUUCCAUUCAUCUUUUUGGAGCGAAAACUAGAAUUUUCAUUGGAGAGUCCAUCUGGGUUGAAGAUCAAGCGCGAAGAUGGAGUUAUGCUAUUUUAUUUUCUUUUUCCUUGGGUUAUGAAUUCAAUCUUUUGUAAUAGUUUUUGUCUCUUUAUCAUGCUAGGCUAGAUUAAUUUUGGCAUCUAUGUUUUUGAUGAACCUUGUAUUAUGAAACUUCAACUUUUGAAUUUUAUUUUUGAUAUGUUCAAUUCUUGAAUGAUUGACUUAAAAUUAUUUUUUUCUACAAUUAUGUGAACAAUAGUUGUGUGAGUUUUGUAGCUUGUUUUACCUUCGAAAGAUUGAAAAUAAGUUACAUAUAGUUUCAAUUGUAGUAGAGUCCAAUAGGGAAUAAAUAAAUACCGUUAUACUCUAUGUGAUCUUUAAAUAUUCAGAAAUCCUUAAAACAUUCUUAUAUAUUUGCAUUCGUUAUAGAAAUAUAGUCGAGUCAAACGUAGGAACAUUUCUAGUCGAGAAAGAUUAUUAAACAAAUUAGGAAUAUUAAUCUUAAUAAUUGAAUUAUGUUUGUCAAAUUCAAAGGUUUGGGUUAAAAGGAAUUGAUAUAUAGGUAUUCAGGAUCCUAGUAUGCUUUUCAUCAUAAGAUUUUCAUCAAACUUGCAUUCAUUAUAACUUUGCAUUGAUUUUAUUUAAUUUAGGUCUUUCAUUCAUAAGUAGAUUAUUUGAUUAUAAUUUAGUUUUAGAAAAAUUACAAUUUUUCAUUGUUUAGGUUAAGAUUAAGUUGAUUCAAACUUGAGCUAGUACAAUAUUUGUGGGUUCAAUACUUUUACUGAUAAACUAUUUUACUAGUUGUUAACGAAUCGUGCACUUGGGGGUAUUACAAAUGAAAGAAACAAUAUUUUCAUAACAACGAUGCUUGUUAAGAGUAGAAAUGUUCCAUAAAAUGUCUUAAGAUCAUUUUCUACCAUAUAGGUUAAAAAAUUGGGACCAUAUGAUGCAGAUGUUCUAGCCCUUUUACUGUGCUUUUGUUCUUCACCACUUGGAGGAGUACCAUUGACAAUUUCAUAAGUUCGCUUGUUUGAACUUAUUUCUUGCUUGUCACUAUAAGAAAAGAUAUUUUCGAAAAAGUAAGCAUUUCUCGAUUCAAUGAUAGUGACUUCAUGUAUACCAAACUUAUGGACAAGAAAUCAAUACACUACUAUUACUAGCAUAUUCAAUAAAUAUGCAAUCAAUUGUCUUAUGCCCAAUUUUAACUUGUUUUAGCUUUGGCACUUCAACCUUAACGAAACACCCCCACACUUUUAAAUGUUUAUAAGAAGGUUGAUAACAUUUCCAUAAUUCAUAUAAAGUUUCAUCCAUUUUCUUUUCAGGCAUUUUAUUAAGAAUAUUUUUGCUAAAAAUCUAUUCACCCAAUAUGUUCUGGGCUAGGUCUAAACUUAUCAACAUAGUAUUCAUCAUCUUGUUAAGAGUUUGAUUUUUGAGUUUAUCAACACCAUUUGAUUGAUUUGAGCAAGAUGUCAUUGUUUAAUGAAUAAUGUCAUGUUGUUAACAAAUUCUUCAAGUGGUGCCCCGUACUCUUUUCCUCUAUCUCUUCGAACAUUCUUUAUUCAUUUACUAAGUUGAUUUUCAACUUCAAUGUUAUAUUGUUCGAAAAUAUUUGAAGUUUCGCCUGUACUAUUUAACAACCAGACGUAACAAUAUUUUAUGAUUAAAUAUCACAUAGGAUUGAGGUCAAAGGAGUAAAUUAUAAUCAAAGUAUUUUCACAGAUUAAUUUUUAGUAGCACAAGCUUUGCUCUAUAUUUUUUCGCCACAGAUUUAGAUCCACUUUUGGCAUACCAAACAUUUAAAUUGGAAAUCGAUGUUUAAGAAGAAUUGUAGCCCUUUUAGGUAGCUCUCCACUUCAUUUUGAAUUAACUCAAUUUGAACCACAGAUUUAGAUCCACUUUUGGCAUACCAAACAUUUUAAAAUUGGAAAUCGAUGUUUAAUAAGAAUUGUAGCCCUUUUAGGUAGCUCUCCACUUCAUUUUGAAUCAACUCAAUUCGAUAUCAAGAGUGAAAGUUAUGAUUAAAAUACUAAAACACGGAUUCAAACAAUUGGAGUGAAUUAGGCGAUCACCCAGCUAUAGCAGCCCAACCCAAAAACUUGGCAGUAGGUAUCAGUUUCAUAGCCUGGGUGAUUGCCCAGAUUUAGCAUGGGUAGUCUCCUGAGCAAAAAGCACUUAGAUCCAUUUUUUCGUAUAGAAUUCUACUCCAAUAAGGAAAUCUUCCUUUUAGGCUUUUCUUUGAACAAUGCUUUGAGAUCUUAGGGAAAUUUUUGAGAGGAAUAUAAAUAUGCCUUAUCAAUUUUAAAUUAGGGAGAUCAUAUAUACCAUUCUUUUCAUCUUUUUGGAGAAAAAUUAGGUUUUUCAUUGGAGAGUUCAUCCUGGUUGAAGAUCAAGCACGAAGAUGUAAUCAUACUAUUUGAUUUUCUUCUUUGCUAGGUUAAUAAUUCAAUCAUUUGUAUUUUUUUUUUGUCUCUUUAUCAUGCUAGGCUAGAUUAUUUUCGGCCCCUAGGUUUUUGAUGAACUGUAUUAUGAAAUGUUAACUUUUGAAUUUUGUUUUUGAUAUUAAAAACCAUUUUGAUUCUUCAAUGGUUGACAUAGAUUUAUUUUUCUCUACAAUUAUAUGUGUAAUAGUUGUACAAGUUUUGUGACUUGUUUACCUUCAAAAAAUUUAAAAUAAGUAAGACAUAAUGUUAAUUGCCAUAAAGUCCGAUAGGGGAUAUGAAUAUACCGGUAUACUCUACGUGAUCUUCAAGUAUUCAAAAAUCCUUAAAGCAUUGAAUACUCACAUCCGUUAUAGAAAUAUAGUCGAGAUCACAUGUAAGAAUAUUUAAUUCUUUAGAGAAAUUGUUAAACAAAUUAAAAAUAUCGAUCUUUAUAAUUCAAUCGUGUUGUCAAAUUUAGAGGUUUGAGGUUAAAUAGGAUUCGGGAUCUUAGUAUGCUUUUCAUCAUUAGAUUUGCAUCAGACUUGCAUUCAUUAGUUGAUUUAGGUCUUUCAUUCAUAAGUAGAUUAUUUGAUUAUAAUUUAGGUUUAGAAGAAUUACAAAUUUUCAUUGUUUCGGUUAAAAUUAAGUUAAUUCGAACUUGAACUAAUACAAUUUUUGUGAGUAUAGUAAUUAUACUCAAAAUCCAUUUUACUACUUGUUAACGAACCGUGUACUUGCGGUAUUACAAACAAAAAAAAACAAUAUUUUUAUGAACUCGAGAAAAAUUCCAAGAAAUAAAACAAGAGGAAAAGACUUUCCAUAAGGAUGUCAUUGUUUCUUGGCAAAAGUUUUGGAUACGGACAUUGAACUCAAGACAGUUUCAGUUAAAGAAGAGGAGCAUGAAAAGAUCUAAAAAAUUAUUCAUAAAGGCCAAAAAGAAUUUGUAUUAUUCAAAGAAAAGGAAAUUAGCUUACAAUCCCUUGACUUUUGCUCAAAAAUUGAGUUUGUCAUUAAACCUUAUGAGGAGAUUGAGGUGUACAUUGUUGAGUUUGAAACUGGUGAUGAGGAAAAGUCAUACUACUUGAAGAACCAACGUUAAAAUUUGGAGAAAGGCUGCAAUAUUUCUAAUGUCAAUUGAGCAAGGACCAUCACCAAAGCCAUAUUCAAAUUGUCAUGAAACACUUGUGCAAAAGUCUAGUUAGGAUUUAGACCAAGAACUUACUGGGAAGUGACCCAUUUUUCUAACUGUUUUCUUUUUAAUUUUAGUUAUUGCAUUACAUGUAGAUUUAGGAAUUGCAUUAGUGUUUUAGGAGCAUACAUUGAAUUUAUGCAUUUACAUUUUCUUUUUCAACAUAAUUUAUCACAUUUAGGUAACUUUUCUAAUUCUUCAUAGACACUAAAUCACAAAAAGUUAUAUAUAUUGUCACAUCACACAAUUUAUUAGGAAUAUAUUGGUGUUAAAAAAAUUAUAAAAAAAAUGUGCUGGUAGCUUGGGCGACUGCGCCAACUUUAACAAUCGGGCGAUCGACUAAGCCGUUCAAGGGCUAGCAGUGUGAUCGCCCAAUGUUAAACGAUAAAAAAUGGAGCUUAAGUUUAUUUAAAAUUUUUUGAGAAAACAUAGUAGGCACUUCCAUUCACGGCUUCUCUUCUCUCACACACACACACGACACUUUCACUUUGCAAUUCACAAACUCAUGGUACUUGUUCACUUUUCACUAUCUUCAUCUGUUUCACCUUCAAUCUCAUCAUAAAUCCAUAAUUUGAGUUAUAAUUGAGAAGUACGGGCUUAGGUAUAUUGUGGUGUAUUGGAUUGUGUUGUGGUGUGAAAAUUGUCGCUUUGAUUCAAAUUGUAAUAUCUUCUAAUUUUGGAGGGAGGGGGGAGAUGAUGCCUUCAAUAUGUUUGGUAAAAUGCCUAAGUAGAGAUUUGUGUUUAAGUAGGGAUAAUAUGUUUGGUAAAAUGCCUAUGUAGAGAUUUGAUACACAUUUGGGAUUUCUUUUAGUGCUGAAAUUAAUUGAAAAUAUAGUAAAGAACCCCAAACCAAGUUAGCAUCACCAUUGCAUGACAUUAACUUGACAUUUGCUAGGCAUUGUCUACUUUAUGUCACCAACUACAUUCCCCCUCAUCUAAUCCAAACAACCUCCACUUGACCUCAACUUUGAACAUGAGUAAGAUCAACAUAUGAUCUUUCAGAUGUCCAAAGAUUACUCUAGAAAAGUUCAUUAUUCCUUCACCUUCUUUGAUGAUGAAAGUCCUUGUUCAGUUUUGAGUAGAUUCUUGAAAUUGCUUCUUUUAUGUUAAUUUAGUGAAUGUGAACUAUAUUUUCACCAUCUAUCAAACACAUAUCCUAUAUCAUGAUAAGGUUUUUCGAGCAUGGCAUGGUUUUUAUAGUUUGCUGCAUAAAAAAUGGCAUAUAUUAGUAUAGUUUGGGAGUUUUGUUAUCUAUUAUGCUAAUAGUUAUAUCCUCUAUAUAUGUACAAUGCCACAAAAGAGAAAAACUACCGCUCAAGAGAAAGGAAAGUCCAAAGUGGGUGAGACAUUGAAUCUUGGCUAGCAAAUCACACACCUGUUCAACUAGACAUCGGAGAAAAUCUUAACAAUGGAAAGGAGUCAACUAGAGAUGAUUGAUAGAAACGUAGCCCAGAUAUCAAAGAUUAUUGAGUUCAUGAGGCACACCAGUUCGGCUAGCCAGCCGAACCAACCAGAUGCUUCUACUUAUGCACAUAUAUCCCCAAGGAGUUUUUUUAUCCUUCCUCCUUUAUUUUGAUUAUUAUUGCUUUUAUAUUGGGAACAAUUUAAUUUUAUUUAUUUAUUUUUUUUAUGUUGGGAUAGGUAAGUAUUAGGGUACUUGGGAUUUAAUUUUUUUUCUUGCUUUUCAACUGCUUAACAGAUUUGUAUAAUUAUUUUAAUUUGAAAAAGAACAAAAUUUGAAAAAUUCGAAACAAUGUCUAGUAUAGUGUUGAAUAGCUUGCCCCUAUGAUAAUUUUUAAUUGUUUGAAUUGAGUACAGCUCUAGUCAGAACUAGACAACAUCAUGUAUUAUGCUUUUACUUGAGUACUUAUUCAUGUUAGACUUGACUUUUUGAGUACUUAGCUAUUACUAACUUAUUGCUUUUGUUGGGGCAUGAUACUCUGUAGACUUAAUUUUUGAUGUUGUUGACCUAGGUUUAAAUAGAUUCUCAAACCUUUAACAUAAUAACCUAACUACUAGAAUCCCCAAAUCCUUAAAAUAAAGACAAAAUUGUUCUUUAACAGUUUAGGGGUGGGAAGGUUAGUACUUGUACUCAUAGAAGUUUGAUGGUUUGGAAUUCUAGGAUACCACCUUUGGUUGAAAAGAGUAUGAGUUCAAGAGUCUAGAACUGAGGGGGAGAGGGGCAACGACCAAUUUUUGAAAUUCGAAUCACAUAUCAAAAUAAAAUAUGAUGCAUCUUAUGCUUCUCUUCAUAGUUUUUAUGACUCGAGUGAUUAAGCCUACUAGGGUAUCUAAACCCUGGUGUUCUUUGGCCACCGAGUUGGGAGUAGUCGACUUAAACUCGUUAUGGGGGUCAUUAAGAAGGCUUAGUAGACUGAAGUCUUGCACAUAAGAUAUCAACAAUAAUAGUAGUAGUAAUAAUAGCAGCAACAGUAGUAAUACACAUUCAAUAUAUAUGCUCAUAGAAAAAGAAAUAAAAUGGGAUUUAGAUUAUAAAAAGACAAAUGCACCUGGUAAAUACUUUGAGAUUUGAAUUCUAGAAACUGACGGUAUGACUUCGAGAAAUAUUUACCAUCUUCCUUCUAGACUUACAAUUAUCUUAUUUUGAUCACUUUGUGUAUAAAAAUGCAUUUUAAUUUUUAUUAGGAACCACAUAUGCUAGAAUUAUUUUGGAAUUGGAGAGAAAAGCAAAAUGAGUGAUUUUGCACAAGACGUGUGAGAAAAAAUAACCACAAAAGGAUUGAGAUUAUCAAUAAAUCAACAACACUUGAUUGGUUGUAUUCUAAUAUGGGUGUGAGUUCAAUGUUGGCUAAUCACACACACUAAAUUGAGCACCAAAUAAGUAAAUGUUAUCUUUGAUGUUGUUUGGAUCUUUCUAAAGUGUUAACUUAAAUUCAAACUUGAGGCAUAUGGGAAGUGGUUCAACAUUGAGUAUGUUAUUUGUGAAUUGCUUAAGAGUACCAGAUUACUCACAGUAAGGGGGCUGGGAAAUUUUUUUGGCAUUUUUUAUUCAUGGCUAGGGUCAACAUGUGUGACUAUCUGGUGCAAUUCUGUGGACAAAUUUUCUGUACAAGUGGCUUUCCCCAAAAUUUAUUGUGCAACCUCAAUGUUUAUCGUUCAGGGGAAUACAUCAGUGAUAGACAUAAAUUCCACCACAUACAUUGCAUCAAGCCCAAAUCGAUGCUUGUGGAUAAAUUUGUGAUUGCUAAUAAUAAAACAUCAUCUAUCAUGACAAUUUAUUGGUCAAAUAGACUAACGCAAGGAUGAACAUAUUCUUUCCAAAGAGCAUCCCGUCUCUCAUCGAGAAAAGAAACACACUGUUACUGACAUCAUCAGUAUCUUCAUUUUUUGAUUUUGAACAAUUAGCUUGAUUUGUUCCACCUUUGGAUAAUUUUUCUUGAGGUGUCCGGAUUGUCCACCCCUGCUAAAAUAGGGAUACUUUGGUUUGUCAAAAAGAAAACAAAUGACUUUGGUUGUAUAGACCAAUGCUUGUGGUUCACCAAGCUAGAUCGUCAUCUCCGUCAUGGUCCACAUGUACUGUCAAGCUAACAAGCAAACCGCUUUGACAACAUUGCUAUAAAGUCUGAAUCCAAUUUCCAAUAACAAUAUCAAUUAUCUAAAAAUGUCUGCUUAAUUGUUGGGAAAUAUGAAAUCGGCUACUCUAGUCGAAGUAUCCAACUGCGUCGCCUGAUUUGAUUAGAGAAUUAUGCGUCUGCUUGUUAGGUUAAAAAUAAUAUCUUUAAUAGAUUUUAACAAUAGUUAAUGAAAUAUUACUGAUUUACACUUCUAAAUUAAUUACUCACUCGGCAACUCUUUAUUUAGUAGUUGGAUAAGAUUAUAUUGAAUAAAUAUGUUAAUGGUGUAAAAAUGUAUAGUUAAAAUUAAUUAUUAGUUUUGAUCUCAAUUUUUAAACUAAAUCAAUUGAGUCCUUAAGCUCAUGGUGGAAACAAGCUCUCAUGAGAAGGGCUAGUACAAAAAAAAAGCUUGAACUUUUUGAGCUCGAGCCGAACUGAGUCAACUCACGGACUUUUACGUUUUUUUUACUCGAAUAUAUGAAAAAUUGAUCGUUAAUUUAAAAACUACAAAAAUAAUCAUGCAAGUUUUUAAAUUUUACAAACUAAGUGGUAAGGCAGGUCACACGAGCAUACAUACAAGGCAGCUCAUAUUUGGGCUCGUGUAGCUUGUGGGCUAAUAGGACUCUAGUCAAAUCUCAUUUUUUAGGCUUGGCUCAUGAACACAAACUUCGAUCACAAGAAGAAGGUCAAUGGAAGAAACAGGCAGUGAUUAUUUUGAUUAACUUUUAUUAGAUCAUUCUUCCAAAAAUCAAACUUACUUACUUCGCGUUUCUUUAUGCAUGAUCAUCAAUGAUCUAACUAUGCGUGUUGCUGGCGAUAAAUGUUUAAGGAUGUAUGAUGUGGUUAAGGACAAUCUUCGAUACAAGAUUUCUGAAAAGGUACGUCGCUUGUCAUACAUUCGCAAUUACUAUGAACCCUACCAUAGAUUUGAUUUUGUCAAUGGAAUUGAACAUUUGAGAACAUUUUUGCCACUGUCCAGAAUGACGCAACGUGAUGUAAGAUUUUUCACAGUCCAAAGAGUUUUUGGUGAUAUAUUGCCAAAGUUGUACUGCCUAAGAAUAUUGGUCUUGCACGGUUAUGAAAUAUACAAGCUGCCCUGUUCUAUUGGUGAUUUAAAACAUUUAAGUUACUUUGACUUGUCUACAACACUACUCAGACGGUUGCCAGACUCUCUAACCACUCUUUGUGACUUAUAAGUAUUGAAUCUAGAAGGUUGUUCCAGACUUGCCAAAUUACCCGCGUGCAUAGGCAAUCUUAUUAAUCUUAACCAUCUAAACAUUGCUAAUACUUAUGAAAUACAUGAGACACCUCAAAGAAUUGCUCGAUUGACAAGUUUACAGACAUUAUCUAACUUGAUUGUGAGUAGAAGUGGUGGGCUGAAGAUUAAAGACUUACUAGAUUUCUUACAUUUGAAAGGAGAAAUAUCUAUUGAGCAAUUGUAAAAUGUGGCGAACGUUCAAGAAGCAACAGAUGCAAGGCUAAGGUACAAUCCAAGCCUUAACAAAAUAAGACUAAUAUGGAGUAAAAAGUUUGAAAAAAACUAGAAAUAGAAUUCUUGAAUUAGAUGUUCUUGAUGCACUUAAACCCCUUGAAAGCUUAUCAAGUCUGGAAAUUGAAUUUUAUGUUUGUGCAAAAUUUUCUAGUUGGAUUGGGAAUUGUCAUUUUCUAAGUUGACAAAGAUAAGAUUCAAACUUUGCGAAAACUGCAUAAAUUUGCCAGCAUUAGGGCACCUGCCUUGCACAUUCAAGGCAUGUAUCAAGUAAAAGUGAUUGGAAUCCUUAUUCAAAGGCGAAGCAAAGAAAAAAAUCAAAGAAAGAUGGAACCAGAUACAUUCGACGCAAAGGCAUCUUGGAUCCCGGUUUAAAGACUUUCCUUCUUUCUAGCGAAGAGAUGCUGAUCCCCAGGAUAAAGGCUAUUCUUUUUUCUAAGGUAAUGCCAGGUUCUGAGGAGGAGAUUGAAACAAUUACCAAUGAAUUUCCCAUUAAAAUCUAUUUUUAAAUAGUAACAUAAUAUUAAUAAAAUUACAAAGGCAUUUAUUAAAGAAGAAAAGAGUCGAGCAAAUUCAUGCAUAUUCCUAUUUUAUUACGUGAAUAGUGGUAAGUACAUAUCUACCAAACAAAUAAAAGGUAUGAUAGCUUUCCAUGUGUGAACUACGUUAGGAAGUAAGAAAGAGAGUAAUCUGUUUUGAUUUCCCAUUUUCGCUUGGUAAGUUUUGAAAUAAACUCGUUUGCAUAGUUAUCAAUGUCGAAAUUUUAUAAAAUUUUAAGGAAAAGUAGGCUUCCGUCGGUGACAUAUGAGGUGUUAAAAUAUUUCCCAAAAUUCCGCUAACACUAACUAAACAAGCUGUUUUCUUUUUCUAUCUCAUAGGGUAAGUGUCAAAAUAAAUUCAUUUGCAUAGCUAUCGAUUUCGAAACUUCAUCAAAAUUUAAUGUAAAGUAGAAAGUUCCUUAUAAAAUGACAUAGUCAAAAAUUAGCUUCCGUCGGCAUCAUAUGAAGUAUUAAAAUAUUUUUUCAAAAAACCCAGUAGCGACCUGGUUGAGAGGUAAACCGGUGCAGUUCACUUAAAUUGACAUAUAAAAUUUCACAGACAGCAAAACCACAUGAUUUCAAAUUUAUUCAGUAGUUAAUUUAUGUGGUUAUCCAGCGCCAUUGAUUUUGUCUAAAAAUUCCAAGUAACGAGUGUGCUAUGAAUUUUUAAAGUCAAGACGGAAACUGAAAUUUUUAAAAGACGGUAAUACUUUAAUUUGCUAACACUUCUCUUUUCUUUCUUUUUGUAAAUGGUGUUUUGUAAGUUAACUUCUAUAACACAUAUUUACGUUUAAACAUAACUUAUUCAUGAAGAAAUAUUCUUAGAAUAGUUCCACAUAUGACGUCCAUAAAAAUCCAUAUAAAAAGAAAAAAAUGUAAACAUUUCAUGAUCAAAUUAAAAUUAUUAAAUCACCGACUUCCUCCAUAGCAUAUUGCAUCAUCCUCUCCCAUCAUCCACAUCCCAAGGAAAUCCAUUUAACCUGUAGGAAGGGAAUUAACCCAUGAGUUUAAAACUCAAUAGAUAUCAUCAUUGCAUUUCGUUAUCAAAUUAGAAAUUUCGAACUAUAGAUUCAUAUCACCACACGUAGAUCGAUUUUCGGCAAUAUUCAAUUAUUAUAGCAUUAUCAUAACACAUAGAACCAAAGAAUGAUCAUUCAAACUGUUGUAGUGCCAAAGCACUGUAUCCGGAGGUAUCAUUUCAUUCAAACAUUUAUUGAAAAAUCAUAAUUUGAAAACGAAAUAAACACUUGCAUCUCUACCUACCUUAAAUUUUCUUUAAUAUAAAAGAACAAAAUGUGUAGAAAGUCUUUCUUCUUCUCACCCUUGUUAUUUCCUUAAGCUUAACUUGAAAUGAAUUUAUUUAUUUUUUGAGAGAAAAUACGAGUAAAUUCUAAUUUGAGAAGGUGUGUAGUGAAAAGUGACAUUUAUCUUCUGGUAACCUUUCAUUUUAAUGAAAAACUAAAUGGGUGAGUUGUAUUAUCAUUAAAUUUGUUAAAUUAGGUCUUUAACUAAGAAUUUGAAGAGUUUCUAAGUCAUAAAAAAAUAAUUCAUAUAAAAAGUUUUAUAAAAGCAUCUACAUGGUGAUUCAAACCUAUGUUGCCUAUAUGAAAUAGCAUGUAGAUGACCAUUGAUGUAACCCGGUUAUUCAUUAAAUCUUUAUAAUCAAAUUUACUUAAACUUAAUCUUAUAAAUUGUCGGGCGUUUAAUUAACUUAUGGCUUGGGCUUUCAUAAUCUUAAAUGGGUUGAGCUUCCGUAGCUCAUUUCUUAAAUGGGUCAGGCUCGUGGUACUAGAUCAACAAAAAAAUAAUAGCCUAAUUUCAUUUUAUUUCUUGAUCUUCUACAGAAUCACUAUUUCCAUCACUAGAGAUUCUGACUUUUGAAGACAUGCCAGAAUGGGAGGAAUGGCAUGGAUUAGCACCUAAAUGCCAUUGAAAUUCCUAAACUUCGCAAAUUACAUAUAGGAAAAUGUCCCAAAUUGGUUAGGCUUCCAGUUCUUUUGUUUGCUUCUCUUCAUGAUCUGAAUGUGGAAUACUGUAAUGAAGUGGUAAUAAAUUGCAUGCACAAUUUGACCUCUCUUACCAUUUUAAAAUUGAAAGAAAUUGUAGGGUUAACUUCAAUUCGGAAAGCAUUUAAACAGUUUCCAUUGAAACUUGAAAAUUUUGAAGUUGGUGACUGUGAGGACUUACCAACCCUGUGGCCAAGUGAAAACAUUGUCCAAAGACUAUUCAACUUACAAAUAGCGUCAGUUAGAAGGAGUCCUAAGCUCUAGUCCAUUCAAGAGAUUGGUGUUCUUCCUAUUAUUGGUUCUCUCGUUAUAGAGGAUUGUGCAUCUCUGGAGUUGUUUCCCAACAAUAUGUCUGCAUAUACAAGUUUGGAAAUCAGAAACUGUCCAUCAUUGAAAAAAAUGAUGACACUAGAGGAUUGUAGAACCUCACUUGAAUAUCUUAGUAUUCAAGGUUGGGCAAAUUUAAGUUUCAGAAAUUUAAUGGGUUGUCUUCACAAUUACUCUAGUCUCACUCUGCUAAGAAUAUUAUACUGUAAUGAUCUGGAGUCAUUUCCCCAAGAUGGCUUGUUCACUCCCAAUUUGAGAGAUCUUGUAAUAAUGUUUUGCCAAAAUCUCAAAACCUCACCAGAUUGGAUGGAACAGCUAUUGUCCCUUGAGACCCCGCUGGUAGAUUAUUGUCCUUCGCUAACAGAUUCCUUUCCCCAAUGGAAUAGCCCCCCAAAUCUGACCCAGCUUGCAAUCUUUAAUUGCGACAAACUAAGCCCCUGGAGGAAUGGGGCCUGCACAAACUCAAAUCUCUUCAUUCAUUCUCUCACAGUAGUGGAUAUCCCGAGUUGGUUUCAUUUUCUAAAAAUGAUGAGGAUCAACACUAUGUGGUUCCUCCAUCUCUUCCUCAAUUGUGCUUUUAUGACCUACCAAAUCUUAAAACUCUAUCAGAUGGCUUCCAAAACCUCACAUCUCUUCGACACUUAAAGUCCACAAUUGCCUGAAGCUUGAGGCAUUGUCUAUGGAAGACCAGCUUGUCAGUCUUUGGAAACUUGACAUUUAUGAUUACCCGCUUCUUAAGAAAUGUUGUUUGAAGAACAGAGGAUACUACCGGCCCAUCAUCUCCGAUAUUCCCAAUGUCAGAAUUGAUUGGCGUUCCAUCCAUGACCCAGACACCAGUCCAGGGAUUCCAUGAGGUAACUGAUGCAAUUCGCUAUUUACCAAUCUUGUCUUUACAUUAUGUAAAACAAUUUUGAAGAUUUCACCAAUGUUUUCAUAAACCAAUACGAAACUUCUGCAACAAAUUGUUAAAUGAAUCAUCAUUUUAUCCUAACAUCGUAAGGUCCGAAUUGAUGGGGGCAUCCUUUCUAUCUAUAAAUUAGCAUCAUUUUCGUAAAUUCCAUCAAGCAUUUACCUGCUACCAUUCAGUCUGCAAUUCAUCAACAAUGUAUCAGAAUUUCAUUGGGCAUAGGAUCAGAUCAUUGCAUUUGGAGCCAUAGAGUUAGAACAUCUCUAAGAGACUCUCUAAACAUGAUAUGCUCACUAUUUUAGACCCCGUUUGUCAUCCUUUAAAAAUUUAAAUUGUUUGCUACAGGAUCAUUCUCCACCACACAUUCACAGAAUAAAAUAUUCUGCACAUAAAUCAAUAAAGAUUCUUUACUUUUUAACCACACAUUUUCCAAAAUAUAGUAUUCAAUAACUCAAAUUUCCCAAAUAAAUUCUAUUAAACAGGCCCUUAAAGAGUUAACCCUUUAAAUCACACUCCAAAAAACUCUUCAAAUUUAACAUUUUAAUUUAGAGAGUAAGUUUAACUCUCCAAACUCAUUCUCUAUAAUUAAAUGCAUCCAAAGUGUUUCAAUUUUCAAUUUAGAAAAAUAAUAAAUGUUGUUUGGGAGUAGUCAAUUUAAGUGUUUAAUAUAAAGAGUUUAUUAGAGUACUCUAAAUUUAUAAAUGUUCUCAAAAUGGUAGAGUAUGCAUUUUAAAAAUAGAGGGUUUCUUUGAAAUUUAAAUAGAAAUCAUGCUUUUCAAAUUUAAAUUGAUAGUUUAUGACAAAUUUCAAUUCUAAGGUACUAAUUACAACUCAAGCAUUAGUGUCAUUUAUGAAAGUUACUCUGUAUCCAAUAUAUGUGCUUCUAUUUCAUCUUGUUAUAACCCAGACCAAAUCUGAAACUAAUUUGUUGAAAGCGAAACCCUGUGAUACAACAUGUUAUGCAACGGGGAGGUAAAUAUGAUAUAAUAUGAAGUAUAUGAUCACACAUAAAAAACAAGAUUAAAAGCAAGAAAUAGAUUGACAGAUGAACCGAGUGUUUUAUUCAACAAUCAAUGGAGAAAUUAAUAUUAUUACUACAAUCUCAGCAAUUUCUAAAUUGAAUGAAGAGUCCAUUAUUUAUAAGGGACAUGUCAAACCACUAGUAGUAACCUAAAAGAUGUAAAUUAGGUCAAAAUACUUGUGAAACCAACAAAAGGAGAAAAAUUCUCGUGGUGUCGUCGCUAGAGCGCCGUCUCAUGCCAGGCGAGCGACCGUCUUGUCGCUCAAGUGAGAGCUCGACGACAGGUGGGCCACAACUUUCUGCUCCAAAAGUUCGCUUACUACUUGAGCGGCAGGGUAACAAAAAUGCGGCCACGUUUCUUUCCAAUCCAUAAGUUUGAUCUCUCCAAGAUUGCUAAUCAAAAUCACGUAACCCUAGAUUGAAUUUGGAUAAAAAAAAAAAACUCAACAAUCUCCAUCUUGACACAAAUUCCAAUGCAACGAAUGAUGUUUCAAAAUUUCUCCAUCCGAAAAAAUAAGUCUGAAUGAAACGAAACAACAGAAAUCUUCAGCUCAAACCAAACUUCUCCAAUCACACAAGAAAAUGCUCUUCCUCUUCUACAAUAUCUGACACGAAUGUACAAACCCAAACACCGGUUUCAAAAAUUUCACAAAGAAUUUAAAAAUUACCAAACAGGGUCAAAGCAUGCCCUGUAGCAGAAUCAACUCUUAAUACUUUCAUUGAAGACCCUCAAAGAUCCCAAAAGCAUGCACAACCAAAUCAACAUCCUCGUACCUAUCUCCAAUGGAUCUAUUCCUAGUAGUUGAAUACGAUGGAACCGCGGACAGUAGUGGCAAAGCGAAAUUAUCCAUAUCCUUCAAACUCGUCUGAGAGUAUUCUUCAAUAUUCGGUACCAAACUGAAUAUUCGCCAUGGUACUAAAUAUGUACAGACUUUUCUUCACAGAUUCUUUCCUACCUUGCAAGAUGUAUAAUGGGACCUCUUCCGCCCCUCCAAUACCACACGGAUACCCCUCUGGACUCUCAAGACUCCACCUCCUCUAAAGAAUGUGUACCCUUCGAGUCAAGAAUACUCAACGAAAUGAGAUUCUUCUUCAAAUCUGAAAUAUGUCGAACAUGAUCAAGUGUGUUACAUGUUCCAUCUACCAGCUUCAAUCUGACUCUCCUAAUACCAGCUACUCGAUAAAAUUCGUUGUUACCCAUGAAGAUACCUUGUAUAAUCGUUUCAUAUGUUUCAAACAAAUCCCCGAUUGGAACACAUAUGGAACACACAAGUUAUAUCCAAGAUUCACUUCUCGUCUGGUUUGGAUUCCAUAUCAGAAAUCGCUAAAAGAACUCUAUCACUCAAAUAAUUCUUAGCUAUAUUGGUCUCGUCCGAAGAGUUUGAUUACUUCCCAUAAUUUGUAGCCGAAUUACUUUCCUCUGCAACUUCUCGUAAUAUCUUUUGAUGUUUCCCUUCUUCUUCCAAUAAAAAUAAAUUUGAUUGCUAAAACUCAACCUCAACUUACCCCUUCACCAAUCACCAUGAACCACAAGACCUUCUCCAUCUCUGGACUCAGAUCAUACUAGAUGCUUCAUCUUCUAUUUUGAGAACAGGGCAUCGUACACGUAUUUAAUGGUGAGAGUAUCACGACUACACAAAAUCGUGUUCCUAAACGAAGUGAGAAACGAGCACAACAAGAUUAAGGCCAAAUCUUCUUCAUUAUAUUCUACCUUAAACAUCUCCAAACUAGUGAUGAAAUCCUUGAACACGGCCCGAUGAUCUUCCAAAGAUCCGCCUUCUACCUGUAAUGAGAAUACAACCUCUGCUUCACAUGCAAUUUACUCAUUUGACUUUUAGUCAUGUACAAUUACUCAUUUGACCUUUUCGAUCCCUCUGUUGUUUCUCCUCUGUUGUCCAAGUUGUGGGCAUUUUGUUAAAAUCCAACAACAGAUCAUCCAAAUCCAUCUACGUCAAUAUAGCUUCCUUCAUUUGCUACAACAAAAAUCUUGUAUUGUGAUCCAAAAGCGGAAUUUUAUACUUCAUGGUUUCAAUCGAAAAUAGAAAUCUCAAACAAAAUCACAACCUUGCUCUGAUACCUUGUUACGAUCCGGACCAGAUCUAAAAUCACUUUGCUGAAAAUAGAACAGCUUUGACACCACGUGCUAUGAAACGGGGAGACAAAUAUGACAUUAUAUAAAGUAUAUGAUCACACACGAAAAAAAAAGAUUAAAAGCAAGAAAUAGAUAGGUAGACAAACCGGGUAUUUUAUUCUACAACCAAUGGAGAAAAUAAUAUUGUUACUACAAUCUCAGCAAUUUCUAAAUUGAAUGAAGAGUCUAGUAUUUAUAAGGGACGUAUCAAAACCGUAGAAGUAACCUAAAAGAUAAAAGCUAGGUCAAAAUAUGCAUGAAACCAACAAAAGGAUAAAAACUCGUGCAGCGCCGUCACUCACUGGCCUUGUCACUUGAGCUAGUGGGCGAUAGCUUCUUGCUAUGGAAGUUUGCCUGAUAAUCAAGCAACUGGAUAAUGAAAAUGCAGCAAUUUUCUUCCUGGUCCAUAAUUUUGAUCUCUCCAAGACUACUACAAAUCACAUAACCCUAGACUGAAUUCGGGUCACAUACACAACACAUGGCAUAAAUAUGCAUACAAUUUUCACUUUGACAUCUAGCUUCCACUACUCUAUCAAAUUGUUUCUCAUUUUAAUCAAUGCAUAUGUUCUUUGGACUCUUCACUAUAUCCAAGAAAUGUGUCAAACUUAAAUUAUGAAAACAACAAUGUCCAAGUUAGUUUCUGCUAUUACGACAACCAGCUACGCAACAAACUAGGUAACACUUCCUGGCUUUUUUUAGCGUGAUUGAGGUGGCACAGAUACUAUAUAUAUCUGUGGUAAUAUAGUUUUCAGUAGUGCGUGUGCCAUAGUCAUUUUUACUUGAAUCAACGAGAGGAUGGUCACUUGGGUAGUUGAGGUAUUCAAUGUCAUAUUAAUGGUCAAGAAUUCAAUAAAUAUAGGAAUCAACUUGAAUAACACUGCUUCAUUCAUAUGUCACGUUAUUGACCUUUCUAGACACAUACUUGAUUUCUCAAGAGAAAAUUAAUGGGUAUCUAUUUAAUUGACCUGAAAUCCGAAUAUGUGGCUGAUCCUCAUUUUCCUGAAUAGGAGUUUGCAAUAGGCUGGUAGACAUAAGUGCAGAGAAGAGUCUUGUGAAUGACAAUGGAGAUGGUAUACUUGUGCAUAGAUUAUGAAAGAGAACAGAAAUGAGGUAUGGAUGAAUUCACAACAAAUGACAACACCAAUUGAUAAGGCUACAUCUAAAGUUAUCAUAUGUAUUUACUUAUUUUGGAUUCUAUGAUUCAUAGCUGAUAGUAAUUUUCUCGUUUUAGUUGUAUAGAGACCUGACCAAUUCUUGUGCAGGCAAAUCUGAUCAUGAUCAUGAUCAUUUCUCAGAUGGAAAAAGAACAAUAUAUAUAAACGAGAAUCAGUUCAAAAGGUGAAUGUGAACGGAAUGCUGGUGUACACAUUAAAGGUAUUUCAGUACUCCUCUAAAUAUUUUUCUAAAACUAACUACUUCAGACUUCUCCUAUUCGUUUCAUACCGUUUUUUUCUUAAUCUGAUAAAGGGAAUCAAAGGAUUUCAUCCCUCUACCCUUACCAAGUCAUGUUGCUUUACAGGAGGAAGAUAUUUACAGUUAACAUAUGAAGGUGGUCGACUGUUACUUCACGGUUCAUGUAUUUAAACGAAGUUUAUCGGACAUAGUGCUGGAGUUAGAAGCUUUAGGAGUUUAUUCAACAAACAGUUGAUUGAUUAAAUCUUUUGGAAACAAUUUCAAGAUUCCUAAGUGGAUCUUCGGGCUUCUUUUGAUGCAUCAUGAAUUUUUAUUAUUUUUUUAUAUAUAUUUUUCAAUGAUUUAGUAACAGCAUUUGUAAAAUUAUUAAAAUGUAACUAUGUAUAUUGUUUGAUUAAUGCAGAUGCAAUUUGGGCUUGCAAAGAAUAAUAUGUCUUUCUGAUGUAAUUGCACAAAAGCUCAUUGUAAAACUUGAUAAAUUGCUCUUAAAUGAUCGAACUGAAUUCUUUCUUUUUUGUAAUUUUCUAGUUUUAGGUAUAAACUCAGAAUUUCAAAGAUUUGAACAUCGAGAAAUGCAUUCAAGCUCACCUCGCCUAAACUCGUAAAUCUUGUCAGAGAUCCUUGCAUUAGUGUCAAACAAUGAGAUAUAUAUUACCUUAGAUAUCUCAUAUGUAUAGGAAAUUGCACAGAAUCAGCUACAUACAGGAAACUGCACAUAAUCUAGAUGAUUACCUUAGACAUAGGAAAUAGCAAAUAAUCAGGCUACAUAUUUUUCUUUCCAUAGAAUCUGGCCAUCAUGCUUGUAUAAAUACUAUGGCUGUAUAUUACUGAUGUAGGAGGAUCUGAGUGUAGGAGGAUUCGAGUCGAAUGAUGCUGAUGUGUCAGAUAGCUCGUUGAUGGCGCUGAGAUACCAUGAGAUGGCGGAUCGGCACAAAGGUGGAAAAUAAAUGCAAUAUUUCCUUAAUUGGGGGCAAUUUUGGCACAAUUUUGGUAAUUUGACCAUAACUUUGACUAUGGUUAUUAGAAUCACUAUUAUGACCCCAAUUCGGAAAGCUCUCUUCAGCGCACACAUUGUUGUCACCUAGCUAUGCUCAAUGAGUGUCAAUUUCGAGCCCAAAAUCCAUUAUUUUCCUUUCGAAAAUUCAAUUUUUAGUUAUUUUUUACUAUUUAUGGUAAUAUUUCGUUUUUUUCUAGACGUUAGAGAAUCCGGAUUGAGCCAAAUUUUUGGCAACUUACUUCUUUUAUUUCAUAUUUUAUUUCAGUGUGAUCGUUAGGAUUUUGCCAUUUUUGGUAAUUUUUCGAUAAUUUCAUAUUUUUGUAGCUAUUUAAUUUGGCUUGUGGGAUAAUUUUCGUCAUUUUGCAUUGAUAAUAAAAUUAAGUUAAUUUCAAAGAUUUUCUCUGUGUUCUAAGGCAUUUUCUUUCGUAUUCUCUUGUGAAUCAUCUGUUGCAGCUAGCUUGCAGGAUAAUCGCUAUCUUGGCCGGCGUCAAUUACAGAAGAAAUGAAUAAAAUCCAAUAAUCUAUCUCUUUAUAUGGUAUUAGAGCGUUGUGAUUCUUUGCAUGUGCCAUCUCCUUAUCUGAUCCACUGUGUCUGACAAUUCCAGCAACCGUCUAGUCAAUAAUUCUCAUGAAGUUUUUGUGACCCUCCCUACAAUAGUACAACUCAUUAGUGAUGUAUCAUCUCCAUAUUUCCUACACUCAAAUUACCCAGGCUCCCUGCUAUCUCCACCUGAAUGACUGGUGAAAAUUAUCACACUUGGCAUCACUCCAUAAGGAAAGCCAUGGCAAAAAAUGAACUUGGGCUUUGUGGACGGUUCACUUACCAAGCCAACCAACUCCCCUGCCGAAUCACAACUCUAGGAUAGGUGUAAUGACAUGGUGUUCUCUUGGAUUUUCAAUAGCAUUGACAAAUCUCUCCACGGUAGCUUGGUUUAUUAUGACAGCCCCGUGAUAUUUGGAUAGACCUUGAAGGUCAUUUUUCUCAAAGUAACAAUCCUCAUCUCUUCCGUCUUCGACGAGAUCUCUCCACUCUCCAACAAGGUGGCUCCAUCCUUACUUAAUACUAUCACCGCAUCAAGUCUCUUUAGGAUGAACUCGAAGCCCUAUCUCCUCCUCCAUCAUGUUCACGUGGUGCACUCAAGAAUCUUCAAGCCUCACAAUCUACUGAACAUGUUUUCCAGUUUCUAACUAGUUUACAUGACUCCUUUGCUGCCUACAGACUCAAACCUUGGCAAUGGACCCACUCCCCUCUCUAGUGAAGGUUUACUCCAUCUUUCACCAAAAAGAAACACAGCGUCACCUUCAUAUCUCUAUGCUGCCUCCAAAAAGUGUGGCUCUUGCUGCAUAUCCCUCUUCCUCAUAGUAGCGUAACCCUUCUGGUCGUGGACGCGAUCGUCCCAAAUGCACUCAUUGUGGUAAAGAUGACCAUUAAAAGAUAACCUGCUUCCGUAUUAUCAAUUAUCCCACCUGUUGGCGUCUCUCUCGUCAAACCCAUGCUUGCCAGUCCGCUCACUCCAACACUACUCGACCCUCCAGUGAUGUUUUGGCUCUUGGUCUCAAUCCUAAGCAGGAGCAGCAGCUUUUGUCAAUAGUACCAUCUACUGCAAAUUUUUUUGGUAAUUCCAUUGCUCUCUCUACUCACCUGAAUUCUAUUACUUGACCUUGGAUUAUUGACGCAUGUGCAUCCGACCAUAUGUGCCCCUCACUCGAUGCCUUCGCCACAAUUCAUCCUAUUGCUCAUCCAUGCUCAGUCACUCUUCCCAAUGGUGACUCAGUAGUUGUCACUCAUGUUGGUUCAGUUUCUUUAUCUUCACAUAUCACUCUUAAUCAUGUUCUCUAUGUUUCGAAUUUUCAUUACAAUCCUUUAUCUAUUUCACAACUUACUCAAUCGUUACAAUGCCAUGCUCUUUUUUCCCUUCCUUUUGUGUUGUUCAGGCCAUCAAGACAAAGAAGCCGAUUGGGGCUGGUAAAGUUCGCCAUGAUCUCUAUUUCUUUACUUUACCAUCCAGUUUAGCCUCCGUGUCCACUUCACAUGCCCACUUAUGGCGCCAACGUCUAAGCCAUCCAUCUCUUCAUACUUUUAAUACGUCUUUAAAUAUUUUUCAUUCCGUACAAUCUUGUGAUGUUUGUACUCGAGGCAAGUUGUCACGUUUCAAGUUCAUUCUCCUAUCAAUAAAAGUACUUUUGCUUUUAAUCGCAUAUUUUGUGAUAUAUGGGGAGGUUAUCCCACUGCUACUUUAUCUAGUACACAUUAUUUCUUAACAAUCGUCGAUGACUAUUCCAGCUACACUUGGGCAUAUUUGAUGAAAUUAAAAUCGGAUACCUUCACAUGUUUCCACCAUUUUUUUGCUAAUGUCCAAACUCAAUUUAAUUGUACGUUCAAACAUGUAUGCAUUGGUAACGCCCAAGAGUUUUAGGCCCAUUAUCUCUAAACAUCUUUCAACAAUAAUGGCAUUCUCCAUGAACGUACUUGUGUCGAAACACCUGAACAAAAUGGUGUUGUCAAACGCAAGCAUCGUCAUUCAACGCUGCCUUUCGCUGCCAAGCCCACUUUCCCCUUAAAUUUUGGGGUAAAUGCAUCCUCAUUGCCACCUACUUGAUCAAUAGAAUGCCUUCUGCUACCUUAAUGCACAAAACACCCUAUGAACUACUCCAUCACAUGACACCUUCCUAUGGUUAUUUACAUGUCCUAGGUUGUCUAUGCUACGCAUCUACCCUAUGUAGUGAUCAUGACAAAUUCUCCCCUCGUGCCCAUCGGUGUGUCUUUAUUGGCCAUCCCUCCAAUCACCAUGGUUAUCUUCUCUACGACUUAGACACUGCCACUACAUUUAUCUCCCUGACGUCCAAUUUCAUGAAACCAUAUUUCCUUUCUCCUCCCCUACUUCAAUACCCUCGUCCACUAUUCUCACACCCACUAAUAUUCUUGACAUUCCUCACCCACAGUCAGUCGAACCUUCCUCCCAAACCACCAACGAAGCUACUGCCCACUCGACUCUCCUCCCUGAGAUCCGUCACCACCACCUCGCCACACUCGAACUCGACACCCUCCUCAUCACCUCCAUGAUUACAUAUUUCCUAUCCUUCCAUGUACAAAUGGCAUGACUUCAUCUCCCCUACGACCUUCUUCAGAUUUGUCCUACUCCCUCCAUUUUACCCUUAACUAUGAGCGAUUCUCUCAUCAACACCGCUCUUUUAUCUCCCAUAUUAUUAACAUUGUAGCUGAGGCUUCAUGUCAUGCCCAUUAGUGACAAGCAAUGAACUCAAAAAUCAUAGCCUUAGAAUCUAAUGACACUUGGUACCUCAUCUCCCUUCUUCCUGGCAAACACCCUAUUGGUUGCAAAUGGAUCUACAAAACAAAAUUGAAAGUAGAUGGUACUAUUGAACGUUACAAAACUCGCCUUGUGUCCAUGGGUUACACUCAAAUUGAGGGAUUGGACUAUCAUGACACCUUUGCUCCUGUCGCCAUACUUGUUACAAUCUGCUGUCUUUUAUCCAUCAUCGCGGCUAAAAAUUGGUUCAUAUACCAACUUAAUGUACACAAUGCUUUUCUUCAUAGGGAUCUCGACAAGGAAGCCUACAUGAAACCCCGUCCCGGAUAUUGUAAAAAGGGAGAAACCCGCAUCUAUCAACUGCACAUAUCUAUCUAUGGCCUUAAACAAGCCUCCCGCAAUUGGUUUUCUAAGCUCUCUUCAGUCUCACAAGCUGCUAGUUCCAAUCCAUCCGUGGCCGACCACUCAUUAUUCACUCUUUCAUGUGGUUCAUCCUUUGCAGCACUCCUGUCUAUGUAGAUGCUAUUGUUUUAGCCGGUGAUGACGACAACUUACUCCUUGAUGUCAAGACUUUUCUUGCUAGCAAAGGCAAACUCAAAGAUCUUGGUCCACUCAAGUAUUUUUUGGGAAUUGAAGUCGCUCGCUCACCUUGUGGCAUUUUAUCAGUCAACAAAGUACACCCUGGACAUUUUAUCUAACAGUGGUUAUCUCAACUUCAAGCCCUUUACCUUAUCCAUGGAACAGAAUCACAAACUCCAAGUUGAUGUAGGUAACCUUCUAACUAAUGCUAGCCUUUAUCGUUAAUUGAUCAGCCCGUUUACUUUAUCUCACAGUCACAAGACCUGAUAUCACAUAUGCCAUCAACAUUUUGAGUCAAUUUAUGCACUGUCCACGAUAGCCCCAUCUUGAUGCUGCCAUUCAAGUUCUUCGCUUCCUUAAAAACAAUCCGAGACAAGGACUCCUAUUCAUGGCUACCUAUGACUUUCAGGUUCGUGCUUAUGCUGAUUCAGAUUAGGCUAGAUGUCCCACUACCCAUCGCUCUACUACUGGUUAUUUCAUCUCUCUUGGUUCUAGUCCUCUCUGCUAGCAUUCGAAAAAAUAAUCUACCAUCUCUAGAUCUUCUGCUGAAGCCGAAUACCGUGCCAUGGCCAACGUUAUUGUGAACUUACGUAGCUUCGUACAUUACUUCAUGAUUUGCGCAUCCCACAUCCCUUACCAAUGCUUCUCCAUUGUGACAAUCAGGUUGCAAUAUAUAUUGCUCGCAAUCCUAUCUUCCAUGAACGCACAAAGCACAAAGACAUUGAUUGUCACAUUGUUUGUGAGAAACUUAAGUCCAACCUUAUCACCACCGCUCACAUUUCUAGCUUAGCUCAACUUGCAAACAUCCUCACUAAGGCACUUGGUGUUAUCUCUUCACACGGAUCAUCUGCAAAUUGGGCAUUUAUAAUCCCCAUGCUCUAAAUUGAGGGGGUGUGUCAAAGAUCCUUGCAUUUACUAUCAAACAAUGAGAUAUAUAUUUUCCUUCCUUAUACAUCUCAUUUGUAUAGGAAAUUGCACACAACCAGGGUACAUACAGAAACUGCACAUAAUCAGGAUGAUUACCAUGGACAUAGGAAACAGCAAAUAAUUAGGCUACAUAUUUUUCUUUCCACAGGAUCUGGCCAUAUAAAUACGGUGGCUGUACAUUAUAGAAGAAAUAAAUUGAAUCCAAUUCUCUAUCUCUUUACAAAAUUCUUGGCUAUUCAGUCUAAGAGAAUUGGCUUGUAAGAAUAAUAGACUCAGCUGCCUUUGUAAAAGCACAACUAAUCUGAAUGCUAAAGGUUAUUUCCUGUUUUCAUGACAAAAAUUAAAAGAUUAUGCUAUUGUUUGGUAGAGAUUAGAACUAGAUUUUUAGUAGAUUUUGAUAAAAAUCGAUGGAAUGUGUGGUUGAAAAGUCGUGGGUCCUACAAAAUGCCUAUUUAAACUAAUUUUUGAUUUUGACUUAGAUUUUAAUUAGAUCUUUUAGAGUUAACAAACUAGGCUAAAUAAAGGAUGUUUAUUGGUGAAAUGUCGAUAGGUUUAACUAGACAAUACUAAUAGGAUUAAAGGGUAAAAACUUCAAAUUUAAUUUGUCGUCCUAAGCAAUAUCUAGUUAAGAGUUAAGGAAACAUGACUAAUUAUGAAUAGUUCAAACUCAAUUGAGGAAUCCUUCGACUUGUAUUCCUACAACUGUAAUUUCCAUUACUAACACAAUAUUCUUGCGUGCCAAACCAUGAAAUGCUUGAAUCAAAUCUGCAAACUCUGCUUAGGAAAAAAUAGUUGGAUGUUGUCUGGUGUCUUGUACCAAGGGUUAUGCUGCUAGUGCUAUACAAGCUUAUAGCCCCCUCACAGGAGGGGGCCCCAUGCUGAUCGAGGUCCUUUGUACCAAAUAUUUCUAAGUACAUCCUUUUGCCUAUGUUGAUAGGGUGAAUCCAGACAUUUUGUGUCACGGGGUUAAAAAUUAAAGUGUAUUUAAAAAAANNNNNNNNNNNNNNNNNNNNNNNNNNNNNNNNNNNNNNNNNNNNNNNNNNNNNNNNNNNNNNNNNNNNNNNNNNNNNNNNNNNNNNNNNNNNNNNNNNNNNNNNNNNNNNNNNNNNNNNNNNNNNNNNNNNNNNNNNNNNNNNNNNNNNNNNNNNNNNNNNNNNNNNNNNNNNNNNNNNNNNNNNNNNNNNNNNNNNNNNNNNNNNNNNNNNNNNNNNNNNNNNNNNNNNNNUAUAUAUAUAUAUAUAAUUUAAUACAUAUUUUGAAACUUUGAACUAUUGAUACAUGUUGAGCUGUCGGCGAGUAAAUCAAAUGGAAUGUAGGAAGUAAAUUGAAAUAAAAUUCACAUUUAAUCUAGAAAGUAAAUAAAAUUUAAAUUUAAUUCGAAAGUUAUUCAAAUUACAUUUAAUCCAUAACGAUCCUAAAUUUUUUGACAUCAUAUUCCAUGUAAAAUUUCUUAAUAAAAUGAUAUAAAUUAUAUUAAAAAAAUUAUUUUGUAAAAAAUAAUAGUUGUUGAAAUAGUUAAAACAAAAAAAAAAUGAGUUAGACACCCCCUUUUAAAACGCACAAUCGAGCAUAUUUAAUUAUUUUCGAUAUCCGUUUGGACAAUUCAAUAUGACUACGAUGUAAUCUCGAAACAAGCUUCUAGAUGACAUAGGCAGUUUGUGGAUUCGAAUAGUAAACGAUUAUCGAACGAAUUUUAGAAUUUAGCAUAUUAUCAAAAUUCUCAAAAUAUUAGUUUAAAAUUGCCAAAUUUGAUGUGUCGUAACUUUUGCUACGUUUGGUCAUUUCACACGCUAUUAACGAGCGAAAAAUUAGGCCAUGAGUAUUUCGAAAUAGUAUUAAGAAUGCAAUUUUUUUAUUUCAUUUGGCAUCACAUAAUAAGUACGUCAAAAUAGGUAGUAAAGAAGGUCAAAACAAAUAUUUUCUGGAGAAAAAACAAAACAAAAAUUUUGUGGGCCGGCCCCUUAACUAAGUUCUCUUAUUGCCUACUGUAGAAAAGAUUUUCAAAGAAAUUCAUUUAAUUUUUAUUUGAAAAAUAAUUUCUAAAGGAGAUUUCUAUUCAAAAGUGAUUUUAGAGGAAGACACAUUAGAUUAACUUUCUCUAAAAACUCUUCUAACUAGAAGAAUCACUUUCAUAACCAAAAACAAUUUUUGGGCAUCAAAAGUUUAUUUUAACAUCUCAAAAGUUAUGUCAAAUGGGUAUUUAAUCAUGUCACUUGUGAUUGAUGAUGCUGUAAUACCCAACAAAAAGAACUUAAGGAUUACAUCCGUUGAUUAGUUCUGCUUAUUAAGAUUCCCGUUUAAAAAAAAUGCACUCUCACGAAAUUAAUUUUAUUCAAUUGAUCUAUACCAUUUGUAUAGUUAUUAGACCUAACUCGAUCAUCGACCUAGUCGAGGUACAAGGUCGUCGGGUUACUGAUUCGACCAAGGAACCGAUAGGUCAUUGUUUAAAAAUUGUUUAAAAGUUUUUAAAGUAUAAUUCCGUUUUUUCUUCAAAAAAAUAAUAAAUAAAUAAAUAAAUAAAGUUUUCAAGUUAUUUAUCACUAAUUACCUUUGAUUUAAUGAUUUUUUGAACUCAUAUAUUAGUUAUAAUGGUUACAUUUUGAUUUUAUAAUUUUGUACUUAUAUUAAAAACUAUAGUUCUCCAUUUUGUGAUAUACAAGUCACUUUAUUACUUAUAGACAAAAAUUUUAUGCGUAUUAUCUAUUCAAUUAAUUUAUCUUAGUUAAAAGUAAAAUAAAAAAAAAGUAAAUAAAAUAAUUAUUUGAUAAUACAAAAUGAAUGAAAAUGUUCUUUUAAGAAAAUUCCAGAAGGUAGCAAAUCAUUCAUUGGUUAAAUUCUUUUGCGCUACAGGUAAGGUCAUGCUCUAGUUAACUAGAGGUCCGGCAAACUUAUAUAAAAUUUCAACGGAGAAAAGUUUUGAAUUUUGGUUAAAAAAACCAACAGGUUAAGCUUGGCCCGACAAAUUUAUAUAAAAAUCACUAGUUGACUCAAUCAAAUCCGAUUUUGGCCUGGUCACUGGCAUUUAUAUAAUAUGAUCUUGAUCGUCUCGGUCAAGCGUCGGGGUUGUCGAUUUAUCGGGCAAGGUCAGUUUUAAUAACACUGACCAUUUGUGCAUUUUCAAAAACAAACCAAAGCCUAAAAAUAAGGGUUUCCAAUAGAAUCCACAUUCUAUUGAUAUUGCAAUGGCGAGAGAAAAAUACAGUCUCCGAUCAUUGUCAAUGUUCUCAACACAAGGCUGGGUACAAUACUUAUAAUAGAAUUCCGGAAUAUUAUCUUCGCUGCGUGGUAAGGGCUUCUAUAAACAAGCCAAGCCAUGUUGGAAUAAGACACCAUUUGACUGUGCAUGGUUGUAACAUUUCCAUAGAUUUGUUGAUUCUCGUUGUCGCCGGUGUUGGGAUCAUCGUCACAAAAGUUUAAAUCUGUAAAGUAACGAAAUGAAAAAAUAACUAAAUAAAUAAAUAAUAACCAAGUCAAACCUAACUUCUAGUCAAAUAUGUCAUACAAAAAAUAAAUAAAAAAAUAAAAUUUGGCAUACGUUGGAUUGGAGGGGGGGGGGGGGGGUCAAAAACAAAAUUAAGAUCAAAGAUGUCAAGCUCCUUAAAAACAAAAACAAAAAAGUGUUUAAAAACAAAAUAAAAAUAAAAAUAAAAGAGAGAAGAAGAAGAAAAGGAAUAUAUAUAUAGAGGGAUGUUAGCCUACUUUAUUAGAAAAUAAGUGAUUUGUACUAUUAAGAUUGAAUUCCUUAGUUUCGAAAUGUUAGUAAAAAGUUAUUUAUUGAAAAGUUAUGUUAAAUUUUAGGGUUUUCAAAUUGUUAGUUUAAAUUCAAUUUUAUUCAAAUGGAAUUAUUGAAUUAAAUAUAAUAAGCUAUGUAAUUAAGUGAAAAGAACGAAAAAUUAGCUUAAAUGAUUAAAGGAACUUUAGAAAUUGCUGAAACGUGAAAAUAUUAAGUUUUCGUAUUGCCUACUUAAUUAUUAGAAUUUCCUAAAAUAAUUAAUUGUUAAUCUAAAAAUUAUAUAAUAUUUCAGGUGGAAAUACAGAUAUUUGGACAGCUUGAGUAGAUUUUACGUACAUAAUUCAGUGAGUGAAAAAACUUAUAUAUUUUUAAAAAUUAAUAUAUUAAUUACACUAUUACAUUAUGUGCAAUUAUGUUAAUUUCUAGUACAAUUACAUGAUUGUUAUGAAAGGUUAUUUCAUUAUGAUAUAAGUGAAACCAUCAAAGUUGUACAUGGAUUAAUUGUGAAUUAGAAUGUGACAUGUGAUUUAGAGAUCGAUUAGAAAAGUACACACGAUUAAAUAUUUCUUCUAGUUAACAGAGAGGGGUUUUGGCAGUGUUCUAGAAUUGAUUGCGAGGGGUAUUGAGACCGGCUUUUGUUCACAAAGGGGCUAAAGCCUCGUGGCGAAAGUUCUUCGCUCGAGUGGCGGAUUAUAGAUUUUAGUCUAAGUGUACAUUUUUGGUGAAUUACAUGUGGUGUGAUGAGAUGAUAUUAUAAAUUUGAGUUGAGGAUUAUAUCAUGAUUAUGAGAUUAUAUAUUUCACUGUUAUGAGGAUGUUUCACAUCUUGACCAUUAUUAUAUGUUAUUAUACUUUAGACUAUUAUGAUAUAAACUCAAUUUUCGAUAAAGAUUUAUAAAUGAAAAAGAAUAAUUAUUUUCAAACUUCUCCAUUCACUGAGUUAUUAAUUCAUAUAUUUUUCAAUGAUUUUUCCUACAGGUACCAAUUGAUUCUUUAUAGUUGGAGGAGUCUAAUGAUUUCAAUGUGAUCGCCACACGAUAUAUUAAGUGUUAAAUUCAUAUUGAUGAAGCACAAAGUAAAUAUUUAGGCCUAUCACAUUAUAUUUUACACAAGUGUUUGAUUUUAGCACAUUUUUGUAGUAACUCAUAGUUAGCCUUGGUGAUAGACAUCUAGUCGACAUUUAUCAUCGGCGCACAUCAUGUUUCGAGUCCACUAGAGUGAUUCAGAAUGGGUUGUGUCAAACACUACUGAAAAAUAGCUUUUCACCUACGAAAAAUUACCAACGGAGCAAUCCGUUGGUAAAAAUUAUUCACUUUCAGCUACAAUAAUCAACAACGGAUUUUUCGUUGGUAACAAUGAUAUAUCUUUACCAACGGAUAUUAUGUGUCUCAUGUAACCGUUUAACUUUUGGAUCUUUCACCUACAGCAGAUGACGUACCGAAUGUUAGUAAUUAGAAACGAAUUAUCCGUUGGUAAAAUAACUCACUUUCAGCUAUAAUAAUUAGCAAUGGAUUUUUCAUUGGUAACGAUGAUAUUCCGUUCCUCAUGUAAUCAUUUAACAUUUGAAUCUUUCACCUACGGAUAUUCCGUUGGUAAUUAGAAAUUGAUUAUCCGUUGAUAAAAGUAAUUCACUUAUCCCACAUCGAAAGUUCACAACAAAGUUUUUGGAGUUGCCCUCUAUAAAUUAAUUUGUUGUCCAAUAAGUGGUUAAACAAUAUUUAAGCAUUUCAAUUCGGUUGGCAUAAAGUUAAAAAGAAAAAAUAGGAUUGUUUAAUAAUUAAUAAUAACAAUAAUAAAAAAAUAAAUACUAUUUUUUUAUUUUUUAUUUUUAUUUAUUUAUUUAUUUUAUUUUUUUACCAUGCCUCACACCUAUGUGGCUAUUUACAACAUUGAUUUUUACCAAUUGUAAUGGUAGACAUUUACCAACGGAAAGUUGGUUGGUAUUGAUUAAGAUGUUUACCAACAAAAAUUUUGUUGGUAAAAGAUUCACACUUUACAAACGAAAAAUUCGUUGGUAAACCGUUGGUAAAAUAUUUACUUUUUACCUACGGCAUGAUCCGUUAAUAACUAUUAGCGAUCCUCAAAUUAGUAACGAAUUUGCAAUUGCAAAUAUUUCGUUGGUAAAGAGUAAUAGCAACGGACAUCGAGGUUUCAAGAGCAGAAAAUUCGUGCCUGAAGCCAUGUUUUUUAGUAGUGAAAGUGGUAUUAGAGCAUGGUUUUUGAAAUUUUCAUUGUUCAUGCAUUUGUAUAUCAUACAUAGUCUAUGUGUAUAGUCACAUGUCGUGGUGAUAGAAAUCUUAGGCUCUCACAUGUCAUGGUGACAGAAAUCUUAAGCUCUCAAGCUUUUGCUACUUGAUGGUUCGGAACCUAAAAUGAUAAAAUAGUAUUCUUAGUGGAUUUAGAAAUGACUAGCAUAUAAGUAUUGUACUUGCAAUGGUUUGAUUGUUGAAAAGGUUAUACUUUGUUGGGUUGGUAAUAUGGUGUAUGUAACCUAGUACCUAUUAAGAGUGCAACAUUAAACAUACACCAAUUCGGAAUUGGAGUUUAAUGAUUUUGUUGAGUAUCUAUCUAUAUACUUUUGAAGGAAUGGAGUAUACAAUUCCCUAAUUAGUAAAUUAUAUGAAGGAUUAUAUGAUCCUUUAGUGUAUAUAUAGAAAAUCUUUAGUUAUAGCUUGCACAAUAAAUAAUGGAGAAUGAUAUUACAUAUGAUUGAUUGGUGACAAUCAUGCAAGGAAUUUUAAUUAUAUUGUGAAGCUAAAUGAUUAAUGGUGUUAUCCAAAUUUUAUGGUGAUUUGUGGGCACUUAUAUGGGGCAAUGACAGAGAAUUGUGAUGGUAUAUGUUUAUGCUAUGUGAGAAGAAAUCGUGAAAGACAAAAUGAUGAUUUGUUGAUUGAUAUAUAGGAAUGUACUAUUGUAUAUCUUAAGCAUCAAUAGGAUUAACAUUUAGGUGAUUCCAAUUAUUUAUGAAUUGUUUGAUUAUAAGGAAUAUAAGUAAAAUAGGGAAAGAUUUCAAAAUGAUCGCUUAUUAUGGGUGAUUUAUUGCUUAAGAAAUAGAAUUAAAUGGAUAUGUGCAUUUAAGUAUGUUUAUGUGAUUCAAAAAAAAAUAAAAAAAUAAAAAAUGAGUAGAGAAUGGUAGAGUUGGAAUUUAUUGAUAUUUGAAAAUUAACAUAAGAAAUUCUAGUGUUAUGUUGAUUUGUGAAAAAAUUUGUGUGAUAAAUAUGGAAGUUAUUAUUUUGUGAUGUUAAGGGAAAACAAUACGAUUAAAUAUUUUAGUUCCUACGAUAUAAUGAUAAAUGACAAAGUUAUAUGAUCAAAUUAUGAUAUGGUGAAUAAUAAGUAAAUGAGUGUUAUGGUUGUCCUAUAGCAAGAUAGUUUGACAAUAUAUUUGGGUUAUUAAAUUAAUUAAUUUUGUCAAGGCUAUUUGUUGAUUAUUAUGUUAUAUUAACUAAUAUUUGGAAGGUUCAAGUUAAAUUUUGAAAUUAAGGUGAAUUUUUAGUGACGUAAAGUUUGGGUUAUUUUUUAUUAUAUAUUUCGGAUUUCACGAAUAACGUAAUCCAUUCUUACCAAGAUCUAUUUGCUAUGUAAUAUAUGGAUGAUAGUAAUCCAAACUCUAAGACAAUCGUCAAAUGUAAAUAUUACUCAUUGUGGAAUAGUAGCUUUAGAUUUCAUUGUCCCAAUUAAAGGUCUUUUAUGAAAUAUACAUGAAGGCUUAUGCAUUAGUGGUCGAGCAAUGGCCUAUUUAUGGAAUAAGAAUAUAGGUUUUCAUGGAUUAAAUGUCAUUAUUCUCUUCAUAAAGAGAAAGAACAAAAUUUGUAUGGGUAUAGAAAUAUCAAAAGUUGUACUAUCAGGAAAUUCUGAGGAAAUAUUUGCUCUUAUAUUUAAAGAUGAUUAGUGAUUAAUUCACGAUAAUGAUUUAUGUUAUGGUUUAGAAAGUGUUCUGUAAGUGGAAUGAUAAAUUAUGGAUUAUGUUGUAGAUUGUUAAGGAUAUAUUAUUAAAACAUGAUAUAUGGUUGGCUAUAGUGGGAUUGACUUUAGGAACUGUGGCGUUAUCACAUGGUGGGAAGAUCAAUGACAACAUGAGGUUAAGGUAUAUUUGUAUUCGAAGGAGCUGAACUUGAAGCUGGGUAUAUAUUAUCGUUGGGUGAUAAAAUGAAAAGCUAAGAAUAUCACAUAUUGAUCAUUAUGAUGAUAUUUAAGGUAUCGGUUAACAUAUAUUCCAUAUUUCGAGACUUAGUAAAUAGAUAUCAAAUUAAACUUAUGCCAUAUGAUUAUCAGUAGAUUUGAUUGAAAAUCUUACCUAUGAAGAAGAAUUAGUUUGAAUAUUGAACAAAAAAGAACAGGUCUUAUGUAGUAAGAGUAAGACUGUUCUUUUAGUAAAAAUCUUGUGGAUGAAUCAGGCUAUAGAAGAAGCGACAUGGAAAAGUGAAGAGCAGAUGCAUUCUCAGUAUCUACAACUUUUUCGUAUAUAGCAAGUUGAAUUUCGUUCUCUUAAGGGGGUGAGUUUUGUAAAUAUUAUCCAAUUCAUUUGCUAUAAUCACAUACCAGAAAAAGAAAAAGAAAAGUCAAAAAUUAAAUUAAGGUCAAAGAUGUCAAGCUCUUUAAAAAAAAUAAAAUUAAAAAGAUUGAGAGAGAGAGAGAGAGAUAACGGUAGGCGAUGGAAUAUCAACACCUGUUUGAUCCCAUUUUGGAGGAAACAAUGCAUUUUGAAUAAGAGAUUGAUGAAGAAUGUGAGGUUAAAAAUUAAAGAAAAAUUUUGAAUUUGAAUGUAAUAUUAUUUUAUUGAAGAAUGUAUGGUUGAAAAUGAGUUUUGAAAAAAAUGAAUUUUUGGAAGAAUGUGAAUCAAACAUGGUUUCAAUCCACCCGUACAAAUCCAUUCCCACAUACAAACACCCACAACACAACAAUAAGAAAGAGAGAACGAGAGCAAAGAGAAAAGAAAGAAAAGAGGAAAGAAAGAAGGGAAAAAAAAGGAAAGAAAGAAAGAAGAAGAAGAAAGGGUAAAAAAUAGGAAUGUACUACGUUGUUAGAAAAUAAGUGAUUUAUAUAUUAAGCUUGAAUUCCUCAGUUUCGAAAGGUAAAUAAAAAGUUACUUAUUAAAAAGUUAGGUUAAAUUUUAGGGUUGUCAAAUUGUUAGUUUAAAUUCAAUUUUAUUGAAAUAGAAUUAUUGAAUUAAGUAUAGUAAACUUUGUAAUUAAAUUAAGUGAAAUGAAAGAAAAAUUAGCUUACGUGAUUAAAGGAACUUUACAAAUCGCUUAAACAUGAAAAUAUUAAGUUUUCUAUUGCCUACUUAAUAUCAGAAUGUCUUAAAAUCAUUAAUUGUUAAUCUAAAAAUUAUAUCAUAUUUCAGGCAACGAUACGGAUAUCGGGAUAGUUUACCAACAGAGUAGAUUUUGUGUACAUAAUUUAGCUAGUGGAAAAACUUAUAUAUUUAUUAAAAAUUAAUAUAUUAAUUAUACUAUUACAUUAUGUGCAAUUAUAUGAAUUUCUUGUACAAUUACAUGAUUAUCAUGAAAGGUUCUUUCAUUAAAAUACAUGUGAAAUCAUUAAGGUUGUACAUGGAUUACUUAUGAAUCGAAAUGUACAUGUGAUUCAGAGAUAGACAAAAAAAGUAUCCGUGAUUAUAUAUUUAUUCUAAUUCACAGAGGGACCUUUGUCGUGUUUCUACACAUAGAGGUCUUGACCGAACAUUGGUCUUGAUCGUGUACAUAUAGUUCACAGUGGGGACUUGACCAUAUUCUAGAAUUGAUUACCAGAUAUCUUAAGACCGGCUUUCGUUCACAGAGGGGGCCAAAGACCAGUGUAAAAUGUUCUUAACCCGAGGGGUGGAUUACAAAUUUCAGUCAAAUGGUACAUUUUUGGUGGAUUACAUGUAGUGUGAUGAGAUGAUAUUAUAAAUUUGAGUUGAAGAUUAUAUCAUGACUAUGAGAUUAUAUAUUUCACUGUUAUGAGGAUGUCUCACAUCUUUAUUAUUAUUAUAUGUUAUUAUAUUUUGGACUCUUAAAUGAUGUAAACUUGAUUUUAGAUAAGGAUUUAUAAAUCAAAAAGUGUAAUUAUUUUCGAAUUUCUUCACUUACUGAGCUAUCAACUCAUAUAUUUUUUCAUGAUUUUUCAUACAGGUACCAAUUAGUUUUUUAUUGCUGGAAGAGCCCGAUUAUUUCAAAGCAUUAGACAUGCGACGUGUUGAGUGUUAGGUUCAUAUUGAUAAAACACGAAGUAAAUAUUUUAGGUCCAUCGCAUUAUAUUUUACAUAAGCAUUUGAUUUUAGCGCAUUUUUGUAGUAACUAAUAGUCAACCUUGAUAAUAAAUUUGAUAUCUAGUCAACAUUUAUCAUCGGCCCACAUCACGUUUCGAAUCCAUUUGGAUGAUUUGGGACAGGUUGUGUCAAAAUCACUCACCAUUGGUGAUGCAAAGAACUAAGAGAUCAACUUUUAUCAACUAAAUGCAUGUUUGAGCCCCUUUCUUGGCUAAAAAUACAUUUUACAAUAGUAGAUUGAUAAAAAUUGUUUGUUUGAAAAAUAAGAAAAGUUUUGACUUUGUGUGUAAUAUUAUUUUAUUGAAGAAUAUGUAGUUAAAGAGAAGAGAGAGAAAAUAUAUAUUUUGAAAAUAAUGGAAAUAAAACAAGGGCUAAAUUCACGCGAAAUCAUUGGUGAGCAAAAAUUAUUAUUCAUGUCCACGUGAAUAAGAAUGAUACACAUGUUAAAUAUAAUAUCACAACUAAUAAGUAAAAGACAAGAUAUGGCGAAUAAAACAUGAAAAGUUAAGAAUCAAUUACAGCUCCUAAUCAACAACUGCCACGUGUAAUUAAAGGAAAAUACUUAAUUUCCCUAAUGGAAUCAUCAGAAAUCUAUAAAUAGGCAUAGUUAAAAUAAUAAUAAUAAUAAUAAUAAAUAAAUAAAAUAAAACUUGUUAUGAUCUCCUUUCAACGAGUCAUUUACUCCUAAAUCUCACCUCAAUAAUAGUUCAGUGAGCUUGGGGAGGAAAAGAAAUCACCUCAGAAUGUGGAAAAAUCAGGUAAACUUCUGCUUAGUAGUUGGCUUUGAGAAAGCGGCACCCAAUACCUGCAAUAAGAAAUGUGCUCAUAUCCAGCAUAAAACACACGAUCAUGCAUGGUGCAAUUGAAAAUUGAAGGCGUGAAUUGAAUACCUAACAUCAUAUCUUGAAAAAAAGAGUAGCAAUAUUAUCGGGCCAACAAUGACUUCCAGACAAGGAGGCCAUGAAAACAGAAAAUGAAGUGGGGGCUCCACUAUAAACUCUAUUUAAAAGUCCUGCCUCAAAGUAGUCUUCAAUAAUGGAAAUAGAAGUUUCUUUUGUUCCAGCAUUCCAAUGCCCUAUUUCCACUAAAGUGAAUGUUGCAAAAACCCGACACAUCAAAAAGUUCGAUGAAAUGGACAGUGGUACUAGGACAAUUUGAAAUUAAUUAUAAAGGACGUUCUGCAAUCAAGGCACAAGCACUGGAAAAUUUCAUCGCCGAACAUCGGAGUUCUCCCAUUCCUUAAAUGAUAUCGGGCAAGAAGGACCCUAGAGAUUGUUUUUUGAUGGGUCAUCGAAAGAAAGUCUUUUGAGCCUCAUGAGAUGGAACAUAUGCUUCGCCUAUUGCCUGCAAUGGAGAGGGUGAUACAAUAUGCACUCUUCCUUUUAUGCUCAUCAAAAUGUAAGUAUUUUCAUUUCGAAAACUUCUGUUCGUGCAUCAGGGCUUUUUCCUUUAAUUUCUCAAUUCGAUCUUGUACGAUCUUCUUUCUACUUUCUAUUGUUUCUUUUGUCAAUAUUUCAGUCUGAAUGAGAUCUACCAGUUGAUGAUAUCUGUAGUACGAUUAUUGUUGCAAACGUUAGCAAUCCAUUCGACAAUGCAUCCAUCACCUUUUCAUCAAAUAUAGUUUAGCACUAAAUGAGCUCAAUGCUUAAACGAGUGAAGUAGCUCUUCAGAAUUUUCUUUUCCUUUUGUCUCAUAUCGUUCAGUCUAGUGAUGGGUAUCUCAUCGAGUCGACUUUCAGCAGAAACUCCAAAUUAAGGCUCCUUCAAUUGUGGUGAGCUCCUAGUUGAUCCUAACGGCAUUUUCAACCUUUUCGUCAAACCAUCUAACAUCGAGUGGAAAUAUUGACAGUUGAGUGUGUGACUUAUCUUUUUCAACUUCAUUUGUGUCAUAUACUCGUACAAAUGAUACAUUAGAUCUCCCUUUCUACAAUAUUUUUCUAUCUUUGGGUGAACAAAGUUAUCUAGAGUGGAGAUGCCUUUUUCUCCUUUGAGAAUGGAUAGCUCUUAUCACCAUCAUCUAGCUGAUAAGAUCUUCCUGGCUUGUUUUCAUACUCCCCAUAAAUGGGAGCAAAAUAAGGAGAGUUAAGUAAGCUCCCCGCCUUUCUAACUUACGUUUACACAUUUUCCCAUGAAAACUUACCUCCCCUAGCCUGUCAAACACACUUGGAGAUACAUUAAUACAAUGAUCAUCUCAUUUCUUGCAAAGUAAACAAUUCUACAUGUUUGAUAUUCGAACAUUUUGGUUACCGCUGAAAGGAUGGAAAUAACUUGCUGUGGGUUCUGGAUUUUUAUAUCCCGGUUCCAAACAAAAGUCUACCUUUGAAUAACUACCAUCUCUCGCAAGGAGAUGGCCUAAGUAGUGUUGCUCUAAGAAUCUCAGUCAUCUCUUGUAUAGUUUUUGCCGUAGAGAUCUUCUUCAAUUGGCAAUUGGUAGGGAAGACAACUGCGUCAAUUUUUGUCGGAGAUUCUUCCCGUUUGUUAAGAAUUGGGGGUCCAUCUUAAAAUGUCAUCUUUGUUGAGAGGAGUAACUCAAUCCUUUAUAUGCUGGUCUAUAUUUCGGUAUUUGACCGAUAUGAGAUUUUAUCCAUUAAGACACCCUCCCAAGAUGGUGAUUCAUUGGAACAGACCAAUCUUGGAAUCCGUAUGCUCAUUUAUUAAUUCUUAAUCGGAUCGUAUUGCUUGUUGGAGUUUAAUGGGCUCUGAUAUGAUGUUAAAACCUGGGAUUCCAUCUUAAAAGGUCAACCUUGUUAAGAGAAUUAACACAAUCCUUUAUAUGUUUGUCUAUAUUUUGAUAUUUAACCGAUGUGAAAUUUUAUCUCUUAAGACCAUUUUCACUUUGGAUUAAUAUCGUUGUCUUCAAAGUGUUAAAACUUAGGGUUCCAUCUUAAAAGGUCAACAAGGUAAGAGGAAUAACCAAAUCUUUAAUAUGUGGUCUAUAUUUCAGUAUUUAACCGAUAUGGAAUUUUAUCCCUUAAGAUGCCCCACAAGAUGGUGGCUCAUUGCAGUAGAUCAAUUUUGAAAUUUGUAUGCUCAUUUAUUGAGUCUUAAUCGGAUCGAACUGUUCGUUGGACUCAAUGAACUCUGAUACCAUGUUAAGAAUUGGGGUUUCAUCUCAGAAAGGUCAAUCCUAUAAAGAAGAGUAACCCAAUCAUUUAUAUGUUAGUCUAUAUUUCGGUAGAUCUUUGGUGAUUCAAGAGGCGGCUUAUCAUUAUUCAUAAUAAUGAGAAUUGCUGAAAAAAUGUCCAACCUUUUUAACCGAUGUGUGAUUUUAUCCCUUAAGACACGGUUGUCACUAAGAAUCUCUGCUCUGGUUCUUAGUGCUUCUACCUCAACAAGAUUCACCUUCCCUUUCUAGGCAGCUUUCUAGUGAUUUUUAACUCAAAACGGUGAGAUCAUGGUUACUUUGUUCUGUUUUUCACAAACAACACAAAUUUAUUUAUCUCAAAAUAAUGAGCAACAAAUUCCUCCCAUCUAAAUAGGAUUUUCUCCUUCUAAACUCUCUAUUUCAAUCCUUAAGCAAGAACAAGAAGAGAAAUGGUUAUUUGAGAAGAGGACUCUCAGAUUGCAUGCCUCUCAAUUCUUAACUAUGCCAAUUUAUAGAUUCCUAACGAGACCUUGCAAGUAAAUAAAAUAUUUUAUAGUAAGAGUUGCAUGAUAGCCAUUAAUUAGUGAAGGAUUAUGCUACAUGUACAUUAUAGUGUCCAUAAUGUACAAGUGGCAUAAUAUCAUUGAAGGGUUGAAAAACAGUUUUUUCAACCCUCCAAUCAUGAAAUUCUACAUGUAUAUUAUGGAAACCCUCAUGUACACCAUAAUGUACAUGUAGAAUUAUCCAUUAGGGAAUUUUAAAAUGAAUCUAUUAGUUUUUCACGUUUUAUUUACAUAUCCACGUGUUGCUCAUUCAUUGUUUAUGAAAUCAUUCUUUACUUUCACAUUCACAUGUGCUUUGAUAAUGGUUUGUACAGAUGCGAAAUAGCUGGUGAAAUCAAUUAAGUACAUUUGCUCAUUGUUUACUCUCAAGAUUGAUAAUAAAGUCCGCAUCACAAAUGCUCACUUAUUUUAUCAUUAGCUUGCGCAUGGUUCGAUUGACUUUGAGAAGAUUCACUACUAAUCCUUGUAUUAAUUUUAAUUGACAAUAUCAACUAUGACCAAUUCAGACCCAGUUUCUCUGUAGCCUUUCAAAUAAGAAAGGAGCCCUACCACGCCUGGCUAAAAAGAAUGCCCUGAAAAUUUAGAUAAGGGGAUACUUUUCCCAACCAUUAAAGGAAAGGCUCAACGAAAUGAUAGAGAUGCUGCGGGGAAGGGAAACGCUUUCGGAGAUCGAGAUCGGAUUUGUUUUCCAUCAAAAAUGACGAAGGUCAAGGAUGACCUACGGUGCAUCGUAUCUGAAGAGAACAGGCUUUUUUUACCACAGUGGCAUGAUUUGCCGGGCCAUUCUGCCUGCUGGCCUAUUGGGCUAGCAGCCUUUGGGCUUUGCUUGCCCUUUACAAAAUUUCAUCUCAACCUGAGAAAGCACUGGCAGCAACAGAAAGGAAGGAGUCCAUGUAACUGCUGCAUCCUUAACCCUAGGUAACAGUUUAAAAUGUAGGCCCAUUUUAUUCCUUAAAACUUAAAACAAUGCUUGUGAAAUGUUUGUGGGAGGGACCCUAUCAUUAAAAAGUUGUGUGCCCAAGACAUAUAUCAAGCAAUUCCCUCUCAAUUUCUGUCCCCUUUCGACCCACCAAAUUCAUCCUCAUAUAUCAAGACAUUUUUGUUUACAAAGUUAUUUUACUUUUAAAAUAUAUAAGAUGAUCUUUAUAAAAAUUGAUUUUAUGAUAUUACCUCCUCUUGUUGGUAUCAACUCUUCUCGGAUAAAAAUAGGUUAAUAUGGUAUUAGCUUAAGCAAUAAAAAAUUAUUUAUUAAUCAGAAAGAUCCUGCGCCUUUUAUUUCGUCAAGUAUAUUAUUAAUAUGGGUUGACUGAGUUAAUCCCGGAUUUAAGUGGCCAAGUGGUUUUGGCCUCUUAAUUAAUCACAUCUAGUUAUUUUGUCAUUGCAUGUGAUUUUAGUGAUAGAAAUUAGGGAGGUUUUAUAUAAGAUUACAACUUCUAUCUUACUCAUAUUUAUUUAUUAUGUACUUGUCCUUUUAGAAAUUUCUUUACACCCUUUGAUGAUUGUCGACAUGCAUAAAAAGUCACAUGAAAGCAACAACUGAUGAAAAAUAUUUGUUUAUUGUAUGAAAUAAAACAAUAUUCGAGCGAAGUGCCGUUCCGGGCCAUGUCCAAAUAACCACGACAAACUAUUAUAUUAUUAUACUAACUUGUAUCCUUCAUUAACAAAAUGAAAAAUAAUUACCAAAUGAGAUGAGGAUGGAAAGAACCAAAAUUGUGACUACAAGGAUCCAAAAGCUCUUCCUGUUAGAUAUAAUAGUCGAAUGAAAUUUUUGUGUGCGAAUGGGGUACAUUCAUUUAUAGAGUAAAUAGUACAAAACGUCCCUACAUUUAAUUGUUGUUGUACAAAACGUCUCGACCUUCUAUUUUUUGGCCUUUUCACCCUUAUUACACAUUUGAUUGCACAAAACGUCCUUCCACGCAUUUCCAUCAAAUUUUUUAAUUGAUGCACAUUUGAUUGCAAGCAUGGAAUUUGCACAGAAAAAGAAUAAAUUUAUUUUUUUGAUUGAUUUAAUUUUCGACUUAGAAAAUAUUAUACAUGUCCAUUUUUAUUGUUGGGUAGAUGAGAGAGAAAGAGACAGUUAAUUCUCUAGAAAAUAAAAUCAUACUCUUCCUAAAAAGAAUAUUUUCCUUGAUUCUAAUGAAAAUAUGGUCAUGUGACCAAUAGUAGGAAAAUGUUUUCCGCGGGAAUUUUGAUGAAAAAACACAUUUUUCAUGAAAAAUAUUGACAAUCAAACGCACAUAAGUAAACAAUAUAGUCAACUUUUUUAUUUAUUAUUCAAAAUGGAAGGGUAUUAUUGUCUCAAUACAUUUUUCCCUUCUCUUCCAAAGAGAAUAAUCAGUAGAGUUGGCAAUGGGUGGGUUCAGGGCGGGUCGGGGUCUCCCACCCUAUUACCCAUUCAAAGUGAGACGGAGCGGGAUCGAGGCGAGGCGGGAAAAUGCCCCAUUUACGUACCCGUUUAGGUGUGUGUGUGUGUGUGUUUUUUUUUUUUUUUAUAAUUCAUUUUAUUACCCCCAUUCAUUCAAGUGAGACAAUAAUAUAGUUAUUGAAUUUUUUAAUUAAUUAAUUUAUUUUUAAAAGUUAAAUUAUUCAAAUAUAUUUGGUAAACUAAGAUUUUUAUUGAUUAUUAUAUUUCUUGGAUAAUCUUAGUUUUCAUAUCUUAUUAAAAUUAAUGAAAUUCCGUGGAGUUUUCGAUUUAAAUUACAAAAUUAAUGAAAUCUUAGUCCCGCCCUGAAUACCCGAUUAAGCGGGUAAUCCCGCCUCAUUCGGGACAUGGCCCCGCGAGUAUCGGGUUUGGAGUGUUUUUUUUUGCUGUUCCUAAUUAUCAGCGAAAGCCAACGAGUCCCCCAGCUGCAAAGAGACUAUUUGGUUGGUCUUGAUACUUCAAGUGGGUCCAGCAUUUCUCGUGAAUGUUGGGAAAAGAAAUCACUUUAGAAUGUGGAAAAAUCAGGUUAACUUCUGCUUAGUAGUAGGUCUUGAGAAAGUGGGUAGCCAAUACCUGCAACAAGAAAUGGGGGCUCAUAUCCAGCAUAAACACGCAAUCAAGCAUAGUGCAAUUGAAAAUGGAAGGUGUGAAUUGAAUACCUAACAUCAUACCUUGAAAAAAGAAUAGCAAUAAUUAUUUUUUUUUAAUUUCAAUUUUUUUGCAGAUUUAUCAGACCAACAUUACACAACGAUUUCCAGACGAUGAGGCUAAGGAAACAGAAGAUGAAGUAGUAACUCCACUAUAAUGGAAAUUUAAAAGUUCCGCCUCAAAGUAGUUUUCAAUAAUGGAAAUUGUUAUGGAACAGGGAGUCGAAUAUGACAAUAUGAAGUAUAUGAUCGAACACAAAAAACAAGAUUAAAAGCAAGAAAUAGAUUCGUGGAGGAACUGAAUAUUUUAUUUGACAACCAAUGGAGAAAAUAAUAUCGUUACAGCAAUCUCAGCAAUAUUUAAACUGAAUGAAGAGUCUACUAUUUAUAAGGGACAUAUAAAAACCCUAGAAGUAAUGUAAAAGAUGAAAACUAUAUCAAAAUACGCGUGAAACCGACAAAAGGAGAAAAUCUCGCAUGUCACAAUUGCUCAAGGGAGAGACUGAUGCCAGGCUAGCGACAGCCAUGUCGCUCGAGCGAGAGCUUGGUGACAAGCAAGUGACAGCUCUCUGGUCCAAAAGUUCACCACUGCUCGAGCAGCCAGCUAGUGGCUAGCUAGUGAAAAUGUAGCGACUUUUCUUCUCGGUCCAUAAUUUUGAUCUCUUCAUGACCACUACUCCAAAUCAUACGACCCUAGACCGAAUUUGUGUCACAAACCAAGCAAUCUCCACCUUGACACAAAUUUCGGUGCAACAAUCGAAGCUCAAAAAUUUCUCCAUUGAAAAAAUAAGUCUGAUCGCAAUGAAACAACUGAACUCUUCAAUUCGAAGCAAACUUUUCCAAUCACACAAAAUACUCCUCAUCUUCCACAAUAUCCAACACGGAUACAUAGGGUUCUCAGAAAGAUCACAAAGAAUUUAAAAAUGACCAAACAGGAUUGAAGUGCACCGUAUAGUAAAAUCAACUCUGAAUGCUUUCAUCGAAGGCCCCUUGCUAGUCUCGAUACCCUCAAAACACCAAAAGUAUGCACAACCAAAUCAGCAUCCUAGUGCCUAUCUUCAAUGGGUCUACCCUAGCAGUUGAAUACAAUGGAACCACAGACAAUCGUGGCAAAGCAAAAUUACCCAUAUCCUCUAAAUUCGACUGAGUAUUAUUCUUGAAUAUGGACCCAGAGUCAAAUCCUAAAGGUACAAUACCAAACUGAAUUUCCACAUGGUUCUAAACCUAUGCUAACUUUUCUUCACUGUUUCUGCCCGACCUUGCAAUAUGUAUAACUAGGACCUCUUCCUUCCUUCCAAUAGAGCAUGGACACCCCUUCGAACUCUCAUGACUUUACCUCUUCUAGAGACUGCAUACCCUUUCAAAUCAAGAGUACUUAACGAAAUAAGAUUUUUCUUCAAAUCUAGAAUAUGUCGAACGUGAUCAAGUGUUCUACAUAUUUCAUCUACCAGCUUCAACCUAACUCUCCCAAUAGCAGCUACCUGACAAGAUUUAUUGCUACCCAUGAUAAAGACAAAUUGCGUCAUCGUUUUAGAUGUUUCAAACAAAUCCCGAAUGGGACACGUAUGGAACAAAAAAGUUGUGUCCAAGAUCCACUCCUCAUCAGGUUUGGAUUCCACAUCAGAAAUUGCCAAGAGAUCUCCAUCAUUCAAAUAGUCCUCAGCUAUAUUGGCUUCGUCCAAAGUGUUUGACUACUUCCCAUAAUUUGCAGUUGAAUUACCUUUGCUAUGCAACUUUUUGCAAUCUCUCUUGAUGUAUUCUUUCUUCUUGCAAUAAAAAUAAGCUUGAUUGCUGAAACUUGACCUCGAUUCACCCCUUUAAAUUUUGCCUUACCUUAUUAGAUUAGGGGCGAUAGACUGUAAUCAAGACAAGAAGCUCGAGCGGAAGGCUUUAAGGCAUAGCUCGAUAUCCAUGAACCAUAAGACAUUCUCCAUCUCUAAGCUCAAAUCCAAUUAGAUGUAUCUAGCUGGCAUCUUUACUUGUCAAAACGAAAACCUUGUAUUGCUAUCCAAAAGCGAAAUUUCAUACUUCGUGGCUGUCAUCGAUAACAGAAACUUCAAACAAAAUAACAACCUUGCUCUGAUAUCAAGUUUUAUUAAAUGGAGAAGCAAAUAUGAUACAAUAUGAAGUAUAUGAUCGCACACAAAAAACAAGAGUAAAAGCAAAAAAUAGAUUGAUAGAGGAACCGAGUAUUUUAUUCAACAACCAAUAGAGAAAAUAAUAUUGUUAUAGCAAUCUCAGCAAUGCCUGGACUAAAUGAAGGGUCUACUAUUUAUAGAGGGCUUGUCAAAACCCUAGAAAUAACCUAGAAGAUAAAAACUAGGUCAAAAUACGAGUGAAUUCUUGUGCGGCACAGUCGCUCGAGCGAGAGCUUACGCCAGGCUAGUGACAGACAUGUCACUUGAGCAAGAGCCUGGCUACAGUUGAGCGACAACUCUCUAUUCAAAAGUUCGCUUACUACUCGAGCAACCAGCUAGCGGCAGGCUAGCAAAAAUAAGACGACUUUUCUUUCCAAUCAAUAAUUUUUAUCUCUUCAGGACCACAAAUCCAAAUAAUGCAAUCCUAGACAAAAUUUGGAUCACAAACCAAAUAGAAAUAGAAAUAGAAGUUUCUUUUGUUCCAACAUUCCAAUGUCUUAUUUCCUUAAAAGUAGUCUCAAUUUCCAUCCAGCAUUUCGGAACACCUCCUUUUGUCCACGGGGCAUUAUCAAUCGACAGUUUCAUUUGGUCCUUUUGAUUAAUAAAGUAGCAUUGUCUUAUUCAUGGGGUUUAAUGGAAUAAUCUAGCUCUUGCAAUUGGGAAGAUAUAAUAUUCAUUUUAUUUCUUAUGGUACAAACUUCCCUCAAUCAAUAAAAUGAGAAAAAGAAGCAAUUUCAGCUAACAGAUACACCCCGCCCUUCCUAAGAAAACUUCACAAGAUUUUGUAAAGGAGUGAACAAAUACACAUUUCAUUGUAAAAGCAGAAAGCCAAAACUUUUGCCUAUACAUCCAUUGACGGUAGAAACAAAUCAUCCAUAAGUGAUUAGUUUAAUUUUGUCUAAAUAAAUCCAAAAUAAGCCAUCUUCUCUUAACGGCCAAUCCAAAUAGAAUACUAAUAGAAAAAUCAAAGUUUUAUUGGAUCCAAAUCUAUUGCUUUUCCUCUGUAAAUAGAACAUGGGAUUCCCCCUCAACAAUCCCAAAGAACUGUUCUUUACUUGCUGCAGCUAUACCUAUGCACUUUAGAAAUCCCUUUCCUUUCCUUGCUACAGCAUUGGCUUUUGCAGAUAAUGCCCUGUGGACAUGGGCAAAUUUAGGGAUCGAGUUCAGCUAGGGUGGACUAGAAGAUUGAAAGCUUAUUAUCGAAGGCCAACGUCCGUGAUAGCGAGAUUGUUUAUUAAUAUUUAAUUAAAGAAUAUUCAAAAAAUUGUACGGAUUAGAACUAGAAGAACUAGAUACACCACUAGAACUAGCACUAGGUACGAACUUUUAUUUUGAAUAAAAAAAUUAUUCCAUAAUCUUUGAAAACAUCCUAAUUUAUUUUUCAAUUAAAUAAGUAAUAUACAUUAACAAAAUGCUAAUAUUCAGUUUACAAUUAAAGUUAAUUAAACACGUAUUAUUAUAUUUAAAAAAUUGAAAUUAUUCAUAUGCUUAUAUCAAUUUUAUGUGCUUCACUUUUUUGCUAUUAUUUUUUGUGAAUGAAAAGUGGAACCUUUUAUUAAUUAAAUAAGUUUUGUUGAAAGAUUCUCCAUAACACUAAUGUCAAUAUUCCUAUAAAUUCAUCCACCAUUAAUUGAUCAAACUCUCAAAUCAAUUGAUAAGAGGGAAAAAAAAUCAAGAAGAGGGACAAAGCACCGGUUAAAAUAUUUUUACUUGCAUUAAACCAGUAAAAUUGAACACAUAUUAUUUUUUUACAUUAGGUGCUAAAAAUUAAUUAGUGGCAUGAUAAUAAAAUGGUCAAUAUGUUUAAGGAAGAUAGCAGGUUCAAAUCACCUUCCUUGCAUUAGUUUUAGUAAAAAUUGUUAAAAUACAAAAAUUUUAAAAAAAUAUUGCUCUUGAAGAGUUUGGAACACAGGACUUCCAAUUCAAUAGUGAAAGGUCUAACUAGCUGAGCUACCAAAGAUGUUUGUUGUUAAUAUGAAUUAUCAAAUAUAUAAUCUAAAAAUUCUAUCUAUUAUCAAUAAAAAAAAAAAAAAUCUCCCCGACGAAUCCCAUCCUAGCUUGCCACCAUCUAAAUCCGCUCCUUCCUGUGGAAUGCAAGAAAGGGGAAAAGUGUAGUAGGACAAUGAUACCCUUUCAUUUUGAAAAAAAAAAAAGAGAAAGGACUAAACCUUACAUUUUAACUGAAAAGUUGGAUUGAAAUGGAUGGAAUGACGUUUUGUGUAAUCAAAGGUAUAAUUAAGGGUGAAAAUGCCAAAAAAAAAUGAGAGGUGGGGACAUUUUACACAAAAAUGGUGAAAGAUACGGACGUUUUGUUCUAUUUACCCUUCAUUCAUAUAAUGAGUUUGGAGUGUCAUUUUUUGGAAAAAAGGGAAAUUUUUGUGAGCUGUGAAGAUAAAGUAAAUAAUAGGGUAGAUUUAAUGUAAUUCCAUUAAUUAGAUAUCCAAAAUCUUUAAAAUUGGGAACAGAAAAUUGUUUUAUGCAGAUUUUAAGUUUUAAUGCAUUGAUUGAUUUGUUUUCUAUAUAUAUAUAUAUAUAUAUACACACUCUGUUAGAGGAUAAUUAUUUUUUGGACAUUUAAUUCAUAUCAACUUAUUUUUAUCUCUAUAAAUAAUAUAUAUGUACUACAUUAAGUCCUUUCUAUUAUAAACUAGAGAAAAAAGAAGAAAAUAAAGAAUUUAAUAGACUUGAAGGUAUUUUUUGAGAACUAAAGCUCCAUAUCUAUAUGGAAGAACAAGGGUUGCAAGGGAUACAAUGGUAAUGAUGACUAGGACUAUAGAUAUUAUUGUCAUUCACUAAUAAACAUAUAAUUUACAACAUUUCCCCUUGAAUGAAAGACUACAAAAUAUUUAUUUCGUUUAAACCUGGUCAAGAAAACUCAAUGGGACAAAACUUGAGUUAAGGAAAAAGAGUAUAGUUGUUCCCCUUAUUUCAAUAAAUGAAAAUACUUGUAUCGAGCCAUCUCUGUCUUGUAUGUCAAUGUUUUCAGCACUACAAUUCUGAUUAAAUUUGUUUUAUAUUGUCUUGCUGUAGCCUUCAAACAAUAUUUUCUUCAUAGAUGAUAGUUAUCAAUCUUCGUUUGUCUUUAGACAUAACAUACAAUGAUUUGUUUAAAAAUAGAUUGCGUUGUAGAUCUCUUUUGGAGUAGUACACGACUUGCAACAUAGAAAAAUAUUAUUUUGAGGAAAAAUUCUUGUAGGUCAUGGACAUUAUUACACAAAAAUCAUGACUAGUUAAAAUCUUAUUAGAAAAAAUCAUUUGGAAAAAUCUUAAUAAAGAAAAAAUGGUACAUUAUUCUUUUGAAUAUGCUACAAAAGUUGUUUCGUUAAAAAUCUUAUCAAAAAACCCAAUUGAACAAAAUCUUAGUCAAAGAAAAAAAAGGACAACGCGUAUUCAUUCUCCUUUAUAAUAAUAUCACUUGAAUUAUAUGCUUAGACAUGAAAUCCUUGAAGGAUGGUAUUAAAAACAAAGAAGAUAGGUUGAUCAUAAUCACAUUUAUUAUAUGUAUAUCAAAUUUAUUGCAUAGUCAUGCUAACAAAAUAGAGAAUUGUGAUUACAUCUACCACAAAAUAAUUUAUCUAUUUAUAUAAGUCUUGCAAAAUUUAGUUUAAAAUUUGUGCACUACAUACUACGACUUUAUUUCUAGUAGUUGGACUGCAGGUCUAGAAAUUUCAGGUUUCUCCAAUAAGUUUGAUUUUCUUAGUACUACAUCUUUUUAUUGACAAAUUAUUUAUAUGUUCGUAUUCUUCGACAAAUUUUCUUCAAUAUAUUGCGAUCAUUCAUAAUGACGCGCUACGUUAUAUAAAAAAUGUUGUCAACAACUUUUUCUUUUCCAUUCAAUUUUUUCUCCAUAAUUACAUGACUUGUUGAGAUAUCUCAAGUUUAAUUAUUUCAGAUACUUGAAUCUCUUUGAAAUAUUAUAAUUUAUUAUCAUUAAAUACUUAUAAAAGAAUAUGCCUCCUUAAAGGAACCAUCUUUCCUAAUUGCUUCGUUUCUUGAGAAAUUUUUGUAUAAGAAACGAAAGGCAUGCCAUAAAUUUAUCAAAUAUAAUAUUAAUUAAUUGUUCUCAAAAACGUUAAUUACAUUUGAAGCAUUUAAAGUAGGUAUGUAAGAUAUUGUUGGGUCAGCAGAUCAUCUAAAUGAAUUAUCUUUCAAAUUAUCUUUAGCAAGGAUUUAGAUAAUAUAAUGUUACUUUUGUGCAUUAUUUUCAGUUUAUUAAUUCAUCCCCCUAAUCUUGAGAAAAUAGUUCAAUCAAAUUGACAGUCAGCAAAUCACACUAUAAAAUGUCACCAUUAAUUUUUAAUAUUUUAUAGGGUUCAAAUUCUCAGCAUUUGUAAUAUUUGUUUCGGUGACUGCGAUGGAAUAAUUAUAGAUAUAUUUCACUUUCAAAAAUAGUUAUAUCGAAAAUAUUAGGUUUUGACUGUAAGCCAAUUAUAAAAUGGAGAACUUCGAUAUCAGGAUAAUGCAUAGUAUUCCCUAAACAUAAAUAGAAAGUACUUUGUUCUAAAUAGUAAUGGUUAAAAAAUUAAUUUAGAGCUACUUAACAAAUAAUAAUGUUGAAUCAUUUAUUGUCAUCCCAACUAACAUUUAUUAAAAGGUUGAGAUUUAGAGUCGCCAGCAUUAACAAGACAUGCUGUCUUGACUGUAUAAUCUGAAACUUAUGUCAUAAUUUAAAACUUUGAACAGUAAUUUCAUAAACUUCAACUGAACACCAUGCAAUCAUCUAUUAGAUGUAUCAAAUCUAUUAAAUACAAAUAAUAUGUAGAUGGUCAACAUGGAGGGUGGCGACCCCCCCCCCCCUUUAUCACCUUAAUUAAUUUUCAAAAAUAUAGAAAACCAUGUCCCUAUUUAAUUAUUGAUGGUUAAUUGUUAAUCUUUAGUAAAGAGAACAAACGUCAUAUAGGAAUUCAUUCAAUUGAAAAAUCUUCUAAUUCUUCAAUUAAUAUCUGUUCGAAUAUUAAAUUUUUCGUAUCAUUAUUAAUUCGGUAGUAGUCUAAUCAAUUACGCCAAGUAAUAAAAGAUUAUAUUAAUUGAACUUCUAGUUCAAUAAAUUUUUUGCUUCAAUAGCACUAAUACUUGUAUAAUACAAAAAUAAUAAUAAUAAUAAUAAUAAUAAGAAACAUGGUAAUGACUGUUCUAAAGCUUCCAACCAGGGCUACAAAACCUGAUUUAUUAUUAAUGUUAAUCAUUUUAUCUUUCUCUUUCGGGAAGUCAUAACGAGUUUAUAUUCAUGAAGAUGAAUAAAUAAGCAUUAACAAUGUGAGUUCACGUAAAUAUAACACAAUUUUCAAUUUUGCUCAUUAAUCUACUUUAACACCAUUUCAUCAUUAUCGGCUAAUCAAAGGGCAACAAUUUCAAAAUUAUCUAUCGAAAAAAAGACACAAUUCUAUUAUUCCCGGUUAUAAAGAAUAAAGUAAUUUCGAAAAAAGCCAGUCAUAUACAAUUCACUAAUCAAUAUAAAAAGUAAAAAAAAAAAAAAGCCGUUUAAUUAUUUUAAAAAAAUAACAUCAAAAUAAGCUAAUCAGCCAUGACAAUUAAGCAUACCCAGCUCGGUAAUCAAAGUAACCACUAAUUUAAAAAAAGAAUAAUAAUAAUAAUAAAAUUUCUCUUUAUUUAAUUCAAAACAUUCAAAUUUAUGCCAAUGUAUUCUUAUGCAUUGUGAAUAAAAUAUAUAAACAUUAACUUAUAUUCAUGGGCACGAGCACUCAAAAUAAGUAGAAUAUGUUCCUUUCCCUUUUUUCUUUUCAAUUAAUAAUAUGUGAGCUAUUGUUUGUCGUCAAAUAAAAUAGUGACUUAACUCAACACAAAACAUGGCUUGACAACCUACCGUGUCUCACAAUUGGAAUUCUGUAAUCAACAUAAGAAACAAUUUUAACAAUGCAAAAAUAAAAUCAACAUUCACCUGUAAAUGCAUAACUCGAAAUGUGUGUGUGAACUCAUGUCAACAUGUCAAGCUCAUGAUUGGUUUACUCCCGGUCCAGAGUAGUCAAAUAUAUCAUUUUUCCCUCGGGAGAUACACAUCCCCAAAACUUAUUCUUUCCACUCAAUCAUCCCAAGGUGUUUUCUAAAGUUAUGAGUUUAAUAACUACAGUCAUUUCCCUCUCUUAGCUUGGGUUGGUCUCACUAUUACACGUUCACAUGUCAACAAGUAGAGACUCUCCUAUUUUGAUUGUUUCAACCUUUAAGACUAAACUAAGCUACUUGCCUCGCAUCAAAGGUGUAGUUUCAUCAACUAAAUGUCCAAGGACUUUCUUCAUGUUAUUGUGCCUUUCAUUCACUUAUUUUCGGAUUUUUUUUUAAUUAAUUGUUAUAUUCUCAUUUGCUUUCUAUAUAAUCCCUUGGUGAACUUUAGGUUGAUAACUCUCAAACCAGUUGGUUUUAGGGCACCAGGUUUAUUCACUCGAGUUAUAAAGGCUUGAUUAGAUAACUUUUUAUUAGAUUCUUCCCUUCUUGCUUUUUAUGACCCUUGUAGCUAGUUUUGGACUAGUGACUCCCAAACCAGUUGGCUUUAGGGCGCCAGAUUUCAAAAUACCCUUACAACCUUACUUACUCGAGUUAUAAAGGCUUGAGAGAAGUGUUAUUCUUACACAGACUAAUAUUAUGCCUUUUUUUAGACAUUCAUUCUCCAAAACCAACCUUCAACUUAAGACUUCACCUAAUCAUCAUCUCAUUGGUCUUAGGCAAUCCACACAGUAAAAUUUCAUGCACGGAACCCCUGAUUUUCUUAAUGUUCUCCUGUAAUUGCUCAACCAUCUCCAAGCUACUCUAUAAAUGGAUUAUGGGUCAAUACAAGAGAGGUUUUCUGGGUUUAUCCUACUUUGUUUAAGAAUCCAAUCACUAACUUAAUGUGUAAAGCAUGAGUGUCAUGCACAAAAAUGCCAAGUUCCACAUCAGCAAGCAUGAGUUAAUCAAAUCAUGUACCAUAUCCGCAGUUCCUAGUACAUACCUAUUCCAAUAUUCACAUCAUUGCGGGCAAAGCUAUCAAACCAAUACAAGCACACAAAAUCAUAAACAAAAUAGACAGAACAUGCAAUUUUUUUUUCAUACGACAAUCACAAUUAGUACUAGAUAUCAAUGAAACCAAGAAAAUUAUGCCACCCCACAAACUUAUACAUCACAUUGUCCUCAACGUACAAGAAAAAAUAGUCAAAAUAAAUUAGUAAGGAUCAGAAACUCCCCGAGAUAGCUACAGAUAGGUAGAUGAAUCAAGCUGGCUCGACUGGUAGAUGUCAUAACAACAAUCAUCUCCUCGUUGCUAAGCUUUUGUUUGUUGUUCUGAGAAUUUAAAACAAAUAUCAGUAAUAGCAAAUAAAUUUAAAAUAUGUGCAAUGAAUUCACACCAUGAAGAAUUCUAAUCUUCUAACUUUUAGAAAAACUAUUGAACAGAGCGUACGUCCCUGCAAAAAUCGUAUUCCUAGGAGAAGAUAAGUUUUUAUAAUUCAUUUGGAGAUUGAAAUCUAAGUGAAACCUUAAGAAUGCAUAUCAAAUCAAUGUAAGCUCAACAUAAUGAUAGGAUGCUAACGAUGAGCCUAAGUAAAUUGAACUUAAUGGAUAAAAAUCCCUAAGUUACUAAUGCACGUAAUACUUAAAAUGUGUUCAAAAUAAACCAUUUAAACGCAUGAGUUCCUAAAUUAAUGCAAUCCCUAAAACUACGUGUAAUGCAAUGGUUAAUUAAAAUAGUGAAAAGGGAUAGAAAAAUGGAUUACCUCCCAUUAAGACUCGAUUUAUAGUCUAGAGCUUCACUUUUGACACAUGUAUUUAAUGGCACUUUGAAUAUGGCUUUGGAUGUCCUGCUUAGCUUGAUUAAUGUGACUUUGUUCUAUAUAUAUUGCAACUUUCCUCCAAAAUUUGAUCUUGUCAUUUUCCAAAUAGUAUGAUUUCCCCUCAUUAUCUAUUUCGAACUCAAUAAUGUGUAUAUCAAUCUCCUCAUGAGGUUUAAUCACAAAGUCAAUUUUUGAGCAAUCGACAAAGUCGAGGGAUUGCAUGCUAAAUUCCUCUUCUUUGAAUGCUACUAAUUCUUUUAGGCCCGUUAUGAUUAAAUUCCCAAUCUUUUCAUGCUCAUCUUCUUUAAUUGAAGUGUUCUCGAGUUCAAUGUCUGUAUCCCAAACUUUUAGCAAAGAAACAAUGACAACUUUAUGGAAAGUCUUCUCCUCUUGUAUUUGUUGGAAGUCCGAUGGACGUGAUUCUCUUAAUCGAUGUUUAUUGCUAAUCAGCGAAAGAAAUAAUUUCACAGGAAAAUCACCCACUUCAAAUGUUGGUGAGAGAAAUAAUGCAGUAGGCAAGUCACCCAGGACAAUCUCAUCUAGUUCACAUUCUACUUUUAAUUCUCGUAGUCGCUAUCCUAUAAUGAAAUCUCCCACAAGCAUAUCCCCCUCAUCAGUUUCUUGAGGUGUCAAUUGUUGUUGGCUUAAGAUGAGGUCACAUACGAGCAUCUUGUUGAAAUCAACCAUAAUCGUCUUUUAUCCUGCUUUUUGGUUCUUUUUUUAUAUAUCCUAGAAAAAAAAAGAAAAAAAAACUAAAAUGUAACAAAAAUACCAACACAAGAAUACAGGUAGAAGUUUGAAUUAGUCCCAAGAUAAAUAAAAUUAAACUAAAACUCAAUCCCGACAACGGCGCCAAAAAUUUGUUCAUGAAAAAUAUAUUUCGAUUUAAAUCCUUAAGUGUACGGUUCGUAACAAUUAAUAAAGUGAAAAAUUGAGUCCGAAUAUCGUCCCACAGAAAUUGAGUAGUUUAAUUUUACCUAACUUGACCUUAAUCAAAACUGACUUGACAAACGUGAUUUGUUGCAACUUAAAUUAAUCCUAACUUAAACUAAAUAUGCAAAUGUGUAUGAAUCGAAUGAACUAAAAUGCAAAAUAGAUGCUUGAAUGCAAGUUUGAUAUAAUCAAUGAAUAUAAAGUGCACUAGGAUUAUGAUUCCCCAAGCAAUGCUGACUUUUAACCAUAGUUCCACAAUUUGACAAUACAUUGAAUUUUAAAAGAAUCAAUGCUCCUAAAUCUAUCUAACAAUCUCUCUUGAGUAAUGUUAAACCUACUCUUAUAUACCACCAGCUUAUAUCUCUAUGAUAUGUGCAAAUAUACAAGAAUACAUGUAGUUUUGUGAGCACUUAAAGAUUCACGCAAGGCAUAGAGGUAUAUCUCUAUCCUCUAUCAAACCUACGAUGAUUUAUACCUUGUCAAACUUAUUCCCCUUCUCCCGAAUGCAUGAAAUAAGUCACCACACAAUUAUGUGUACAUAAUCAUUGAAGAAAUUAAUUGUAUAUAAAUCAUUCAAACAAUUCCAUACGUGUUUUGAUGUCAAAUACUGUAAAACAAGAAAUCAAAAUUUCACAAUAUAAGAUUCAUCGAUCUUCUAGUACAUAACAAUCUAGCCUAGCAUGGAGAAACAAAUAAAAUACACAAAAACUUUAAGAAAUGACAUCACCGAUGUAAGAAUUUUCAUAUAAUCCUGUUGAUCUUAGCGUUUCUCUUCAUUAUUGUGGUGCAAAAUCAGCUUCAAGAUGUGUUCUUUCUCUCCCAAGGCAUUCUCCUCAAUUUAGGGAUGACCCGAGGGUUUUAAAAUACUUUCUCAAAUUUGUUUCCAUAAGAAUUUUAGUCAUAAUAGGAAACAAGAAAUUUUUGAUCGCGAUUGAUGCCCAGGCAAAACUUGGGCAGUCGCCUAGACUAAAAAUUUCGCCUCGGUAAUUGUUCAUUGAUGUUGGGCAGUCACCAAAUUAUAAAAACUUUCGAAUGUUGCAUUUUGAUCCCUAAAUUCGAUUCUUGAUUCUUUUAAAUUCUUUUUUUUUUUGGUUCUUUUCCCAAUACUUCAAGUCCACACUAAAUUUGUCCUUGAAUUUUUCACAUUAUCGUUUCUGUUUUCGGUUCAUGUUUUGGCUAUUUGCACUUUGGUUCUUGAACUUUUGUUUGCUUCUGUUUUGGUCAUUUUUUGUUUCUUUUCUCUUGAAUUUUGCUACAUUUAUCAAUAUAGUCCUACAAAACAAAAUUAUAUAGACUAAAGCCAUAAUUUAAACACUUUGAUCAACAAUUAGGUCCUAUAUAUUUAAUGAUUCACCAAUGAAAUGGUGUGUCACGUUACUGGUGUCUAACAUAAGCUAAGCACCGGCACUUAGGAGAUCUUUCCUAUGUGUAUAUAUAUAUAUUAAAUACAACUAAGCUUCUUCUACAGCAUUAAUGAAUAGAUAUGUGUAUAAAUAAAUAUUCUUCUACAAUAAUGGAAUAUUUGAAUAUAAGUUGUACUUUUUCAAAAGCAUUACCAUAUUUAUUGGAUCAGAUUUACACAAAGUUCAUCUUCGAGACUAACUCAAUAUUUUUCUAGAAUAUUGAUUUGUACAAAAUUUUGACUGCUUUAGGAAUAUCAAAAUAACAUUAUUCUUGAAUAUUUUGUAGUCGAGUUUUUUUUUUUUUUUUUUUCAAAACAUCGCACAAAUUUCUUCAUAUAAAAUUGUGCUCUCUUCAAGACUAUAACGAGAUAUAUAUUCUUCAAGAAUAUAAGUACUAUAUUCUUCAGAAAUAUUCACAUUAAUGAUUAGUUCUGCCUUUUGAACUAAACAAUUUAAUAUUAAAAAUAAUGCUCUACAUGAGAAACAAUACAAUUUUUUUUUAUAUAUUUAUAUAAUGCGGGUUGUGAUUAUUCAAAAACAUCAAAACUAUAAUCUUUUAGAAUAAAUAUAAUUUAAGUUAUAUUCUUCAAGAGCAUUGAAAUCGUAAAAGAUUUCACAAAUAAAAUAUAUAAAUAAACUUUUAAAAAGUAGAAUUACUUGAAUUUGAAAGUUUUAGAGAACCUUGAACAGUCGACAAUUCUCGUAGUCCUGAAAAAUGCAAAUUUGAAAAAAAUUUCAUAAUACUUUAAAAAUUCGUCACUGUUCACGUAGCUAUUUCUCGCGAAUGAAUCGUUGAAUUUUGAUCUUAGCCAUCAAAUUUGAAGAACGAUGAAUUGUGAACGCGUUAUCCAAUUUUUAUGACAAUCGAACCGUGAAUGAUGACAUAUUAACGUUUUAAUCACUUCCAUGCAGGAUGUCCAGAUCUUGCAAAUUUCUGACUGCCAAAUUUUUUUUCUAAUUUUUGAUGAGCUUCUCAUGUUGACAACAUGUAUUUUGUUAAGAAUCAAAACCCCAAUGUUUAUAGGGAAUAAUUAGGGCCACAAGGAAUACGUUGGUAAUAAUAAAUGUAAUAAAAAUUUCACCUGACUGGCCAAUUUGACGAUAAAAAUUGGGAACCGGAUAGAUAAUUGAUUCAAUUGAUGCGUAAACUCACUUGUAUAGAAAUCGAAAAUCCGGCUGGUGCAAUCAAAAUCGACGACCUAAUUUCGGUUUAACCAAGUUUUUCGGAAAAUAAAAUAAUAAAGUUAAGAAGAAUCCAGCAAUCUUUCAUCGAACUUCUUCCAUUUAUCUUAGGCUCAUUAAUUGAUGCAAUAUAUGCAGCCAAAAAUCUAAAAAACACAAAAAAUUGAAAGAAGAAAUAAUCUGAAAAUAUUACAGAGGGCAGCCACUGUCUUCUCCUAUCAUUCUGUUGGUAUUUGUCUAUUUGAUAGAGAUAUGAAGAGAAAUGGUAUGUAGAAUUUAUUCAAUUUUAUUUGGGCCAAAAGUUUGAUUAAGUACCUGUUUGAUACCUUUUAAUUUAUUGGAAAAAUUACAUCUAACCCUAUAUUUAAAGUUUCAAUUUACAAUAAUCAGGUCCAAAUUAUUUUUUAUUGUAAAAACUCAUAUAUACUCUAUAAUUAUAUAGUGGAUAGUUAUCACUCACUAAUUCUCCCAACACCUCCAAUUGCAAGAUAUUUUCUGCCACUGCACGGACUCUUGCUCGCUCUUGCGCUCUCUCUCCCCACAAAACACGCUACAACUUGAGUAGCUUCCUCUCUCUAUUGCUUUCACUCUCUAUGUUGCUUCGCUGCUGCUUCUUCGUAGGGAGAAAGUAGCAAUUUCGUCGAGAGAGAUCCAUUCCUCUUGAUACAAACUCCCAAAUCUACUGGACGGUAUUAAAUUAUGAUACUAUUGGUACACAGAAGUACGUUUGGAUGGUAGUAGAUUAGAUGGUGUUGAUGGUUCAAAUCUUCUGCUGUUUGUUAUUUUUCGUUAGAUGGUGGUGUUUUUCGUUCAAGUACGAUGUUGUUGAUGGUGGAUUAAAGUCGAUGAUUUCCAUUGGUGGGGCUAGAUGUACAUCAGUGUCAUGGUGGUGAUGGUGCUUGUGAUGGGUUGGAGGGGGUGGUAGUGCUGUGGUGGAGGUGAGGUGACAUCAUGGGCAGACCCACAUGGGUCAAAUGACCCCACAAAAUUUUGGAUUUUAUUUUUAUUUUUAUUUUUAUUUUUUGUUUUUUUCAAAAAAUAGAUGUUUCAAUCCAUUUACGACCUACUUUAAUACAUGCCAAAUAAAAUCAAAACAUCGCAUUCUUAAUAUCAUUUUCGAAGUACUCAUGGCCUAAUUUUUUGCUUCUUAUUGGCUGAUCAGAAGUUACGAUAAAUCAAAGUAGGACGUUCCAAAUUAGUAUUUCGAAAAGUUCGAUAGUAUUCUAAUUUUUAAAAUUUUGACAAUGAUCGUAUACUAUCCGAAUCCACAAAUCAUCUGCGUCAUCUAGAAGCUCGUUUUGAAAACUGCAUCGUAGUCAUACCUAAUGAUCCAAAAGGAUAUUGGAAAUAGUUAUAUAUGUGCCAAAUGUACAUUCUAAAAGGGAGCAUUUAACUCGUCUUUUUAAAAGAAAAAAUCAAUUAUUUUAUUAAUGUUUAUUAUUUUUGCACAAUAAAUUUUUUAACAUAAUUUACAUCAUUUUAUUAGGAAAUUGUACAUGGAAAUUGGCAUUAAAGAUUUUAAAAUCGUUACGGAUUAAAUGUAAUUUUAAUUACUUUCAAAUUCCUUUUACGUUAAACUUAAAUUUCAUUUACUUCCUAAAUUAAAUGUGAAUUUUAUCUCAAUUCAUUUAGUUCCUAUAUCCAAUUUGAUUUACUUGUCAUUAGCUCAACAUCUAUAAAUGAAAUGGUAAAAAAACUUUACAUGUAGCAAAAUUCAUUUAAUAAUAUCGAUAAUUAUAUAAUUAUAAGACAUUUUCAAGGUAUCAAAAUGCGUAUGAACUUAUUUUUAUUAAUAUUAUAUUAUUUUAAAAAUCACACAUUAAUUUUUUACCCUACAAUCGAAAGUCUGAGUCCACCCCUGGGUGACAUCGAUGAUUUUUGGUACUCUGAGUGGUGUUGGUAGUGGUAAUGGUGUUGUGGUGGCUCUGUGGUAGUGGUACUAUGGUGGCUCUAUGGUGAUGAGGUGAUAUCAGUAUGGGAGUGGUAGUGUGGUUUUGAUCGAUUAUUGAACAAUUGUAACCAAUAAAAUGAAUAAUUUGUGGCAAAUAAAUAAUGUGUCAUAAAAAUGCAUGAUUUUUUAUCAAACCAACGAAUAAGAAUUAACCAAUUAAUUUGAUAAUUUGUAACGAUGAAAUAAAUUGUGACAUAUACAUUUUGUAAUUUGUGAUCGAGAAAUAACAUUUAAAUGUUAAUUGUGACCCUCUGUGACCAAGUCUAUAUUAGUUGUGAUCAAGACUAUAUUUAUUGUAACUGUCUGUGCCCAUAUUAACUAUGAGUGUAUAUGACCAAAUUAGGAGUGACGGGGUCACGUAUAUCCACAAUUUAGAAUGAAGACAAAUUUGAUCACAAUAAGUCAUGGAUAAUACAGUUUUGGUCAUAAACAAUAACAGUUUACACAAAUAUGGUCGCCAAAAAAACAUUAUUAAAUAGAACCUAGUCACAUCCAGCACAAAACACACAGUUAAUAGGUCACAAUCAGACUGAGUUUUAUGGAUAACUCUAUAAGCACGAAGAACUUUCACAAAUUCAUGAAUAGAAGCCUGAAAGUGAUUAAUGUUUCACAAACAUAAUUGAAAUGUGAUACACUAGAAAAGCAAAAUAAAUAAUCAAAUUUUAUUGUACACAACAGAAGUAGAUUAGCUGCAACAAAUUUAGCAGUAUGUUCUUCUCCUAGAAGAGUGGCAGAAACUGUUUAGAUUUAGUAGGGUAUAAUCUUCAAUUACAAUGAUACACAACUCCUGACUAACUGUCGCUGGCUACCAGAAAAGCACCCCCAACCGCCACUUGAAUAAAUAAUAAAUGAAAAGUAUGAUCGGCACUGAUGCGACUGUAGGAUUUGAACUCAGGGCGAGAACUCCUUCAAUUGGGUUGUUUUUGUCAAUCUUGGCAAAAACAACCCAAUUGAACUUGAUUCCCUAAAUUUUUCUUUUCCUUUUUUUUUUUUUUUUUUUCUUUUAUUAAAGAUUGAAUCCUUGCGCAUCAAUGAUGCGAAUUUUAUGAUGUUGAUGUUAACUUUAGUACACCGAUCAAAUCAUAGCAAACUUUACAAAAUUGGGAAGUACUAAAUUUUUUUUUUUUUUUUUUUUUUUUUUUUCUUUUUUUUUUUUUUUUGAAGGAUCUACUAUAGAGAGAGAUUGGCGUGGGUAUGGCUGAUUGGAGUUGUAUACAGAGAGUUCGGGCAAAUUAUGGUGGAUUGGAGUGUGUGCGUAGAGAGAAUUUGUGCACAGUUUUGGUGGAAUUAGGUUUCCUAAAAUUCGUAGAUUAUAAUAUCUUAUAAAUAUAUUUAAUAUGUUAUUGUUAUUUAUUACCUGAUUUUUAAAAUAUUUUUCUCAGUUUGUUAAAUAUGAAUUUGUAUGCUUAAAAGUAUUGUAGUCUUGUAUUUUUCUCUAAGCGUGUGUUUGAUUACAUACAUAGAAUUUGCAUGAAAAGAAAGUAAAUUCUAGGUAAUUGAAUUGCCUUGAACUUAUUUGCAUGGAAAUUGUCAAUUGAAUGUGUUUGAUUGAUUUAAUUUUCAACCUAGAAAAUAUUAUACUUAUACAUUUUUUAUUGGUGGGUAAAUGAGGGGAGUGGAUAGAUUAGAGAGAGAAAGAGAGAGCGAAUUCCCUGAAAAAUAAAAUCAUACUCGCUCUAAAGAAAAUAUUUUCCUUGAUUUUUAAGAAAGUAUGGUCACGUGACCAAAAAUAGAAAAAUAUUUUCCAUGAAAAAAAGGACAAUCAAACAAUACAAAAGUAGAAAUUUGAGUAGAAAAAACAUGUUUUCAUUGAAAAUAUUGGCAAUCAAAUGUCCCUGAUUUAUUUUAUGGUUUGCUAUAGAAUCAUUUUCAACCAAACAUUCACACAAUAAAAUAUUCUACACGUAUAUCAAAAAAAUUUCAAACUUUUUAACCACGCAUUCUUGUAAAAAUAUUUUUCAAUACUCAUUUUUCCCCCAUUAAAGAGAAUCAAAGAGGCUCUUAGUAAAUAGCCCAUUUAGUUUUUAUUUUAUAUUUAAUUGGCCUACUUAGUGUUAAUUUGAUGUAAAAUGAGUAUUAAAAUAGUUAUUGAAAGUUAAUUUUUUUUACUGGAUAUAAAAUUUUAAUAGUGUGUGUGUAUAUAUAUAUAUUCUAUUUAAUUAGUUGUAAGGAUAUAAUUGUCAUUUACUAAUAAACAUAAUUUACAACACUUUUUAUAAGUUGAUCUAAAACAUAAUUAUAAAAAUGGGCUGGUACAUUGCAUUAAACUCGCAUAUUUUAAUCAAAUAAAAUAUUUUUAUUAAAAGCAUAGAUAUUGGCCUACAAAUACUAGAAAUGGAGGUUUUAGAGAAAGUUUUUUACCAACGGAAGCCAUCCGUUGCUAUUAGUAAUGGAUUAUCAACAACUUUCCAAUAGAAUUUUAUAAAAAAUCUAUAACUAUAAAAUAAAUAUAGUAGCAACGGAAUCACCGAAAAAAUAUAGCUGUCAUUAAAAUUUCGUUUUUAAUUUUUGUAACUUUUUUACAAAAAAAUAAAUAUAAAAUAUAAAAAAAAUUACGAACGAAGAUUGUGACCUAGUUAUUGUUGAUUGUAAAAUUUUAAAAAACUAAAACAUUAAUUGAAAUGUACCUAAAAAUUUUUUUUUUUUUGGUUAAUGCACUAAAUAUCUAUUUGUAAUAUAUUCACAUUAAUUUAUGUAAUUGUAAAAAUAUUUCCUACAACUCAAUUUGUUAGUAAAUGAGAAUUAAAGAUAAUAAAAAUUGAAAGCUCAACAAAUAAAAUCUGGAAAAAAGAAAAAUAAACAGCCCAAAAAAGUAAGAACUCGUUCCCCAAAUUCUCUCAUCCUCUCCAAAGAAGAAUCGGGGAUAUUAAGAGAGAAGAGAAGAGAGGAGUGGGGUUUAUAGAAACGAUUUUGAGAGAAAUCAAGAAAACCAUUUGGCCGUCUCCCACUCUCCCUGCUGUUUUUCAGUCUAAAGAAUCCAAAUUUCCAAUUUCAAGUUGUAAUAGAUGGAAGAAGAACAAGAUCAUGUACAAUUUUUUUUAUUUAUUUUUUUCAAAAUUUCUUCAUUAUCAGCUUGAAAGUUUCUGGCUUCUUGAAAUUUCAUUUAUUUUUGGGCUUGAGUUGGGAAAAUGGAAGAAAAUUCUGAUGAUUUCACAGUUUGAUGAUUAAUUUAUUUUUCCCUUUUCAAAUUAUCAAUUGGGUUUACUGGAUUUGUUUUCUGAAUUUUCAAACAUUAUCUAUUAUGAUUUUGUGUAUGAAUAGUAAUUUUUGCAUCAUACACUGCUGGUUCAAUCAUGAGAGCAUGUUUGGCUAGGAAGUUUACUUGUAAGUAAGUACGUUUUUAGUUUGGUUAAAAUUGAAGAUUAUUUAGUUGAUAAUUAAUUCUGGAUCUGCCAGAAAUUCAACUUUCUUGGACCAAGAAGCAACAACUCACUUAACUGGAAUAUAAAAAAGUGUUUAACCAUUGGGAAUGUCAAAUUAAAUUACUUUCUCAUGUAGAAAAAGCUAUGUACAUUUACAUGGAUUUGUAUAAAUUGACAAUUUGAGGGUUGAGCAGAGCAGAGGGAGAAAUGAAAUAUCUCUGCACUUUUUUAUUUUUUGCUAUUUUGUUGAACUUUGGCAUAUAAAGCAAUUUAUGAGAUUUUCUGGGGUUUUUUCUGCAGCAUUGGUGAUGGUUGUACUUUUUCCUUCUCUUCGAUCCUUCCCUCCAAUAAAGCAUAAUCCCUUAUAAUUCAUAUUUUUGUUAAUAUUUAAAUCCUGUUUCGAUUUUAGUGGAAUAUCAAGUUUUUUUUAUAUUUGAGACUUAACCUUCAAUGUUGGAGCUUUUAAUUAGUAAAUGGUAGAAUACAGUCUUUGAAUCAGUUUUGGGACUGGGAAAAUACAACCUUAUGGCAAAAUACAACAUUUGUAUCAAUUCUGAGUCUUUCCUUCAAGCUGCAUUUGCUCUGUACUAAUCUGUGUAUUGAAUAAUGUGGGAAAUUUUACUAGUUUAGUUUUAGAUUUACUAAUUUUUAUUAUGCUAUUCUUAUGUUGUUUACUUGUUUAAGUGAAUCAAGUUUUUAUGUUGAUGAUAUAUACAUUUAAGUGAUAUGUUUACUUGUACAAUUUGGAAGCAACUAUUGUUGUUUUGAUGAUAAACUGCUUGUUCAAUUGUUAAAAUGAUUAUUUUAAAACUGAUAUCAAUGUUUUAUUUCUAGAAAAGGGAAUUAAUUGGAUUCAUUUUGAAGGUUUAACAUUCAAACCGUGCAGCAAUUCAUGAAGGAUGUGCAAUUAAAAUUCUAUGAAUUGUUGUUGAAGUUAUGGCAUCGGACCACGAUUGGACUUUGAAUCGCUUUGAUGAAGGAUUUCUUUCUGAUAGAUUCAUUGAAAGUGUUGAAGAGUUUAUUGAGUUUUCCAUGUCUCGAACAAGAGAUGGAGAUACGAUUAAAUGUUCGUGUUAUAUAUGUAAAAACACAAGGUUUGUAAAAGGAGAUGAUGUGAAAUUUCAUCUUUACAAAAAUGGAUUUAUAAGGGGCUAUAAAUAGUGAUACACACAUGGAGAACCAUUCAAUUUCACUAGUCCAAAUUUGGGUAAAUCCUCAACUGCACAAGCUACAACCAUUGAGAGUCAUGAAGCAAUGGUGAUGGAUAUGAUGGGCCCUGAAAUGUACCACAAUUACAUCAAUCCUAAUGUUUGUGCUCACGAGGAUCAAUCAUCCAAUCAACACGCAACAAAUUUCUUUAGGCUGUUGGAAGAAGCUGACAAACCCAUGUGGCCUAGUUUUAGUAAGCAUACAAACCUUUCUACUAUGGGACAACUCUUGAAUCUGAAGUCAGAGUUUAAUAUGCCUACCACUUGUUAUGAUCGUAUGUUGUCUAUCAUUAAGGAAAUUAUGCCAGAAGUGAUUGGUUAGAAGCUAAGUUCUAUAAAACAAAGAAAAUGUUAUCCAGUCUUGGCCUUGGUGUUAUGAAGAUCCAUGCUUGUGUAAAUGAUUUUAUGUUGUACUACAAAGAAAUCGAGAGAAUGUCCUACAUGUUUUAGUCUACGAUAUAAAGAUAAGAUGUCUCGAUCUAGACAUAAGGUACCUUAGAAGGUACUACAAUAUCUACCUCUAACUUCUAGACUUCAACAAUUGUAUAUGUCGAGGCAUACUACAGAGCACAUGUUAUGACAUUCGAAGAAUCAAUUCAAUAAUAAUGAAAUGUCACACCCCGUACACAGUGAGGCAUGGAAGUACUUUGAUAGAACUUUCCCUCAAUUUUCCCUUGAACUACGUAGUAUACGCCUUGGUUUAUGUACGGAUGGAUUCAACCCCUUUAGCAUGUCAAAUGUGCAACACUCAUGUUGGUAAGAGUCCAGGGAAAAAGCUUUGAUGUUUAUUUGCAUCCUCUCAUUGAUGAACUAAAAAUGCUUUGGGAUGGAGGUGUUGAAACAUAUGACAUACAAACAAAGCAUAAUUUUCACUUGAAAGCUGCAUUGAUGUGGACUAUUAGUGAUUUUUCGGGAUAUGGCAUGUAAUCUGGAUGGAGUACACACGGCCUAAAGUCUUGUCCAUACCGCAUGGGUCAAAGUAAAUCUUUCAGGCUUAAAAAUGGAGGGAAAACAUCUUUUUUUUAUUGUCAUCGUCAAUUUCUACCACCCGACCACAUUUAGAAAACAAAGAGACAAGUUUUACAAAGGUAGAGUUGAGAAAAAUAUGGCACAACAUAAGUUAACUGGUGAAGAGUUGCGAAUUAUAGUGGAGAACCUCCCACGCAUUGGCAGAGCUGAUAAGAGAAAAGAAAUAGAAAGUUUUGGUCAUAGCCAUAAUUGGAUGAAGAGAAGCAUAUUCUUGGAAUUUCCUUAUUGCAAUAAAAAUCUCAUAAGGCACAAUUUAGAUGUGAUGCACAUUGAAAAGAAUGUAUUCGAAAAUAUAUUCAAGCACAGUUAUGGAUAUAAAAGGAAAAACUAAAGAUAACUUCAAGGCCGGGAAGAAGUUGGAGCUUUAUUGCAAUUGUCCAGAGCUUUAUAUAUAUGAAGGUGAAAGAGGAAAACUAUUCAUGCCAUAGGCCUCCUACAGCGUAACUAAUGUACAAAAGCGAGAAGUGUGCAAUUGGAUUAGGAAUUUAAGAUGCCUAACAGUUAUGCAUCAAACAUUUCACGGUGUGUUAAGGGUUAAUGUGAGUUCUAUGGAAAGAAGAGUCAUGAUUGUCAUAUUUUUAUGCAAAGAUUGCCGCCGAUUGCAUUUAAAGACUUGUUACCCAUACCAAUUUGGGAAGCUUUAACUGAACUUAGCCAUUUUUUUAGGGAUAUAUGCUUUACUGUUUUGACGAUGAAAGAUAUGGAGCAAUUGGAAAAAAACAUUGUGACAUUAUGCAAGCUUGAAAAGAUUUUUCCAUCAGGAAUUUUUGAUUCAAUGCAUUUACCUGUUCAUUUAGCAUAUGAACCGAAGGUUGGAGGUCCCGUGCAGUAUUGUUGGAUAUAUCCUUUUGAGAGGUAGCACAUGCUUCAAUAUUUAAUUUACAUUGUAUAGUUUGAAUGGUACCACUUAAAAAAGAAAGUGAAUAAUCGAGUUCAUGUUGAGACAUCUAUUGUGGAGCUUACUUAGUAGAGGAAAUGUCAAAUGUUUGUUUUCUGUAUUUUGAUCAAAAUAUUCAAACAAGAUUGAAUCGUGCGUUGAGAAAUGAUGACGGAGGUCUUAUUGAUCCCUAAGGGAGACUAUCAAUUUUUACCCUCCCUGGACGACCCCUUGGCACUCAACGUCAUGAUAGCAUAUUAAUGACGAAUGAGGAAUUCAUAGUAGUGACAAUGUAUGUGCUCUUCAAUUAUGAGGAAGUAACCCCUUUAUGGCAUAAGCUGUUAUAAUUACAUUUGUAACGUAUAUAUUAAACUGUAUGCUUGCUUAGCAACGUUUACAAUUUGUCAUGGCACAUGUAGGGUGUUCGAUAAAUAUAUGAGAAUGUCGCAUCCCCAAAUGUCUGAUACACGAUUUGAUGGUUUACGGGAAGAACAUUUUUCUUGUUGAUUAAAGGAAUGUGUAAGUGAUUUUAUAAGUAAUGUCUCAGUUAACCCAAAAAAGUAUCUUGUAAAAUGAGUUCUAAUGCAUAUUGUUUCUUUUUUUCAAGUUUUGGACGAUCAUAAUAAAGUUGAUAAUCGCAUAAAGGCUUUGGCUAUAGGUCCCUCUCGUAGAGUAAAUUGUUAUAAUGGAUAUUUUGUCAUUGUUUUUUAAGUUUCACACUUUAGGUUAUGGUUCCCACAAAACAACAAUGAAUAGUGGUGUGUCAGUACUUGGAAGUUGUCAUAAUGACUAUAAGCCUGACUACUAUGGUAUGUUAACUGAAAUAUUGGAAUUGGAUUAUUUAGGAGAUGUUGGAAACAAGGUAACCUUAUUUAAGUGUGAUUGGUUUGACGUCAAUGGUGGAGUUAGAGUCCAUCGACGAUUUAGUCUUGUCGAGCUUUAUCAUACGAAGAAAUUACAAACAAAUGAUGUGUUUAUAUUUGCUAAACAAGCUCAACAAGUAUAUUACACAUGUUUUCCAACAAGGCUAGAGAUAGACUUGAUUGUUGGGCGGUUGUGAAAACAAAAGAGAGAAAUGUCCCCAACAUACAAGGAAUAAUAUCAAAGAGUGAAGAGUAUAAUAUGUAGGUGGAACUUGCAUUCCAAGAAGAUCAACCACCAUCGACCCUGAAACCUGUUCAAAUAAAUUCAGAAUUUGAUAGCCAAAAUUUAGUUCGUACUGAUAUUAAGGCUAAAGAAGUGGGUUGGCUGAAUCUAGGAUCUUUGAUGUAGAUUCUGAAAGGCAUGAUGUAGAAGAAAAUACACAAUUUGAGAACAGUGACAGUAUGGAUGGUUUCACAACAAGUGCAAGUGAAGGAGAAAAUUGUACUAUUAUUAUUCUUGUCAUUUUUAGUUCCUGUUUUUUAGUUUAUUGUUGGCUGAAUGUAGGAAACAUUUGACAUGUUUAGGGAAAAGGAAGUAAUGGCCAGGCCAGAUAAUAAGCUAUGUGAUGUUUUGGUUCAAGAGACACGAUAGUAGUGUAUGCCAACUCAAUUUCUUUGAAUGUGGCCAGUCUUCAUUUGAAAGGUGGGGUUUCUUUUAUCUAUGUUUGACAAAUUUAGUUAUUUAGUAAAAUCGUGUUUUUAGUAUCUAUAUUUGGCAAAUUGAGUGAUUUUGACAAAUGAUGAAUCAGAAACUUGGAAUUGGAGAUAUUACAACAGCUGGAGCCAUAUCAGUAACCAGCAUAAUCUCCUGAGUGUUGCCACUUGUAAUCUGUUGGAUGAAGAUUGAAUUUUUGUAUUUUUUGUGUCCUUUCAAUAUAAAAGUACUGAGCGCUGCCCUGAACUCAUGUUGGACACAAUGUGCUCUGUUAGACGCCACUUAUUGUAUUGGACAAUCUUGUGUUGGACGCCCCGUUGAAGUUUUAGUUUUAUUUCUUUAGUUCUAUCUCUAUGUUAUUGUUUUUUCGUGUUCCUUUCUUAGACAAUGAAUUCAUCAAUGUUGCAAUGAGCAUUGAUCUAGAAUCGAAAAUGGUAGACUAUUGAUCCUGUUUCUUUUUCACCUAUCAGCACCAUCUUUAGCCAUUUGCUGCUAUAUUUAUUUGUACAUUUAAGAAAUACUAUCCUUGCUUCACUUUUUCCUUCCUCGGAAUAUUAAGAAGAUGUGCUGCUAAUACUUGUAAGAGAUAAAUUUAAGGGUCAUAUUUGUCAUUGCUUCCAAUACUUGCUAAUAAAUAUGUGCAUCUUGACAAUCUAUCUACCUUCAAAUACUCCAACAACAAAAGAGGGGUACUAGUCCAUUUUUGAUUGAAUUCUCAAACAUAUAUCAUAAUACUAUUCUAAAUGGGUGAAAAUUGUUAUUUGAGAGGUAAGUUUAUUGAUUACCUUCUAGAGGGUAUUUGUGAUUGUUCUUGGCAUUAACUUCAAAGCAAAGAAGUUACAGAUUCUGAUUGUUUGAAGUUGCAUACAUGGGUGAUUUUAGCCAGUGAAAUGGCAACAUCAACAUCAAAACCUUGAAGCAGCUCGUAUUGGCUGGAAUGCACCUUGUAGAGUUGUCCAUAUUGAUUAGAUUGUAAUGGCCGUUUGUUAUAAAUAUUCAAUGAGCACUGGAAUGGCUAGAACCCAAAAUCUGAGCGCCUCAUGGCCCUGAUUUGUUCUUCGGUGGCCUUGAGGAUGGCUCCUUGCCUCUUUUGUUGGAACAACUUUUGCAAAGUUUCCUUCGUUGUCUGGUUUUUCAAGAGAAAAACAAAUUAACUUGCUAAGUUCAUUGUAAAUGACCAAGUUUAUUACACAUUUCCCAACUAACAUUUAAUGCAGCCUCUGGUAUUUCAUCGUUGAAUGCCUUGUAAAAUGAUGGUGGAUUUUCCCCACCAGCUCCACUUUAUUCUUGCAAGUAAUCAAGAUUUAAGAUAGUCCCUUGAAAGGAUCAGGCACGCUCGAAUAAAAAAUAUGUCUAUUUAUUCAUUGUCGACUUCGUCUAAUUCAUCAAUUGCUUGAAUACUUCUUCCAAUUGGUUGAUUGCAACCCGAAUGAUAUUCGAGUGCACCAUUAAGCUCAACAUCACCUUAUCAAUUUUUGGAGAAUUUUAGGUCAAUUUCAAUUGCAACACGUUUUUUGGUUUUGAGUAAAUAAUUUUCUAAUACAAUUUAUGGCUUUUAAUCUGAGUCACUAUUUAAAUAAUUGAAUGUUCUCAUGUAUUCAUUCGUAAGAACAACACCCAUUCUAAAAAUGUAAUUUGGUGUGCAAUUACAACUUAGGGGUAGUCGAACUUCAACCAAAUGUUCCCUCGAGGCUUAAAGAAUUGGGAAUUUUCCUUCAAUAGAAAGUUUCAUCAAAGCUUCAAGAGUUGGGGAUUGGCAUUUUUCUCGAAUUCUUUUUCGCUUUACCCUUAUCAUUCUCAAUUUAUAAUGCCUUGAUUCAAAGAAAGUUUCAAAAGUUUACAAUUUUGGCGUAGGACAUAUUGGGAAAACAAAAGUACUAGUAAAAAUAGAGCAUCCUAACUCCGAUUUGGGCCCAUAAUACCAUUUUGGAAAGAGAACGACGAGAUGAACAUGACACGCUGCUUUGUCGCGACGUACGAUGAAUUUUGGCCAUUCGAGUUCUUUUAAGACUUGAAAACUGAUUCCAAAGAUUUGGCGCUAUUUUUGUAAUUUCAUUUAUUUUGGGGGUUUUGCAAUUUACUUUAAAUUAUUAAUAUGAAAACUAAAAAAAUUAGUUGGUUUCAUAGUAUUUGAUCAUUUUUGUACGUAUUUAUUGCAUCUGGUUCUAUUCGAUUCGACUCCAGUUAAAUCUUUUGACUGUUGAUCCUUCAUUUUUUUUCCGAGUCAAUGAUUGGGUCGAUUUUCAUAACGUUGACCUUAACCAUAAAUAAAUACAUUUUUCUAUGCAGUGAAUAAUUUCUUUUUAAACUAAUUCAAUUUUAUUUGGCUUAAUAUUUUAUUUUAUUGAAAAAAAAAAUUUGACUUACGAAAUAUCAUCUAUAAUUCCAAAAUUUCUCUAUCUAAUUCAACCAAUCCCUCCAAAAAUUUCAACCCUUCCCUCUAAUUUUUCUUUAUACUCAUUCCCUCACUUUCCCCCCAUAUAUCCCAUUCCUCCCUCAUUUUCCCCCAUAUAUCUCAUUCUUCAAUCGUCCACUUUUCUAUCAUUUUCCCCCAUAUAUCUCAUGCCUUGUAAUUUUUCUAGAACCAACUGCCAAUUGAUGUGGUUUAGCGUAUCUAAUGUUGCUUGAGUCUCCAUAGCAAUAGCAAUUUUUUUAGAUGAUUCGGCAACGCUUGAUAGGGCAACGAGACUCUCAUCAUUAGGUUGGGUACGUUGACGGCGAACUUUGUUAGUUCCUCCUUCGGCAUUACGCUUAGGAGCGCGAAUGGGGCUUGGAUCCGUAUCCUCAUUUUGAUCAUCAACUUCAUGCACAUUUUCAUCUAAAAAAAUAAUAAAAUAAGAAUUUGUUAGAAUCUCUAAUAUAAACUUUUAUGUACGAUCUAGUACGUACCAUGAUCGGGGCAUAAAAUGUCAUUGCCGGUUACAACACGAUCUCCUGUAGCAGAAUCAUUUCCAAAGAUAGCCUCCAAAUCAUCAUAGCGAGAACAAAGUUUGGUCCUCCACUUUCCAAAUUCUGGUUUGCCCUACAAGAAAAAGAGUGAAAUAUGUUUUACGCUAGUUAGUGGGCAAAAUAAAUUAGAUUAGUAAUAUUUAAGGAAUAAUACUUUCAUUGGUCAAUGAAUUUUGUACCUUCAACAACUCCUCCCAAGCUAGUACAUCGGCUAUGACAUGUCCAGUGUGAGGAUCUAACCCAAAACUACUCAUGCUUAACAACUAACGAACUUCAACAUAUUCUUUUUUCAGUGUUUUCAAUCGCGCCCUCACAUUCUUAUCAGACACCAUGACUCCGCAUCCAUUGUGCACACUCUCGAUUGCUUUGGACACGUGAUAUGAUGAAAAGCCAUUGUCACUUCUUUUGUGACUAGACAACACUUGAUGUAGUAGUGCAGUUAUCAUACAACCGUUCAUUGCAUCACUCCAACGUAUUUGAAGAUUACUAGAAUUAGGAUCCGCUUGGGUUUAGCUUAUUUCCUCCACAUCUGAAUGAAGGGUUGGUCUAGGAACUCGAAAAGGUGUCGCAGAGCUUUGUCGAAUAUUUUCCAUGAAUUGUAUAGUGCAAGAUUAACUGUUUAUGGUCAACUAAUAAAUAAGAACAUUUAAGAAAAUUGCAUGUCAACAAUGUCUCCAAUAACAGCAAUUCCAAUUACAAUAUUUAAAAUUCUAGCAAUCUUAUGUCAACUAUUAUAGGACAUGGGGAAAAAAAUAAAAAAAUCUGCUUAAUGUCAAUACGUCUUCAAUUCAAGCAAUUACUACAUAUGAAAGUCUAGUAAAUUUAUAUCCAUUACAUAGAAAUGAAAACAAAUAAAAAAUAAAAAAUAAAUAAAAAAAAAUCAGAUUUCAAUCGAAAUCAAUUUCCGCAUUCUGAUUGGGAAGAUAAUUAGUCAACAUUAAAUCAGCAAUCGCAUUCCUCUUAUUAGACCACACUUCCUGAUUUGUGAAAGAUAUGUGAGCAUUUGGAGUUUUAUCUUCAGGUACAUCAACAUGCGUAGGGUUAACCUCAUCAUCACUACUAUCUAAGUCAUUUUCCUCACAAACAUCUUCAACGUCAUCAAUCCUUAAGAAGUUGUGAAUGGUAGAACAGGCAAGGACUAUCUUUGCUUGUGUGUCAAUGUCGUGAUAGGGUUGAUGUCUCAAAUAUGCAAAUCUUCUUUUCAGCAAACCAAUUGUAUGCUCAAUUACGUAGAGAUGAAUGUCAAAAAUUGAACAACUCCUUACUACUUUCAGGACGUUGACCUUCAAUGUCUCUACGAUGAUAAUGAGUCCUACGGUAUGGUGCAAGAAAACCCGAAACCGAUGGGAAGCCAGCGUCAACAAGGUAAUAUUUACCUAGGAAAGAGUCGUUCAUAAGAUGGUAGUUAGGUAAUUAUUAUAACUUAUGUGUGGAAGAAAUGUUUUCAAAAUAGUGACACAACUUACCAACAGGAAUUGUUAGCUUAUGUCCUUGGCGUAAUAUUGCACUCCGUACAAUCGACCAUCAUGUGCGGAUCCCUCCCAACUGGCAAGAACGUAUGUAAAUUUCAUAUCAAAUGUGCAAGCUACUAAAACAUUUUGGGAAAUCACUUGCUUUCUAUUGCGAUAUUUACCUUGCUCCUCUAAAGACACAUACGCAGCUAUAUGUGUACCAUCGAUUGCUCCUACGGCAUCCUUUAAAAAAUAAUACUUUUCAAAAUAAAUGUGAAUAUUGAAGUUUUAAUUAAUAUGAUGAAAUAACUACAAACCACUAACCUGAAAAAAGGAGUACCAUGGCUGCACAUUUUCUUUUUCGUAUGGUGAGUUAUGAGGAGUGGCAUUAAUCACAACAUCUCUAUACAGUACAAGACAAGCGUGUAAGACUCUGUGAAAGUAAAAGCUCACUGUUUGACUAGAGCAAAAGAAAGUAAAACGUCCAGCGCGAUUACGUUGGUCAUGCCUGACUGUAUUCAAAAAAAUUGCGACUUGUUCCUCAAUUCAAACGUAUUUACUGUCAACCAAUCCAUAAGAUCGCAAAUGAGCACAUAAUCUUUGAAAUGUACCUAUUUUCAUUCUAAGGAGAUCACGACCUAUUGUAUCACUCGUGCCAAACAUUCGUGUAAGUGUUAUUUCUCUUUCAGAAUUCCAAUUUGUAUGAGAAGCUCUUGGAAGAUGUCGUGCAUGACGCCUAAGUUCGUUAUAUAUCACAAUCGCUUGCAUGACCAUCAUCCAAAAUAUACCUAAAUGUUGUCGUCGGCAUCGACGUUGAUUCGUUGUUGUAGCCAUGUUAUAAACUACCACGGUAAAUAAAAAUUCAAUAAAAAUUUGUUUAGAAAGAAUAACAUAAAAGCAUUACAGAAUAAAAAGUUAACUGUAACUACAUCAUAAUAGAAAUUCAUUGCAUGACCUUCCAAGCAUAAUGUCAACUGGUUAUAUUAGAAUUCUUAAAAUCAAUUUUUUCAAUUUCAUGCUUCCCUAACUCAUUCGCACCACAGUAAUCCCCCAGUUAGUAGAAUCAAGAACAUAAACCCACGAACAUAAAUUGUUAAGCUACUUCUAAAUCUUCAACUAUCUCUCUAAUCAGAGAUUAAUAGUAGGUACAGUAAACUCUAAGCAAUAAAAUAACUAUCCCCAACACAGUGAGAUGAUUAUAAACUAGAAAUGAUACAAACUGCCUUAAAAUAUGUCAACGUCGUUGAAGAGUGACACGUUUAUUCACUUAAAUCUAGUCUUGAACAUGCCCUCACUCACACAAAAUGAAUUCAUUUUUUGUCAAAAGCCUCAUAUGCGCACAAGUUCAAUAAAUAGUGAUAGCAAACACGCCUAAGUCUACCCUACUGCUAUUUAUACAUAUGUUAGAAAAUUUAAGACAAAAAAAGGCAAAUUUUUUUCUGGGAGUUUAGGUAAAUAUAGAAUUGUUCCCACGUGCUUUUGUUGGGAUGCUAAUGGUCAUAUAAAAUCUAGAUGUUCUAGAUUUUUACAUGUAAGAAUUAAAAACAUACUCAGCAAUCCUUCAGGUGCGCCCAAAUAUAAAUCUAAAUUGAACAUUAGGCAAGUAUAUGGGUUAAAAAGGCUGUGUUAAAAUGCUACCAGAGUAAAAUAUUUCCUGUUGAUCACGUUCAAGCCAAGAAUCGACUGGCCAAUUCACUCACUAAAGCCUUGGAUACUUUUGUAAGUAUUAUUGGCAUUAUUUUUCUUCUUUUGAAAAAUAAUUAAAAAAUGCUCAUGGUACUUUGUGAAAGGUUCUCGAUAAAUUUGUUGUUCACCGUUCAUCACAUAACAAUAGGAGGAACUAAUAAAACCACAUAACUGAUAGCCUCGGCACCACCUUCAUCCCAACAUCACCACCACCUGCACCUCAAAUCAACUACCACCACCUUCGACAAGCGCUGCUCAUCUUGUUGUGAUUGAAUCCAACAGUGAAUUACCUAACAUCGACGUCAUCGACAAUAUCGUUGAUCACACCAACAAAAAGGCCAACGAGGCAACAAGACCGGAAGAAAGGUGAGCAUAUCCUUUCAAUGUUGCAGAAAUUCCAUUACUAAUAAUCAUCGACCACACUGAUGGCCAUACCAACAGACCAAAAUUCAUAAGUGAUAUCAUGUUCUUUAAUUCUCAUACUGGUUAGAUAGGAAGAUAAAUUUAAGCAACAUAAUCACAUGGAAUACGACUGAGAAUUAGUAGCCACGUUAUCUUUGAUCUCUCUCUCUCUCUCUCUCUCUCUCUCUCUCUCUCUUUUUGGGCUUUCUAUGUGCAACAAUCCUUAUGAAAAUCGUUUAGUUUCUUCUGGUUCGAUUUCACACCCUUUUUGGAAACCGUGAAGCAGAAAGUAUCGAAGAAGAAAAUAUUGAAUUAGGACAAUAGGCCAAGACCGAGCCAUGUAUAAAGAGCUAACAAGGUGCAUCGAAAAUUAAGUCACCGUUCUUAUAAAUGACCCAAUUCGGUCUAUUUAUUCAUGAACUAAACUUGAAAUAUAGAAAUCGAACUUUACAAAACUAACAAGAAUGUCCAAAUAAGAAUGAUACCUUUCCUAGUAGAAAAGAAAUAAUGGAAUUUUAUAAAGUAAUUCCUUCAACAGGAGGAAUUGAAUCAUCUUGACUCUUACAUAAGCCUAGAAAUCGAAAGCCUCUAUCUUACAGUUUAUAGAAAAACUGUAAACAUUGAAAAUGAAUACCGCCUACUUAGAAUUUCUGGUCGACAGGUUUGUUAGGACGUUCAGGCAGUGGAGCGGAUGUCUUCUGAGUUACCAUUUCCUACAAAACUUAAAGAAAUUAAGAACAUUUUGCAAGAGAAAAAAAUUGACCCUGAAAAGCUAAUUGAAAUAGAAGGCGAAUUACAAGAAAUUGAAAAACCCAAACCACUAAUAUGAUGAAAAAUUAAAUUUUUAUCAGCUACCUUGUGAAUGAAAAAACUAAUCUUAGCAUGUAUUCAGAAAUUUAAACAAUUACGAGAAGCGGUCACUGUCCACAACUUUUUUUUUUUUCCACAAAACUUACAAACAUAUAUACUUAAAAUUAUAUUUCUGGAGCUACACGAGAAAAUCACUUAGAACUGGGGUUUAAGGGUUAAUAUUUUGCCAACCUUUUGUAGUGAUUUCCUCGGAGGCAGAUCUAGAAGCAGAGAGUCGUCGAGUUCUUCCUCUUGGCUCGAUUGAAUUGAUGAGAGAGAGGGUAGUGAUUUGUAAGUGGGUAGAGAUGAGAGAGAGAGAUAUUAACGUAGAGAUGAGAGAGAGAGAUAUUUAACGUGGGUUGGUUACCUAGAAUUUUUGGAAAGGUUAAAUUCCAUGAAAAAUAAAAUCCACCUUCCCCCAAGGAAAAUAUUUUCCUUGCUUUCAAGGAAAAUGUGGUCACUGACCAAAAGAAGGAAAAUAUUUUCCUUAGAAAAAAUUGUCAAUCAAACAAGACGAAAGUAGGAAAUAAGGUGGAAAAAACCCAUUUUCCAUGGAAAAUGUGUGCAAUCAAACACACCCUAACUUCUUUUUUCAUCAAAUUCUUAUAUUCAACAUUCCAUUAAUUAGUAUAUCAUAUCCUUGAUAAUAAUUUAUAUCAAAAUAUUUUAUUUUCUUGCUUUAAUAUCAGAAAAAAUAUUUUUUAGCGGUUUUUACUUAUUUAAUUUUUAAAAAUAUGAUUGAAAAAUAAAUUAUUUUACCUCAUUUCAAUGAAUUUUGGGAUAUAAUAGUGUUAUGAAAUAUAAAAUAUGUUAAUUGAUGGAAAGUUUGAGAAAAGAAUGACAUGAAAAAUUGUUAGGACAUAAUUGCUAUAAUGAUCAAAUAUUAAAAACCUUAGCCCCCAUUUGGCCCCAUUAAAUUAAAAAAAAAUUUCUCUCUCCUAUUUUCAAUCACACAAUUUUCUAUAAAAUAAUAUUAUAUGUAAAUUGAAAAAAAUUUCUACUUUUUCAAUCACUUAUUCUUCAAAAAAAUACUAUUCCACCCAUUUUAUUUGAAAAAAUAGGGACCAAACGGGCUUAAUUGCAAUUAAAAUGUGGUGUAAAGAUAUAAAAAUUGUAGUGUGAAUAUAAUUACCUUUUUUGUUAUUAACUUAAAUUGCCUUAAGUAAAAUUACAUAAACGGGGCUUUAAUAUAUUUAUCACAUAAAAUAAUUUAUUGUUACACUAUAAUCAUAAACCUAAUUUUUUUCUUUCUUUUUCAUCAACAGUCAUGUCACUUUUUUUUUUCCAUCAAUUCUUCCAAGACGGAAAAUAAUUUACUUUCGCUCUCUAAUUUUAUUUUAUCAAGGCCGGCCCUUAGAAUUUAGAAGUCCUAGACAUUUAAUUAUUAUGGGACCCUCAACAUAAUAUUUAUUUUUCAAGUGUAACAAUAUGUAAAUAUUUACAUAAUUAAUACUUUUAUGUUAGAAAGAAAACUUUAUACAAUUUAAAAGACAGAAUAGCAAAAUAAAAUUUUUAUCACCACCCGAAAGAUUAGACUAGUAUAAGGUUUAACCUUCUCACAUGCCAUAUAAGAAGGAAUGAAACAAUGUGUGAAAAAAAAAAUAAUAAUAACAUAUGAUUUAGAGGUUUCCCAUGAAAAAUCAACGCUACACUCGGCAUCAAUGAGGAGCAAACUUGUUUUGACUAAGAAAUUGUCAAUUUAAACUCUUACUUCCAGGCCUCAAUUCAAUGCCCAGAUAUAAAGCCUCAGCGCUAUUAGAAAUGAAAAUAAAAGCAGGGUAUAUCACGUUUUCAUCCACGUGAAACUUAUGCUACUACAAAUAAAUAGAGGCCAAAAAGAGGAGAAUAAGAGGCUUGUUUGGCACAUAUUUUUCCAAGUGGAAAUGAUUUUUUUUUUUUUAGAAGUAUGAUUAAAAAGUGGGGAAAAAUUGUUGUCGAUAGAAUGUGAUGUUGAAAAUAAUUUUUGGGGAAAAAUAUCAAAUAUGUGCCAAACAAGGCUUAUCCCAACUCAGAAAUGAAUAUAUGAAGUUGUCAAAGACAACAGAAAGAGAAAUAACUACAAGCAUAAGACGAAGACAAAGAGGCCGAACCUGUGGUUAGAUAAUUAGAUUUCUAGUCUGAAUUUUUUCAACUUUGAUGGUGGAUUGGAACUGGUAGUUUUUAGGAAUUUUCGGAUUGGUAUUGAUCUCUACUUCUCUUCAAGUUUAUCACAUAAGGUUAUUGAUAAAAAAAAGAUGGAAGAUUUUCUUGGGGAAGAUGAUUGAUAUGGAAUGGAGAAGAAGGCGGUUUGUUUUCCCUUUGACUUGCCUAGCAUUUUUUUUUUAAGGGAUGGACUGUUUUAGGGUUUUUAGAGGCCCUUAAAAUUCAGAUGCCCAGGGCAGUGGCCUUACUUGCCUUGGGCCAAGGCCGGACUUGAUCAAUUUCAUGACAAAACCCAAUCUGCAUUAUAUUGAGGACAAUUUAUUAUGGAGUACUUUUAAAAAUGGAAUAGUCAAAGAAGGGAAAUUCCACUUUGACUUGUUCAAUUCUUAAAAUUAUAACAAUGGCCUAUUGAGUGUUAAAAGAUAAAAAUACCCUUAAGUGUAUUAUGUAACUACAAAAGAAUGUUUUGUUUAAAAGACAUUAUUACCCUUUUGUUAACAAAUAAAAACCAAACACUUCCCACUUAAAAUAUCAAAAUCAACAAACUUCUCAUAUUUGUUUACUCCAACACAGAUAAAAACACUUUCAUCUUUCAUUUGCUUCAACUUCAAGAUUUGAAAAAUUCAUUGAACGCGGUAACUGAAAAUUUUUUAUAUCAAUCUCAUCAGAUCAGUAAGUUUAUAAUACGCACAUUUAAUUUUAUUUUCGUUAAAUUAUUUUACGUUUACAUAGAUAAAUAUAUUUCAACAUGUAAUAUUAAUGUAAAUAGUUUUAUUAAUAGAUCUAUGAAAAAUUUUAAGCUUUUGACGAGAAAAAAUUCAUCUACAUUAAUAUUGAAAAAUUAAUCUGCAAAAGUUUGGAUGUUUAUUCUAGUGGACAGCGAAUUUGAACAGCCGACUAUCCAGUUAACAGUUGAAAAACCUGACUGGACAGCCGGAUGGAUAGUCAGCUAGAACAACCGAAGCCGGCUCGAACAGCCGGCUUAUUAAUUUUUUUCUAUUUCAUUCGAUAUUUUUUUGCAAUUAAAUUUUUUUUCCUCAUGCAGAUAUGGUUGUAUUCCCAGUUUGUUACUUUUGUGAUUUCGAUUUGGACGAAAGAGAUCGAUGGGUAUGGAAAUGGGCGAGCGAUAAACGUGGUGAUAAGCCAAUUUCCUUAACGGAUGCAGAACUCUAUAAUCUUUUACAGAACAAGUUAAAUGUCGAUCUCUCUUAGUAUGACAUGGAAUUGAAAUUUAAAUUCAGUGAUCAGGAAGUGUCGAGUCCACCUAUGACAAUUUCUUCUGAUGCCGAAGUGAAUUAUCAGUUUGAAAUGAAGAAUAGACACUCGACUCCUGUUUGCGUGACUUUAGUGAGGAAGGAUUUCGUCGAAAGUGAACUAGUAGAAUCAGGUGGAAGGGAUAACAAUGCUAAUGAUUUUUGGGAUAUGGUCCAGAUAGCUCAUGAAGAUGAUGCGAUUAUUCUAGAGACAGUUACUCACAGAAUUCGUUUCGUGGUUCACGAAAUGAGUGUGAAAAUGCAAAUACUUCUACAAACAAGGAUUUAAUCGCUUUAUCCCGACAGAGACAUGAGUGGGGUAGGACCUCAGGGGCUGGAUUGAGUGGACCGUUCUCUAACUCUUUCCGUAUGGUUCUCGAUAGUGAGGAUAUGUAUGUCCAGCAACUAUUUGAAAUGAAAAAAGAUUCGCAGGAAGCUGUGAACCUAAUUGCUCUGAAAUACAACUUUGAGUUCAAAGUGAAAAAAUCGAACAAGUCAUUGUUGACAAUUGCCUGCGUAGACGAUAGUUGCUGCUGGCGUUUGCGAGCGAUGAAGAUGAACACGAAUGAGUGCUUUGUAAUUCGUAAGUACACACGGAAACAUACUUGUGAAGUGGGAUUAAGUCGAAAUGAUCACAAGCAAGCCCGAGCUUGGUUUAUUGGUCAUAGAUAAUGCACAAGUAUUAGGAUUCUCGUACAAUCUAUAGACCAUUGGACAUCAUUAACGACGUCCGUCGAGAGUACGAAGUAGUUUUGAGCUACCAGAAGGCCUGGAAGGCCAAUGAAUGUGCGUUUGAGGAUUUAAUUGGCUCUGUAGAGGAAAGCUAUGCCAAAUUGGCUUGGAAUUUUUUAUUGAGACGAAGGGUGGGAAUUGCUUCAAAUUCUUCUUCAUGGCUCUUGGACAAUAUAUUUGGCGAUUUUGAAAUGCAAUGCGACCCUUAAUUCUAGUUGAUGGUACAACACUGAAAUCCAAAUAUCAAGGCAAGUUGAUUAUUGCUGCAUAUCAAGAUGCCAACAUCUAAAUUUACCCUCUCAUGUUCGGUAUAGUCGAUAGUGAGAAUGACCUGUCGAUGCGGUGGUUCUUCACAAAGUUAAGUGAAGUAAUCGGGGAAGUCAAGGACCUUGCAUUUGUAACAGAUCGGGGACAGCCUUUAAUAAAUGGUAUCACUGAAGUUUUUCCAAAUACACAUCAUGGGUAUUGCAUAUACCAUAUUCAAGGCAAUCUGCAGACCAGGUAUUGUUUCAUUAUACAGGACAGCGGCUGAAACCUGUAGUGUUGAAGAGUGUAAUAAGUUCAUGGUUGAAAUAGGAAGUAAAUCAUUCGAUGCAUGGGAUUAUCUAACAAAAAUGAGGAUUGAACAUUGGGCGCGCUCAUUUUUUUAGGAUGUCGAUACAACAUGAUGACAUCAAACGACGCGAAAUCUCUCAAUGCAUUAUUCAAGAAGGAUCAAGAAUUAUCCAUUCUUACACUAAUUGAGAAUAUUCGUACUAAGCUGCAACAUUGGUUUCCCAAUCAAUGUGCGGAAUCACAGAAUUGCACGAGCGUGCUAGCCCCGGCGCAAGAGUAAAGGCUAUUCAAGUUGCAGAACUUACAAGACAGUUGAAUGUCAAAUCACUAGACGAGUCGUGCUUCUCAGUGGAAUGUACACGUAAUACGACAUACAUGGUCGACUUGACUGAUAACACAUGCAUUUUUAAAAAAUUUCAGUUGGAGACUUUUUCGUGUGAGCGUGCAGUCGCGGUUGCUAUGUAUCGAGAAUUUACAGUUAGAACAUUGUGCUCUCAUUACCACACGACUGACUAUCGGAGAGCUGCAUACGCUAAGACAAUAUUUCCUCUACCGAACGAAGCUGAUUGGGAAGUCCCCGACCAUAUUCGCCCGCUCAAUACAUUGUUACCACCUCUCAUUGAAUCGCGUGAUUUUGGACAUCCAAGUACGUUUAUAAUACCAUCUAUUGAAGAAUUCCCUCGACCGUGUAGGUGCAGUCGGUGCAAAUUAGUAGGCCAUACUAGCCAAUAUUGUACAAGUCAUGUUCCUCUAAAUGAUAGUUAAAUCAUUUGAUAAUGUUGCCCAUCUGAAUUAAACAGUGUUUGCAUUUAUUCUAUGAAAACAAAUUAAUUACCGUCGUAAUUAAUAAUCAUUUCAUAAUCCAUUACAGUUUGUUACAAACAUCAACAAAUCAAUAUUUACAGUAUUUACAAUUAUUUUGUAAUUACAAAAAAUUAUAACUAAUAAUUACAAUAAAUCUAUGGAUCACCAUUAAAAUAGAAUAAGUCGCACGCUAUUCCGCCAACUCUGUAUUCAGUAUUGGUUGAUUCCAUCAACCUUAUGUGCUAUACUCAGAAAUUCGAUGUACUUUAUUACAAAAAUGGCACUAUCACCCUUGCAAAUGAACAAAAAUGAGUUCAAUCAGUACCGUGCAGCAAAAAUAUUAAGUAUUAAAUUUUAAAAAUUUUGAACCAAUUAAGAUAUUGUCUGCCUCGCCGUGGUUGUGUCUAGUCAUCAUAGGGAUAAAAACAGCAAUGGAUUCCAGAUUUUGCUCGAGCUGACCUUGUGUCAGACAUGAAUGAUUGGGGUCGUACACGUAUAUAGUAGACUCAGCGAACACAAUCUCCAAAGCUUUGCAGUGAUGAUUCAUGAUCACUGGUAUGUACAUAUAUGUACAACCCUCCCAUGACUUCCCCCCGACACGUGACCACAUCCCUAUUAUCCACUCAAGCAUGUAGUCGGGCACCGCGUACUCAUUACCAGCAUGUUGGAGCGACAGUACUCAAUGUCAACGCUUCGUCCGAACUCCAAAUUCAGUAUGACUCGACCAAGACUGUCAAAUGGGCCCGGAUAUCUUUGAACCCGAUCACGCAACAAGUCCAUGGCCAGGUCGAUGUACUGCAUUAAAAAAUAGCAAUACAAAUGGAGUUAUUUCAUUGCAUAAACAAACAAUGAUAUAUAAGUCAUAAAAAUUAACAGUAUGACUACUUCACUUACAUCGUCGACAAGUCAGGCUCCUGAAGUAAUGAUGUCGUGGAACCACUUAUAAUUUGGAGAUCGUCACAGUAUCGAUCAUACGGCUAAUCCUGACAAAAGAAACAGAGAAAUUUUAAAAAAGUAAAUACGAGUAACGAUCACUGGUGUGUACUAAUAUCACUAAUAUCAUGAAUACUAACCUGGGCAACAUUCUUCUCCACUCUAUCUCGAACGCUUUCUACUUGGUAUGGUCCACCUCCUGAAAUAGGUUGGGGAUCGUUUCAUCGACGAACCUCCUCCUCUUCGUCUCAGCCGUGAAGAGAGAGACAAUGUACUUUGACGACACUCUCGGCCUGUUGCUUACCACCAAGUCCAGUAAGUCAAUAGUAUGUUUUUGUGCCCCAGUCACAGUCGUUGUCCUCCCCUCGCCCACCUCAAGCAUCGUCCCCUCCUCCGCCCCGAUGAUCGCCACCUCCUCCUCCAUCCCCGUCAUCACCAUCUCCUUGACCAUAGACCCCAUCCCCGAGAGGCCCACCACCUCAUCUACAGGAAUCAACACCACCUCCUCGACCCUCAUCCGCCAUCAUUUGCACUACCUCCUCAAUCAUCCCUCCCAUCCCCAAUGGAGCCACCCCCUCCUUCGCCCUCGGGUCCACCCUAUUCUCCAUGGACUGAAGAAAGGAGUUCCAUGCAUCCUUUGACUACGACGUGGGUGACCCCCAUCUCUAUCCACUCGAUCACCCCCUGGUCGUCACCUCCGUCACCCCAUCGUCUGCCUGCUAUAUCACUUCGAAGUGCUAUCACAUCAUCAUGAAGAUCCCCUAAAUGCAUGCGCAGCACUCUAAUAUCAUCAGCUAUAUCCCAGAUCGUGGACUCACUCCACCAUAUCUCGACGCAGUGCGCCGACCUCCUCUGAUAUAACUCCUAUCAACUCUCGACGCAACGCGCUGACCUCUCCCAAUAUAACUCCUGCCAGCUCUCGACAUAGCGUACUUACCUCCUGCACUAUAAAUCCAGUCAAUUGAUGGUACAGAUCAUCAGAAUAAUCACCCUGAAAGGAAUUGAUGCUGACAACGGAGGUGAUGUUGCCGACAGAGGUGAUACCCGAUUAACUGGCUCGCAGUCCUGCACAAACAUACGUAUUAUUAACUUAUUCAAUAAUUGCUAACUCAUACAAAAUGUUAAUCAAUAAUUCACUUACCCAGUCUUGAUCGGGGAUCGAAUCGGACAUCUGGUCGUUUUGGGCAUGCGGAACCGCUACUUCACGCACAAGAUCCUACGUCUCAUCUUCCAUCACCGGCGUCAAAUGAGUUAUUACUUCAAGCUGACAUAUUGGCAUUUUAAAAAGAUAAAAUCAUGUAAUGAGAUUUUAAACUAUGUACAAUAUAAAUCACAAAUUUAUAAUACUUUCAUGAGGGUCGUAGAGGAAAGCCGAUAAUUGUUUCCCAGUGGGACAUCCCUCUGCUCGAGAUGCUCGCCAAUGGUGCAUCCAAGGGCAGUGUGUCUCCUCUCUCGCACGCAAAGUGGGUACCCAAUAUGGGGAUGGUCUCAUACGCCCAAACCUGCAACACAUAAAUUAGUACAUACAAAUUCAAUAGAAAAAAUAUUUUAACAUUGAUUGCGUUAAUCAUUUACCUGCAGCGCCAAGGGAAAUUUGUACGUGUCAUACUUACGCACGGACCCCUUGAGCUUCGAGUGCAGUCUCGUGAAGAUGUGGAUGAUUUUCUCGAAAUAUCGACGGCCCCAUGGAUAGUUGUUGAAGCGAUCUAUGUCGUCGAUGAUCUCAAGGUGGAAGAGGUCGAUCGAAGUCUUCUAGUGGUGACACUGCAUCAUGCUCUCAAUGAUGUAAACUAGACCUAACUUCAGUCUGUCCAAUAUCUCGUCACACCUCCUGAUCGCGUCCAUUGGCUGAGGCAAAACCACUGCCCCAAUCCCUGGAAGUAAGUGUCCUGCAGCCUAUUUCUUCGUUGAGUCCCGCCGCUAGCUGGCUCAUUGCCCGUAAUCUUCAAUCCAGUCAGCAGGACAAAUUCGAACAUGGAAAAGCUAGCGACUUUGCCCUCGAGGUCGAAGUUGAGGACAUCGUCGUCAACUGGACUCAGCAGCCGACAUAAAAGAGCAUCAAUCGUAUGACCGGAAUGCUGCAACUCUCUCAUAGGGUAUAGAGGCCAUAGAAAGGACUGACAGAGCAUAGCUGCAUGUUGGUCGUCCAGCAGCUCCAGGAUCUGGGUGAAGCUGUAAAACUUACUGUUCCACGUAACUUUGCCUAGCAUCUAUCUCAACUCUGCAUCCAGAUGACAAUCCAUCCAGCAAAAAUUGAAACAAAAUAUUAGAACAUUAUAUAUGAAAUAAUAGAAUGAAACAUAAUAACCCAAAAUUAAGUGAACCAAAUUUUUAACCGUAUUAUCGAAAAUUAAUAAUUACCAUAAAAAUUAAAAUUAAAAUAACAAAAUAAAAUGAAAAUUACAAUUACAAUUAAAUUUAAAAUAAAAAGUUAAAAUUAGAAUUAAAAAAGUAAGUUUAAAAUUAAUUUUAAAAUAACAAAUUUCUUCAAAUUAAAAUUAUAUAAAAUGAAAAUUUAAUUUAAAAUAAAAUUACCAUUACAAUUAAAUUUAAAAUAAAAAGUUAAAAUUAGAAUUAAAAAAGUAAUUUCAAAAUUAAUUUUAAAAUCACAAAUUUCUUUACAUUAAAAUUAUAACUAAAACGAAAAUUUAAAUUUAAAAUAAAAUAAUAAAAUUAAAAAUUAAAUAAAAAUUAAAAUUUAAAAUUAAAAUUAAAAUUUUAAUUUGAAAUUAAUUUUAAAAUAACAAAUCUCUUUACAUUAAAAUUACAAUUAAAAAAUGUAAAUUUAAAAUAAAAUUACAAUUACAAUUAAAUUUAACAUAAAAAGUUGAAAUUAGAAUUAAAAGACUUAACCCCUAUUCCACAUGUGGGAUGUGUCAAUCACAAGGCCGAUGAGAUAGCAAAACAUCUUCGAGGUAUACAUGAAGAGGUGAAGUUAUCCAUUCGGGAGAGUAAUGCUAAGUACAGGGCUCUGGCAGAUAAUCAUCGUCGUCGAUGUUGGUGAUUUUGUUUGGGCAGUAUUAACUCAUGAUCAUUUUCCGGCUAUGGAGUAUAAUAAGCUUAAGGAGCAGAAGAUUAGACCUUGUGAGCUGCUGCAAAAGAUCAAUGAUAAUGCUUAUAGGUUGCGCCUUCCCAGCCAUUUGAAAACUUCUGACGUCUUCAAUGUGAAACAUUUAAGUCCUUGUCUUGUGGAGUCCAAUGAAGUCAAUGUGAACUCAAGAGUGAGUUCUUUCCAACCUGAGGCGACUAAUGCAGGAGGUUCCGAAUCAAGUGAGGCCAAGAUGUCAGAUAGCAUGUUGAUGACAUUGAGAUACCAUGAGAUGGCGAAUUGGUACAAAGAUGGAAAGUGAUUGCAAUACUCUCCUCAACUGGGGCAAUUUUCACACAUUUUGGGUAAUUUGAUCAUAACUCUCGUUACAGUUAUCAGAAUCGCAAUUAUAACCCCAAUCUGGACGUGUACGUUGUGGUCACCCAGCUAUACUUGGUGGGCAUCAAUUUCAAGGCCAAAAUCCGUUAUUUUCACUUCCGAAUUUCCAUUUUUUGUGAUUUUUUUCCAUUUAUGAUAAUAUUUCAGUUGCUAUUUUUGAGGUGAUUACGAACUCGAUUUGAGUCAGAUUUUUGGAAAGUCGCUUCUUUUAUUACGUAUUUUAUUUUGGUAUGUUUUUUGAAAUUUUACUAUUUUUCGUAAAAUUUCGAUAAUUCCGAAUUUCCUCAGCUAUAUAACCCAGCUUGUGGGUUAUUUUUCGUUAUUCUAGAGUUUAAUAAAAUUGAAUUGAAUUUCAAAGAAUUCUCUCUAUCUUUGGGCUUUUUCUUCGAAUUCUUCCUUGUGAAACAUUUGUUGUAGCUAGCCUAUCCUAUCCGGCAUCAAUAAAUGUUAAAAUUGAUGAUCAUGCAUAACAUAUUUAGAGAUUGGAUGGACCGAAGAGACAUUCUCCCUGAUGGUGAGAACUUAGAGGAUGAUAAUGCAAAAAAGAUCGGAUGGAGUUCACGAGUAUCUAAAAUGCAGCAGAUGCAGAAUGUACUGGCUUAGAUGACAUGAAUAUACUAGAUAGUGAAGCAACAGUAUAUAACUAGCAGGUUGACAUUGGCGAUCAAAUUCCCAGAUCAACCUUCAUCACGAGUGAGAAAAGCUCAUCCAGUGACAAAUGUAAUCGAAAAUUUCAAUGAGAGCAUGGUGAUGGGAAGCAAACUUGCAACUGAAAUUAAAAAUGUAUGUUAUACCUCCUAGCUUGAGCCAAAAAAAAGUGAACGAAUCUCUUGGUGAUGAAUCAUGGAUUUUGUAAACAUAUGCUAACAAUGAUAAUAUAAUGAUACUAAGAUACUAUUAUCACACCAAUAAAUUACAUGGAAUGCUCAGAUGGAGGGGUCCCAUAUAUGCCGACGUGGUAUCGACUAUUCAAAUGAUUAGGCCUAUUUAACUAAACAAUUACAUCUUGGGCUUGGAGUUGGGCCCAUUUCACUAAAUCCACAUAGCUUAUUUCAUUUCUCUAGAUAUGAACAAAUGCACUUCACACUUAAGGCAUGUAAACUCAAAUCCUAGCCAAUUUUUCUCUCCCUCUCUUAAACUUAUAUUAUAUCUCGUCCAGACACUAAUUUGACCGUGAGAGUGUAAACAAUCGUCGGACCACUUUCUCAAUAGCUUUGCCUCCUAACGAGGUGCUCCAGUGAUGAGUGAUGUCUACGUAGGGGGGAGGUGGUCAAGAUUCUUUUAGCUCAUUACCUGAGGUCAACAUAUUUUUUUAUCCUCAAUUUUCCAACCUUGUCAACAUAACAAGGAUAUCUAUGUGACUGAAAUAGGUACAACUCACAACUUGAAUGCUUGGCUGAAUAAAAUUAUGACUCGAUUUCCAUGUCUACAAGCGAUGCAGAGUACAUUGCUACUGGAAGUUGAAGUACUCAAUUACUUUAAUAAAGAAGAUGCUGAGCGACUAUGGCAUAACUACAAACCUUGGUAGCCUAAUCUCUAACAAUACAAGUGCCAUUAAUAUUACGAAAAAACACUUUCCGACACCUAGGGACUAAGAUUCCCAUGGCUUAUUGUUUUUUCUUCUUGAUUUCGGUUCUUUUUUUUUUUUUUUGUAUUCGAUUGUAUCAAAAAACUUCCCUUUUGAUUUUCAUUUAUCUUUUGGUUUUGAUUUUCAUUACUAUUUUCAUUUCUAUUCAAAUUUUAAAGAAGUAAUUUAUUUGUUAUAAACCAGAAACUGAGCACUGACUUGCCGAUUUAUUCACAAGGCUUUGGACGCUUUUUCGUUUUGAAAGUCUCCAAAAAAUCUAACGCAUUGCAUUGUGCAUUGUGCACUGAUUGCCCACUUAUUGAUCUAAUAAUGUAAUUUAUCUUUUAGUUGUAUACUUUUAUGUGUGUGGUGUCCUCUCAUUCUAGUAUGCUGAGUGUUUUAUAUAUAUAUAUAUAUAUAUUUAAAAAAAAAAUCACCCAACACACUAGAGAGGACUGCCAGCAUUUUUAUAUUAAAUAAAAAGUUUUCUCUUUUGUCUUGACAUAACAUGAACAUUAGGAGUGAUUAAUCAAAGUUCAACUAGCUGUGAAUAAAAAGAGUCCUGAAGUGAACUACACUAGAAUAUAGAUCUAUGGUUAGUAUUUACGUCCUUGAAACAAUAAUAUGAUGAAAUGUUGAUAAGCAAGACCAGUGAAAAGAGAGGGCUGCCAGCAUUUUUAUAUUAAAUAAAAUUUAUAAUCUACUAAUGAAUGUGGAAAAAAACAUGCCCUACAAUUAUAGAAAAAGACGGCUAGCUUGAUAUGAUUUGUAUUUCCUUUAUAAAUUAAUAAUCCAUAUGAUAAUUAUUUUGAAAUACAGUAACAGUGCUUUGUAGUGUGUUACGUACCUUUAGUGUAUGUCAAAAUAUAAUGAGGGUAAUGAUACUUGCCAACCCAGGGAUAUACACCCCUUUUUGGCCCCUUCCGUAUAAAUCCCUCACAUGAAGGGGGUGCGCUGAAAACUCGGGUGUACACCCUUUUAUAUGUGUAGCAUCACCCGUAUAAUGCACAUUUGAAAGCAAAUGAGAUAAACUGAAAAUCAGCAUUUUUUCUUUGAAUGUGCUAUUCUGUCUUGGCAUGUGCUACUUAAAAUAAGCUAUAUUCUUAGGGAGGGUUUGGGGUAGCCAACAAUAUGAAAUUUUUGUACUAAAGUUCUGUCUCUCCUUAUUACAAAAAAUGGGGAGAAAAAAAUGGGAGGAUAAUUUUUUUGAAGUUAGUUGACCAGAUGGCGAUUGUAGACUUUCAUUAUUUCCCUAUAGUAAAGAUUUUGUGAAAUGUUAUCCAGUAAUAUAAGACGCUUUAUUUACCUUUCUUAUCAUUGUACUUAUGAUAAGUACUAAGGGCCGUUUGUUUUAUGUUUCAGUUUUCAAUUUUGAGUUUUAAAUUCAUUUUCAGUUUUAUGUUUUAAGAAACUAUUUAGGAAUGCUAAAAAUGCAUUUGGUAGGUUUUUUUGAAAAAUUAUUCCUCAAAACAGAAAACCAUAAAACAUGUUUGGUUUAAAAUUAUGAAAAAAAUAUUUUUUGACAUUUAUUCAACAAAAUUUGUUAUUUAGGAAAAAUAGAAUACUUUUAUGUUAAUAUAUUAUCAUGUAAUAUAUAUGUUUAAAGUUGGUGAAUCUUACAAUAUUUUUCUGGUAAAAGUAAAAUAAUAAUAAAUAAUAAAUUUGGUUCAAAAUAUGGGAAAUAAAAAUGAAAAUAAUGGUGCAGAUUAAAAAUAUUUAUGUCUGUGUUUACUUACAUACAUGUUUAGUUUUUUAUGUAAAUAAUCAUUAAAAGCUUGAUGUAUUUUUAUUUUAAAUUUUGAAAUUGAAUCUCUACAAUUUUUAUUUUUUUAAUUUUUAAUUCUUAAUCUUAGAAUUUAUUUUGUAGAUUUUUAGUUUUCUUUGUUAGAAUUUUAUAUGUUUAUUUUAAAAUGUUUUUAUUUUUAAAAUUUUAUUAAAUGUUUGUUUUCUAUAUUUUGAGUGUUUUCAAAAUUUUCACUGAAAAUACACAAAACAAAAAGAAUGCAUUACGAGUUUUAUGUUAUAAGUUUAUCCUCAUUUUUGAAAACGCUAUUUCAUAAAUAUCAGACCAAACUCAUUUUUAGUAUUCUGCAAAGCUGAAAAUAGCAAACCAAACGUACCCUAAUAUUUUCCUUGACAUUCUUGUGCCUCAAUUAGGAAAGAUUAAAGAAUUUUUUCUUGUACAAGAAGUAAAAAUAGACUCUAUAUAGGAAAGGGUGCUAAAGAUUUUCUCUAUUCCCCUUCACUACACAAAAAAUUUCAGGAAAAAUAUUGGAGACUUCUUGAGCACAAAAAACUCACUACAUGUUUCCCGGUAGAUAAAAUCAUUAAACGAAAACAAAAGAAUCUACUUGUUUUUCAUGGAGAAAGAAGGGAUUGCUAUCAAGUACUUUCUGGGAUAAAAACUUUCCUAUUUGAAAAUUUUCAUAAGAUAGAUUAUUGAAGAAUGUUAAAAUAUAUGCUCAUCUGAAUUUUAUCAUGGAAGAGGCAUUUCGACUUUAAAUAAAAAUGGGUCUUUAUUCCAAUUUGAAGAGCAGCUAGGGUGCAAUUCUAGGAGUGAUGGUAGAACAAGUUCGUUAGCCUUGUUCCACUUAACAAAUCAAGAAAGUUAAAAACAAGGGAAGUUAUUAGAUGUUCUUGAUUUUUGUUUACUUUUUUUUUUUUUUAAAUUUGUAAUUCCAAAUUUCCUUGAGACGGGUAUCCUUUUCCUAUGUAGUGAAUUCUUUAGCCAUGGCAUGGGGCCGUUGAUGUUUUCUUAGAGGUUUAUCACGUUAUAUUGUGCAUUCAGUGUUUUAAAUUUAUUAUUGGUGCGAUAUCUUGAUACUAUGGUUGGUUACUCAGUAGUUGGGCACUUUAUAGGAUAGUUAGGACCAUUUUGAUGAACUAUCAGAUUAAUUAAUUAAUAUACUAGAAUUCAAAGUUUUAGAAAUAAAAUAUAUUUGGUUUAUUGAAAUUGGCAAUUUUAUAGAUAAAAUUAAAGUUAUAAAAGUCCAAGAAUCGAUUGGGAGGUUGUAUAGUUCAAUUAGGAGUCCUUGGGUACAAGUAUGGAACAGGGAGAAAAAGUAGCCGUAAUUAAAGUUGUUACCUGAUUGGCGCUCUUCUACCACUCGAUCGAAGCACCUACUGCUCGCCUAAUAUCCUAGAAAACCUAGUUUGUGAUUUAAAUAGUGUUUUGAGUCCUAAACAACCUUAAACACCUUCUAUUAUAUAUUUCCAAGUCAUAUUUCGUCCAUAGGUAUAGUUGAUCAUUAUAUUCUUCUUAGAAUUCAUCCGUUGGAGAUCCUACAUCAAUUCCCUACAUUGAGAUAAAUCAACCACACAUUGAAAACAUCAAAUUCAUAUUCUCAAAACACCAAACCAUCCACUUUCUAUACAUUUAUUAGAGAAUGCUGAAGAUUCAGGAAGGUGAUCAAAGUUUCGUUAAGAGAAGAACGUAAGAUAUCUUGGAGAUCCAGAGGAGAUAGACAAUUAUUGAGGUCAAGCAUUGGAGUGGGAGCAUACAAUUCAGGAGGGCCUUGGUGAUUAUAGGAUGUAGGUCAGAAAGUACUAAUAGUUAGUUGAGUUUGGACCGUAGUAAGUUAACUCGUUUAUAGUGGAUCUUUGCAAGUUGUGCGCCCAAAGUUUUUUGAUCCCGUAAGGGGUUUUUCUUCGCGAUCAAUUCCUUAGUACUGUAUAUUUUCUGUAAAUUACAAACUACAAUAAUUCAACAUCUAGGAUAUAUUGGCAUGUGGAUUCAUUUGGAUUAAAUAUUUAUAGAGACUUGCUGCUUUAAAUAUUGGUAAAUUUAAAUUUUACAUAAAACACCUAUUCACCCCCUGUAGGAGUUAGUUGAGUCCAACUUCAAUAUUUCAAUUGGUAUCGAAGCUUAAAAUUGAUCAUAGACCCAUUUUAUCUAGAUAAGUCAAUCGCUAAACAUACCUCCAUAUUUUAAUUGAAGCAAUAAUGCUUACUGAAAAGUAAGAAUGAGAGCUUUCUUAAAUCAAUGAUUGAGAGGAUUUUGGUAUGUGUACAAAAGGGAUGGAAUGCCCCAGCUACAUGUAUUGUAGUUGUAGUUACCCCUACUGAGGUUGCUAGUUGGUCUAAAACUGAUUUAGAGGAGUAUAAAUGGAAUAUUAAAGAGCUUUAUUCCCUAUUUAUUGCUCUGUCCUCCCACGAGUUUAGUAGAUUAUAUAUGUGAGAGAUUGCCAAAGAGGUGUGGGAUAUCUUAUAGACCACACAUGAGAAAAUCAAGACUAUUAAGAAAUUAGAAUGAAGGAUGAUGAAUAAUAUGAUGAUUUUUAUGCGAAGUUGAAUGACAUAGUUGGCUCUAGUUUCAAUCAAGGUAAGAAAAUUCCAAAAAACUAAGGUUGUUCGAAAGUUUUAGAUCCUUACCUGAGAGAUUUAGAUCUAAGAUCACAGCUAUUGAAGAGAGCAAAGACUUAGAAGCAAUUACGAUAGAAGAACUAGUUGGAUACCUCCAAACAUAUAAACUUACCGUAUCUCAACCUAAGAAAAACAAGUCUACAGUCUUGAACACUAUUAGGGAUGAAGAGUCUGACUCUACCAAUAUUAAGACCUUUAAGUGAGAUAGUUAUUUUGUUAAGAAAUUUCAAAAAAUCUUUAUGAAUAAGAAGAAACCCUAAUAGAGAUAUAGAGGUGUCCUUAGUGAGUUUAGAAAAGAUGAUCAUGACAAAAGUAAAACUAAGGAUGUUUUGAAAGAAAUCCCGAUCAGUUUAGAUGUCGUAAGUGUCAAGAUUUUGGCCACUUUAGAAAUGAAUGCGCUAAUAACAUCAAAACCCUAAAUAAGAAAAAUGUAAGGUGAUGGACGUGACUCAUACUGACGAUGAGUCUAAUUCUAGUGAGUGAUUCCUCUAGUAAAGAGGAGACAUAAAUUGUGUGGCCUUCACAUCUAUAGUUAAUAGUUAUUCAAAUAAGGAUAAUGAAAGGGUAGAGAACAUAGGUUGUAGUGAGGGUACCGAGGGUGAAUUUGUAGAUGAGAAAGAUAUUCAUAAAGCUAAUGAAUAGCUAUUCCAUGAGUCUUAAGGCUAAGAAGAUCAAGGGAGUGAUCUUUAUGAAGGUUAAUGAACUUGAGUUGGAGAGAAAGAGACUUAUAUUUAACUUUUAGGAGUCUACCAAAAGCCUUAUUGAGUUAAGAUUAGUUAAUGAGAAUUUAAAGGCUAAGGUUAACACCUUGUUAAGUGACCUUAAGCCCAAGAACAGCAGUAUCUUAGGACAAAGGCCUACUAGACAACGUACGGCCAACUAGUCCAUAAAUCAAUAUCAGAAAACAUGUAGAUUUGGACCUAGGCUUAACCCUACAAGCCACAUUUGUGAUAAGUUUGAUCACACAAAGCUUAGUUGUCACAAACUUUUGAAUAGAAAUAGAAAGCAGAAUAUCUCUAGUUGGGUUGAGUUCCUCACUAAUCAUGUUAGUCACUUGACUGAGUUAAUGACACAAUUGACUUGGGAUUAAUUCUAAUUCUAGGAAGGUCUAGGUCAAAAAGAGUGAUCUCUAUGGUCAUAGGGAUGUUCUAAAUGGAGAUGUUGAUACCCUUGCUCUUCAAGAUGAGAGCAUUGUGUACCUCAAUGAGUAGGUCAAUAGGUACACGUUUGUACAUAUUCAUUUAGUCCACAUUGUUGUACGCAUAUUCAUUUUUUUGUUGUUUUAUGCGAUUUUUGCCUUUUUUUUCAAAAAAGGAGAAAAUUUUAAGUGUUUUAGAAAUUGUGUCACCUUAUUUUGAUUAACUUGAUCAUGCCGAAUGGGACCAAGUAUGUGUAAAACUGAUGAAUGGUGGCAAUAAUUUCUAUGAUUGAGUUUAGGACUAAUGUAGAGUACUUAGAUAAGUUACACAUUGUACCAUCUUCACUGUAGACACUAAGAGUUUGUUAGCAAGUCUUAACCAUGUGUGGAAUUUGGGAUGGCGUUCAUAUGGGUGGUAAAGUGACCUUAAAUAUGAAUUGACUUUUAACCAGUUGACCUAAGAUUUAGUGUAAUCCCCAAAAAUAAAAGAUUGAUACAUCUUAUACUCAUCUUAGAAGCCUUGAUAACUCUAGCAAUUAAGUCUUUAAGUGUUUCUAAAUAUUUGGUAUCCUAUGGUCAUCUGAUUUGAAGUUACAGGUUUAAAGCUCGUUAUAGGAUUUAUUAAGAAAGAUAGAUGAAGUUGGGUUCGCACAUAAGGUUUGAGUGUAUGGAAUCGCUAAAACAAGGUUUGAGUGUCGCCGAAAUGAAGGAAGUGCCAUUUCAUCUUCUUCUUCGUCUUCUCCUAAUCAGUGAUCUUGGACUUGUCAUGUCGCUCUCGUAAUCGCCUCAACUGUUCCCACCAUGCAGAUGUUGUACCCUUGAGUUGAUGGCGAUCAAUUUUACCUUGACACGAUAUGGGACCUCCUUAUACUCAAAAAUAUGCUCCACUUCAUUCAACCAAUCAACAAAUCCUUCGACUUGUAACGUACUACAAAAAUCGAGCAGAUCCACUCUGAAACUAAAGUCUCCAUGGUGAUCCUCCUAUCCACAAUGCUUCCAUACUCGAACACAAUUGUUGAGAGAAGCAGUCGAAUUCAUUCAGUUGAGGUAGCCUCAAGUCAGCUUGUUACAGCUGCUCAAGCUAAGAUUUUAGCAUGGCUUGAUACUCGGUUAAAUCAGGAAGCGAUGGAUAGAUUACAAACCUGGUCAGAAGCGAAAAAAUUUUGCACAAGCAAGGCCUAUAAUUACUUUCGGCCGAGGGGAACUAAGAAAACCUAGGUAGCUGAUGUUUUGAGUUCAUGCAUAACACCGAAGCACUCUUUUUUGCUUUGCUUAGGGGCUCAAUCUAAACUCCUAACUAAAGACAAAUUGUAUUACUUGGAGAUUGACCGGAAUUGUGUGCUAUGUGGACAUACAACAGAAACAGGCCAACAAUUAUUCUUUGAAUGCUCUUUCACAUCGUCCUUAUGGGGAAGGAUUAGAAAGUGGCUUAGCAUCAGAAGAUCUAAGUCUACACUUGCUAGUCCAUUGAAGUGGAUAAAAAAGGAGACUCGUGGGACAUCAUGGCUCAGCAAAGCUAAGAGAAUUGCUCUUGCAAGUACUAUUUACUGCAUUUGGUUAGCUCGGAACAGAAAGAUUUUUGAAGAUGUUAGACCACACUUGGAUUGUAUUGAGAAUAGAAUUAAGGCAUACGUAUACAAAGUUAUGUUCUCUUUGUAUCCAUGUGUCUUGAUUCACUUUGAGUCCUUUGUGUUGGGACAUUGAUUUUUUGUUGUAUAUCUUUUCCUUUUGUUCACCCGGGUAUGCCCGGAGUAAUUAUAAGAAUCAUUUGCUUUGUUUACUCGAAUAUGCCCGGUGUACUUGUACAUGAAAUUUUUAUCAAUGAAAAUUUACAAUUAUCGAAAAAAAAAAAAAAAAAAGAACCAAGGAGUCGGUACACGUUGGUUAAUUAAAGAACAGAAAAUAUCAGAAAAGCCAAAAGUCUUCGCCCAUGAAUUAAAAAAUCUCCAAUCCACCCUGUCAUAUGCCUUAGCCAUGUCAACUUUCACCAUCACGUUACUUUCCCUCACUAUUUAGUUCAUAGAAUGUACCAAAACUUGAGUAAGGGUAAUAUUUUCAAAAAUGCUCCUUCCUUGGAUAUAAGCACCCUAUUCUGGAGAAAUAAUUAGUGGUAGAAGUGCUGCAAAAAAAUCUUGUAGGCAACAGAAUACAAACUGAUGGGCCUAAACUUGUCAAAACUACUGGGAUAUCAGCCUUGGGUAUGAGGACAAUAUAAGAGGCUGUAGAAAAUCAUCCUCCUUGACAAUAUCCCAGACUUUAUGUAAAACUCCGAUCCAAAACCAUCAGGUCCUGGUGAGCUAUCCAUUGGAAUGGAAAAAUAGUGUCUCUGACCUCCGUCCCAGUGGGUGUACCACAAAGAGAUAACAUGUCCGCCUAAGAAAACUACUUUGCUAUUAGGGAUGAUAGAUUCAGGAGAGCUUCCAUCCCCUCCUCAUUCAAAAUAAUGCACCCCAUCAUGCAUCUGUUUAGGCAAACUCAAAAUGGACCCAUCCUGAAGUUGUAUUUUUCUUUAUUUGGGCUAAUCCUUUUUUUCUGAGAGACAAAUAUAUGGAAAAUCAACUAUUCUGGUCCCAUUUGAUAGCCAUUUUUUCUUUGCAAUUGAGCCAGUCUUGUUUCCUUCCUUUGUUGCCAGACAGCCAGUUCUAUUUUAAAAGUGAGGCAAUCAAGUUCUACCUCAAGGUAAUGAUUUGGAAGCAAAAUAUUUAAUUUUUUUAAGCUUAUUUACCCAUUAUCAAGGGAAUAAUAUCGAGGGUAAAAUAAUGAGUCUUAAAUUAAGGAAUUAUCGAUGGUCCUUAUUGGUGUAAAUCGCAGACUCUUACACCCGUACGCACACAAAGACAAUAAGCUAAACUGACAAAGAUAGUUCAUUGUGCUUAUACAUUCUGCAGUAGACUAUGAUUGCUGAGGUGCUGAGGCCAAAUCCACGACAUCUUUUCGAGGUUUAAGUGCUAAAGCUGAGUACUUAUUCGCACAAGUAAGCAUUACAGUUGUACCAGUAUUGGUGAUGAAUUCUUGCUUGUUUAUUACAUACUGUUGGUUCAUGUGCUUAUAUACAAAUGCAUGUUUUGUAGACUCUGUUUUUUUCCUGUUGUUCCUAAAGAUUCAACACUGCUAAAAAAAAGGAAAAAGGAAGUUAAACUGGCAAAGGCCUUCCUUUCAAGGGUAAAGAUUUCAAUAACUAAAACUAAAUGCAAAACGAAUUGGAGAACUUAAAACAUAAUCAACUCUAGAAAACUAUGGAAGUCCAAAUAUUCCCUUUUCUUGAAAUUGAAGUGAAGCAUGUGAGUAAUAAACUGACAACUAGAUGAUGAUUCAAUUAAUCUCGUUAUCUUCCACAGUCCUUCAGAUGGUGGGCAACCACUAAUCUUUAAUCAACAUAAAAUUUCUAUCUUUUCCCUUGUACAAUCACGAAACCGAAAUAUAGAAUAUUAUAUGUAAAAACGUUAUCAAGGGACUCAACUGAAACCUAACCGAUGGAAAUAUUGGAAAGAUGCCGAUGUAGUCUUCUUUAAUUUGUAGUCCUUUCUAAUCAUCUUCAAUCUAUAAAGAGUUUACAAAUGUCGGUUGAAAAUGCAGUACAAAUAUUUGAAACGGAAACAGAUCCAGAGAAACAAGAAGUUGUGAAUGCUAAUUUCAUUUAAGACGAAGGAAAUUGAUUUUGAAUGAUAGAAAGAUCGGGAGAUGAAGAAGCCAUGAAGAAAAAUUAAGGGGGGUUUGGGGAUUGUGAAGAGAGAAGAAAUAUAAUAGAUUUAUAGGAUUCUGGAAUUCAAUUGAUUUGAGAAAAGAGGAAUUAAGUUUUCUAGUGAUGUUGAAUAAGGAUAUAUUAGGUAGUUUAUAAAUUAUGAUUUAAUAUAUUUAUUUUAAAAACAUUAUUCUGGUCAAAAAGCUAAAAUCCCAAAAUGUAUUAUGAAAUAGGCUAUUUGACCCAAUUACCACUUUCAUUUAAUUGACUUGAAUUUCAUUUACACCCUAGUUUAGUUUUAAAUUUUGUCCAAAUAAUGUCAAUAUGCUCGCCAGCUCAGCAUCUAUAAGGGAAGGUGUAAAAAAAUUUGUACUAGUAGUUUUAUCCAUAUUUUAGUUCUAGGUACAAUGGCAAAACUUGUAGCAAAUUAAGGUGGUAUCUAUGAAAUUGUGAAAACGCUCACGAACCCUUUUUUUUCUUAACCUUUCAAUUUUAGUAGCAUCAUUUUUCCUUGUGGAUGGUUUUGAUCAACAUUUAUAAUAAAAAGUCAAAUUUUGAUACUAAAAAAUAUAUUCGUACUUUAAAUUCAAAAAAAUAAAAAUAAAAAUAAAAAAAAUCUCCCCAUCCACCUUAGGGUUCUUACCUCUUAGAGACCAGAUGACUUGAUGAUGGGACGAGGGAAUGGAGUGAAUCGUCUAGGAUGAAGGAGGUGUGAUUGGUAAUUAAUUUGGAAGUACUCUUACCUCAACGUACUUAUUUUCAAACUUAACCAUUCAAUAAAAUGAUUUAUUUCAACACUGAUUUACUAAAGAGUAAAUGUUUUAGCUUAGCCAAACAUGGUUCUAGCAAAGUUUGUGUUCGACUUCCCUUUCUGCUUCAUCUCACUGAUACAUUUCUUGGGUGAUUAGAUUGGGCAAACCAAAUAGAUGCCGGUGAGAAACAAUACUAAAUUUACAGUUUCUAAUAAUUUAUUUACUUUAUACUUCACUAAAAUAUUUGAUUUAUGGGUUGAACAGCAAAAGCUGCUGGAAUGAAGCACAUAGUUUUAGUUGUGUCAAUGGGAGGACGAACAAAUGAAAGCCACCCUUUAAACAGCUUGGGAAAUGGAAACAUAUUGGUUUGUACUCUUUUUGUCUAGAUACCCUCACAUCUCACAAGGCUGAAGCUUGUGAGUUUUAUAUUAAAAAAAAAAAAUGAAAAUGAGCAUGUGAACAGUUCACGUCACUGUUCAAGUGAACAGUGACAAAUAAAAAAAUAAAAAGAGAAAAGAAAAGUAAAAAAAAAACAAAAAUAAAUAAACAAAAUAAAAGUGGACUAAUUAGGUCAAUUGAUAAAUAAAUUAGAUAAAAGGUUGGUAUGUAGGAAUGAAUUUGUUACAAAAUUUACCAGUAACCUCAUGUACAAAAACUAAAAAAAAUUGAUAGGUCGCCCCCCAGGGCACUUCUCCACUAGCAAAUGAUGGGUUCUCUCAAAAUUGGCAGAUCAGAGGUUGUGUGUUCGAUUCUUGGAGCUCUUGGAAGGCAAGGUACAUACUGGAAGGCAUGAUUUAUCCUGGAAUGCAGGAGUGGCUUGGAAGGCAAGACGCAACAUGAGUUGGCUCACUAGGCACAUCCCGCGGUUUAACUGAUCUGUGUGAAGAGGGGCCGGAUCACAGACUCAAGGAAUAGUCGCCUAAGGCGUCCAGGACACCUUGACAAAAAAUAAAAAUAAAAAAAAUUGAUAGGUUUAUGAGGAGGACGUCACCACAGAGUCAUUAGGAAAACUUUGGAGUUGGUAUUAAAUUUUUCCAUGACAGUUUAAAUGUAGAGCACACUAGUUCUUACAUGAAAGUGAGCCUGCUACAGAUAAUGAUGUUUUGACAGCUUUAAAAUGAAUUGCUAUCUUGACCUUAAUAGUUAAUAAAUAUGUCCCUAGGCUUUAAGCAUUGAAAGUGGAUGUACUUUUUGCUUUUCAUAUGAAACCCACUUUUUCUAAUUGGAAGUCAAAAAAUUAAAAAAGAAAAAGAGGGGGGUGUUUUACGUUAACAAUAUUUGUUAGAGAAAAGCAAUAUAAAUAUAUAUAUUUUAAGAUGGAAGAUUAUGAAUUAAAUAAAAGGAAAGAUUUGUAAGUCACGUAAUAAUGAGUGAAAUGUCUAACCCACCUUAUAAAAUAUUUCGUGCCUUGUCUUCUACCCUAACAUAUGGUAUUUUUAAAUUUUGAAGUCGCAAACUAGUCCUUUAGUUUGUGGGUAUUUAUAUAUUCGUGCACAUAAAACUUUUAGUAAUGCCCUCUUUAAGGAAAGAAAAAGAAAGGGGGGGUGGGGUGGGGGGGUGAAUGACGAUGUUAUAUUAAUAUUGGACUUCCAUGUUUCAAAUGAUACGUAUAAUAAAUGUUAUUUGUUUAACCGUUUAUUUGCAUAAUGUUUGUUAAAAAUUAAUAUAUUUUUUUCUUAAGACUAGUCUUUGUCUCGUGCGAUGCACGAUUAUUGUAUUUAUUAUGUUAUUAUUAGUGUGGAAUGUGUAUAAUUUAUAUUAUCCAUGGGAUAAUAAUCAUCGGAGUGCAUGAUGUUGAAACUCGGAAGUCAAAACAAUAAUUUGAUUUUAACACCAGCACCGCUAUGAAUAUUCAUGUUAAUUUAUAAAUGUUUUCACGGUACAUCUAUAUGAUAACAUUAUUACUCACAAACUUCCAAAGGUUUACCACCUUACCAAUAGUAUCAAUGCUAUGGCAUAAUUUUUUACUCAUCUUGAAUGAAAUGUGCAAUAAAAUUUUUCGACGAAAACUAUUUGGAGAAAUCAAUUUAUGGUAAUACAAGGAUAAUCAUAGAUUUUUCCUUGUUGCGCAUGGUUUGGAUCCUUAAUUCUUUGCCCCUAUUGCGCAUGAUUUGGAUCUUUAAUUCUUAUUCCUAAAGUUUCAUAUGAUCUUAAUGAAUUUAAGGAAAUUGUGAAAUCCAACAUCACUCGCUUUUACAAGCACUUCUAAACUACAUGGAUGGUGAUGUAAAAAAAGGUCGGACAUGGUGAUUUAAAGCUACUAGUAAUUUUUUAUUUUUUAUUUUUUAAAUCUCAAUACGAGAGAAAGACUCAAUCAAAUCAAAAUUCAAAAUAUUCAAUGAACGUUAUUUUGGCUAAGAUUGAAAAUUAACACUUGAAAUUGAAAAAAACUAAAAAAAAAAAAUUGCGUUUUAUCUAGCUUUUGAGAGUUGUAAUAUAUGUGCUAUUUGAUUAUAAUCUAUGUUAUGUUAUAUUCGUAAGAUAGAAAUUGUAAUAUAUGUUAUUCGAAUUUUUUGGCAUGGACCGUAUGGCUAUGAAUCAUUUGAGAUAUCUGUUGACUUUGAGUAGUUUUUUGGUAUUUUACAUUAUAUUGUAUUAUAUUUGAUUUUAUUUUCUAUAAUUGUUUGUUAAAAUUAGUGGCGAAGAGAGAUGAAGGCCGAUGGGGUCAGUGAGGAAUUUGAUAUAUUCAUAUUUGUAAAAGAGACUCCGUGCAUGGUCACCUUCAAUAUAGUAUUUCUCCAUUUUCACACAAUAAUUCACUUCAUCCAAUCCAACUGAUAAAGAAAAGAAAUUGAAUGAUUUAACAAAUUCAACAACGAAAAAAUUAUGUGCAAAAAUAAAAAGAAACAAAAAAAAAGUUAUUAUACACUUUUUCAAUUAAAUUGAAAUAAUUAAAAGUAAAAAUAAAUAUUAUUUAACCAAAAUAGAAAAAGAAAAAGAAUUUAAAAAAAAUUAAAUUGAAAAAAAGUAUUUAUAAUAUGAAGAAAAAAAAAUUCAAAAAAUUUUAAAAAAUAUAUAUAUAAUAAAAACAAAAUAAUUAAAGUUAUAAAAAUUAAAUAAAAAUAUACAAAUGUUGUUUAGUUAAAAUUUAAAAAAAUAAGUUUUAUUAUAAAAACAAAAAAAUUAAAAAGAAUUUUUUCAAUCCAAAAAAAUUAUUCAUCAAAAAACAAAUUGAAAAAAAAAUGGCAUGGAGAAUUCUAGGCAUGGAGGUGGACACAUUAUGGAUGGAGAGAAAUCUCUCCAUAAAUGAAGGGAUUUCUCUACGUGCACGAAGGGGGGUUCUCUUCAUGCAUGGAGGGAAUUUUUAUUUUCCUUUUUUUUCAUUUUGUUUACAUUAUAAAUAUUUUUUUCAACUUAAAAUUUUUUUUAUUUCCUUUUUCCAUGAUAAAACAUAAUUUUCCAAUUUUAACAAAAUAAUUUUUAUAUAUUCUUUAUUUAAUUUUAGUAACUUUCUUUUAUUUUGUUUUUAUUAUAAUUUUUUGAUUUUUUUUAAAUUUCAAUUUUCUUCAUAUUAUAAAUAAUUUUUUUUAUUUAAAAUUCUUUUUAAUUCCUUUCGUUUCACGAUAAAACGUAAUUUUUUUAAUUUUCAUUAAAUAAUAUUUAUUAUUAAUUUUAAUUAUUUCUAUUUAAUUUAAAAACUUUAUAAUAACUUUUUUUAUUUCUUUUUAUUUUUGCCUGUAAUUUUUUUCUAUUUUUGUUUGUAAUUCUUUUUUUUUUUUUGUUCUCUAAUUUUUUAAGUCAUUUAGUUUGUAACUAUCAUGUUACACCAACCAAAAAAAAUUAAAUGAUUUAACAAAUUAAGAAAAAAAUUUACAGGGGAAAAAAAAGGUACUGUAAAAUUUUUUAAUUAAAUUGAAAUAAUUAAAAUAAAAAUAAAUAUCAAUUCUUAAAAAUAAAAAAUGACGUUUUAUCACAAAACGAAAUGAAUUAAAAUGAAUUUUAAAUCGAAAAAAAUAUUUAUAAUAUGAAGAAAAAAAGAAAUUUUAAAACAAUUUUUAAAAAAAUAUAAUAAAAACAAAAUAAAAGAAAGUUAUGAAAAUUAAAUAAAGAAUAUAUAAAUAUUAUUUAGUUAAAAUUGAAAAAUUAAGUUUUAUCAUGACAAGAAAGGAAUUAAAAAGAAUUUUAAAUCGAAAAAAAUUAUUUACACUGUAAACAAUUUGGCUAACAAGAGAUUAACAUCGAUAAUUAAAAAGUAUUUCUAUAAAGGAGAAAAAUUAGAAAAGUUGCAGUAAAAUAUUUGUAUAAAAUGGAGUAAAGGAGUCGGUUUCUACAUUUAAGCGAUUAACUAAAGAGGUCCUAGUAAGAAUUUCAUAAUCAUAUAUGAAAUUCAGCGAAAUACAUACAAAAAUAAAACGUAGGAGUUUUGCCCCCACAUUAUUUGUCUUUUUUGAUCCUCAUCUCCACCUUAUAGAAAAGAAAAACCAUAAAACCUUGCAAAAAUACGAAAACUCCACCUUAUAGAAAAGAAAAACCAUAAAACCAUCGAUUGGAGAAUUUCAAAAAAACCUAUUGAAUUAAAAAUCUGACCAAACAAUGUUGGUGUUUAGGCUAACAAGGCUAAAAAUUAAACCAAUACGACCAGGAAAAUAAAAACAAUGCAUGGGUGCUACAUUUUGUUAAUAUAAUUGAUCAGAAAUUCAAUGUUGCAUGGGUACUGUCUUUUGAUAAUUGAUCCCUGUGAUGUUAAAUUCAAUGGUUCACGUGUGACUCUCUAUGCACGGAGAGUGCAGUCCGUACACUUUGUUCGAAUUUUUUUCUUUUUCCUCUUUUUUUUUCACUUUUCUUUAAGCUAAUAACAACUCCAGUUUUUCGGUCUCUAGAGAAAUUUUAAGGUUGUUCGUUUUUUACGAAAUUUUAGCCAAAUUUAUUGAAAACGUGCCAAUGAACAAAAAUCAGCAGCAAAAUGAUAAUACAAGAAAAAAUAUACAAAUUUAAAAAAAAUUAUAUUCUCAGGCUCUCAAUUAUAACACAAUCUGCUCUUCCAUUAUUAAUUGGAAAAGAGAAUCUUAUUGGAUUUUGUAAAUUCUAGAUGGUUAUCAUCCUUUUAACUAUCACUUAAUUUUCAAUCGAUUAGUUCUCUUUGGUUGUGUUAAUUCUUGUCAAGAAAUUUAAAAAUUGAAAAAUGUAAUUUAUAUUCGAAUGUUGUUUAGACUUUUCUUCAUGGAUUCUUAAUAGGAACUACGCAGAGAGAAGAGAAGAAGAAAUAAUGUGUGAUUUUCGCACUUAAAAAAUGUUACAGUGAGAAAAAAUGUAACAAAAUACUGUCGAUUUAAAAGAAUUAAAAGGAAUUUUAAAUCGAAAAAAAUAUUUAUAAUAUAAAGAAAAAAGAAAUUUAAAACAAUUUCCAAAUAAAAAAUUACAAUAAAAACAAAAUAAAAGAAAAUUACAAAAAUUAAAUAAAGAAUAUAUAAAUAUUAUUUCGUGAAAAUUGAAAAAUUAAGUUUUAUUUGAAAGAGAAAAUAAUUAAAAAGAAAUUUAAAUUAAUAAAAAAAUAAUUUUUUAUGAAGUUUAAAAAAAAAAAAAAAAGGAAACAAAUUUUUGUCCCCAUACAUGGAGAACAUUAGUCUCUGUGCAUGGAGAAUUUUAAUUUUUUUAAUUUUUUUUUAUAUUUGCAUUGUUUAGUUUACAUUAUAUAUAAUUUUUUUUCCAUUUAAAAUUCUUUUUAAUUCUUUUCUCUUCAAUUUUUUUUAACUUUAUAUUUGCAUUGUUUAGUAACUUUUUAGUUAAAAUUGAAAAAUUAAGUCUUAUUUGGAAGAGAAAAUGAUUUUUUUAAAAAAUUUAAUUGAUAAAAAAUAAUUAUUUAUAAAGUUCAAAAAAAAAAACAUGCAUAGAGACUCAUGGAGAAUUUGAGUCUCCGUGCACGAAGAGUUAAAGAGAGAUAUUUUUAUUUUUAUUUUUAUUUUUUAAGCUAAUAUAUUUUUACAUAUAAUGACCAAUUAAAAUGAUAAUUAUUUUUUAUUACACUUAAAAACCUUGAAGCAAAUUUUUUACUUAUAACUAACUCUUCACAUUUUAGAAAAAUACUGAGCUAAUAUUUUUUUAUUGAGCACGUAGCGAAGAGAUGAGACUUGGUGGGAAGUAUGAAAAGUUACAUGUUGUAAUAAAUUUGGAGGUACACUGUAUAAUAAAAUAUAUACUAAGACAAACGGCAUCGUUUUUGCUCCCCCACUUAAAAAAAUAAAAAUAAAAAUGCUACAGUAAGAUAAAAUGGAUUAAAACACUAUUCACUUCAACAGUGUCUCCACAUUCCCCCUUUUAUAUAGUAGGGAUAUAUAAAUAUAAGGAUGAAGUAAAUUUAAAAUUAUUAAAUAUGUAAGAAUGUGAAAAAUCUUUGGUACCCAACGACAAUCAAUCGACAGCCCACCGACGACUCUAAGGUAUGUAAAGGGGUAAGAAGAUGAAUGUAUUUAGACUUUUUGUAUAAGUUAAAUAUUUUAAAUUACGUUCCUUAAAUUUUUAAGACAUCCAUAUUUGUUUUCUCGUCAAAUUUAUGAUAUAUAUUACAAAAAUAUAGGUAUAACAUGUUAGACUUAGUACCGACAUGUGACAGGUGACUUAAUCUUAAAUUUUAGAAAAUGACACCACCUACCCACACGAAUCUAAUGCGUGAUUUAUUGCAAGCGAUAAAAGAAUUAAGCAAGCAAAACUAAGCACCCCACCAAAAAAAUCACCGCCACAGCAGAAUGCACCUCCAUUUGCCCCUGGAGUUGUCUCAGUGGUUGAGUAGUUUCAUAAUUUUAAUCCUCCUACUCUCGAUGGUGAUUCUAACCUACUAGCUGUAGAAGAGUAAAUAAGAGGCUUGGAGCGCAUAUUUCAACACAUUGCUUGUACGGAUACAUAGAAGGUAUGCGCAAAAUCAUGUUGAUUGGAGCAGUCGGUCACUGGUAGAGAUCUGUCUCAGCACUAAGAUCAAAGAGCAACAGCAUAACCUAACUUGGGAAUAGUUUAAAAAUGAAGUAAUGGCAAAAUACUUUCCACAGACCUUGAGAGAUUUCAAGGAAUUAGAGCUUCUACAGCUCAGAUAAGGACACAUGUUGCUUGCUGAUUACAAGAGGCAGUUUGAGCAACUUUGAAGAUAUAUCCCGCACUUGGUAGAUACAAAAGUUAAAAAGAUCAGGAGAUUCAAAAUUGGACUGCGCCCAAAAAUUGGCAUGAUUAUUAUGUCCCAUUAUUUCACUUUAUAUCGUGAAAUGUUGGAGAGAGCUCAUGCUAUUUCAUAUUAGAUGACUACAUUUGAACAAUAUCCCCAACAAGGCAAUGAGUCAUUUGGAAAAAGAAAGUAGAGCGAUCAGAGCAAGAAUAGACGUAACUGGCAAAAUAAAAGACCAAGCAGAGGAGUUUGUAUCGGUGGGCCGAGUAAGAGUAAAGCACCUUGUCCUAAGUGUAAAAAACUUAAUCGACAUGAAUGCUUAUUUGGGAAGAAAAUGUGUUUUAGGUGUGGUAAUCCAAGACAUAUUGCUUUGCGCUGUACAGAGCCUGCACAAAAAGAAAAAUGAUGACCAAGAUAAGAAUCUAAAAAGAAAUGCCAAGUUUUUGCACAAAAUCAGCAAGAAGCUGAGCAAGAUUCGAAUGUGAUAAGGUAUUCUAUUAUUAUUAUUAUUAUUAUUAUUAUUAUUAUUAUUAUUAUUAUUAUCUUUCAAUGUACCUGCUUAUAUUCUUUUUGCAUAGAACUAUACAUUCUUUUAUCUCUGCAUCUGCGAUCACUAAGUCUAACUCUAUAAUUACGAAAAUAGGUAUUCUAUUAUUAUCUAAUGUACCUUCUUGCGUACUUUUUGACUUUGGGGUUACAAACUCUUUUACCUCUAAAUCCUUCGUCUUUAGGUCAAACUUUGCAUGUGUGAAAACGAAUAAUGAAUUAGAGAUUAGUAUCCUUUCAUGAAGAACUCUUUGCACAAAUCAGAUGACUAAGGCUAUGAAGUUAGAGAUCGGUGGGAGAAUAUUUUUGGAGGACUUAUACCUAUUAGAGAUGAAAGAUUUCAACAUUAUUUAAGUUAUGGGCUGGUUGGGACUCAAUCAUGCGACCAUUUGAUGUCACGAGAAAGAAGUGUUAUUUCAUAGACCGAGAGAAGAAGAGUUUCGUUUCUUUGGAGCAAAGCUCAAGUCUCUACCUCUCCUUGUAUCGACUUUACAAACGGAGAAGAUGCAGAGAAAGGAGUUAUGCCAGGGAUUCUUAGUUAAUAUUAUGGGUUCCCAACAAACAAAAAUAGUCAUUAAUGAUAUUAACGUCAUGCAAGCUUUGCAGACAUGUUUCCAAAAGAUCUACCAAGCAUUCCACAAGAUAGGCAACUGGAAUUUACAAUUGACUUGGUCCUCGGAGCAGCACCAGUAUCCAAGGCUUUGUACCGAAUGGCACCAAAAGAACUCCAAGAAUUGAAGUUGCAAUUUGAGGAGUUGUUGGAGAAAAGUUUCAUUUGACCGAGUAUAUCUCCUUGGGGCGUUCCUGUACUUUUUGUAAAGAAAAAGGAUGGGAGUAUGAGAAUAUGUAUUGACUAUCGAGAGUUGAACCAUCUAACCAUCAAAAAUAGAUACCUGCUGCCAAGAAUAGAAGAUUUAUUCGACCAUUUAAAGAGUGCAAUGAUGUUCUUAAAGAUUAAUUUGAGGUCGGGGUAUCAUCAACUGAAGGUAAGGGCAAGGGAUUAUCGAAAAUUGCUUUCAAGACUCGUUAUGGAAAUUAUGAAUUCACUGUCAUGCCUUUUGGUUUGACCAAUGCUCCAGCUGUAUUUGUGUAUCUAAUGAACCGAGUGUUCCAUCAGUAUUUAGACCACUUCAUCAUAGUAAUUAUUGACGACAUACUGGUGUACUCCAAAAAUAAGAAGCAGCAUAAGGAAUAACUCCAAGUAGCACUUGAAACUUUGAAAAAUGAAAAAUUAUAUGCCAAAUUCAAGAAGUGUAAAUUUUGGCUUGAUGGCAUAGGUUUCCUUGGUCACGUGGUUACCGCCCAAGGAAUUGAUGUAGACCCUGCUAAAGUGAAAGCGGUAACAAAUUGGCCUAGACCGACUAGUAUAGGUGAAGUUCAUAGUUUCUUAGGAUUGACCGGUUAGUAUAGAAGAUUUAUGGAGGAUUUCUCAAAAAUAGUAAGACCAAUGACUCAAUUGACUAGAAAGGGUGUGAAGUUUCAAUGAUCAGAAAAUGUGAAAAAAGUUUUCAGGAACUCAAGCAGAGAUUAUUCUCGGCUUCUGUAUUGACGAUACUUGAAGGUUCGGAUGGGUUUGUAAUUUAUAGCGUCGCCUCCAAGCAGGGUUUAGGCUGUGUCCUAAUGCAAUAUGGAAAGGUGGUGGCUUAUGCCUCGAGACAGUUGAAGCAGUAUGAAUAAAACUAUCCGACACAUGACUUGGAGCUUGUAGCGGUAGUUCAUACCUUAAAGAUAUGGCGCCAUUAUCUCUAUGGUGGGAGGUGUGAUAUCUAUACAAACCACAAAAGUCUCAAGUACUUCUUCAUGCUGAAGGAAUUAAAUAUAAGACAGAGAAAAUGGUUGAAAUUAGUGAAAGAUUAUGACUAUACCAUUAUUUACCAUCUCGAUAAGACUAACGUAGUCGCAGUUGCCGUAAGCAGGAAGACAAGAUCAGAAUUAGUAGUUUUACCCAAGGUGUGGGUACACUUGAUAAAGGACUUUGAGAAAUUGAGAUUGGAAGUCAUCACACCCCAGACUCUCACUAUAGCAAGAAUAAAAGUAUUUAUGAUUCGACCUACUCUUCGGGAUCGAAUCAAUGAAGCACAAGAUAAGGAUCUAUUUCUACAGAAGAUAAAGGCCGAGUUUGGUACAAACAAACAUAUGGGAUUUGAAGUAACAGUAGAUAAUGCAUUGAUUUUUAAUGGAAGAUUGUGCAUACCUAAAGAGGAAAGUAUAAGAAAUGAGAUGUUGAAAGAGGCUCACUCUACCCCGUAUGCGACACAUCCAGGUGGUACGAAAAUGUAUCGAGAUCUUCGAGAUAUAUUUUGUUGGAAAAAAUAAAAAGAGGAAUGGGUCUGUUCGUGGAGAAAUGUAUUAUUGUCUGUCAGCAAGUCAAGGCAGAACAUCAAAAGUUGUCAAGACUAUUGAAAUAGUUGAAUAUUCCAAAAUGGAAAUGGGAACACAUAGCGAUGGACUUUAUAGUAGGCCUCCCUAGGUCAACAAGAGGGCAUAAUGCAAUUUGGGUAGUAGUUGAUUGUCUGACGAAGUCAGCUUAUUUUCUGCUAAUCAAAGUAAAUUUCAACAUAGAACUGCUCGCACAAUUAUACAUCAAAGAGAUAGUUCGAUUGCAUGGAGUUUCAGUCACUAUUAUUUCAGAUAGAGACCUUCAGGUUCACAUCUAAAUUUUUGGAAAAGUUUGCAAGUAGCCAUGGGGACGAAACUAAAAUUUAGUAAUGCUUAUCAUUCUCAGACGGAUGGACAAUAAAAAAGAACCAUUGAAACUUUUGAAGACGUGAUGAGGGCAUGUGUUUUAGAUCUUGGAGAUAGAUGGGAGACACACCUACCGUUAGUGGAGUUUCAUUACAACAAUAGUUUCUAGGCCACCAUAUGUAUGGCCCCAUAUGAAGCUCUUUAUGGUAAAAAGUGCAGAUUACCUAUCCAUUGGGAUGAGGUUGAAGAGAAUAGAAUUUUGGAUCUUGAAAUCAUUGAACGAACAGUUAAGACGGUUGACAAGAUUAGAGCUAGAAUAAAAAUAGCACAAGAUAGACAGAAAAAUUAUGUCGAUGGUAGAAAAAGGAUUUGGAAUUUGGUGUGAGCUACAAAAUUUUUCUAAAAGUAGCACCCAUGAAGAGUAUUAAGAUUUGGUAAGAAGGGAAAGUUAAAACCACAAUUUUAUUGGACCUUUCUUAAUUCUCGAAAGAAUUGGUGAUGUCGUUUGCUGACUUGCCUUACCGCCUGUACUUGUAGCAGGGCAUAACGUGUUCCAUGUUUCGAUACUCAGAAAAUAUGUUUAUGAUCCCAAUCAUGUGGUGGGUUAUAAGACAUGAAGGUACAAGAUGACUUAUAAUCUAAAGAAGCCCCUACGAUGAUUUUGGACAAAAAAAUGCAUCAACUCAGAAACAAGGAAAUUUCCCAAGUCAAGGUUCAAUGGCGAAAUCAUGGAUUUGACGAGUCAACUUGGAAGAAGGAAGAUGAGUUUAGAACCAAGUAUCCAGAACUCUUCGAUUAGUUAAGGUAAAUUUUCGAGAACGAAAAUAUUUUGAGGGGAGAUUAUAAUGUCCCAAAAAUUUUCAUAUAAUAGAAUUAAUUUUUUAUGCUAUAUUUUUAAUAUUUUGAAAAAUUAGGGACUAACAUGAUAUAUAGUGAAUUUCAAUUUUUUUUGGGUCAAAUAUUUAAAUAUUGACAAAGCAAUGAUAAGUGUAUGAAUAUUGAGCUCAUUGGAUAGAUUGUAAUGAAUUAUGCAUAUUAGAUUCGAGAAGAGUUAAUUUGGAUUAGUAGAGCCCAAGUUAUCGAGGUCGAAACAUUAUCUUAAAUUGUAUUUUAGUUGAGUUAUUUAAUGAAUUUAAAGUUUUAAAAGGUGACACGUGCAUAGAGCAAGUUUUUGGUAGGAUACUAAUUGAUUUUUAUUAAAUAAAAAUUUUAGUUAAACUGAGAUUUGAUUUAUCUUAAUUAUUAUUUAUCAUGUAACGACCAAGAAUUGAGUUUUUAUAUGCACUUGUUAUAUAUAUACUUUUUCUUAAAAGAAAGGAUUUGGAGAGUACUAUUCAUUUUUGUCAGACACAUUUUUCAAACUGAUUUUCUACUGUUCAUCCCAUUUAUUCCAAUAUCAUUUACACUAUUUUAUCAUAAAACAAAAAGAAACAAAAAGCAUUUUAAAUCAAACAAAAAACUUUAAAAAAAUAAUAAAAACAAAACAAAUUUUUAAAAAAAGUUACAAAAAUUAAAUGAAGAAUAUAAAAAUAUUAAUUAAUUAAUUAAAAUUGAAAAAAUUAAGUUUUAACGUGAAGAAAAAAGAUUUAAAAAGAAUUUUAAAUCAAAAAAAUUAUUUCGAACAAAAAAUUAUUUUAUGAAGAAAAAAAUUUUAAAACAUUUUUUAAAAAAAUGUAAUAAAAACAAAACAAAUUAAACAAAAGAAAAUUACGAAAGUCAAAUACAAAAUAUAUAAAUAUUAUUUAAUUAAAAUUCAAAAAAUCAAUUUUUAUCAUAAAUAAAAAAGAAUUUAAAAUCCAAAAAAUAUAUAUAUAACAAAAAAACAAAACAAAAAAAAAAAAAAACAAAACAAAAAAAUGGAGUGUUAUGAAGAGAAUUCUCUCCAUGCUAUGAAGACACUCUCCAUGUUAUGGAGAAAAACUCUUCAUGACACACAGAGAGUUCUCUCUAAAACACUUGUUAUGGAGAAAACUCUCCAUAACAUGGUUCUUUUUUUUUUCUUUUGUUUUUUUUUAAUUUGUUUUGCUCAUCAUUGAAGCACUUUUUUGGAGUUAAAAUUCCUUUUAAUUUUUUUCCUUAUGAUAAAAAUUUAUUUUAUAAAUUUUAAUUAAAUAAUAUUUAUUUAAAUUGCGUAGCUUUCUUUUGUUUAAUUUGUUUUGUUUUCAUUAUAUUUUUUAAGAUUGAUUUUUCUUCAUACUAUUAAUAAUUACGUUUUUCUUUUUAAAGUAACGUUUUAUCAUACUUUUAAAUAUAUUUUUCUUUAUAAAAUUACGUUUUAUCAUAAAACAAAAAGAAUUCAAAAAAAUUUAAAUAUAAAAAAUUAUUUAUAAUAUAAAGAAAAAGAAAUUUUAAAACAAUUUUUAAAAAAUAUAAUAAAAACAAAACAAAUUAAACAAAAGAAAAUUACGAAAACUAAAUAAAGAAUAUAUAAAUAUUAUUUAAUUAAAUUCUAAAAACUAAAUUUUAUCACAAUGAGAAAAGAAUUAAAAACAACCUAAAAUCGAAAAAAAAUUAUAUAACGAACAAAACAAAUUAAAAAAAAAAGGAGUUUUAUGGGGAGAAUUCUCUCCAUGUUAUGGAGAAAAUUUUUUCGUAACACAGAGAGAGUUCUCUCUGAAAGACUUGUUAUGGAGAGAACACUCCAUAACAUGGUACAUUUUUUAUUUCCUUUGUUCUUUUUUUAAUUUCUUUUGCUCAUCAUUUAAAUACUUUUUUUUAGUUAAAAUUCCUUUUAGUUUUUUUUUCUUAUGAUAAAAAUUUAUUAUCGAAUUUUAAUUAAAUAAUAUUUAUAUAUUAUUUAUUAAAAUUUCGUAGCUUUUUUUUGUUUAAUUUGUUUUGUUUUUAUUAUAUUUUUUUAAUUUCUUUUUCUUCAUAUUAUAAAUAUUUAUGUUUUUCUUUAAAGUUAUGUUUUAGCAUAAAAUUAUGUUUUAUCAUAUUUUUAAAUUUCUUUUCUUUAUAAAAUUAUAUUUUAUCAUAAAAAAAAGAAUUAAAAAGAAUUUUAAAUCAAAAUAAAUUUAUUUAUAACAUGAAGAAAAAGAAAUUUUCAAAAAAACUGAAAAAAAUAAUAAAAAUAAAACAAAAGAAAAUUACGAAAACUAAAUAAAGAAUAUAUAAAUAUUAUUUAAUUAAAAUUCAAAAAAUUAAAUUUAUUAUAAAGAGAAGAGAAUUUAAAAUUGAAAAAAAUAUUUAUAUAACGAACAAAAUAAAUUUAAAAAAAAUGUAGUGUUACGAGGAGAAUUCUAGAUUUUUCUCCAUAACAUGGAGAGAAUUCUCUCCAAAACACUUAAACAUGUUCCUUUUUUUUCUUUUGUUCUUUUUUAUUUUUAAUUUGUUUUGCUUAUCAUUAAAGUACUUUUUUUAAUUAAAUUUCCUUUUAAAUUUUUUCUUUAUGAUAAAAUUUUAUUUUUCAAAUUUUAAUUAAAUAAUAUUCAUAUAUUCUUUAUUUAAUUUUAGCAACUUUCUUUUGUUUUUAUUAUAUUUUUUUAAAAUUUCUUUUUCUUCAGACUAUAAAUAAUUAUGUUUUUUCUUUUUAAAGUCACGUUUUACCAUAAAAUUACGUUCUAUCAUAUUUUAAAAUUUCUUUUUCUUUGUAAAAUUACAUUUCAUCAUAAAACAAGAAGAAUUUUAAAUCGAAAAAAAUAUUUACAAUAUGAAGAAAAAGAAAUUUUAAAAAAAAUUGAAAAAAAUAUAAUAAAAACAAAACAAAUUAAACAAAAGUAAUUAGGAAAACUAAAAAAAGAAUAAUAAAUAUUAUUUAAUUAAAAUUCAAAAAUUUAAAUUUUAUAAUAAAGAGAAAAGAAUUGAAAAUUGAAAAAAAUAAUAUUUAUGUAACAAACAAAACAAAUUAAAAAAAAAAUGGAGUGUUAUAGAGAGAAUUCUCUCCAUGUUAUGGAGACGCUCUCCUUGUUGUGGAGAAAAAGUCUUCAUAACACGGAGAGAGUUCACUCCAAAAUUGUAGCGACCCAAUUUUUUUUACUUUACAAAAAUCAAAUAAUUUUUUUAAAACUUAAGUCACUACCAAAUGUUUCUUUAAAAAAAUAAAUGGGUUUAUAAUGAUGUUAUCCCUUGUCAAUAACCUAAAGAAAUCUUAACAUGUGAAAUAAAAAUAUCAUGUUUUGAUGAACUUUGAAGAAAAAUAUAUAAGGGGUUCCAUUUUAGCAAGAAAUAUGCGUAAAUGUUACUAAGCAAUUUUCCUUAUUGUUGUUAAAAUAAUGGUAAUAAGCAUACUUUAUUCUGUUUUCCUCCAAUAAGUGAAACAUGGCCUCAACUCCCCUAAUCUAACGUCAUUAUAGGGUCUUCAUUAAUUUUUCAUGCAUGGAUAUAUUCAUAAAUCAAUUUGAAAGGCAGCAGUAGCACCCUAAUCAUUAAAAUUAAUACAAAUCAAGGUGACAUUAUCAUAAGUGUUCAGAGAAAAUAACGGAUGGCUAGCAAGAUGAAUUGGACUAUUAUUAGUAGCUGGUGAAAAUGAGUAAUUUCCCCACAUUCUUGCUGAUUCGAGAUUUCGAACAUGCAUAUGUUACGUUCUAUCCAUAAUUAACUACAUGUAAAAAUUUGUUACCACUAAUGAAAAAUAGCAGUAAAGGGAAACCAAAUAAUUUAAUUCAAAUAUUUAAUUAAAAAUGUAAGUUUAAACAUGUCAAUGUAAAAAUAAACAUGCACAGUAAAUUUAACUGUAAAUAAAUUUCCAUGACAACUAAAUUAAAUAAAUGAGGUUACGUGCUAGAUUUUAGAUCUUUGUUCCUUAGACGAGACACGACCACACCAUCAAACCGCCGCACUCCAACACGACUCGUACUAACCUGUAAGGUAGGGAAAAAAGGGUGAGUAUGGGGAAUACUCAGUAGGAUACAAAUAUUCGCACAAUCCCGAAUAACAUUUAUCAUUCAUAUAUCAAAAUAAAUCGUACCGUCAUAUUAUAUCUUUAAUCGGUAAGAGCUCAAUCAUAUCAUAUCAUUUGUACCGGAUGACCAUAUAUAUCAUAUCAUAUCAUUUCAUAUCAUUAACGAAAAUAUUUAUCAAUAUGAAAUAACAAAAAUUAAACGGGAUAACCACUUGCACGUCGUAUCCUACUUUAACCUUCAAAUGCAUUUCAGCCCAAAGAAAAAUUUUGAGAUAUGAAGAAUGCUCUAUAAAUGUUACUGCAAAGUCUUUCUUGUUUGAGUGAAAUAAAAAUAUAGAAGAAAAUGAUUAAUAAAUAUAGGAUGGGGAAGUUAUUAAUUGUUGAAGUGAAGAAACCGUAUGAACGUGAGAUAAAUGAAGGAAUGUGGAGAAUCUUUCAUUUUAGUUGGGUAGUGGAGAAGAUGUAGUAGGUAUGUGGAAGUUUCUUAGAGAUGGCUAAUUUGAGUGGGAGAGAGAGAAACUCAAAGGAAAAGUAACAUGUGAAAAUAUAAAAUAUAUAUAUCUAUCCAUCUCUCUCUCUCUCUCUCUCUCUCUCUAUAUAUAUAUAUAUAUAUAUAUAACUUUUUUAUUAUUAUUAUUAUUAUUCAAUUAGUACCACGACACGUGCCCCCUUAAUUUAUAGAUUCAUUAAUUUAACUUAAUUAAAACCAUUUAGCACCAUAUCUUUUGACCUCGAUAAUUUGGGUUUCGUUUAACCAAAUCAACUUUUUCUCGAGUCUAAUAUGCGUCACUAAUUUUAAUCUAUCCAACGAGCUCAAUAUUUAUAUACUUAUCGUUGCUCGGUCAAAAUCUAGUUAUUUGACCCAAAUAAAAUUGAAAUUUGCUAUGUAUCAUCUUAGUCCCUAACUUUUCAAAAUAUUAAAAUAUAACAUAUAAAAAUUUAAUUCUAUUUCACGAAAAUUUGGGACUUUACAAAAACACUUGAAUAUUGUUCAUUUUUUUUCUUCUGUUCAUUUUUUUUCUUUAAUUUGCUCUGCUCAUCAUUUAGAUCCUUUUUUUUUAAAUUAAAAUUCCAUUUAAUUUUAUUUCUUGAUGAUAAAAUUUUAUUUUUCGAAUUAUAAUUUAAUUAUUGUUAAAUAUUCUUUAUUUAAUUUUAGUAACUUUCUUUUGUUUAAUUUGUUUUGUUUUUAUUAUAUAUUUUUUAAAUUUCUAUUUCUUCAAACUAUAAAUAAUUACGUUUUUUUUAAAAUUAAAUUUAUCAUAAAAUUACGCUUUAUCAUAUUUUUAAAUUUAUUUUUUUUUAUAAAAUUAUUUUCAUCAUAAAACAAAAAGAAUUAAAAAGAAUUUUAAAUCAAAAAAGUUGUUUAUAAUAUGAAGAAAAAUAAAUUUAAAAAUUGAAAAAAAUAUAAUAAAAACAAAAAAAUUAAACAAAAUAAAAUUAAGAAAACUAAAUAAAGAAUAAAUAAAUAUUAUUUAAUUAAAAUUCAAAAAAUUAAAUUUUAUCAUAAUGAGAAAAGAAUUAAAAACAACUUAAAAUAAAAAAAAGUAUUUAUAUAACGAACAAAAAAAUAAAAAAAUAAACAAAAAUAAACGAGUUUUAGGAGAGAACUCUCUCCAUGUUAUGGAAACACUCCAAAACACUUGUUAUGGAGACAACUCUCCAUAACAUGGUCCAUUUUUUAUUUCCUUUGUCCUUUUCUUUUUAAUUUGUUUUGCUCAUCAUUUAAAUACUUUUUUUUGAGUUAAAAUUCCUUUUAAUUUUUUUUUCAUAUGAUAAAAAUUUAUUUUUUUAAUUUUAAUUAAAUAAUAUUUAUAUAUUUUUUAUUUAGUUUUCAUAGCUUUCUUUUGUUUAAUUUGUUUUGUUUUUAUUAUAUUUUUUUAUAUUUCUUUUUCUUCAUACUAUAAAUAAUUACAUUUUUCUUUUUAAAUUGUGUUUUAGCAUAAAAUUACAUUUUAUCAUAUUUUUAAAUUUCUUUUUCUUUAUAAAAUUACAUUUUAUCAUAAAACAAAAAGCAUUAAAAAGAAUUUUAAAUCAAAAAAAAUUAUUUGUAACAUGAAGAAAAAGAAAUUUUAAUUUUUUUAAAAAUAUAUAAUAAAAACAAAAGAAAAUUAUAAAACUAAAUAAAGAAUAUAUAAAUAUUAUUUAAUUAAAAUUUAAAAAAUUAAAUUUUAUCAUAAAGAGAAAAGAAUUAAAAAGAAUUUAAAAUAGAAAAAAAUUAUAUAACGAACAAAACAAUUAAAAAAAAAAAAGGAAUGUUAUAGGAAGAAUUCUCUCCAUGUUAAGUUCUCUCCAAAACACUUGAAGACGGUCUAUUUUUUUAUUCUGUUCUUUUUUUUUUUUUUUUAAUUUGUUUCGCUCAUCACUUAGAUACUUCUUUUUAAUUAAAAUUCCUUUUAAUUUUUUUCUUUACGAUGAAAUUUUAUUUUUUAAAUUUUAAUUAAAUUAUAUUUAUAUAUUCUAUUUAUAAUAAAAAACUUUAUUUUUUAAUUUUAAUUAAAUAAUAUUUAUAUAUUUUUUAUUUAAUUUUCAUAACUUUCUUUUAUUUAAUUUGUUUUGUUUUUAUUAUAUAUUUUUUGAAAACUUUUAUCAACAUUUUUUCUUCAUAUUAUAAAUAAUUUUUUGUUCUAUUUAAAAUUAUUUUCAAUUCUUUUCUUUUUAUGAUAAAAAUUAAUUUUUUAAUUCUAAUUAAAUAAUAUAAUAUUUAUUUUAAAUUUUAAUUAUUUCAAUUUAAUUAAAAAACUCUAUAAAACUUUUUUUUUUUGUAUUUGCCUUCCCAAUGAAAUCAAUAUGAAAAAGUUGAAGCAUCUAAUUGUGUUUGCCUACCCAAUGAUGAUAUAAUAAUAUACACACACACAUUCAUUCAGCUCUAUUUAUAUUUCCAAUACAACCUAUUUAUUAUAUUUAUUACAUUGGAGAGGUUUCUCUCCAUCGCAUUAUUUUUUCCUUUUUUUAAUUUGUUUUUUUUUUAAUUUAAAGUUUUUUUUAUUCUUUUCUCUUUAUGAUAAAACUUACUUUUAUAAUUUUAAUUAAAUAUUAUUUAUAUAUUCUUUAUUUAAUUUUCAUAACUUUGCUUUGUUUAAUUUGUUUUGUUUUUAUUAUAUAUUUUUGAAAAUUGUUUUCAAAUUUCUUUUUUCUUUAUAUUAUAAAUAAUUUUUUGUUUGAUUUAAAAUUCUUUUUUCAAUUCUAAUUAAAUAAUAAUAUUAUUUUUAAUUUUAAUUAUUUCAAUUUAAUUAAAAAUCUCUAUAAUAACUUCUUCUUCUUUUUUUUUUUUUUGCCUAUUUUUGCCUGCAGAUCUCUUUUUUUUUUAUAUUUAAUUCAUUUUCACGCCUCUCCUCUACUAUAUAAAAGAGAAUAUCAAUACAUCAAUGUUCAUUUGUAGUUCAUCCAUUUCACACUUAUCUGGUUCCUAUCAUUUUUUUUUUUGCGCUUGUAAAUGGGUUGUAGAAGUGUUAUUGGGAAAACAAAUCUGUGUGUGUACUAUAGUAACUUUCCUAGGUGUGAGAACCAAAGUAUGUAUGAGAAGUGCAGCUACUCUAUGUGUGUACUCACUGUAGCAGUUUUGUCGUAAGAAAAAGUAAUAGCACACGUGUAAUUAUUUUAACAAUUCUUCUACGAUAAGAAGAGAGAUAGCAACAUCAGAUAUUUAAUUGCAUUCAAUUUUGUCAAGAUGUGGGGUCUCAUAAGUUGGCAAAUGGCACAUUUUAGCUUUUUAAAACUGAAAGUUGACUUUGGUUGCAGUAAGAGCAGAUUAUAUUUUUUUGAAUUCCCAUUUCAUCUUUAGCAUUAACAUUUAUGAAAAAUGAUAUGAGCUAUAAAGUUAAGGGUAAUUUUAGCAAAUUCAUUAUUAGAAGGUGGGCAAAAUCGUCUUCCAGCUUUGGAUGUAUAUGUAAAAGGAUUGCCCUCUGAAUGUAGACCGUAACGUGGUUCUGAAGAUUCAUUGUCCUCUUCAUUUUUUUUUUACCUUUUUCACCUCCAUUUCUUCUUAUUUGUACAAACGAAUUUGAAAGCUUUAUUGUUCUAAUAUUUUUUAUUCUCUUUUAUAUUCUUCACCUCCAUUGCUUCUAUUGUGCGAAAACGAAUAUACGGGAAAGUUAUAUAGAAAUUACCAAGAAAGGUGUGGAGAAACGGACGUUGAUAACCUAAAGUAUGUAUAUUUCAUAUUUCUUUCUUUUGGGUAACGUUAUUUUUUAAAUAAUUAAUUAAAAUUUGUUCAUUUUAGAUGAUUUUACCUCUAAAUGUUUUAUAUUUUGAACCCAUUUUGUAUCCUAUUGCUUAUGUGUAUAGGACUCCAUUACAUUAACUAACUUGUAGAAUCGAAGAUUUAGUGGAAAAAUCUCUGCUGGGUAAGGUUUUUGAGAUAUAUUCUUUAUUUUAGUUGAUUCUUUAUGUUUUUUCAAAAAAAUUUGAGAUUUUCAAUUAGUCUUCUUUCUUCUCUUAUACUGUCUCGACUAUUUUCAUUUUAUUGCAGUUGAAGAUUUUUCUUUUUGGUGGUUGAAUAUUUCUUUUUCUACAUUCUUAGGGGUUUUAAAUGUAGUUUAAUUUGUUUGCUCAUUAUGUAGUUUCUUUAAAUAUAGAUUUACAAGUUACUGUAUAAUAUCAUAUAUUAUUUGUCAAAUGGUGUUCUAAAGUUUCACUAAUGAACUCUCGUAAGGAAUUAUUGGUAUUUAUGCUUUGUCUAAUAAAAUGAGCAAGUUAAUUACAUAGAUGGUAGAAUCCAGUAAAAAGGCAAAAGAAAACAACUUUAGCUCAUUUCUUACAUGUUUCUUACGUCAAAUUGUUUGUUUAAUCGUUCCCAGAUGCUAUUGUUACUUACGUUGCUACUUUCAAUUGCUAAGAAAGAAAUAGAUAUGGAAGCAAAUAUUCGGCUUUCUUUAAAGAAUUGAUGGUUCAUCCUUUUAUAUUUCAACCAGAAUGUGUUAAACUAAUUCUUUUCAAUUCUGUCUUUUUUUCCCAGCAUCAUUUUUGAAUCAUAUUUUCAUGAUUAUUAUAGGUAACGCAAAUGCAAUAUCUUGCUUCAAAUAAAGGACUAAUGAUAAAAUGAAUAUAAGUUCCAUUGAUGUUUCAAUAGAUGCAAAUGAAAAUUCGCAUGAUACAAGUUAUAAUAACUAUUGCAAUAUUCUUCAAACAAUUUAAUUAUAGAAAAAAUAUGGAAGAUAACAUAUUUAUCCUUCAAGCGUAUUAUGUCAUAGUUAAUAUUUGCAUAUCUUAGAUUCUACUUUUGUAUAAAUUUAGGCUCCAAUUUCAAUUAAUGUCUAUUAUAUGUUUUUGGUUUCUUUUACGAAGUACUUUUCUUCUAAAAUCCGAAUACCUUAUAAAAUAAAAUUACAUAAUAUUUUAAAUUACUGGUUACAAAUAAAAUUAAAUGCAGUUGCUACCUUAGUGAAGAAGAAAUAAAUUUAAAAAAGAUUUGUUUUCAUUUGUGCUCAUCUUCUAUUUCAAUCAUAUUUAAUAAUUUAAUAAUUUCUUCUUCAUCUAUUUAAAGUUAUUAUUAGAUUUUUUUGGUCUCUUUCUUCCGUUCAUCUUCACUCUCAGGUUUAUUGUUAGCUUCAAUUACACUACAUCUAAAGUCCGAUUUCUUCUUUUCUUGUUACCAGGUAAUGUGCAGUCUUAUCUUUUAAAUUAUUUUCCUUUAAGGUUAGAUUUUUGUAAAUUAAAUUUUAUAGCUACAUCUGUUUUGCAGAAAACGGACUAUGUAAGUUACUUAUAUAAUUCUCGCUUUGUUAAUUCAUUUCUUAUUGUUCUUAGUUUUUUAAUUUAGUACAUUUACAAUUCCUUAUUAAUUUCUAUUCUUAAUUCAAUUUCUUAUUUGUUAUUUUCUUUUUACAAUAUAUUAACUUCUAUUCUUAACUUAAUUUCUUAAGGGUAAGCUGGUUGUUUUUCUUAUUAUGGAAAGACAUAAUAAUUUUGCAAAUUAGAGAAGUUUAGCUCCGUAAUAAUUUAGCUAAUUAGUAUAAUGGUUUAGUUCAAUUUCCUAAGGAGAUAAGGUGGUUAUUUUUCUUACUAUAAAAUACAUAAUAAGUUAGCAAAUUAGAGAUUAUUACCCAGCUGUCUCACUGUCAAAUUCGUAUUCCCUAGCUUUUCACACAAUCCCAGCUUCACGGUGACUUGGAAUUCAACAGAGAAUCUUGGGUACUCGGUUGGGGGUCACUGGAGGGAGUGUGAUUGUGUUUUCUGGUGCUUGACAAAUACUUACUCCAUUAAGCAUUACACUCAAGUCAAGUUGAAGAAAAGAGAUUCUAAUACAAAAUAAAUUGCCAUGGUAAUUGCCAUUGGUAUUGAAUGUCACAAAUAGCCUUUGUUCAAUCAACGCACAUAUCUCCCGUCAGUACUUAUACAUUGAACACACUAACAUUAUCUUCAAAAUGUCCCUGCCCGUGCAUUGCACGAGCAAAAACUAAUAUAUAUAUAAAGAGAAGGGGGGUGGGGUGUAGUUAUUGAUACAAAAUUGAUAACAUUUUCACACGAUUUUUUAUCUUGGAGUUUCUCUAUCCUCCACUCACAAAUCUAAAAAAAGAUUUCCUUCAUUUGUUAUUCCAUUUCCCCCACUUACCCAACUAAUAUGAAACCUUCCCUCAAGUCAUUUAUUUAUUCUCACACCACUUUACGCUUUCCUUCAUUUUUAGUAUUUCAUAACUUGUCUUCCCAUAUUUUUUUACUCAUUUUCCUUCCAUAUUUUGAUGUAUUAAAACAAGAAGGCAUUGUCCAGUAGCAUUUAUAGCACAUUUUCUAUCUCAGCAUUCUUCCUUUGGUUGAAACACAUUUGAAGUUUAUAAGGUAGGAUAACAACGUACAGGUGGUUCAUCCCGUUCAAUUUUUGUUAUUUCAUAUUGAUAAAUAUUUUGCUAAAGUUAACCUUUACUUUAAAAAAUAUUUUGAAUGUAAAGUACAACCUGCAGAUUAUACCAAGAAAAGUGGUACCAUUUUGGACCAAGUUCAACCAAAAUAACCAGAAAAUUUUCCUCCUAGACUCCUUUACAAGAAUUCUUCAAGAAUGACAUAUAAUUAACUAAAUAAGCGACUUAACAAACUAAGAUAAUGAAAAUAAAAUAAUGGUGGCUACAUGCAAGAUACUAUAUCCAAAAAGCAUAUCCACAGAAAAAAGACAGGUCCAAAAGACAAUGUCUUUGCAUCAUUGUAGAUAGGAAUCUCAGUGGGCACCAUUUGUCCCUCCAAUUGUAAAGCAUCCAAUACUGAUGAAACUUUCACAAUACAACCUUCACGUCACCACCAUCUAGUUGCUUAAUCUAGUAAUGAAUUCAACCGGGUACCGUAAACCAUUUGCGUACCCGACUGUAAAUUUAUUGAGAACAAAGGCUAGUUCGUAUUUGUUCAUAUUUUUUAAGUACUUGGGUGUGGAACUAAAUUCUUGAACAGCACAGUGAUAAACGAAUGAUUAAAUGUCAAUGAAAGACGUUAGAUUUCAAUAAAUACGACACUUAGAUAAUCAUUUGUAUGGCUUCAACAGAGAUCAUGAGUCCCUUCAAAUUACACUUGGAGCAUAAUGUCUGAACUUCAAAUUAUCUUGUGAACCGUCGGGGAAUCCUAGGUGUUGGUACUACCACAUCACGACCAGAUUUUAUCAAGUUGAGGCGAUCUGGUAUUGUUUCAUCAAAUAACCUAUUUUCUGGAUUCUCAGCAUAGCAAACAUGGUAACAACUCACACAGGCUUGAGGUAGCGUCAUGGCAAUCCUUGUCUGGCACAUUAUUGAUAAAAUUAAGUUAACCAAACAAUUGUGGAACAAAAAAUGAAAGGCUCAGCUUGAUUACAUUAUGUAAGUAAUGCAUUAUUAGAAUAAUGUUGGUUAGGUUGAGUUGACUAACCAUUAGGUAACCGAUGAAGGCAGCUAGGACUGAGAGGGUCGCAGUGUAAUCACGGUGCACAGUGGCUGUCCAAGCAGCUACAACAAUUACACAUAUCGAGCUACUGCAAACUCCAGUUAGAAAGCAAAUGGCGCUUGUUAUGUUAGAGUCGACAAUCGGUGGCAUCUCCCUCUUCUCAAAUAGCUCCCAAGUGUCUUGUGAUGGCUUCACAAAAUCUUUUCCAUAUACAGCAAUCUAUAGAAGUCACAGCCAAGCAAAUUCAACACUAUCUCAAAAAUUUGACACAAAUAAAGAAGGUAUUUGAUAAGUGUGUUUUUACACACUUAUUUGGUUCACAAACAUGACUUAAACAUGGAUAAAAUGGUUGAAUUGUGAAUUAAUUCAGUUAAAUUCAUGCAUUGUAGGUAAUUCAAUGGAAAUUGUGGAAUUCAAGAGAAAAGAGCCGAAGAAGGACCAAAACGCAACAAUUUGAUAGUUCGAGGACCAACAGUGCAAUUAUUGAGAAGUUGAGCUAAAUGCAGAACGAGAGUAAAAACAUGCCGAGUAUGAGCUCAAUGACAAAGCAAAACAAGUGGAGGAAGAAAGAAUGGAAGAUGGACUAAAAUGAAGAUAAUUGAAAGUUGGAGGACUAAAGUGCAAAUACUCAAAAGAUGUGCCGAAUGAGUGGCAUUAUAUUUGAAAGUGUCGAUCAUCAAUUGGAAGAUAAGAAUUGUUGAAAAGAUAAAGAAAUCGAAGAAAGAAGUCAAGAGAAGCAACAAAGAAGUUCAGGGACCAAAUUGCACAAACCACAUAGAUGGCUACUUCUAUGCGACCGCAUAGUGUAACCUUCUAUGCGGUCGCAUAGAAGGUUUCAGGGAAUUCAAUGAGCAAAAUAAAUGAUCUAUGCGACCGCAUAGAUCCCUUCUAUGCAGUCGUAUAGUGAUGUUUUGCAAUUUCGGGCGUAGUUUUUCGUUUUGGUUGAAACUCCUUUCCUACUUAAUUUGGACGCGAUAUAAAUACCCAAAUUCAUCAUAUUAAGAGAAGAACGACCAANNNNNNNNNNNNNNNNNNNNNNNNNNNNNNNNNNNNNNNNNNNNNNNNNNNNNNNNNNNNNNNNNNNNNNNNNNNNNNNNNNNNNNNNNNNNNNNNNNNNNNNNNNNNNNNNNNNNNNNNNNNNNNNNNNNNNNNNNNNNNNNNNNNNNNNNNNNNNNNNNNNNNNNNNNNNNNNNNNNNNNNNNNNNNNNNNNNNNNNNNNNNNNNNNNNNNNNNNNNNNNNNNNNNNNNNNNNNNNNNNNNNNNNNNNNNNNNNNNNNNNNNNNNNNNNNNNNNNNNNNNNNNNNNNNNNNNNNNNNNNNNNNNNNNNNNNNNNNNNNNNNNNNNNNNNNNAUGUUCAUAAAAAGUCAUGCAUUCUUGUACAUUGCAUCAUCCAUAGAAAUAUAGGCUGGUGGUGUGUAAGAGUAGAUUCAAUAUAUAUCGAGAGAGUGUAUUGGAUAAUUUAGGAACAUUGAAUUGGCAUUUUUUUUCCAUCGAUUCGUUGAAUUUGUGAAAUUAGGGUUUUUAAUAGUUAAUUGGGGAUUCGAGUUCUUAAUGAUUUCAUUUCGAUUCAUUUCAAUACAUUAGUUCUAAAAUUACAUAUUUACAUUUCAGUUGCGUGUUUAUUUCAUUCGAUUUGUGAAAUUUCGAAACUAGGGUUUCCAAUUUUAAAAUUAGGGUUUUCUUUGCAAUUAGGGUUUCAAAUUGGGGAUUUCUCCCAAAAUUAGGGUUUUUCAUAAUUAGACCCAAUUUUCAUUAAAUUAGAUUCAGUUAAGGUCACAUUGGUAUAAUUAGAGUUAAUUCAAUCCUCGUGGGAACGAUACUUGGACUCAUAGUCCAUUUUACUACUUGUUAACGAACCGUACACUUGCGGUGUGUUUUGAAAUCGAAAAGAAAUAUUUCGUGAACAAAUUUUUGGCGCCGUUGCCGGGGAUUAAAUUUUAGAUUUAAUUCUAUCUUUUGUGACACUAAUUCGAACUUAUUCAUUUUAGUACUUGUUAAUUUUAUUAGAUUUAUUUAAUUAUUGUUUAUAUUGAUUUUUUGUAUUAAUUUUGCCAUAUCAGGGCUUGCAUGCAAGGAGCACCUGAUCAAGACUUGGUCCCUAUAGAUCCAGAGAUUGAACGCACAUUCCGUCACAGGCAAAGGGAAGCAAGAGUGGUACAACAAAUGGCUAACGAGCAAAAUCGACCGGGAAUUCCACUCAACGAAGGUGUGGCAGUGGAAGAUGAUAGAAAUACGGUAUUUGGGGAUUUCAUGGCACCAUUGGUGGUGCAAAGUCAAUCUAGUAUUGUAUAUCCUCCAUUUGGGCAACUGAACUUCCAACUGAAGACAAACGUGAUUCAACUGUUUCAAAAUGGCAUCAAUACCAUGGGAUGGCUAGUGAGAAUCCGCAUACACACAUAUCUCGAUUUCUUGAUAUGUGUCAACACUUCAGAUAUCAAGGUAUCUUUGAUGAUGCUAUAAGACUGCGCUUGUUCCCGCACACCUGAAGGGAUAAAGCACUCGAAUGACUGGAUUCACUCCCUGUCGAAAGCAUCACCACUUGGAACGAGCUAGCUCAUAAAUUCUGCACCAAGUUCUUCUCGCUAGCUAAAGUAGCUAAAAUGCGGCAUGACAUCUCAAUAUUCAACCAGAUCAAGUCAGAGUCAUUUGAAGAGGCAUGGAACCGUUUCAAGAACAUGUUAAGGAAGUGCCCGCAACAUGGCUUUGACAAGAAGACCCAGAUCAGAUUUUUCUACACUGGAUUACUCCCAUCAUUCAAGAGUAUGGUGGAUGCAUCAUCUGACGGGUCUAUCUCUACAAGAACAAUUGACGGAGCCUGGGAGUUGUUUGAAAGGAUGGCUACAACUUCAGCUAUGUGGUCUACAGAUCGAGUAGUUCAGAAGAGAGCACCUGGGGUAUAUGAAGUAGAUAUUUACUCAGCACUGUCGGCGAAAAUAGAUUCCUUAUUCCAUAAGGUUGAAAGUAUUUCACAAAUUGCCACUGCUAAGCAAGUUAUGAAGCAGAGUUGUGAAGAAUGUGGAGCAGAUCACAGUACUGCUACUUGCCCAAUUCUGGCACAAGGAGUAGAACAUUCAGAAUUCGCACAAUGGGGUCAGCGCCAGCAAAAUAACCCACAUUCAGAAACCUUCAAUCAAGGCUGGAGAAAACACCCAAAUUUCUCUUGGAGCAACCAGAAUCAAAAUAGACCACAAGGGCAAUAUCAGCAGCAAGACAAAAAGCCAAAUUUGGAGGAUAUGUUCGAGAAAUUUAUGGCACACACCAAUCAGUACAUGGAAGCCAAUAACCAAUUUAUGCGAAGGACGGAAACAACGCUUCAAGAUCAAAGUGCAGCGAUCAAGAACUUGGAGACACAAGUGGGACAGAUAGCAAUUUCCAUGACGGGUAGAGCACCGGGAAACCUACCCAGCAAUACUGAAGUUAACCCUAAGGAACAUGCAAAGGAUAUAACAACCAGAAGUGGAGUACAACUGUCGGAACCACAUGUAACAAGUUCGGGAGCCAACAAGGAAUCAAUGCCAACCUUGGAGGAAGAAAGUGUAGAGCAAACUGACAAUGCAACGGGAGAUGAGGUUAAGAGGAAUUCCAAGACAUCACAGGGUAAAAAUACUAAUCCUGUCAACCCUCAUGAGCCUCCUAUUCCAUUUCCACAAAGGUUGAGAAAGCACAAAAUGGAUCAGCAAUACAGUAAGUUCCUUGAAGUCUUCAAGAAACUGCAUAUCAACAUCUCAUUUGCUGAAGCACUUGUCCAGAUGCCGAGCUAUGCAAAAUUCUUGAAGGAUAUCCUCUCCAACAAGCGAAAGAUAGAAGAACACGAAACAGUAAUGUUGACUGAGGAAUGCAGCGCCAGAAUCCAGAGAAAGCUACCCCCAAAACUGAAAGAUCCAGGGAGUUUUACUGUACCCUGCACUAUUGGAGACUGUCAUUUUGAUAAAGCUUUGUGUGAUUUGGGUGCAAGUAUUAAUCUAAUGCCUCUUUUUGUUUUCAGGAAACUCGGCUUGGGAGAAGCAAAAGCCACAACAGUGACAUUGCAGUUAGCAGAUCGAUCCCUUACACAUCCAAGAGGAAUCAUUGAAGACGUGCUGGUAAAAGUGGAGAAGUUCAUAUUUCCAGCUGAUUUUCUUAUCUUGGACAUGGAAAAAGAUAAAGAUGUUCCACUCAUUUUGGGGCGACCUUUCUUAGCCACUAGGAGAGCAAUUGUAGAUGUUCAGAAGGGGCAGCUGAUAUUAAGGCUUGGUGACGAGCAAAUCUCAUUCAACGUGUUCAAAGCAAUGAAAUUCCCUACUGAGGCAGACAGUUGUUUCCAGAUCGAUGUAGUCGACCGAAUAGUUCAAGACACAUUUCGGCUACAUCAUCCUUUCGAUGCAUAUGAGGCAUGCAUUGCACAUUCACAAUCCACCCAUUCUGAAUCAAGUGAGAUUGAGACAUGUGCUCGAUUUUUGGAGAGUAACCAGCCAUAUAUGCGCAGACGCUACUAUGAAGAGCUGGGAACUAGAACUGCAAAAUCAGUGCCAUCUAUUGUGAAACCGUCCAAAUUGGAAUUCAAACAACUGCCACCACAUCUUCGAUAUGCGUACCUGGGGGAAUCUUCUACACUACCUGUUAUUAUUUCAAGCACUGUCAGUGAGGUAGAGGAAGAGAAACUACUUCGGGUGUUAAGGGAGAAUAAAACAGCUAUUGGAUGGUCGAUUGCAGAUAUAAAGGGGAUCAACCCAUCUAUAUGCAUGCAUAAGAUACUCAUGGAGAAAAAAUUUAAACCAAGCAUUGAUGGGUAGCGGAGAUUGAAUCCACACAUGAAGGAAGGGGUUAGAGCUGAGGUAUUGAAGUUGCUCGAUGCAGGCAUUAUUUAUCCAAUAUCAGAUAGUACAUGGAUCAGUGCAGUGCAAGUUGUUCCCAAGAAAUGAGGAAUCACAGUGAUAGAAAAUGAGAGAAAUGAGUUGAUUCCCACACGGACAGUGACUGGAUGGAGAGUGUGCAUUGACUACCGUAAGCUUAACUCAGCUACUCGAAAGGAUCACUUUCCAUUACCGUUCAUUGAUCAGAUGUUGGAGAGAUUAGCAGGGCAUUGGCACUAUUGUUUCCUAGAUGGGUACUCCGGGUAUAAUCAGAUUCCAGUGGCACCAGACGAUCAGGAGAAGACCACUUUCACUUGCCCCUAUGGCACCUUUGCAUACAGAAGGAUGCCAUUUGGAUUAUGCAACGCUCCCGCUACCUUUCAGCGCUGCAUGAUGGCUAUUUUUUCAGACAUGAUUGAGAAAUACAUCGAGGUAUUCAUGGAUGAUUUCUCUGUGUUUGGAUCUUCAUUUGAUGAGUGCNNNNNNNNNNNNNNNNNNNNNNNNNNNNNNNNNNNNNNNNNNNNNNNNNNNNNNNNNNNNNNNNNNNNNNNNNNNNNNNNNNNNNNNNNNNNNNNNNNNNNNNNNNNNNNNNNNNNNNNNNNNNNNNNNNNNNNNNNNNNNNNNNNNNNNNNNNNNNNNNNNNNNNNNNNNNNNNNNNNNNNNNNNNNNNNNNNNNNNNNNNNNNNNNNNNNNNNNNNNNNNNNNNNNNNNNNNNNNNNNNNNNNNNNNNNNNNNNNNNNNNNNNNNNNNNNNNNNNNNNNNNNNNNNNNNNNNNNNNNNNNNNNNNNNNNNNNNNNNNNNNNNNNNNNNNNNNNNNNNNNNNNNNNNNNNNNNNNNNNNNNNNNNNNNNNNNNNNNNNNNNNNNNNNNNNNNNNNNNNNNNNNNNNNNNNNNNNNNNNNNNNNNNNNNNNNNNNNNNNNNNNNNNNNNNNNNNNNNNNNNNNNNNNNNNNNNNNNNNNNNNNNNNNNNNNNNNNNNNNNNNNNNNNNNNNNNNNNNNNNNNNNNNNNNNNNNNNNNNNNNNNNNNNNNNNNNNNNNNNNNNNNNNNNNNNNNNNNNNNNNNNNNNNAAAUCUUCCCAGACGAACAGAUUUUUGGUGUGAUGGAAACACCCUGGUAUGCAGAUAUAGUUAACUAUUUAGCCAGGUCUAUCAUACCGCCAGAUUAUUCAAGUCACCAGAAGAAGAAAUUCUUCGCUGAAUUGAAGUAUUAUUUUUGGGAAGAUCCCAUUCUCUACAGGCGAGGGGCUGAUCAAAUCAUUCGUCGCUGUGUACCAGAGGAAGAGGUGCCCUUGAUACUAGAAAACUGUCACUCAUCUAUAUAUGCAGGGCAUUUUGGUGCUUCGAAAACAGUUGCGAAGAUUCUUCAAUCAGGUUUUUACUGGCCUACACUCUUUAAAGAUGCUUUUGAGUUUGUGAAAAGGUGUGACCGAUGUCAGCGCACAGGUAACAUAUCUAGAAGAAAUGAGAUGCCUUUGAAUAGUAUCUUAGAGGUGGAAUUAUUCNNNNNNNNNNNNNNNNNNNNNNNNNNNNNNNNNNNNNNNNNNNNNNNNNNNNNNNNNNNNNNNNNNNNNNNNNNNNNNNNNNNNNNNNNNNNNNNNNNNNNNNNNNNNNNNNNNNNNNNNNNNNUAUUCUGGAAGUCACAGUUAACUCAUCACGAAAGGAUUGGUCAAAGAAACUGGAUGAUGCCUUGUGGGCCUACAGGACUGCAUUCAAGACUCCUAUAGGAAUGUCUCCAUAUCGACUGGUUUUUGGGAAAGCAUGCCAUCUACCUCUCGAGAUCGAACAUCAUGCUUACUGGGCAAUGAAGAAGUUGAACUUGGAUUUGAAGGCUGCAGGUGAAAAACGGCUGUUACAACUGAAUGAACUUGAUGAACUCAGAAUGGAAGCCUGUGAGAACUCAAAGAUCUACAAAGAGCGCACCAAGAAAUGGCAUGACAUGCAUAUCCAGAGGCGUGACUUUCAAGUGGGGCAAAAAGUGUUACUGUAUAACUCCAGGCUUAAGCUGUUUCCAGGAAAAUUGAGAUCGAGAUGGUCUGGUCCAUAUACCAUUACACAAGUAUUUCCACAUGGGGCAAUUGAGAUCACUCACGACAGCAAGGGGACAUUCAAAGUCAAUGGAUAGCGAUUGAAGCACUACUGGGGCGGUGAUUUCUCAAAGGACAAGUCUACCGUCCAACUUGGAUCACCAGAAUGACGCAUUACGAUAAAGUCGAGCUAUCGACUAUAACAUAGCGCUGAGUGGGAGGCAACCCACUGUAUCCUUUAUUUUAUUUUAUUGCAUUGCAUUAGUUUAGGAAUUUGUUUGAUUUUAGUUUGUUUCGUAGGUCAUCGAUCAUAUUUUGCAUGAUAGCUUAGGCAUUUCACGUUUAAUGUUGCAUGAAUCGGGGCGUUAUGAAGUGUGUCGGGUGUUCGAGUGUAUGUCACGCAUUCCGAUGUGCGAAGAUGUUCGUUUUGGUUAAGAUUUCAGAAUGCGGGUCAAUAUUUUUGAAAAAUCGAUUUUGGUGCUAAGUUUUCGAUAAGCAUACUCCUUUUUCAAGUCAAAAAUUUCAAUUUUUUUUCGGAAUAUAGCGGAGUAAGUCCAAAUUUUUAAGUGAAAAAUCGAUUUUGGGGGAGUUUAAAUUCUAACUAUGCGGUCGCAUAGUGCUGUGGCCACGGGUUUUAACCCGUGGCCACCCCCAUUUUUCCCCACAUCCCCCCCCUCACGCCACACUCCUUGCACUCUCACUCACACACGAAAUCACUCCACACGACCACCCUUCUUCUUCACUUGCACUCAUUAUCACCAUCACACUUGCACCUAAUUCACUGCACACACUUAAUUGCAUACACCCCAAAAUUGCACUACACACACUCCUCACACUAGUGCUUGGAUAUUGACACACAUCAAGCUUCCAACUUGCCAAGCAAGGUAUGAAUUCUAACUCCGACAAAAUUUCGGGCUUCAUUCUUACAUUCUCUUUCAAUGUGUGGAUUUAGUUAGAAUGUAUUGUGGUAGAUUGGUGUACUAUUGUGAAUUUGGGGAACUUUCAUGGUAGUGUAUGUAAGAAAUAGGAAGUAAUUCACAUUGCACACCAAGUGUUCGACAAAAUGCCACAUUAACGCAUGUUUUGAUUUUUUGGGCUUUUCACUUAUGUAAUAGUUUACAUCGUUAUUGUGUAGCGUUUUUGUUGAAAAAUCAUGUGAUAUUUCAAUUGAAAACAUUACCUUAACAUUUGAAUUCACAAAGGCAUUUCAUGGUUCAACAUAUUCACUCACGUCACUACCUUCGUCCCUAUGUUUUCUAAUGCAAACGACCUCCGAUUAGGGUGAAAUUUGGAUAUAUUCUAGAUAUCAUUAUGUAUUUUCACAUGUCCAAAACUUGCUCGGGAAAAUUUCGAUAUUUCUCGGUGAUGCCCGGGGCUGAAUUUGGUCACUUGGUCAUGGGUAAAAAUUUUUAGAAAUGCAUGUUCGAGCCAAAAUUUUGAGUUUUCCAUACUUAUGCAAUGCUAGAGUUAUAUUGAUGAUUCAUGUUAUGAAACAUUGCAUAAACACACGUAAAUGUGCAUAUUGAAGAAAGUUUGGGGGAUUAUGAAUUCAAAGUUUAUUCAUGCCCAUUUUUUCUACACUAAGUGAGUGAUAUUGUGUAUUUCCUUUUGCAGGAUGCCUCCUAAACGAAGUUCAAAGGGAAAAGAGAAAGUCGGCUCAUCAUCUGGAACAGCCCGAACAAGGGAACCCGAAGGGGGUGUCAGACGAUUUCUAUCAUCAGAUACGGCAGCCCGAUACGUCAAUGUUGUGCGUGAUUGGGCAAUCAUUCCCGAGAGGCCAGUAAAGUUAGAAGACUUUCCCAACUUUGAAUUGACAUAGCUUAUUCACAAUUGUGGUUGGGAAAAGGUUAUAGAAAGACCUCACCCGGUGUAUGAGAAUCUGACAAAGGAAUUUUACGCAAAUUUCAACACGGAAAUCGAUACCCCCGGAUCAGAGCAUUUACAUCAGACAUGGGUUAGGGGCAAAUGGAUUAUGUUCUCACCGGAGGUAAUCCAUGACUACUAUCAGUUAUCUUGGAACAAUGUGGUCCCUAUCCCAGAGGACUUCAACUGGAAUGAGGUUGCAGAGGUAUUGUUGGGACGUGAAAACGCUUGGCCUCUACCUACAGCAGACUGGCAUCAGAUAGAUCUCACCCCAUCCAUAGCAAUUUUAUGGUUAUUCAUGUACCAUAACAUCGAGCCUAUAUCCCACAGAACAACAUUUACAAAUCCAAGGGCCGGAUUCAUAUACCAUUUGGUUAGAGGGAACAAGAUUGAUCUAGCCACGUACAUCUACAACCAAAUUCAUGGUACAGGCACUUGGGGUGAUAGGCACUACUCACUAAUUUUUCCCAGUCUGAUAAGUGGAAUAUGUAGAGCAGUGGGGAUACAAAUCCAACCUGGGGAAGCACCAGAAAAGCCAAGCCCUUUUAUCAAGCAAUCCACACUAGAGGUCUAAGACCGAGUAAGAGUGAAGCACCAACAGAAAUUAGAAAAUGCACGACGACGACAGCAAUUGAAUGAGGAAGGUCAAGCAGAUGCGGACCUUGACAUGCCUCAAAUACCUCCACCACCACCCCAGGUUGAUAUGGACAAUCAGGUUUUGAGGCAGAUAUUUGCCACUACCACUGGAACUAGCCGAGACAUACAACAUCUCCAGCAGAGUUUCGAGACCAUGACUACCACUAUUGACAAAGUGCAGAGAGACCUCUACUCUUCCUGAAGAUUCCACAAGGGGUGCUUUAAAUGAAGCCACAACGGCACGACGGGAGGUGGAGACCAUGAAUGGUAGGUUCAACAUGUAUGCUGGGAGAAUGGAUGGCAUAUAGUGGCGAGUGAACGAAACCUGGGAUCGAUUGGGAAGUAUGGAGAAUAGGCUUCAAUCCAUUUAGGCAGAGCAAGCACAGUAGACAGAAUUGAUGAGACAAAUCCUAUCUCGCCUUCCAUCUCCUCCUGAAGAUCAUGCUGCGGGUCCCAGCUACACACCGCGACCACCACUUUGAUCAGGGGAGUGUUGUUUACCUCUAUUUGCCAAGUUGUGUAUAUAUUUUUAAAUUAUGCUUUUCUAACUUUACAUUUACAUUGAGGACAAUGUACUGUAUAAGUUUGGGGGAUGGUAGCAUAAUUUUCAAACAAAUAUUCGGCAUGUAGUUAAUAUGCAUUUUCACAAUCAAUCAUUAAAUUGACUACAUUCUUGCAUGAUGCAUGCGUGAUGAAUGAGUGUUGAUUUUACUUUUGUAUGCUUGUGUGGGUUUGGUAGCCUUGCCGGCUAUGAUGUGAUUAUUGGACAGGUGUAAAUUAGAACUGUGGAUAUAGUACAGGAUUUUAUUAGCUAAUACUUGUUGAUGCAAUGCUUGACAUCCUUUUGCACGCACUCAUGUUUUCAUGUUAAGUUAUUGAAUGAGAUUGUUGGAGUAAAAUAUGAGAAACCUAGGUUAACCCUCUAUAUCAUUAACCCGUUAAAUCACCAUAAGAUAGUUUGGAGAUGGUUGAGCCACUAUAGGGAAACAUAGAAGUAAGUAGGGGUUCAGUGCAUGAAAAUAUACUGUGUGGAUUGUCUAAACCGGAAGGUGAGAAAUAGGUAAAAACUUUAAGUUGAGGACAGUUUUUGAGAUCAAAUGUCUAGAAAAACAAAGAAAGGGUAGAAAAUAAAAAUUGGAAAAUUAUCACUUCUCUCUAAAGCCUUUAUGACUCAAGCAAUUAAGUCUGUUAGGGCUUAAAACCUGAUAUCCUAAAGCCAACUGGUUUGUGAAUUAUCGGCCUAAAGCUCGUUACAGUGGUUAUAUAGAAAGCAAGAAAAAGGAGAAGUUGACAAAAAUUCAUCUUAUCGAGCCUUUAUAACUCGGGUGAAUAAGGCUGCAAGGGUUUAAAACCUGGUGCCCUAAGACCAAUUGGUUUGGGAGUCAUCGCCUAAAACUCGUUAUAUAGAAAGCAAAUGAGAAGAUGGAGAGAGAAAAAAACCUGAAAAAAAAAAGCCCUUGUUGGACAUUUGGUUGAUAUAAAUUUAACCUUGAUGCGAGGUAAGUAGCUUAGUUUGAGCCUAAAGGUUGAAACAAUCAAAUUAAAGAGAGUCUCUACUUGUUGAUAUGUGUACUUGUAAGGGUAAGAUCUAUCCAAACUAAGAGAGGGUAAGGAUUAUAGUUGUUAAACUCCUAACCUUAGAACACGCCCCAAGAUAAUUGAGUGAAAAGAAUAAGUUUGGAGGAUUUGUGUAUCUCUCGAGUGAUGUAAGGAUAAAUUUGACCAUUAUGGGUCGGGAACAAACCAUUCAUAAGCUUGAUAUGUUGGCAUGAGUUCACACACACACGUUGAGUAUUGCAUUUGAUAAGUAAAGGUUAAUUUUAUUCUUGCAAUAUUGAUAUUGUUCUAUUGUAUUGCUAAGUUCCAAUCCUGAGACACGGCAAGCUACUAAGCCAUGUUUGUUUAACUUUGAGUCACUACAUUGUUUGAGGACAAACAAUAAUUUAAGUUUGGGGGAUUUGAUAAGCGUGUUUUUACACACUUAUUUGGUUCACAAACAUGACUUAAACAUGGAUAAAAUGGUUGAAUUGUGACUUAAUCCAAAAACUUGUUCACGAAAUAUUUCUUUUCGAUUUUAAAACCCACCGCAAGUGUACGGUUCGUUAACAAGUAGUAAAAUGGACUAUGAGUCCAAGCAUCGUUCCCACGAGGAUUGAAUUAACUCUAAUUAUACCAAUGUGACCUUAAAACUGAAAUGUAAAUAUGCAAUUUUAGAACUAAUGUAUUGAAAUGAAUCGAAAUGAAAUCAUUAAGAACUCGAAUCCCCAAUUAACUAUUAAAAACCCUAAUUUCACAAAUUCAACGAAUCGAUGGAAAAAAAAAUGACAAUUCAAUGUUCCUAAAUUAUCCAAUACACUCUCUCGAUAUAUAUUGAAUCUACUCUUACACACCACCAGCCUAUAUUUCUAUGGAUGAUGCAAUGUACAAGAAUGCAUNNNNNNNNNNNNNNNNNNNNNNNNNNNNNNNNNNNNNNNNNNNNNNNNNNNNNNNNNNNNNNNNNNNNNNNNNNNNNNNNNNNNNNNNNNNNNNNNNNNNNNNNNNNNNNNNNNNNNNNNNNNNNNNNNNNNNNNNNNNNNNNNNNNNNNNNNNNNNNNNNNNNNNNNNNNNNNNNNNNNNNNNNNNNNNNNNNNNNNNNNNNNAGCAUUCAAAUCAUAUAAAUCAAACAUUUGUCCAAUCGAAACUAUUGUUGAAUUAAUGAAAUAAUGGAAAUUUAAAUCAUCAAAAUGUUCAUCAAAUUCCUAAUGAACAAAAACCCUAGCCUAUAAUCAUCAUUACAAAAUCAAGAAAUUGAAAAACGAAAUUAAAAGAUAAUAAAAAUACACCCGUAUGGAAUUUCUUCAAUCCAUGUGUAUAAUCUUCAAUCCCGUCUCGAACCCGUGCGAAAUUGAAUCCAAAAUCAAGUUUCUUGCCUCCAAUUUUGGUCUCUCCCUUCUCCCUGGUCUUUCUUCUCUUAAUAUGAUGAAUUUGGGUAUUUAUAUCGCGUCCAAAUUAAGUAGGAAAGGAGUUUCAACAAAAACGAAAAACUACGCCCGAAGUUGCAAAACAUCACUAUGCGACCGCAUAGAAGGGAUCUAUGCGGUCGCAUAGAUCAUUUAUUUUGCUCAUUGAAUUCCCUGAAACCUUCUAUGCGACCGCAUAGAAGGUUACACUAUGCGGUCGCAUAGAAGUAGCCAUCUAUGUGGUUUGUGUAAUUUGGUCCCUGAACUUCUUUGUUGCUUCUCUCGACUUCUUUCUUCGAUUUCUUCAUCUUUUCAACAACUCUUAUCUUCCAAUUGAUGAUCGACACUUUCAAAUAUUAUGCCACUCAUUCGGCACAUCUUUUGAGUAUUUGCACUUUAGUCCUCCAACUUUCAAUUAUCUUCAUUUUAGUCCAUCUUCCAUUCUUUCUUCCUCCACUUGUUUUGCUUUGUCAUUGAGCUCAUACUCGGCAUGUUUUUACUCUCGUUCUGCAUUUAGCUCAACUUCUCAAUAAUUGCACUGUUGGUCCUCGAACUAUCAAAUUGUUGUGUUUUGGUCCUUCUUCGGCUCUUUUCUCCUGAAUUCCACAAUUUUCAUUGAAUUACCUACAAUGCAUGAAUUUAAUUGGAUUAAGUCACAAUUCAACCAUUUUAUCCAUGUUUAAGUCAUAUUUGUAAACCAAAUAAGUGUGUAAAAACACACUUAUCAGUAUUCUGUUUCAAGAUUACUUUGAUCAUAAGUUACUUUAUAUUUAGACUUAGAGAUUUAAUAUCUAAUUGAGAUGAAGGCAGAUUCAGGUUGACGCCACCAUAAAUGCCAUCUAGCACACUGUCCAAGGUAUCCAAGUCACCAGCACUAGCCCCAGAAGACAAUUUCCAGAGUGCCUUUUUCUUUAAGACUUUUAAUCCAGAAGAUCUACAUGUAAAUGGAAAGAAUUUUUUAACUUAGAUAAGCAAGAAUGCAAGAUUACUUGAACGUAAGCCCAGCCAUUUCCUCGUCGAAAGAUUGAUUCCAUGACCCUGAGACAGCAAUGCGCACAAGAAAACAUGAACUCAUCUUCGCCCUCAAGCAAAUUCAACCCACGUGCCAAGAUUCUCAAAGCUUCAAUUGCAGGCACAAAAAGGGAACCAAGACAAGCACUCCCCAGAUUCUUUGACAAGGCCCUUCGGAAGCAAAACUGGGUAUUAGAUUGCAUACCUCUGAGAUAAUAAAGAGAAAUUACUCUGCUAACUGUUAAAUUAGCCACAUUCCUCAUAACCUCAGCAGUCCAAGCCAAGCUCAAUAUCAAUGCAAUUAUAAUCAAUGGUGGUACGUAGAAAUUCAGUGAUCCAAUCACAGCUAAUACCCAAAAUGACAUCCAACAAAAUCCAGCACCGAGCAUCCAAUAAGUAGGAAGAUUUAGAUCAGGAAAUUUGGAUACGGGUUCAAGUGCCUUCAUAAAAAUCUUGGAGCAAAAACCAGUUCUUUGUGUAACCCAACACGCAUAUAAUCCAUUACCAAUGGCAAACACAAUAAAAAGAGCUCCAACUCCAUCUGUUGCUGGCCUUUGGAACCAAAUUAAAAGAAUCCCGGCCGAUAAAGUCAAGAUGAAAGAACUCCAAAUUAUGAAAAGCACCAUAAUAUUAGGCCAUAAUCUAACUGCCUUUUGCCAUACAAAUGCCAGUGUCAUGCUAAGAAAAGAGGCAGCCUCAACUUGUGGCAAAAAAUACUUCAACACCCUCUUCUCUUCUCUUUGGGACUUACCUUCUUCUACUAGGCCUUGCACUCCUUUAACUAUCAUAAAACACACCAAUCCAAAAGCCAGAACCAUAUGCACAAGGAACAAAAACAGGGAAAACUUGUUUGUGUACGAUCUUGAAUUCAGAGUUAUCACUGAUUCCUGUUCAAAAAAAAAAGAAAAAAAAAAAGCAAAAGUUUCCAAGAAAAUAUCUCCAACUAAAAUUCAAGAAAAACUAUGUAAGAAAUGCAGAGGCAGCUCAAGUUCUAGGCUUAAUGUGGAUUAAAGGUCCCGUAUUUAGAUAUAAUUUCUUUUGACUAAUGCCCCAAAUUUACUAUAACCGCUUCUGUGUAAGUGUGCGAUAUAAAAUCUUACUUGUGGGGGUAGGCGUAGAGCGAGGCUGCUGCAGAGGAGGAGGAGGAGAAGGCUGAGGCGGCUGAGAAGGUGGCUGAGAAGAGCGAGGGGGCUGAUGCGAAGGAGAAGCAAAUCUUGUUGCAUUAUUCAUUACAAGUCUUAAAGGAUUUGAAUUGCUCAAUCUUUGCAUUCUCGACAUGUGAACUUCUUCUGGAGCCUGAUUUUGAACUUCUGAUUUAUGAAUACUCAUCUCACCUUUCUCCAAAUCCUUCAAUUCAUCUUCCUUUUUCCCUUUUUCCUCCAUUUCUUCUUCACGCACUGAUUCUUCUUCAUUUUCUAUGUGCACCACCUAUACAAGAAAACAACAUAAAUAAGCAAAAGUCCAAGAAUAACUAAUUAUGAAAAAAUUAAGCAGGUGGGGUGAAAGUGGUUUACUUACAGGUUCUGCAGCACCCAUUAUCUGCGGCGGUUGCGGUGGCGCGUAAGUGCGACGAGGGCGAUGGUGCUGGUGGUCGGGGACGUUAGAUUUUGUAUCUAUAGUGUUCUUGGGUUAUGCAAUGGGCUCCUACCACCCCAGUGCUUCCACCUACAUUUUACCUCACCUCAGGGAAUCCGACAUUUGUACACUGCACUUAAUGGCGUGUCGUCACACCCUCCAAUAGAAUAUGUUCAUUUUGUCAGUUUUUUUUUUUUUUUUACUGAAUUAAUUUCACCUAUUUUGACUGAAUUUUAUAAUGAGUCCCUACAUUGCGGGAUUAAAAUCACUUUUAUAUUUUAAUAUAUUUCCCUUAUUAUAAUUAUAAUUAUUAUUUUGACGUAUUCCAUCUGUAGGCCAGACUGCUGAGAAGUAGAGUUCCAUGGAUGGUUGCACACGUGGGAAUUAUGGUCAGAUUUCGAGAUUGGAAGAAUCAUACUUUAAAGGGGAAUUUGCUGUAAAGGUGGAUAGAAUGCAAAAGGAGCAGAAUUUUAUGAUGUUAGAAAUUCUAUUGCAGAUUUGAUACAUAUAUAUAUAUAUAUAUAUAUAUAUAUAUAUAUAUCUUUGUGUGUGUGUGUGUGAGAUUUAGAUAAAAAUUAGAGUUCUAGUAUAUCUUGAUAAAAAUUGAUGGAGUAUGCUGUUGAAAGAUGAAACGUAAUGAAAACUUAUAAGAACGAAUAAAAUUUUAAAUGAAAAUUCAAAAUUAUUGAUUUGCUAACAAGAAAAAGAUGAUAUUGAUAUAAAAUUUCCAAAAUUUUUAUUAUUAUCAAAUUCAACUAUCACAACUCAUAUUUAAAAUAAAAACUAAAAUCUGGAUAAAAACUAAGUACUAGAUAAUGAUGAAAAUUAAAGUACCUAAUAUUUAGCAUUGAAUUAAAAAUCGCCAUUAUCAAAUUAUCCAUAAAAACGAAAAAUACUUUUUUGGAGCUCUAAAUGAUAAAAUUUGGCCGAAAAAGUCAAAAAAUUGGGUUGAGUUUUGCUUAUUUGUCUUUUUCCACUCAAAGUAGACACAAACUUCUCUAAAAAUAGACAAUUUUAGAAAUUAUUUUUUUUGACAUCGAUCACACUUUUUUCACGAAAAUCUUCUUCCUUAUUAGGGAUGGCAACGGAACAAGUCGAAACUUGCGCAACCUCCCCCAUCCCCCGCCCUAUUGAGUAAUUUGCCGUCCCAUUACCCAUUUAAAGUAGGGCGGAACGGGGCCCUUGCCCCCAUUUAGUACCUGUUUAAUUUUUUUUUUUAGUUUUUAUUUUUGAUAAUCCAUUUUAUUGUCCUCAUUCAUUAAAUUCAGACAAUAAUAUAUUUAUUAAAAUUUUUAUUUAAUUUGUUUAUUUUUAAAAAUUAAAUUAUUCAAAUAUAUUUAGUAAAAUUAAAUUUUUAUUGUUUGUCAUAUUCCUUCAAUAGCCUUAGUUGCCAUAUUCUAUUAAAACUAAUGAAAUUUCGUGAAAUUUUCCAUUUAAAAUAUUGAAUUCUUAAAAAAAAAAAAAAAAGUUAAACGACGUAGGACGGAGGAUCUUUGUUAUCCUGACCCAAAUACCCAAUUAAGCGGGUAAUUUUCGCUCCUUUUAGGGUGAGGCCACGAGUAUUGGGUUUGACAAAAAUUUUUUGUCAUCCUUAUUUAUUAUAUACCAUAUCAUUAAAUUACUAUAAAAUAUGUACUCUCUUUUUGAUUUUUUUGGACAAGUUCAAUUAGAAGUGGAAAUCAAUCAAAUAGUUUGAAAUGUGAUCUUAUUUUAAAAUAACAGCAAGGAACGACAUCAUUUUAUUGGUGGGGUUAACUAGGCUAUUUUAUUUAUCAUUACUCUUUUCUCCAUGCAAUACAAAAAUUAUGUUAUUUUUAAAGUAAUGUUAGCAUGCUGAAUGUUAAGAAUUGACAGAAGAUAUGUUCGUUGAAUGAGGUAAGCAAAAUUAACUUAAUUUGAAGACUCAAAUUUUCAUAUGAUUUCAACCAUAAAAUAUAGUUAUGAAACAUCUCAAGAGUACGAAGAAAUAAAGAAAACUUCAAACACGUUCCAGACAAAACUUACUUUCGAACUGUUCUUCAAAAAAUAAAACAGAAGGCAAAGAUAUGUUGAGAGAAGUUAGAGAGAAUAAUAAUUAUUAGUGCAAUCAUAAUCUACUUGUCUAAUGCGUUCAAAUCUUUGUCUUAUAGAAAAUUUGAAUGGAUUAAUCGUAAAUACAGCAUAAUAACAUUUCACGUCAAAAUAUUCGAGAAAUCUUCCUACAAGAUUUACUUUGAUUUGUCACUGUCUUCAUCAAAAUUAUGGUACGUAAAAAUUUCACCAGAAAUCUGAUCAGGUAAAAUUUUGUUAAUAUGACUAACACAUUCUUUUCUAGGCAUAAGAAUGACUCGACUUUAUAUGGCAUGUAAAUUAUUAGCAUAUGCUUUCAUUUCUGUAAAAACAUGAUGUAUCAAUUAUUUUAAAGAUGUGAUUUCAUCAUCAAAUGGCAAGAUUAUACUAUUUGAAAAUUUAAUGCACUUGCAAAGUAUGCUCUUGCUCCAUUCUAUUUUCAAUUCUGAGCAAGUAAUUGCACAACAUCGGAUCCAACUUUGCCCCCAUAUCUCAACCAAUGGUAGUUGUAAAUACUAAGGCUAUGGGUUUGAGAACACCAAGGCAUCGUUUGAGUAUUUCCUUAAUUGCACGGGUUGUAAAAUGGACAAAUUUGCUAUUUAUCUAAUAAUGAUAAAGAGAUUAUCAUGAGUAAAGACAGCAAUUUAAUUUACUAGGACUAAUUGGAUCAUUUAAUUUUUCAAUUUUCUUGCAAUUUCAAAGAUUAACAGAUGCAUCAUUCUCAACAUAUUUAAGCAUCACGUCCCCAGAACAGUCCAACAAUUUAACAUGUUUAUUACAGCAGGGGGGAAAAAAAAAAAAGGGAAAAACCCUAAACUCAUGGCUUCUUCAGUAGUUCUUUAGUAACUUUAUAAGAAUGUUAGCUCCAUGGCAAUCACUUGCUUGGAUAAUAUUGUUUUGCCUUUUGAAUUUUUAUUUUCCUUCCAGCCUUCAAACUGGAUUUCCACCCGAGGUUAGAUUUGUGCUCCUAGGUGCCGCACUUAAAGCAACUGUGGGUAAUUCCCCUCUAAGAUACUUUGAGCCACUUCUCAGAAGCUUCUCUUGGUACACGAUAUAAGAUGUAAAAAUGAGUAUUAAGGUGAUUUCCCAUUUCUUUUCUAACAAUUCACAUCUAAAAUUCCAAUUGUACAUAGAAGAGCAUCCAAAAUAAAAAAAGGAAGAAAACAUAAUAAACAUGUGCACUAUUCUGAACAAAAUACUCCUUAAAUUAAUAAGAUUUCAUCUCCACCAAAAACAUUUUAUUAGGUUCAAUUCAGCUAUCAAAAAUAUUUACCUUAAAUAAUAGGAUUAAUUUUAUUGAGAAGCAGUCCCGCUUUCAUGACCAUUUUUUAUGUCAACAAAGCGUCUACCAAGGGGAUCUCAAACAUCUAGCAAUUCCAAAAUGACACCAGAAGCUUUAAGCUUUGACCAACUCCACACAAAAGGCUCUCUUCGAAUGGUCUACAUUAAAUUUAGGAAAUGUUAGAAAAUGAAGAGAGUAGAGAAAAGCCAAGGGGGUUAUGGAAUUCCAAUUUACUAUCAUAGGUGUUCCUUCGCCAAUCAAGUGGGUUUUGUUCUGAUUCUCUCUUCUUUAACAUAACUCUCGUUUUUCAAUUCUUCAUCAGCCAAUACACCCAACUUUCUCUUUUGAGCUUAAAAAAGCAGGUAAAGUCAGGGGGUAUAGCAAAAUAGAAAAUAUCAACAAAAAAUCUAGGUAGUAGAAAAUGAAAAUAUUUCACGAUAGACUAAAGUCAAUGCCUUCAGCUGCAAUACAAUUACUAUUUGGAAAUGUAUGUCAGUGAAUAGUUACAGCGUUAAUGAACUCCAAAUCCCCUUGGCAACAUGAAAAUAUACGAACAAAAAACACAAAAUUUAUGUGCAAAUUCAAGAAGGAAAAAACCGCUGACUGAGAAGGAAAAAUUCACUAUAUCAAAGGAUAAUUAUAAAAGUUGGAUGAUUUCAAGAUAUUUAAUUAUUUCUAUAUAUAAUACAAACAUUACACCAAAAAAGAGCUUUUGUAGUGGUCAAAAAAUGCUGCAAAAGGUCAUUUGUAGCGUUUUAGUGUGUGUUGCGGGGUCGAUGUUGCCGUUGAAGGAAGAGAUAUAGCCACAUCGAAUAAAGAUGUGAAUAUAGAUCAACUUAUAAGGUUUUGGACUACUCUUCUUAAUAAGAUUGACCUUUUAAGAUGAUGGCUAACACUUUAGUAGAUAGCAAUAAUUGAAGCUCAAGUGUUAAAUAAGAAAAACUUUGAUGAAUAGAAUAAUUUUCAAAGGUUGAAUCAAUCAAAAGUUUUUCUAAUAUAAAUGAGUUGAAAAUAUAGAUAUAGAAAAAUGAUUGAGUAGUUAAGAUCAAUAAUAUCUCACUUUAAUGCUCACAAAAGUCUAUCUUUGAAUGCAAAAUGAUCUGGUAUUUAUAGUAGCAAAAACGCCAAAAGUUCUGUCUUACCGAACGAGGCUAUCGGACGUCCGCUAGCUUACCGGACGGUCAACUAACCGUUUUUUGUUCAGAAAUUAGAACGUACCAUUGGACAAACCUACCAUAUCGGAGGUCUGCUGGGAUUACUAGACGCGUCUGCUAGAGCUAUUGGAUGCGUCUCUAGGCCAACUUGUGUCCGGUAGUUAGAAAUUUUCCUUCUUUUAAUGUUUUAAAAAGAUGUAAUCUCAUGAAGGAUAUUUAUAACUUAUUUUUCAAACUUUUUUGACAUUUCUUAAAGUGUAUAAUAGGCUCAUGCCUUAAGAAAAAUUCUUUAUGCAAAAAUCGUGUUUGUUAUGUAAAGAAACAUUUCUUGAACUUCAAAUGACGUAAUUGCCAAAUACUAAAGUGUUUUACCUUAACAUCUGAGAUCAAGGUAUCUAAGUCUAAUUUCUUCUAAUCUCAUCUUUGUUUAACUUGAUGAAGUGCUCGUUGUCUUGAUGUGUAGCUCAGCUUCUAUUUUACUAAAUUUGCGAAAGCUCCAAAAGCAUCAUUUUGUCCACGUUUGUCAUAACUUCUACAAUCACUCAAAUACAAUUGUUAAACAUAAUUUGUUUGUUAUAAUCAAAAUAAAAAGUCAACCAUAGGUCAACAAUUUCUCCCUUUUUUAUUAUGACAAACAAGAGAUGAUAGAGAUUUAAUAGGUAAGGAAAUACACAAGAAAUGAUAGAAAUUUGAUAAGUAAAGAAAUAAUUCCCCCUAUGUUUUAUACAUGUAUUCCCCCUUCCUUACGCAUUCCUAUCAUGCAUCUCAUAUAAUAUUCCUAUCAUUGCAUUAUAUCAUCUUUAUCAUUCAUUAUAUCAUCUCAUAUAGUUUUCUCCCUUUUGGCAUACUAAAAAAUGACAAAUAAUGCAUUAUAUUAAAAUAUUAAAAAAAUAUAAGUUCAUAACUUCAUAAUAAAAACAUAGAAAGUUAGAGUCAUAAAGAGUUCGAGAUUACAAAAAAAAUAUUCAUAAGACAAAUAAAACUAAGGCUCCGGAGGAGGAGGUGGAGGAAAAUGUGCAUAAAAGUGAGCAUCGAAUGCAUUCUGCUGAGCCUGCAUUUCCACCUGUUGUGCAAGAAUGGCAUACUGUCGAGCUUGUAUCACGGCCUACUGUGACUGAACAUGAUGAAGAACAUCGCUAAGCCCAUCAACUAAAGACGUGAAUGAGUCGAGACGCCCGAUGAGUAAAUUAUAUUGAUACUCGGUAAAAGUGUACCCACAGGAAGAAGAUGAAAGGGCACUAAUGGGCGGUGGAUGGGAACGUAAUGAAACAUCUUCGUCAGAUUCCUCUUCUUCUUCAAAGGGUAAUGUAGAAGGGCUCGAGGCAGGGUCGAAUCCUUUGGUGUAAGUGAUUACGCCCAAAGUAUAAUGUGGUAGUUGCAGUACAGUUUUGGAGUGUCGUAUCCACAGGGAGAUGGGAAAUUGGUUAAAGGAUCAAAAGCUUAGGGUUUUCUUUGUGCUUUGUGUAAGGAAUUUAUCAGUUUGAAUGAAAUGUAACUAUCAAUGAUUGAAGUAAUGAAGUUUGAAUCAAUGUGUGAAAUAAUGAAGUGCAGGAAUUCCCUUGAUUGGUUCAAAUUAAUCAAUGUGAAUAACUCAUUCAAAUCACUUCAAGAAAUUACAAUAUAUCUCAAGUAUAAUGCAGUAAUCAAAUCACCAAUAAAAUUGUAUGAAAUUGAAAUUCAACAAAUAGUUAAUUUCAUAAUAGACAAAACAUGAUUGAGUCUAUAAGAAAUAUAGUAAAAGUUAAACUAAUCUCACAACAAUGCUUGAAGUUAAGGCCUAAAUCAAUUGAAUUUCACUUAUAACUCUAGCAUUUAGAUUUCCUACAAGAUAUUGUCACUUUAAUUCAUUGGAAUUAGAUUCAAAAUCAAUUACAUACAUCAAGCAUAUAAUAUUAGCGAAUCACACCAACGAGAUGACUGAAAUUGUAAUUCAAUACAUACUUCAAUUAUUUGAUGAAAAGAACAUUAUUAGAUCCAUGAAAAUCUAAUAUAUAUUAAACCAAUUUCUAAACAUAUCCAAUAAAUAGGAAAUCAUAAACCUAGAAUUGUUUAUCAAUGAAAAACCAAAUUAUAUGCGUGAAGAGACAUUGACAUCAAUGACACCAAUCGAGUUUAUCCCUUUGCUUCACCAAAAUUUUCUUAACCUUCCAUGGAGUUUCUUGGCCAAAGAUGAGAGAAAAAUGGAGUCCAGCUUCAAUCUCCCCGUUCUGCAGUGUUUUUGGGCUUAAGAAAUGUGUGAAAAUGUGUUUCCAUAAGUGAUAGCGUCAAUUAAGGAAUUUGGUAAAUUUUGUCUCGGAUGAUAACUAUGCAACCGUAUGGUUAUAAGACAUGCGGUCACAUAGAACAAAGUGUGGCGUCCAAAAGUUCCCUUGACCCUUCAAUGCGGUCACAUAGCUUUUGAACUAUGUGACUGCAUAGUUCAAAAUUUUUUUCGUCGGACAGUUUUUAGUAUUUUGGCCAUAACUUUUCCUUCCGAUAUCUGAUUAAGGUAAUUCAAGUUGCAUUAGAAAGUUAACACGAAGGGCUACAAUUUCAUUUCAGAAAUCAUCUUCAAUUUGGAUCAUUUUCCAUGUCAAAAACGGGGUCUUAACAUGAGGCUAAAAAUCGGUGCGUAACUUUUUCAAUUGGGAAUUGAUUUGUGAAGAUGUUAUGGUCAUAUUUCACUUCUUUUGACUUUAAAUUACAUCCAAUUGACUCCUAGCUUUCUUAAAUCAUCAUUCCAUCGCCCGUCUCAUUAUGAAUUAUUUGCAAUUUGGUCCCUGAACUUUCACUUUCUUCCACUUUGGCCCUUUUUGCUCAUUUCUUCCAAAUUUCACCUUUUCCAUCAAAUUGUGACCUAGAUCAAAAUAUAAGAGUAAUGAGUGUGUUUUGAUAUCAAAUAAUCAUACGAAGGCAACGAUUAAGGGAGAAAAAUAUCAUAUUUUACACUCUUAUCAGUAAGCCACCCAUUGGCCUUGAGUUUUAUAAAUUUUCAUAUGUUUGAGGGUUUGAAUAUUGAUUGUAUCGGUAGGACGAGGUUUGACAACCGCUUCAUCAUCAAGAGAGACAUUGAAGUGUUUGAACAUUUUUGUUAAAAAGCAUUCCAUAGGGUAGAGCUUUGGUGUAACGGGAAGAGUGGAUAAGUUUCAUAAAGCCCAAGGCAAUGGUCGAGAAAUCUAAUUUACGGCCAACGAGAAAUGAAUCAAGAAUAAACAAAUCAAAGUUAACAUCAUCCCGAUGCCCUUUCCUAGGUAGAAUAAUGUUAGCGAUGAUAUUUUGCAAUAUUUUGCAAGGUAAGGUGAGUUGAUUGGCACAAAUUUUUGUAAUGUUUUCAAAAUCUUUUCCCGUCACAUAAUGGCAUGCAUUACUCAGGUUAUAGACUUCCAAAGUUGGGUGAGCUUUGUGAACAAAAACUUAUGUACCACAUGGUUCAAGUCUAAGUAGGUCUUGAAUGAGAGCUUUAUUAACGAUGACCCUCACAUUUUUAAUUAAGCAGGAAAUACUAUCGGAUCGUGGUGUAAUAACCAUUUUUGUGUAGAAAGUUUUCAUGAGUUGAGAGUAAGCACUUCUUCUAAAGAACAAACCGAAAUCCAUUAUAUUUUCUCAAAGAAUUCUUCAAUAUGAAAAGCAGGAGCUUCAAUAGUAAAAUCUGUAAAAUCAACAUUUUUACCUAGUAAAAUGAAAGAUUUUUCAAAUGAGCUCAUUGGCACUUCAGGUUCAAAAUCCCUUUCUUCAUCAGAGGAAGAUGUUGGAGGCAAUCAUUCCUUAGUCUUUACCCUUUUCCAGCUUGCUUUGUUCUCGACAUUGUGUGAAUUGAAGAAUAUAUGGAGAAUUGAAAGUUAGGGCACGAAAUUGGGAAAUGUGAAAUUGUGAGGGAAAUUCAAAUCUUUGAGAAAGGAAAUGGUGCGAGGAAGUCGGUUAAUAGAUUUGAUGUUUAAAUUGAUGAAUUAGAAGAGUGUAAGGACAAUUUUUGAGUGGAGCAUGGAGAAGGGUUCGAAGAAAGUGAGGAAGGUGGGAAGAAAAUGACCCUGUUCACGAUUUAAAAAUCUAAAAUGUUAGUGUAUUGGACGUCUAGUAUGACAUGCCAGAUCGUCCGGUAUAACAGAAGAAAAAUUCUAUCCAUCCGAAUGAAUUACAGGAUCAUCCGUUAUAUUCGUCCGGUAUGUGUCGGACGCAUUCGGUUGACUCGUCUGGAACCUUUUUUUUAAUAGAAGAGCAAAUAUAGUCACAUAGCAUCAAUUAUGUACUUCAGUUUCAUCAAUAAUUCCUAAACCUCUACAAAUGUGUGUAAAUCAGUCGAGAGCAAGAUGUUCAGUAAAGAUAUCGGCCAAUUGAUUUUCUGUAUUGACAAAUUCUAAUACAAUAUCCCCUUUUCGAGUAUGAUCUCUAAGAAAAUGAUGUCUAAUUUCAAUAUGUUUUGUUCGUGAGUGUAAUAUAGGAUUUUUAGACAAAUUUAUGGCGCUAAUGUUAUCAUACAUAAUAGGUACGUGGCGAAAAGACAAGUGAUAAUCCUUAAGUGUUUGUUUCAUCCAUAAUACUUGUGCAUAGCUGUAAAGCCCUGAAAAUUCACAUAUACUAGAAUUCAUUUACUUUCAUAGUAUAUUUUUAAAUUUGGAAAUUUAGGAGACUAAAAUGAUAAAUACAAUAAAUUCAAUUUUAAUUAGGUCAAAUAUUUAAAUAUAGAUAGAGUAAUGAUAAAUAUAUCACUAUUGUACUCGUUGGAUAGCUCGUAAUUAAUUAUGUAUAUUAGGCUCAAGAAAAAGUCGAUUCGGAUAAAUAAGCUCCAAGAUAUUUCAAUUUGAAAAAGGUAGAUGAAAACUAGUUUUACAAUUUAAUUUUAACCUUUGAUGAAAAUGUACCCGCCACGUGUCACGUGUAUGGAGUGUUUUAUUUUUAUUUUGAAUUGGUUGGGGGUUGUUAGUGCACAUGUAUCUUAAAAUAUAGAUAGGUAGUUUUAUUUUAAAAUAAUUUAUUUACCUAGGUUGUUGGGAGAUGAUAGUGAUAGGUUACCAUGCGUUGAUUAGAAAGGGAAGAAAUAGUGAUUGUAUAGAAUUGAGACUCUCUAUGGGGAAAAACACGUUUCUUUGAAAGACUUUUAGGCUUAUUAAAAUUCAAUAUUCUCUUUCACCUUUAGGCACCUAUAUACGGUGAUAGCAGCAACAAAUAUAAAAAAAUAAGUUUGGAACAUGAAUUUGGAGUUUGUCUUCCAAAAAUCUAAUUUAUUACGAGGUAGGAUAUUGAUGUGCAGUGUUUUUCUAUCCUGUUUAAAUAUUUUUUUCAUGUUGACGAAUUUUAUACUCAUGAAAGUUAAAGUUAUGAUAUAAUAUGCUAUGAUAUGAAUGAUAUGGCCAUUUCGGUACAAUGAUAUGAUAUAAUAUGAUAUGAGCUCUUAUCGGAUUCAAAGAUAUGAGACGGUAUGAUUUUCUGAUACAUGUUUUAAAAUUUUUAUACGGGAUCGCACCAUUAAUUUUAUAUCUUAAUGAGUAUUUUCAUGUACUCACCAUUUUCCCUACUCUUCAUAUAUUAGAACGGGUCGUUGGUUGGCGGGCGAUACGGUGGAGUUGUGAUGCCAGAAAUUAUGGAAUUCAAAAUAAAUAAAUUCUGAGUAACAUGACUAUGAAAUUUUAUUUAUUUAUUUUUUUUAGCGUUAUUUCAAUUUUAUCUUCAUGUUAAAUUUGAAAUUUAAUAUUUGGGAUAUGGUUCAGUUAAUUAUGUUUUCCAUAGGCUUUAUUUAUUUUAUAGAUGGAACUAGAAAGAUUUUCCUGUAGAAUGUUUGACAUAAUUUAUUUAAUUAUGAAAUAAAAGGUUUUAGUAACGAAUUUAAAUCUUUAAAUUUUGGGUCGUUACAAUGACAACUAGCGGCUGAGAUAUAUUCGGCUUUGUUUGUGGAUGAUACAACGAAAUUUUGUUUCUUACUAAACCAUGAGAAUAGUGUGAAGCCUAAGAAGUGACAUGUUCCGCUAGGACUCUUGCGAUCAAUUAUCAACUGGCCCAAUUGCCAUCCGAAUGUGAGUUCCUUUUGGGUACCAAAGACCUAAGGUUCUAGUUUAACUAAGAUUUCUAAAAAGUCUUUUAAAGGCUUUAAGGUGCAAUUCCUUAGUUAGAUUGAAAUCUAUCACAUAGGCAAAAACUAAAUAUAAUAUUGGGUUUACUAGCAGUUAAAUAAAGAAGAGAUCCAAUCAUACUUCGAUAUUUGGUCACAUCAAUAGGAGUACCUUGGUCGUCUUUGUCAAGGUUUAUUGUUGAACUCUUGGGAGUGCUCAUUGGUUUUAGUACAUCCAUGUCGAAAUUUUUGAGCAUGUCUAGCAAAUACUUGCUUUGAUUUAUGAAGAUUCUACUACAAGUUUGUUUAAUUUGCAACUCGAGGAAGAAUUUUAAUUCUCCCAUCAUGCUCAUUUCAAAUUCCUUGCUCAUACUUUUAGAAAUUCCUUCACAAGGCACCAAAGAUAAUAUCAUCAACAUAAAUUUGAACAAUAAGCAUGUCAUUCUUAUAACUUUUCACAAAAAGUAUGGUAUCGGCCUUUCCAAUAGAGAAUCAAUUUGAAAUUAGAAAUUUAGUCAAUCGUUCAUACCAAGCUCUAGGAGCUUGUUUUAGGCCACAAAGUGUUUUUCUAAGUUUGUAAACAUGAUUUGGAUUUUUGUGAUCUUUGAAACCGGGAGGUUGUUCGACAAAAACCUCUUCUAAAAUAUAUCUAUUUAAAAAUGUACUUUUGACAUCCAUUUGAUAUAAUGUAAAUCCUUUGUAGCAAGCAAAUGCAAGAAGCAUAUGAAUGGAUUCUAAUCUAUCUAUCGGUGCAAAAGUUUCUUCAAAAUCUAUACCUUCUUCUUGAUUGUAACCUUGGGCCACUAAUUUAGCCUUGUUAUGCACAAUGUUUCCAUCUUCAUCCUGUUUUUUUCUAAAUACCCAUUUUGUUCCAAUCACGGUCUGAUUAUUUGGUCUAACGACUAAAUCCCAAACAUUAUUAAAUUGAUUUAGCUCUUCUUGCAUUGCUAGUACCCAAAAUUCAUCAAACUCGACUUCUUUGAAGCUGUUAGGUUCAAUAUGAGAAAGAAAAGCACAACUUCCGAGAUGAUUUCUAAGAGAGUUUCUAAUAGUAAUACCUUUUGAGAGAUCACAUAUUAUCAAUUCCUUUGGAUGAGAUGGACGAACCAUUCAUUUGGUAGUGUAGAGUCUUUUUGAGCUUCGGUUGAUUUUUCUUUGCUUUCUUCAUCAUUUGGAUCAUUUUCUUGACUUUCAUUUUGAACUCCUUGAUUUUGAUCUUGAAUGUUCAUUUGUUUGAAUGAACUUUCCAAACUUACAUCAUCUUCAAUACCCUUCUCACGAUCAAGAGAGUUAGCUUAAUCAAAUGAAACAUGUAUGGAUUCUUCGACGACUAGAGUUCUUUUGUUAAAUACUCUAUCAGCUUUACUAAUCGAUGAAUAUCCUAGGAAAACACGGACAUCGGAUUUUGAGUCAAAUUUUCCUAAAUUAUCUUUAGUAUUCAAAAUGAAACAUUUACAACCAAAAACUUUGAAAUAACUAAUAUUAGAAUUUUGUUUUUCCAAAGUUUAAAGGAGUUUUAGUUUUCUUUCGACUAACUAAAACUCUAUUUAGAUUGUAGCAAGCAGUGUUUACCGCUUCAGCGCAAAAGUAUUUUGGUAAAUUGUUUUUGUUUAGUAUGGUUCUAGCCAUUUCUUGCAAUGUGCGAUUCUUUCUUUCUAUUACACCAUUUUGUUGAGGUGUUCUAGGAGCUGAAAAAUUAUAUUCAUUUCCAUUUUCAUUACAAAAAUCAUCAAGAGCAGCAUUAUCAAAUUCUCCAACAUGGUCACUCCUAAUCGAAAUUAUAGAAUAUCCUUUUCUCAUUUUGGACUUUCUUACAAAAAAAUGUUUAAAAGAUUUUAGUACUUCAUCUUUUUGGCUCAAAAAUAUGACCCCAAGUGAAUCUAGAAAAAUCAUCAACUAUAACAAAAGCAUAAUAUUUUCCACCUAAACUUGCGAUUCUAGAUGGUCCAAAAAGAUACAUAUGGAGAAGUUGUAAUGGUUUUGUAGUUGAAGAAUGUAUUUUUGGUUUGAAAGAAUUUUUUACCUGUUUACCAAAUUGACAAGCUUCACAAAUUCCUUCUUUUUCAAAUUUCAAGCUUGGCAAACAUUUAACAAGACAAAUUUUAGAAAUGUUUUAGAGAAGGUCCAUGCUAACAUAUCUUAGUUUCCUACACCAAAGCCAUGUAUCUUCUUUCAAACUUAGUAAACAUUUUUCAUCAUUUCUAUGUUCAAUAUUUAUGAUAUAAAAAUCUUUAUUUUGGCUUCCUACAAAAAUCAUAUAACAUCCUUAAUUAGGCAUUUGAAAGAAUCAAAUUUAAUGUUGUAACCUUUGUCACACAAUUGACUAAUACUUAAUAAAUUAUGUUUAAAGUUAUCUAUCGAUAAUACAUUUUCAAUAUAAGAAGAAGGAUAGUUACCAAUAUUUCCAAUACCAAUAAAUUUUUCCUUUGGCAUUAUCUCCAAACGUCAUAUGACCUCCAUCUUUCUUCUUGAAAUUACAUAGUAAUGAUUUGUCUCCGGUCAUGUGCUUUGAACAUCCACUAUUCAAGAACCAUUUGCUCCGAAUUUUUGUUGGUACCUACAAAAAUAAUUUUAAUUUUUGAAUUUUGAUACCCAUAUUAAUUUGGGUUCUUGAUAGUUAGUUUUUGUGGAUUCUUGAAUCCACUUAUGCUUAUUUUCAAAAUAUAGUCUCUUCUUAACAAGACAAUUAUAUGCAAUAUGUCCAAUCUUAUUGCAAAAACUACAUGUAGUCUUAGAAGUAGUAGUUUUUGAAGAUUUAACAAAUAUGUUUUCAAGAGAUUUUUGUUUUAAGGAUGGUUUGUAGCCCAAUCCUCCUUUGUUGAAAACACAUUUUUGAUCCCCAAACAUCAAAUCAAAAUUUUUCUUUCCUUGGAUAAACUUGUGAACGAUUUUUUUUCAAAUCAUCUACCUUUAAGAAAAUGAUUUUCUUUGACCAAACAAUCAUAUUUAUCAUUUUCCUUUUGAUUUUUCAAAAGUUUCUUUAUAUCAUCUUUUAAUAAAGAAUUUUUCUUUUUGAGCAUAGAAUGACUUUUGGCAAGUUUUUCAAAAUUUUCAAGUAUUUCAUCAUAACAAGCCGAUAAUUGUUCAAAUGAAAAUUUUUCUAUAGUACUUACCUCUUCCUCAAUAGCCAUGAACCACAUGUUGGCAAUUUCGUCUUGGCUACUAUUUUCAUUUUGAUCAUCAUCGUUAUUAUCAUCUCAUGUAGCUUGUAGUGCCUCUUUUUGAAAAUUUUCCUCUUGUUGGGACAUUUGAUUCUUUUGUGCCCGGAUUUGUCACAAUCAUAGCAAAUGAUUCUCUUAUUCUUCUGAUAUGAUCCAGGAGUCGAGCCCGACGAGGGUAAGUGCGAGACGAGACCCGUUGAUAGUUGAUGGCGGAACAAUGACGCGAUCAAUGGCAAAGCAAGUGAAGCAAUCGAUGGGAUAGCUCGUUCAAGAAACCAUGGAUGGAACCAUGUUCGGGACUCAAAAUGGAGCAACUUUCAUGUUUAGGUCGAAGGUCGAAUCGACUUGGAUCAAUUUGUUAUCAAGCGACGAAAGCGGAGGUAGAAAAUAACACCAUACGGCUGCACAGGCAAAAUUCCAUGCGGCCGCACACAUGGUUCCCGAAAACCAAAAGUCCAACUCAAGUUAAACCAUGCGACUGCAUGGAUUUACACCAUACGGCCGCAUGGGCCAAAAAAAUUGGCGAUUUUCUAUUUUUGGCCGAAUUUUCUAGUUUCGAUAGAAUUCUUAUGGAAUCAAAUUAUUACCAUAAUUUGGUGGUUUUGGACGUUUUUAUUCAUUAAUAUAAAUAGGAGAUUACUUUUUGAUUGUAAAAACCCUUUGAACUUUGACUAUUGCUUAAUAUUAUAGAGAGAGAAUUAUUCUUUCAAUUUAUUGUUCUUCUUGAACAAUCUUGGAACUUAUCAAGAUUCAACUUCUUGUGGCGUUCUAAUCAAUCGAAUUGUGGGUUCUUUUAAUUGUAAUUCAAGGGGUUUUAGGUUUUUCGCUAAUCUAGGGUUUCUUGGUUCAAUUCUUGGGGUUCAAGAUCCAAAAUCGGGUUAGUAUUGGCGUUCUUGGGUUUCGCAUCAAUCUCGUUGUAGGUUUCGUAGUUUCCAUUGCUACGGGGUUCGCAUCAGUUGGUAUCAGAGCUUUGGCUCCAAUUUAAUCAGGUUAUAUCCUUUGUUUUCUAAUUUUUUUCAAUUUCUUGUGUUCUUGUGUCCAAAAGGUUUUCUUUAUCUUUGAUCCAAAAAAAUUCAUCAAAAAUCUUCAAAUUUCGUUUUUGGGCUCAAUUUUCGCCCAAAUCAGUUUUCGUUUUCUUUGUUGGUUUUGUUACUGAUUUUCGGAUCUAAAAAAAAAAAUUAUUGUUCAUACGUACGGCACUGUUCACCCGUACAAUAAAAAAAACUUGUCAAACAUUAUUGAUCCGUCAAAUACCAACUUUUAUUAUUCAUUAUCGUUUCUAAAUUACUUGGACAAAUUGAAUCAUUCCAUUCCUUCAAUUUAAAUCAAGUUUUAAAAGUUUUCUUUGAGUCCUUUGUUACAAUUAUUGAGUCACAUCCGGUUUGGGAAAUUCUACACGAAUUGAUUGAUUGAUUGAGUUCAUUGAUUGUUCCUAGAAGCAAUUGUUGAAAGAACUGAGUGGUAAAAGGCAAAGAGGUGAGCUUCAUAGAGGGUAAAAGCCCUUGUGUGUGUUCCGAGUGACUUUUGGUGAGGCAGUAAAAUAAAAUUUUAGUAUUAUGAUAUCAGAAAUGGUAGAAUCAAACUCAAGUUUACAAGGCAAUAAUAGCAAUGCAACGGAGGAUUUAGUGUAAAGGUUUAAGAGGGUGUUUGGAGAUGUGAGAGAUAGGUUGGAGAAGUAGGAGGCUUGGAUGAAUAGAUUAGAUACAUCGGUGGCUAAUCUUAGUCGGGGGCAUCGAGUGGAUGUAUCCAAUGCUAGAGGACCGGACAGAUGGGAGCUUAGGAGGGAAAGGCGAGAGGAGUAUGGAUAUGGGAGUGACAUGGGCGAAGAUGAACUUCACGGUGUUGAGAUGGGAAGGAUGAGGAAUAGAGGCGAUAUGUUUGAUAGACGGGGUCGGAAUGAUCAGGGGGAGGAGUUGGAUGGAAACUUGGAAAAUAUAAAAAUGACAGUUCCUUCAUUCAAAGGAAGGAGUGAUCCCGAGGCAUACCUGGAGUGGGAAAGGAAGGUUGAAAUGAUUUUCAAGUGUUAUAACUAUUUGGAGGAGAAAAAUGUGAAGUUAGCAGUUUUGGAGUUCAGUGACUAUGCAAUUUCAUGGUGGGAUCAAGUGAUUACUUCACAACGUAGGAGUGGGGGAAGACCAAUCAGCACUUGGGAGGAAUUGAAGUCAUUGAUGAGAAAGAGGUUUGUUCCUAGCCACUAUUAUCGAGAGAUCCAUCAAAAACUGCAAGGUCUAUAUCAAGGGUCGAAAAGUGUAGAGGACUAUCAUAAGGAGAUGGAAAUACUCAUGAUUAGGGCCAAUGUGGUGGAGGAUUGGGAGGCUACCAUGGCACGAUUCUUGAAUGGGUUGAAUAGGGAAAUUGCCAAUGUAGUGGAGUUACAACAUUAUGUGGAGUUGGAAGACAUGUUGCAUGUGGCUAUGAAGGUGGAGAGACAGCUGAAGAGGAAAGAGGCAGCUAGACAGCUGUUAGGAACUUCGAGUGUUAAUCCAUCUUGGAAGACAGGGUGGAACAACAACAACAAAGGUGAUAAAGCUGUACCUAAAAGUAGGAAUGAGUGGCAGAAAGGGAAAGAAGAAAGUGCUAGCAAAACAGCACCCAAAACAGAUUCACAACCAUCAAGGAAUCGAGACAUCAAGUGUUUCAGAUGCUUAGGGUCAGGGCCCAUUGCUUCUCAAUGCCCAAAUAAAUGAGUAAUGGUUUUGUUGGAUAAUGGAGAAGUGGUGAGUGAAAGUGAAUGAGAGUUUGAGGACAUGCCUGAAUUGGAGGACGUUGAAGAAGAAGAAAAAUUGGAGUUUGUUGUUGAGGAAUCAUUGGUGUCAAGGAGAGCUCUUAACACUCAAGUCAAGAUGGAUGAUUCGGAGCAGCAGUGAGAAAAUAUAUUCCACACACGUUACGUCAACGAUAAGGUAUGUAGUAUGAUUAUUGACGGUGGGAGUUGCACGAAUAUAGCUAGUACAACUUUAGUUGAGAAAUUAGGACUAUCAUUGUUAAGACACCCUAGGCCUUAUAAGUUGCAAUGGUUGAAUGAAAGUGGGGAAGUUAGGGUGAAUAAAAGAGUUUUAAUUAAUUUUUCAAUUGGGAGUUAUAGUGACAAAGUAGUAUGUGAUGUGGUGCCUAUGCAUGUGGGUCAUAUCUUGUUAGGAAGACCAUGGCAAUAUGAUAGAAGGGUCACACAUGAUGGUUAUAGGGAUCGUUAUAGCUUUGUCAAGGAUGGGAAGACUAUGACUCUUGCACCAUUAACACCGGCACAAGUGUAUGGAGAUCAAAUCAAGCUGAAAAGUGAGGAAGGCGAGAGAAUAAGAGAGUCGGGAAAAAGGAGAGGCAAUAGUGAAACCAUCAAUAAGAGAGAAAAUAGUGAGGUGGCUGAGAGUGGAGAAAAGAGAGAGAAGCCACAUGAGCAGAGAGAAAAAGAGUCAGUUGAGAGGAGAGAAAAAGAGUCAGCUAAGCGGAGAGAAACACCAAAAGUCAACUUCUAUGCAAAAGAGAGUGAGUUGAAAAAGGUUACGAGUGAUAAUAGGCAAAUGAUAUUGUUAGUGUACAAGGAGUCCCUCCUCAAUUUUGAGGAUUUUAACACAUCCCUCCCUAGUUUGGUUAAGUCUUUAUUGUAGGAGUUCGACGAUGUGUUUCCUGAGGAGAUGCCAAGUGGAUUGCCACCAAUUAGAGGCAUCGAGCACCAGAUUGACUUUGUACCCGGAGCUAUCAUACCGAAUCGACUAGCUUACCGAAGCAAUCCCGAGGAGACGAAGGAGCUUCAAAAGCAAGUGGAGGAGUUGAUGAGAAAAUGUUAUGUCAGGGAGAGCAUGAGUCCAUGUGUUGUACCUGUUUUGCUGGUGCCUAAGAAGGACGGGACUUGGAGAAUGUGCGUGGAUUGCCGAGCUAUCAACAAUAUCACGAUAAAGUAUCAUCACCCAAUACCUAGGCUAGAUGAUAUGCUUGAUGAGUUGCAUGGUGCUUGCAUUUUUAGUAAGAUUGAUCUUAAGAGUAGGCAACAUCAAAUUCGUAUGCGGGAGGGUGAUAAAUGGAAAACGGCGUUUAAGACUAAGUAUGGAUUGUAUGAAUGGUUAGUUAUGCCGUUUGGACUCACUAAUGCACCGAGCACUUUUAUGCGUUUAAUGAACCAUGUUUUGCGUGCUUUUAUUGGGAAAUUUGUUGUAGUUUAUUUUGAUGACACCUUAAUAUAUAGCAAAAACCUAGAUGAGCAUUUAGAACAUUUAAAUUGUGUGUUUAUUGUGUUGCGAAAAGGAACAACUGUAUGCUAAUUUCAAAAAGUGCACAUUUUGCAUGGAUAGAGUUGUUUUCCUAGGAUUUGUGGUUAGUGCUAAUGGGGUGGAAGUCGAUGAAGAAAAGAUAAAAACUAUUAAAGAAUGGCCAACACCUAAGACUAUAACUGAAGUUAGGAGUUUUCAUGGAUUGGCUAGUUUUUAUAGGCGAUUUGUAAAAGAUUUUAGCACCAUUACCACGCUGUUGACUGAAAUAGUAAAGAAAAGUGUAGGGUUUCAUUGGGGAGACUCUCAAGAAAUUGCAUUUAACACAAUUAAGGAUAAGCUAUGUAAAGCACCUGUUUUAGCAUUACCAAAUUUUGAUAAAACAUUCGAGAUUGAGUGUGAUGCAUCAGGAAUAGGUAUAGGAGCAGUGUUAAUGCAGGAAAUGAGACCUAUUGCUUACUUUAGCGAAAAGUUGAGUGGGGCAACAUUGAAUUAUCCGACAUAUGACAAUGAGCUGUAUUCACUUGUUCGAGUAUUGGAGACUUGGCAGCACUACUUAUAGCUAAAGGAAUUCGUGAUACACACCGAUCAUGAAUCUUUAAAGAAUUUGCGAGGUCAAGGUAAGUUGAACAAAAGACAUGCGAGAUGGGUGGAGUUUAUCGAGACAUUUCCCUACAUAUUCAAGUACAAACAAGGUAACGAAAAUAUAGUUGCUGAUACGUUGUCUCGAAGGUACGUGCUUUUAAAUUCAUUAAGUACUAAAUUACUUGGUUUCGAGCAUAUUAAGGGCAUGUAUGAAUCUGAUUGUGAUUUUUCUAGUAUUUAUACUUCAUGUGACAAAGGUGCAUUUGAUAAAUUCUAUAGGCAUGAAGGAUAUUUGUUUAGGGAAAGUAAGUUGUGCAUUCCUAAUUGUUCUUUGCGUGAAUUAUUGGUAAGGGAAGCACAUGGAGGUGGUUUAAUGGGACACUUCGGGGUUCAAAAACUUUAGACAUGUUAGGGGAAUAUUUUUAUUGGCUUAAAAUGCGACAUGACGUAGAACAAAUAUGUGAAAAGUGCAUAACUUGUAAAAAGGCUAAGUCUAAGGUUCAACCCCAUGGUUUGUAUACUCCUUUGCCUAUACCUAGUGAACUUUGGGUAGACAUAUCUAUGGACUUUGUGUUAGGUUUGCCUAAGACAAAAAGGGGUCGGGAUUCAAUAUUUGUAGUGGUCGAUAGGUUUAGUAAGAUGGCGCAUUUCAUACCAUGUCAUAAAACUAACGACGCUACUAAUAUUGCAGACUUAUUCUUUAGGAAAAUAGUACGUUUACAUGGAGUACCUAAAAGUAUAGUGUCUGAUAGGGACGUGAAGUUUUUGAGUCAUUUUUGGCGUGUUUUGCGGAGUAAGCUAGGAACUAAAUUAUUAUUUUCUACAACUUGUCACCCACAAACAGAUGGACAAACUGAGGUAGUUAAUCGAACUAUGACUCAACUACUUAGGACAGUAAUCAAUAAAAAUCUGAAAUCAUGAGAAGAGUGUUUACCGUUUAUAGAGUUUGCAUAUAAUCGAGCUACACAUUCUACUACUUCAUUUUCUCCUUUUGAAAUUGUUUAUGGUUUUAAUCCACUAACACCUAUAGAUUUAAUGUCUUUGCCUGUGCAUGAACGAGGUAGCUUGGAUGGGAAACGAAAAGUCGGGAUGAUGAAAACACUCUAUGAAAAGGUCAGGAUGCAGAUCGAAGAGAAAGGAAAGCCGACUGCAUCAAAAGCAAAUAAAGGAAGAAGAUGCGUUACAUUUGAGCCUGGAGAUUGGGUCUAGGUUCAUUUCAGAAAAGAGCGUUUUCCAGAACAGAGGAAGUCAAAAUUGCAACCACGAGACGAUGGACCGUUUCAAGUCAUCGAGAGGAUCAAUGACAAUGCAUAGAAAGUGGAUUUACCAGGUGAGUACAAUGUUUCGGCUACUUUUAAUGUAUCUGAUCUCUCCCUGUUUGAUGUAGGUUCGGAUUCGAGGAUGAAUCCUUUUGAAAAGGGAGGGGAUGAUAUGAUCCAGGAGUCGAAGUGCGAGACGAGACCCGUUGAUAGUUGAUGGCGGGACAAUGACACGAUCAAGGGUGAAGCAAGUGAAACAAGCGAUGUGAUUGCUCGUUCAAGAAACCAUGGAUGGAACCAUGUUCGAGACUCAAAAUGGAGCAACUUUCAUAUUCGGGUCGAAGGCCGAAUCGACUUGGAUCAAUUUGUUAUCAAGCGACAAAAGUGGAGGAAGAAAACAACACCAUGCGGCUGCACAGGCAAAAUUCCAUACGGCCGUACACAUGUUUCCCGAAAACCAAAAGUCCAACUCAAGUUAAACCAUGCGACCGCAUGGAUUUACACCAUGCGGCCGCAUGGGCCAAAAAAAUUGGCGAUUUUCUAUUUUUGGCCGAAUUUCCUAGUUUCGAUAGAAUUCUUAUGGAAUCAAAUUAUUACCAUAAUUUGAUGGUUUUGGACGUUUUUAUUCAUUAGUAUAAAUAGGAGAUUACUUUUUGAUUGUAAAAAUCCUUUGAACUUUGACUAUUGCUUAAUAUUAUAGAGAGAGAAUUAUUCUUACUUAUCAAGAUUCAACUUCUUGUGGCGUUCUAAUCAAUCGGAUUGUGGGUUCUUUUAAUUGUAAUUCAAGGGGUUUUAGGUUCUUCGCUAAUCUAGGGUUUCUUGGUUCAAUUCUUGGGGUUCAAGAUCCAAAACCGGGUUAGUAUUGGCGUUUAUGGGUUCCGCGGGGUUCGCAUUAUCUUCUCUUCUCCAUUUUCUUCCUUCUUUUGAAAUUUUCAUUUGUUUCAAAAAAAUUUCCGUUUGUUGACAAGAAGAACUAAAUUGUCCAAUUCUUCAUCACUUGAAUCGUCAUUGGACGUACCUUCAUCAAUUGCCGAUAUGAGAGCAAUUUGGCAUUUUGAAGACCCUUUGGGUUCCUCUUUGGUUUUCCGUGUCUUUUCUUUGAUUUCAGCAUUGUUGAUUUCAUAGGUCAUUAAUGUCCCAUAUAGUUCUUCCAAUGAAUAUUUGUUGAUAUCCUUGGUGUUUUCUAUCAACAUUCUUAAUGGGCUCCAAUCUUUCGAUAAUGACCUAAGAUUUUACUUACAAGUUCACUGUUAGUAAAUUUGCGAUCAAAACCUUUGAGACCAUUUACAAUAUUGGUAAAGCGAGUAAUCAUAUCAAUAAUAUGUUCAUUUUGUUUCAUGAAGAAAUUUUCCAAUUCCUUAACUAAGAGAUUAAUCUUUGUUUCUUUGACUUUACUAGUGCCAACAUGAAUGACUUCUAUUCCAUGCCAAAUAUCAUAUGCGGAGUCACAUGUACUAAUGCGAUUGAACUCAUUUUUGUCUGAUGCACAAUAAAGAAGAUUCUUAGCUUUUGCAUUUAAGGAUAAUUUUCUUUUAUCUUCUUCAUCAUAUUCUUCCCUAGGUUUGGGAAUGACUUCAUCAGGUUGGCCGUUGACCUUAACAGUUUUAGUAGGUUUAUAAGGUCCAUAUUCAAUCACUUCCAAAAUGUUGUAAUCUAUAGAAUGAAUGUAAAUCAUCAUUCUAACCUUCCAAUAAUUUUACUGUAUUCCAUCAAAGAAGGGAGGUCAGUUGGUAGAAUGUCCUUCAAAAGAUUGAAACAUUUGGUUAGCCAUUUAUUCUAGAUUGUGAAGUCUAAGAAAGUGAAUACCAAGCUCUGAUACCAAUUAAAAGCCCAAGACUUGCUAAUCAAGAGGGGGGUGAAUUGGUUAUAGCAACUUUUUCAAAAAACAAUUCUAAGCUUACAACUAAUAGUUGCUUGAAUCUAGCAAUUAAUUAAAUGUUCUUAAAUAUGAAAAAGAGCAAAGACUAAGAUGAAAUCACAAGUAAUAAAUAAAAGCAAAGAUAAGUAAUAGGGAAGAGAAGUCAAACGAUAUUAAAUGGAGGUUCGAUCCAAUGCAAUAAUCUACGUCCGUCGUUACCAAGUUCUUCGUCAUGAGCAAGGUCUUUUUCACUAUAUUGAUUGACUUAUGGUGCAAUCCAAUCUUCUUACAAUGCUUCCAAUGAGUUAUAAACAAGGUGCACUGAUCCUUUUAUACCGUUGAGAUUUUCGGGACUUCAACUCGACCCACAAGUUUGAAAAUUAAGAGUUUACAAAUAGAGAGUUCUCUUGUAAUGAAUGAUGUAUUUGGAGUUGAGUACAAUAAGAGAAGAUGUCCAACACUUUAGUAGAUAGCAAUAAUUAAAGCUCAGGUGUUAAAUAAAAAAACAUUGAUGAAUAGAAUAAUUUUCAAAGGUUGAAUCAAUCAAAAGUUUUUCUUAUGUAAAUGAGUUGAAAAGAUAUAUAUAGAAAAAUGAUUGAGUAGCUAAGAUCAAUAAUUUCUCACUUUAAUGCUCACAAAAAGUCUACCUUUGAAUGCAAAAUAAUCCGGUAUUUAUAGCAGCAAAACCGUCAAAAGUUCUGUCUUACCGAACUAGGCUACCGAACUUCUGCUAGCUUACCGAAUGGUCAACUAACCUUUUUUGUUCAGAAGUUAGAACGUUCAAUUUCUUGACCAUUGGACAAAACUGCCAUACCGGAUGCAUCCACAAGAGCUACCGGAUGCGUCCUCUAGGCUAACUUGUUCUGGUAGUUAGAAAUUUUCCUUCUUUUAAUGUUUUGAUGUAAUCUCAUGACAGAUGUUUCUAAUUUGUUUUUCAAACUUUUUGACAUUUCUUAAAGUGUAUAAUAGGUUCGUGCGUUAAGAAAAAUUGUUUAUGCACAAAUCGUGUUUGUUGUGCAAAAAAACUUUUCUUGAGUUUCAAAUGACGUAAUUGUCAAAUACUAAAGUGUUUUACCUUAACAUUUGAGAUCAAGGUAUCUACGUCUAAUUUCUUCUAAUCUCAUCUUUGUUUGACUUGAUGAAGUGCUCAUUGUUUUGAUGUGUAGCUCGGCUUCUACUUUGUUAAAUUUGCGAAAGCUCUAAAAGCAUCCUUUUGUCCACGUUUGUCAUAACUUUUAUAAUCACUCGAAUACAAUUGCUAAACAUAAUUUAUUUGUUAUAAUCAAAACGAGAAGUCAACUGUAGGUCAACAGUAAAUACCCAAGAAAGCAUUUACACAAAUUGUAAAUGAAGUGGAUGUGCAUUUACAACAAUAGGAAGGAGAUGCAUUUUGAUAAGAAAACUAUAAUUAAGAAGUAACAACUUACAGUGUCGAUUCCUAAUAAUCGGCUGAUAAGAAAGAUAUAAUCAAGAAGUGAUGACUUACAAUAACAAUUAAUAAUAAUCAGGAAAUUCUGUACAGCAGAAUAUGCAUUCUACAUUAGUACAGUGAUUAUAUGCCUCGAAAUGAUUAUACACUUGUGAAUAAUAAAGAAAAGGUAGCAUUUUAAACACUUUAAUGAUUUCAAAAUCCUCACAUACCUUUCCUGCUUGUGAAAAGAACUCGUAAACAUCUCUCUCAGUGGCCUUAAGUGGCAUCUUCAUAACAAGAAAAGAUAGGAAAUCAAUAGUCAUUGAGCUGAUUUAAAAAUGACUGAUUAUUCCAGACGUAAAUCAAGUGUGCCAGACCUGGUAUGCAAAAACAGUUUUUUAAUCCCUUUCUGGAUCACUUUUCAGGCUCUACUGCUUCUUUCUUUUCCUUAAAUCUCCUACAUAACGUACUCAGAAAAUAUGAGUACAAAUCCAAUAGUAGGAACACAUCAACAUUAACAUAUAUGAAGCCUUUGUUUGUUUUCUGGAAGCUGUAGUAAGAACAAAAUCCCAAACCCUUGGUUAUAUUCUCCCCAAGGUUAUGUAUUUCCAGACCCACAAACUUAAAGUUCGCAACCAUCCUAUGAGUGAAUUUCACUUUACAUGGCUAAAACCUAGACCAGAAAAUAGUUUUUACAUGAACAGAGUAGAUAAUUUUUCCACAGGUUAUAAAUAGGUUAUAUCAUGAGCAUUAUAGGAGAAAAUGAUCUAGUCAUUUUACCAAGUCCAGCUCGAGACAUUCAUACAAUGGCAAAAAGAUAAACAUAAGAAUAGUGAAAAACUGUUGAACAAAAAGAUAAUCAGAUCAUUUAUACAUUGAAAAGAAAUGUUGUUAAAAAUCUCCGAAGUCAUGCUCAAUUUUGCAGCCAGGGAACAAUUUUAAGAAACCAAUCUUAUGUUCAUCAUAUUUAAAAGGUAAAAGGACAAAAAAGGAGGUCUACAACUUUUCUCCUUAAUUCAUGAAGCAUUAUCCAUUAUCAAAUGUAUUAUGAGUUCCAAAACUUUACACGUAAUCUAUUCACAUUUUGUAAUAUUUGGGUCAAUUCUAAAUAGUGACAUUUGCUAUUUAUAAUCCCUGUUCAAAGCAAAGGCAGGCCAACAUCUCAGCUUAUCGGUGAGAAAGUAACCUUAAAUCCAGCUAUGCAAAACAUUAGAAGUGGAAAAGUACACCAAAUCUUAAAGCCCAAAUAAAGAAACUCAACAGACCUUAUCAAACUCAAUAUGUGGAACAGCCAUUUUCUUCAAUGAAGAAGCCUUCAAGUGGAUGAAAGACUAAUUACUGUAAAAUAAUUUUUUCUAUUACUGUCAUAAUAUCAAUAUCUAUGCACGAUGCUGUGGAAUCAACUCAAUCAAAUAUAAAUAAAAAAGUUGCUUUAUAUCACUUUUGCAUUAACAAACUAAUAGUAUUAAAACUAAAUUCCAUUAUCUUUAUUCACAUAUAUUGAUCCAGGUUGAAGAUUAUCAUGUGCUAGUAUGAUGCUCUGCUCAAUGCCAUCAACAAGGGCAUCAAAGGAUUGGUGCACAAAACCAAAGGACGUUACAAGAUAUACAAAAUAUUGAAGAUAACCCCCUGGGCCGGCAUGGGUAUGAGUGGCACUAAUAGCAACAUUUUUUUUUGCGUAAAGAUUUCCAUACCUAUAAUAGCAACAAUUAGCCCAUUAAUCAAAUAUCCACAAUAUAAAAACACUACUAUAUCAGGAUAUUAUCAAUAUGGAAAUGUUGUAAUUUUCUAUUUGACAGUCCAAAAUAGAUAGCAAAUUCUAUUAGUGAGCGUUUGGUGUUUUCAUUUGCAUACCAGAAGUACAGGGCAGGCCCAUAAUGGACUGGAAAAAAAAAAUGGAGAAACAAAGAUAAUCAUGCUAAUGAACAAUGGCAGCUUCAAUUACCAAAAUUCAUCAUAUUAUUCCUGCAAUUCUAACAAUCGAUUUCUAACAACAAUUGACUCUGUGUAUUUGAUUGAAUCCCUUUAAUUAAUUGAUAACCUCUCUACAGUAUAAUCAAUUCUACAUAAUUAACUCAACUCAUCAUUUGAAUGUAAAUUAAAACUAUUCCUUAAUUAAGGCAUUCAAUCUCAAAAAAAUUCAAUUAAAUACCAACAAAUAGCAAAAGCAUAUUGCUACCUUUCAUUGUUCACCUUAACAAAGAAAUUAGUAAACGAUGUAAUUGAAAAAAAAAAUCCGAAUUUUUGAAUUACUUCUUGCAUUGAAGAAAAAUAAACCUUAACUUAAGAAAUCCUCCUUCAAUCUUGAAUUUGAUUUAAACUCAUGCUUUAUAUUGUGUUUUCUUCCAUAGAAGAGUACAACGUUGCUGUAUAAAGAAUGCCAAUCUUUAACCAAAGUUUUUUUUCCUUUACCUUGGCUGCCUUGAAGAUCGCCAAAGUGCCUUACUUUUAGAGCAUGUUUGGGAGUGAUUUUGAGAAUUGAUUUUUUGACCGUUAGGAGAAAAUUGGGGUUCACUUGUGAGAGAAGAAGUCAAGUAUGAUGGCUGGAAUAGUGAAAUAACGGUAAAAAAAUCAAUUUUUUGGAUGAAAAAAUAGCUCCAAAACAGGCCCUUAGGCUCUUGAACGGAAGAGAGACGACGACGAGAGAGAGAGAGAAGAGAGACGAGGCGGGAGAGAAAGAGACAGAGGGAAUUAUUAGGGUUGUAUUCACGUUUGGUUUUCUAUCUUUUCCUUUUUAACCAUGCGGGUCGGGUUGGGUCAACCCAUGAACCGACCCAACCCAACUCGCCUUCUUAACCCACCUUAAACAACUUUUCGCAGUGUUUUAUCAAAAUAUUGCAAAAGAGAAACAUUUUUGCAACGUUUAUCAAACGUUGCAGAAGAUACACUUUAUGCAUCGUUUAAUAAACGUUGCGAAAAGUUUAUCUUCCGCCACAUUUAAUAAAUGUUGCGAAAUUGUUUCUCUUGGGCAACGUUUGAGAAAGUUGCAAAAGAUAAACUUUUUGCAACGUUGAUCAAACAUUGUGUAAAUGGCCUUUCACAACGUUUGGUAAACGUUGCAAAAAUAACAAUUUUCACAAUACCAAAUAAAUAUUGCAAAAGACGACAUUAGCAAUAUUCACUUAAAAUAUGUCAUAAAAUCUCAAUUAUUAACACCAAUAGCAACAUUCACUUAUUAGAUUAUUGCAAUAGACACUUUUAGCAACAUUUAAUUAAUAAAUAUUGCAUUUUAUAUGUUGCGAAAACACUUUUUUGUUGUAGUGAAAAAAGAGUCUAACAUACGGUGGACUUCUAAUAUAAGAGGACUAACAAAUAAUGGAGUGUUUGAGAUAGAUUAAAAAAGUAAAAACUAUCAAAAUCUUGACUAGGGUUUGCACAACAUAAAACCACUGCUCGAGCGGUAGUCUCGUGGCUAGCAAGUGAUGCAUCCACUGGUCAAGCCCUUAGUGAAUGAUGGAGUUAUUGCAAUUUUUGAUCAAGUACUACUUGUACAAUUUGUGAGCGAUUUCACGAAAUUUCUUCUCCUUAUCCAUUUUGUUGACUUUUUUAAGGCAUACUACCAAUUUCUAAUAGAAUUCUCAAUAGAAUUUCUAAUAGAAACUGGGUCACACUCGAAUUCUAACAAAUCUCGACCUUGAAACGAAUUCCAAUGCAAGAAAUAAAACUUCACUCUUCAACACAAAAACUCUCCAUCUCUCCCACAAAAACCCUACGGUUAAACUCAAAAACAAAUACCAAUUAAGUUCAAGCCAUAUUCAAACUUGACUAUAGGGAAUGACUUGGUUAUCAUAUCACAGGGUUAUCUUGAGUACGAACUUUGCAGACACCCAUAUCAAUUUCUUCACUGAGCUGGACUUUCACCAUUCUCAUCUCUCCCUUAUCCUUGACUGAUAUCAAGAUAUCAUCAAUAUUUAAGGGUAGAUAUUUAAAUGAUUCAUCACCAUACUUUUUAAAGUAAACACAACUAUCAUAACUACUUCUCUUGAAGUCAUGAGUAAUAAUAAAAGAGUCGAACAUUUUUAUAUAAGUGAACAUCUCUCAAUUGAUAGCACAACUACCAAUAGUAAAAACAUCCACAACUCUCAUAAUAAAUGAGUCAAACAUUUUUAUGUCACUGAACAUCUCUCAAUUGAUAGCACAACUACCAAUAGUAAAAACAUACCCUGUAAGAGAUGUUCUCGUAUAAAGUUCUCCAACGAAAUCAGAAUCAACAUAACUUAUUUUUUAUGUAGAAGGUUCUUCAUUGGAAUCAAUACCUUUGGCCACACUUAAAGCAUAAUCAACCAAAUCAGCUUUAUCGGACUUAUGUGGAGAUCUAAUAUCUUUUUAAGUUCUAUUUUUAGCAGUAGAUCAACAUUGUUUAUCUUGAGAGAAAAUUAUUUGCAUUUAUAUAUAUGAAAAAUUAACGUUGAAUAACUUAAAUUGAUUCAUGCAAAGUGUUUUAGUGAAAAUGAGAAUGUUAAAAAGUGUUAUUAGAUGUCACUUUUAUCGGAAAAUGUCGCAUUAUAUCGCAUGUAGGUGUGUGUUUUUGAAAAUUUAAAUAUGAAAACAAACUCAAACAUUGUUUUUAAUUAAAAAGUGAUAUGAUGUAAUGAAUUGGAUAGAGUUAAUAUAUGAAAGUCAACUUUGGAUCAAUUCAAGUGAUACAUGGAAGGUGUCGUGAAAAUAAGAGUGAGAAAAGUGACAUUCUCUAUCNNNNNNNNNNNNNNNNNNNNNNNNNNNNNCCUUCUCCUUCCCCCCCCCCCCCCCCCCCCUCUUUUUUUAAAUGUCGAAAUCUAUCUCAUUUAAAUUCUUUAGGAUCAAUUAAAUAGUUGGAUACAUGUGUAUUUGUGAAAAUUUAAAUAUGAAUAUGAAUUGAAACUUUGUUAUACAUUAAAAAGUGACAUGGUGUAACACUUUAUUUAUAUUUUGCAUAUGAAUUAAUAUGCUAAAAUUUGAACGUGACAUUAUGUGUCACUUUUUUUAUUUUUUUUUUAAUAAGAAAAUGUCACAAUUUAUCUUAUUUGAAUUUUUAAAAUCAAAUAAAAAGAUGCAUACAUGUGAAAAUUUAAAUAUGAAUAUGAAUUUAAACAUUUCUUUACAUUAAAGGUGACUUGAUGUAACACUUUGUUUAUAUUUUUUGCAUAUGGGUUAGUUUGUCAAAAAUUAAAAGUGAUAUACUCUGUCACUUUUUUAAAAAAAAUUCUAGCACUAUUAUAUUUUUAAAUAUGUAUAAGAUUAAUGUCAUCAUUCAUUGUGAAGGCAAAUGAAAACAAGAUAACAAAUAUAAAAGUGAUAAAAUAAUUGAAAUUGUUGUCCAGUCAAUAAAAUGCACAAAUAACAACUUUGUUAAAACGUAAAUGUACUUUUUUAUUUAAAAAGUAACAUAUCUUGUCACCUUUUUAAGAAGCUAAAAAAGUGAGAAAAACCGAAAAAGUGAUAAAAUCUGAAAAAGUGAUCUGUAUUACACACGAAUCCCUAUUUUAUACACUACAGAUAGUCGUGUGUUAAACAACUUUGUUUAGUAUCUUUUGAUACAUAUAUGAAGUGUUUUAUAUUGACAUGAUGCAUAUAAAUUGUUUUUGGCAUUUUUAUGUGUCGUAUUUAUGUUCUACCAUAAAAGCUGCGAGGGUUGAAGGUAAGAUAAUGUGGAUAAUUUGGAGAUAUAUAAUUUAAAAUUUUACUUCUUAUUUUGCCUUCAAAAAUACCUCAACAUGUUCUAUUUAUAGAUAUCAACAUGACAUAGGAACUAACAAAGUAUUUAAUAAACUUGACUACAUUUAAUGAAUUCAAGAAUACUCAAACUACUCACUAAACUAUAAAAUUCUAUGAGACACUUGACUAGAGUCGAUAUAUAUGUUACUAUCCCCGUCUUAUAAAGAUAGAUUUGUUUCUAUUUUUACUCAUAAAUAAGAAAAUAUAAUUACCCUAGUUGGAAAUAUGAGAGUGUAAUUGGUUUGUCAUUUUCAUUUUUCACUUUUCGAAAAUACUCAAAACGUGUUUGGUAUGUUAUUUUCAAAAAUGUAAUUUUGAAAAUAGGAAAAAUUUUAUAACACAAAAUUCAAAACGACUUUUUGGUGUUUUGAGCAUUUUUAAUGUAAACACACAAAAAACUCAAAACAAGGAAAAUGAGCUUAAAAAUUUCCCAAAUUAGGAUAAUUAAUAAAAUCAUACAAAACUUAUACAAAUACAAGUACCCCUCUCUCUAUCUCUCUCUUCCCAUACUCUCAAAAUGUCAUAAAACUAUUUCUAGAAGAGAAAUACCUCUUUGAAGUGUUCACUUUCUUUUCUACUUGAAUCCUUUUACAACCAAUAUUGAUAUAAAACUAUUUCUAGAAGAGAAAUACCUCUUUGAAGUCUUCACUUUCUUUUCUACUUGAAUCCUUUUACAACCAAUAUUGAUUUAUAUGUGUUGAUGGAACCAUAUGGACUGAUCUUUGGUUCGAAUAUCCAUUUUUUAACAAUAGAAGAUUUCGGCGAAGUUAAAAACAAUGAGCUUCCAUGAACUAUUUUUUAUAGCAUUGAUUUCUUCAUGCAUGGUUUGAAUCCUCUUUUCCUCUUUUUAUGCUUUGUUGGGAAAUCGACCUCCCAAGAUUACCCAAGAAAUAAAGCUUGACAAUGUGAAAAAUUUCAAACCACUUCAAAAACAAGAAAAAAUGGGGAAGAAAUGAUUUUCAAUGUAUAUUGGAAGAACAAUGUAUUUGGAUUACUUGAACAAGUCUCAAGUUAAUCCCCAAGAAAGAAAAUAACUUUGAAUUUAAACCCAAGAUGAACAACCUCUAUCUUGUAAAAUUCUAUCCGAGCUUUCUCCCCUUUUUCUCUCUAAAAAAUCGGGCUCUAGGUCUUGUUAAUAAUGAAAGGGCAAAAAAUCGAAAAUAAAUAAAUAAAUAAAUAAAUAAAUAAAUAAAAUACUAGGUGCCCAAUUUCUACUUCAGCAGAAACUGGGCAGCGCCUAGGCGCCCACUCCAUCGCCUAGGCACCGGCUUCUUCAGCUUCUCUUCUCACAAUUCUCCACCUCGUACAUCAUUUGAUAGACCUCGAAUUUUGGACGAACACAAGAAGAAGUAGCAAGCGCCAAACUCGGCUGCACCAUUCAAACCAUGGUUGCCUACGUACCCAAAACUCGGGAUCAAGCCUCCUUAGUUCACCUCCACCGUCAUAUACUCUCCACCUCAUUUCAACCCCUCCCCGAAGAGCCAUGCCUACUCAGGCAUAUCAACACGGACUAAUGUGAAGUAAGUCUAAGCAAUGCUGAAACUUGCUACCCGUUACCACUUUGGUUAACAUGUCAGCUGGGUUCUCAUUUGUGUGUACCUUCGAGAGUGAAAUAUCACCUUCCUCUAUGACAUCACGCACAAAAUGAUACCUGACGUCGAUAUGCUUAGUUCGAGCAUGAUGAACCUGAUUCUUAGCCAAGUGAAUCGAACUCUGGCUAUCACACCACAAGUCCACACAAUCCUGCUCAAUCCCCAAAUCAUCUAGAAGAUCCCAUUACCACAAUGCUUCCUUCACUCCCUCUACCAUGGCCAUAUACUCGGCCUCUGUAGUAGAAAAAGCAACUGUAGUCUAUAACCUCAAUCGCCAACUAACUGGGCACCAUGUAUGCAAAACACAUAUCCAGUAGUAGAUCGUCGUCUAUCUAGAUCACCUGCAUAAUCCGAGUCCACAAACCCACUUUUAUGACAUGCAUUUCCACCAAAACAUAAACUCGUAUCCGCAGUACCUUUUAAGUACCUCAGGAUCCACUUCACAGCUUCCCAGUGUGCCUUCCCCAGAUUCGCCAUGAAUCUACUGACCACACUAACCGCCUGUGAAAUAUUUGGGCGUGUACACACUAUGGCAUACAUCAAACUACCAAAUGCACUAGCAUAAUGUACACGAUCCAUGCGUACCUUUUCUUCCGCUGUAAUAGGAGACUGUUUACUAGGGAGCCUGAAAUGUGGAGCCAAUGAAAUCACCACCGACUUUGCACCUUGCAACCCGAACCUAGCAAUAACCCGCUCAAUGUAGCCUUUCUGACUCAAGAACAUUUGCCGGUUCGUCCUCUCUCUUCUAAUCUCCAUAUCCAGUAUUUUCCUAGCAGCCCCCAUAUCCUUCAUCUCAAACUCUUUACCAAGUUGAGAUUUCAACCUAUCUAUCUCCACCUUGCUUUUCGAAGCAAUAAGCAUGUCAUCCACAUACAAUAGAGGAUAGAUAUAGUUACCUCCCCGAAGUUUCCGAAUUAAACACAACAGUCAUCACUUCUGGAGAAACCAUGCUUUAGCAUGAAGGAGUCAAAUCGCUUGUACCACUGCCAAGGAGAUUGCUUCAAUCAAUAUAGUGAUUUUCUCAAGCGACAUACCUGACGUUCCUUAUUCUCAACCUUGUAACCCUCAGGUUGAUGCAUAUAGAUUUCCUCAUCCAAGUCCUCGUGCAAGAAGGCGAUUUUGACAUCGAGUUGUUCCAGCUCGAGAUCAUGAUGAUCAACAAUACUCAAUAGCACCCGAAUGGAAGUGUGCUUGACCACCGGAGAAAAGAUCUCAUUGUAGUCAACUCCCUCUCUUUGUGCAAACCCCUUAGCCACUAACCUUACUUUGAAUCUUGUACCACCGAGCUUGGUAGGAUCCUCUUUCUUUUUGUACAACCACUUGCAACCAAUAGCUUUCUUACCUAUGGGCAAUGGGACAACCUCCCAUGUUUGGUUCUUGUGAAGUGAUUCCAUCUCAUCUUCCAUCGUUACCAACCAACUCUCACUAUUGUUGUUUAAAAUAGCUUCCUUGAAAGUGGUAGGCUCAUCAUCCUCCACCGAGAGUGCAUAUUCAACCAAAUUUGACUGUCCAUAGUGCCUCAAAGGGUCAUCUGUCCCCAACUUUAGAACUUGCUUGUAAGUACGGCAUAGCCUAGAGGAAGCCAAGUUAUCUGCAAGCUGUUGUUGUUGCUGUGCCUGUACAUUCUCUUGCUGAACCACCUCUUGUUCAAGCCCAUCAUCACUCUCAUCUUGAUUGUCUACAUGAUGCUCCUCUUGAACAUGCCUAGAACCAGGUUGAUCUCUAGGUUCUAUGUCAACAACUUGAGACUUUGUAGUCUCAACCAUCACCAUCGGGCACUGUAGCUUUCAACGAAGCUAUCAUGGAGUUCUCAUCAAAAGUAACAUCUCUGUUGAUUAUGAACUUAGAAUCCUCUACACACCAUAGGCGAUAGCCUUUAACACCUGCCGAAUACCCCAAGAAUAUAGCCUUCUUGGCCCUCGCAUCAAGCUUUCCCUCGUUGACGUGAUAGUAGGCUGUGCAUCCGAAUAUUCUGAGUUUCUCAUAAUCUGCAUAUUCUCCUGUCAAUACCCUGUAAGGUACAUCUCCAUCUAACCUUGAAUGUGGAGAUCGGUUCACUAUGUAGCAAGUAUUUACAACCGACUCUGCCUACCAUUCUCUGCCCAAACCAGCAUAGGAUCGCAUACACAUCGAUUUCUCUCGAAAUGUGCGAUUCAGUCUUUCCGCGACCCCAUUCUGUUGCGGUGUAUUUCUAACUGUCCAGUGUCUCGCAAUGCCUUCCUUACCACAGAACUCCUUGAAAGCCCCAUCUGUAUACUCAGUACCGUUAUCAGAUCGUAGUGUCUUCAAUUUCUUUCCUGUUCUGUUUUCAACCAUUGCUUUCCACUUCUUGAAAGUGUCGAAUACCUCAUUCUUAUACUUCAAAAAAUAAAUCCAAGCAUAUCUAGAAUAAUCAUCAACAAAUGUAACAAAAUACCUGAAAUCGCCUUUGGAAGUGACAGAAGCCGGACCCCAUACAUCCAUGUGCACAUAGUCUAGAAUGCCUCUACUUCUAUGUUUGCUUGGCUGGAACUGAACUCGGUGUACUUUACCGUACACGCAAUGCUCGCAAAAAUCCAUGCAAGGCUUCUUCAAGUUCUUUAGCAAACCUUUCUUGACUAGCAAAUCUAGCCCAUUUUCAGACAUAUGCCCAAGCCUCCUAUGCCAUAGCCGAGUGUACUCACAUGGAUCUCCACCACUUCCACUUGUUCCAACUGCUACAUCUUCUGUAACUGUAGUACCCUGAAGAACAUAGAGAUUGCCUUCACAAAUACCCUUUAUCACAAUCAAAGAACCACGAACAACCUUCUUUACUCCAUUCCAUGUUACAAUCUUGCAACCAUCGGAGUCUAAGGCACCAACAGAGAUAAGGUUCUUCCACAAAUCAGGAACAUGUCUAACAUCCAUCAAUGUUCUAACCACUCCAUCAUGCAUCUUGAUUUUAAUUGAACCGAGCCCCACCGUUUUACAGGAAUGGUUAUUACCCAUCAACACGGUUCCACCAUCAGUGCUUCUAUAGGUAGUAAACCACUUCCUAUUUGGACACAUAUGGUAAGAGCAUCCAGAGUCAAGAAUCCACUUACUGGAGGUUUCUUCAUCACAAGAGAUGGUAUAGCACUCAUCGCUUUCCCCUCCUUCCGAGGCAUAGCUUACCUCUUGCUUGACUUGCACCUUCCCGUUGUUGUUGUUCUUAUUGUUCUUCUUUGAACCCUUUUUGUUAGUACAAUUCGCCUUGAAAUGCCCGAGCUCGUCGCAUUUGAAACAAGACCUUUCCGCAAGAGGUCUAGAACUCGAUUUAGAUUUUUCUUCCUUGCCCUUUGGUCGCACAUUGCUUCUACCCCUUACAAACAAUCCUUGAGCUUGCUCCUUGUUACCGAUGGUAGACAUGCCACUAGUUGCAAUCUUUCGAAGAUCAUCCGCUAGAAGUGACGUUCUAGUGUCCUCUAUCACAAGUUUAUCACCCACAAGCAUCAAUGUUUGUACUAGGUUCUCGUAAGACUUUGGCAAUGAAAGAAGUAGUAGAAGUGCUUGAUCCUCAUCAUCUACUUCCACAUCAAUGUCCUUCAAGUCCGAUAUGAUCAUAUCAAACUUGUUGACGUACUCUCGGAUUGGUGUAUCUUCAUCCAUCUUGCAAGUAUACAAUUUGGAUUUCAAAUAGAUCCGAUUUGUUAGAGUCUUCGUCAUGAAGUUCGCCUCCAACUUUGUCCACGCCUCCACCACCGUUACCUCACUAUCAACCAAGAAAGCAACAUCUCUUUCAAGGCAUAGAAUGAUAGACGCUCGUGCCUCAAGAUCUAGCUCUUCCCAAUCCUCGUCCGACAUAUCAAUGUGCUUCUUUUCCUUUCCCGCCAAUGCCUUGUGCAACUUUUGAGAAAUCAAGAAAUUUUUCAUUUGCAUUCUCCAAUAUGAGAAAUCAUUCUUCCCAUUGAAUUUCUCUAUCUCAUACUUCCCAAUCUUCACCAUUCCUCUAGUAGACAUGAUUUAUUUACUUGUUUACCGGAAAUAAACCACCAAAGUUCACUUGGGAAUUUUCACAAACACCUUGUGCGCACAACAAAGUUCAAGCAGCUCACAAAAAAUCGAAGCUUAAACACCUUGAUUUAAGAAGAAGCUCUAAUACCAAAUUGUUGGGAAAUUGACCUCCCAAGAUUGCCCAAGAAAUAAAGCUUGACAAUGUGAAAAAUCCCAAACCACUUCAAAAACAAGAAAAAAUGGGGAACAAAUGAUUUUCAAUGUAUAUUGGAAGAACAAUGUAUUUGGAUUGCUUGAACAAGCCUCAAGUUAAUCCCCAAGAAAGAAAAUAGCUUUGAAUUUAAACCCAAGAUGAACAAUCUCAAUCUUGUAAAAUUCUAUCCAAGCUUUCUCCCUUUUUUCUCUCUAAAAAAUCGGGCUCUAGGUCUUGUUAAUAAUGAAAGGGCAAAAAACCGGAAAUAUAUAUAUAUUGGGGCGCCUAGGCACCAUGUUUCUGCCUGGUUGGGCACUGGUGGGCGCCCAGGCGUCCACUCCAGCGCCUAGGCACUGGCUUCUUCAGCUUCUCUUCUCGCAUGCUUCUUUAUAUGUAAUUGGAUCUUCACUUAAAAAGAAUGUAAAGAAUACCAAAUCUGCUUCAUUCACUUCUUCAAAUAUAUUCCUCAUAAAUUUUUCUAAAACUUCGUCUUUCUUCUUGUCAUUGGUGGUCUGUUUUGAGGAGAUUCAUUUCUUUGACCAACAUCAUGCUGUGAUAAUUGAGAUUUAUUCACUUCAAAAUGAAGAAUAUGCCAAUUUGAUGAACUUUGAAAAAAUUAACAAAUUAUAAGAAGCUUUCUCAUUAAAACGGACACCUCCAGUAACCCCCCUUCCUUUUUGGUCUUUGGAUCGAAAACCUUGUAAGCCUUAUUCUUUUCACAGUAGUCAAUAAAGAUGCAUUUUUCAGAUUUAUCACUAAUUUUAGUAAAGAAUUUGAAAAAUGUGAAAAAGGAAGACAACCAAAUGUUCUCAAGCAAUGUACACUCCUUCCAUACCAAGCCUCAUUUGUAGUGGAAUUGAUCAAGCUCUUUGUAGGUGAUCUAUCAAUUAAAUAAACAGUACGUGAAAUUGCAUCAACCAAAAUUCGGACGACAUAAAUUCUUUCUUCAGAAUACAUCUAGCCAUUUCCAUACGUGCUAACUUUUAGUUUUGAAUUACCAUUUUUUUGUGGUGAAUAUCGAGCUGUUAAUUCAUGUUUAAUACCAUGUUCUUCAAAUAAACAGAUAAAUACCCUCCUUUUAGACCACUUCUUAAAUUCUUUAUUUUAAUAAUCUGAAAAUUUUUCAACAAACAUUGAAGUCCUUGAAAUAAGAAAGAGCUUAUAGUUUUUUCCUAUCAAAAUAAGCCUAAAAUUUUCUGGUAUAAUCAUCAACAAAUAUCAAAAAUACUGAUUACCUCCGACAGAUGGAACUCGAAUGGGACCAUAAAGAUCAGGGUGAACAAACUCAAGUAGUGAAUGUGAUUCCCAAUCAGAUUUUGACGGAAAUGGCUUGUUUUCCAAACUCAAACUCUUCACAAACUUAUAACAUUACUUUGGGUACCCUUUAAACUGUAGCCUUUCUUAAUAACUCUUUCAAGCUCUGAAAAUUUAGGCGGCCAAGUCGGUCAUACUACGACUUGAAAAUCUUUUUAUUAACAAUUUUCUUACUGGUGUAAAUUAAAAAUCAAGUUUGAGAGGAAACAAGUUAUUUGAGCCAAACCAAUGUUUGCAACCAGAUGAUGCAAAAGUUAUCAACAAUGUGAAUAUCAAAACAUUUCUUAAUUAGAUAGCCAAUUGAGAAGCAAACCCACCUACAAAUUAACCAAAACAAUUGAUUAGUGUAAGGAUUUGCAAAGUAAAUUGAAGAAAAUCAAGACCAAAAUCUGAAAAUAAAAGGAACGGUUUUCCCUUUAUGAUUCGGCUCAGAAACUUGAUCCACACAACAAAGGUAUCUCCAAUUUGAAGGCCAUUAUCAGUCACAUAGACAGAUUCACAAAGAAAAGACAAGAGAAGAUUGAUUUGCACUAAGCAGGGAAGUUUUUCUUCCUCUUGUUUUUGGCUCUCGUUUUUGGUGUGUAUAAUGGAAGGGAAGAGUUUCCUAUUUAUAGGCUUAUAGGAGUGAAUGAAUUUCACGGGAGUCUUCAAGAUUUGAAUAAAAACUGCAAGAUUAUAUCCAAACUGAAAGAUAGAGCUCAUCCAACAAAAAUGAGAUAAAAUUGGUUUGAUAAAGAUAAUGAUAAUAUUUAUCCAUCUUUCAUGUGAAUUUCAAAUUCCCUCCAAGUUGGGUAUUGGGCAUCUAACCCAAUGGGCUGAUUACCUCUAAAUACCCAAUAUAAUUGGGCUACUUCAAUUGUGGUGUGGAUUUAAUUCUUCAAUCCUGGGCUUAUAGCCUAUGAAGUUAAAACGGGCCUCGAUUUUUCAUCAUAGCCUAGGGGAUUUGGGCAUUACUUACCAAUCAUGCCCAACACCAAUACUAAAAAACAUAGUUUGCAACCCUAGUACAUAGUGUACCCCAAAUAUCUUCUCAACUUGCGCAGGUUUUGUUUUGAAUCCAACAUCUGGAAUUUUACAAGACUUAAACACCUCCAAUUAUCACUACCCACGGUUAACUUCUACAAGUUUUAAAACUAAAUUCUUAUUUGCAGUCAUAUGCCUCUUGGCUCCAUUGUCCAAAUACCAAAUAAUACCAACAUUUUCAUCAGAAGCAAUUUAAUAAAUUUUCUUGAGAAAUUUCAUAUUUAUCUCAUGUACCAAGCCGACUCUCUCUCUAUUUGGAUAUUUAAUCCAGCAAUCACUCGUUGGAUUGUCGAGUUUACGAUGAUGAAAACAUUUAAUAUUGGCUUUGUUAUCUUUUUUGAUGAUAAGAAUCACAUUGUAGCAGAAAAGAUCUUCAAUUGAUGGAUUCCUGGUUCAGUUUCAACUUAUCAUUCAAUAUCAACCAAUUAACCAAUACUCCAAGCCACAACUUACAUUCACUUAUGGUUGCUUUAUCCCUUUCUCAUCCACAAAGGGACAAGGUUAGGGUGGUGAUUUGUAAGGCACAAAAGCAAAAAGAAGACAAUAGAAGGCAAAGGCACGAAGAAGAUAGCUAGAAGCAACCUUGAUUUUCUUCUCGACAAAAGGGCAAAACACACACACAGAGAGCUUCUUGCAUAAUGAGACCAUAUAUAUAAAUUUAGGUUAUAUCAUCAACUAGGCCAAGACACAAAAAGGCCAUCCUAUAAGUGAAUUUGGUUCAAGGCAACAUUAAAAAAUUAAGUUGUUACUAGCUGCCCAUGUUGCUUUUGAACUCCAUGUUGCUUUUGAACUAAGUAUAUUAAUUGAUUGAUGGAUAGUUAUUUCAUUCAUUAGUUAAGGCCUAUCAAAUGUAAUUCGAGACUAUUUAACAUCAUUACCCAGGAUUUAUUGGGUAUCAAAAUCCAAAAAAUCUACACCUUGACGUGCAAUAAACCUGCAAGCAAUCAAAGUAUACGUUAGUACUUAAUAAUCAAGAUAACAAAUAAAAUUGGAAUCACAAACCUUAUCUCAUUUUUCGGCUCCGAAACACACAUCAUAUGUGCUCCAAGUACUUACCAUGGCUAAGGUCACAAACAAAUAUCCAAGUAGAAGCAUAUAAUCACAAUGAUUAAAUAAGAACAAAUAAACAUGCGAUGACAAUAUAAUAUAGGAUAACGCACAAAUCUUUUCAAACAUGCUUACAUAGAGCAAUAGACUAAUACCAAGUUAAUCAAUCAAACGACCAACGUAUAUGCAACAAAUCCAAAAAUGACCCUAUGAAAAGAUCUCAUCACACUUAUCCUAUCUCAUUCCCUAUUGCUCACACUUCAAGAAUGCAUAUCUCCUCUCAUUGCCAACCAUGCUCAGUAGAUAGAUCACUUAACUCAUGUCUAACUGGUAAAUCAUAAUAGAUCCUAAAUUCUCAGGAUAAUCCUUUAUCACCAUAUCACGUCUCUCAAACUACAUGGAUAAUAGAUCUCCAACUAAUAGAAUGAUAGAAAUGCAUCUCUCACACUCCACAUGAUUAGGUCCUCUUCACAGAUAAAGGAUUCCAACAUUUAAUUACCUCUUUUACUCAUGAUUCAAAUGUCACACUCCACCUUCCUAGUACAAACCAUCAAUGUACCCCUAGACAUCUAUACUCCGUCUCACUACAAGACAUACAACACAAUGUUAAUGCAUCUCAACCCACUAUGCAUACAAACAAUUACACGAAGUAAUAAUACCACUCUAAUUCAUGCAGUCACACACACAAAACAAAUUGAAACUAUAACAUAUCAACACAACAAACUAAGCAAUCACACAUAUACAGAAAGGAUUACACAUAGGUGCACAUGUAGUAACUAUAUUUACUCUCAAUAAACUUCACUAGAGUCAUUACUCGGCCAUAUAGCCACAUUUGCCUCACCUCUCAUUUUAUCCUUCUGUUUGGGAUAAUCCCUAAUAAAGUGUCCAAACUUAUCAUAGUUGUAACACUACCGACCACUAGAUUUGUCAUUACCCUCAUCACUCAUAUUACUACUCGAAUAAUUAUUAUCUUAAGCUCUACCCAAAUUUAUUUGCUUAAACUUGAUUCUACUCAUCAUCAUAUAUAACUCAUCACUCCUUUCAUCUUCUUUUUUAGCGUAAUCUCCAUCUUCUUACUCUUAAGAGAAUCUAUGAUAUUCUCGAAUAUUAAGGUGUCCAUACCAUACUUAAUUGCAAUAUCAGCUUCUCUAUAUGAAUCAGGUAUUGAAUGAAGCAAAAUAAUGACCUCAUAAGUUUCAUACACCUUAUCACGAUUAACAAUUUUGAACAAGAUUGUUGAAAAUAUCUAAAUUGUCAUCAAGAUCAUUUGAAUAAUUCAUUAUAAAACUGAAAAACCUUUCAAACAAGUACACCUUAUUAGGAAAAAACUUACAUUGUCCUCCAACUUUUUGCCAAAGUUUUUUUUGUAGAAUCAAUUUUUCCUACCAUUCUCAAAAUAGUGUCAGAUAGGUGUAAAUUACUUGAAGUGUAAGCAAACUCAUCAUAUUUUUCUUUUUGUGCUUGUAUCAAAAUUGUAGGAAAUUUGCAAUCUAUGACUUUUGAAACUUUGUGUUAAAUCAAAAUCUCCUUCAUAUUUUGUUGCUAAAUUUAAAAAUUCCCUUUCUCAUUAUAAAUUUCAAAUUUGAAAUGCGAACACAUUUUUGAAACAACAAAACAACUAAGUAUACAAAUAGGUCACACAAAAUAAUCCUAUGGCCAUAGUAUACACCGUCUUAAAUUCUCACGGUUUCGUACGAUUAGCGAUCUUAGAUCAAGGGAAUAUUCAAAUAGGUCAAGUCCAAGUGUUCUAACAAAAUAAUCAAAUUCAAGAUGAAGGUAUGUCAACAAAAAAUUCAAAUUCUCACAUAAUGUAGGUAAUUAAACAUAUAAGCAAUUAUUAACUUGCAAUUAAAUCUAAUACUUCAAAAUGGAGCAAAUAAUUCCUAAAUUUCUAGUACAAGUAAUGGUUACCCUUUCAUGGUAACCCCAAUCCUAAUAUCUCCAUACGAUGAUGCACUAAUGCUAAAAUUUAAAUUGAGAUAAGUCAAUAUACCAGAAUGGACCAAUCUGAGCUCGUAAAUUACGAGAGAUGCGAACUUAUCACUUUAAGACCACUACUAUUCAUCCUAAAGUCUCCAGUAAGGCAGCAACAAAUCGAGUAAAAAAGUGAAUCACAUAUAGGGGCAAAAUCAUCCAAAUUUUAUUGUAUACCCUGAAAUAGAAAACUAACACCACAAAAUCAUUAGAAAUCAUGUUAUCCGAAGAAACCAUUGCCUGAAACUGCCCAACGCAUCGUCACGUGCCUUCACUGGUCCCAUGCAUUGGCCACCAUGUGCCGUCGCUAUCGAUCAUAUGCCACCCACAUAGGUGUGUAUUGGUCUACUAAACACGCUGGUGGUCUCCAUUUGUCCAACGGAUAAGUGGUUUCCCGAAAAGUGUAAAAAUAGUUCCAGACAGAACUUUUAAAAAAUGAAUAGUUUCUGUUUUGAUUUUUCUUGAUUUUUGGCCGAAAAUCCACCACCAACAUGGCUUUGAUACCAAAUGUAGAGGAAUUGAUCUGUGAUUGAUAGAUUUCCGGCUCAGCUUCAACUUACCAACCAAUCAACCAAUACUCCAACCUGUGCUUAUCACUUAUGGUUGCUUUCUUCCUUUCUCACUCACAAAUGGACAAGGUUAUGGUGGUGAUUUGCAAAUCACAAAGGCAAAGAGUAGAAUAUAGAAGGCAAAAGGUACGAAAAAGUUGACAAGAAGCAGCCUCUGACACAAGAAAGCUAUUCCAUAAGCCAAUUUGGCCCAAGGCAAUAUUAACAAAACUAAGUUGCUACUAGAGACCCACGUUGCUUAUAUAUAUAUAUAUAUAUAUAGGUUAUAUCAUCAAUUGGGCCAAGACACAAGAAAGCUAUUCCAUAAGCCAAUUUGGCCCAAGGCAAUAUUAACAAAACUAAGUUGCUACUAGAGACCCACGUUGCUUUCGAGUUGAGUAUAUAGAUUGAUUGAUUGAUAAUUAUUUCACUCAUAUCGGUCGAGACUUAUGAAAUAUAAUUCGAAAUUGUUUAACAUCAUAGGCUGAGAUUUAUUGGGUAUCAAAACCCAAUACACAUCCUCUUCCUAUUGGAGAAUAGUGGAAGGAUUGUUUCUCUUCUUUUUUUAACUCUUUAUUUUCUUUGCCUCGUCCAUGUUGAUCAUAAGAAUGUCUUCCACCUCAUCUUCCUUGUUUGUGACCUCUUCCACUUCGACGACAAGUUCCACAACCUCCUGUAAAUUUGAUUGGGUCUUUACAGCUUGAUCAUGGGGAGAAAUAAUUUGAGGACUUCUUUGAAUAAUUCUAAUUUCAUGAGCCUCCAGUCAUUCUUACCAACUCUCCAAAGCCAUUAAUAAAACCUUGUAAUUCUUCAAUCGCCACCCCAACUUGAUCAAAUUUACUUAGUGGGCUUCGCAUAAUUUUUUUGACAUUAUAUUGAGCCUUCAUAAUUUCUCCAUUUGAUGCCACCUAAUUCACUACAAAAUUAAUUCUCAUAAGAUGUUCUGACAAUUUUUCAUAGUCUUUUAUAUCCAUCUUCUCAAAUGUCAUCCUCAAGGAUCGCAAAGGAACUUUUUUCACUUGAUCUUGGCAGGAAUGAGUUGCCCUAAGAAUUUUCCAAGCCUCUUGGGAAACUUUUGCUGUGAAUAUCCUCUCAUAAACUGGGAUUUAAUUGCAUGAUAUAUUUGGAAAAAUAUUUUUCUAUCUUUUUUUUUCUUGCUCUUCAGAGGUAUCUUUUUGCUUUAAACAAUUGGUUUUUAUUUUCACGUGAUUGUACUUCUUCUUCAGUAACACCAUAAGUCUUAGAGAUUCAAGACAUAACAUUAGAGGACUCAAAUAAUCAAAAAUUUCUCCAUUAAAAUGAGAUACAAGGGAAAGAAGAUUGUUGAAGGAUUUUUUUUUUUUUUUUUUUUCAAGGUUCUGAUACAAGUUUGAAGUUAAGACAAUUUGGAUUGAUAUAGUCUGAAAACUUAGCUCUAAUUUUGCCUUAAAAAAUAUUGCAACAUAUGAUCUUAUUUAUACAUAUCAAGAUGACAUAUGAACUAAUUUCUUUUUAAUAAACUUGACUAGAUUUAAUGGAUACAAGACGACUUCUCAAACUACUAGUUGAAUUGUAAAAUUCUACGAGAUACUUGACUAGAUCUAAUACAUAAGUUAUUCUAGAUCAAAUUUGAUUUAUUUCAACAAGGGUUUCUUUUUUAUUCGUUUAUAUUAUUUUUUACAGAGCCUAUUAAUUUCUUAGCCUUCGUUUGAACAUAAAUUAAUGAAUGGUUCAUAAAUUCAAAUAAAGUCACAUUAUAUAUAUAUAUAUAUAUUUCAAAUACUACGUGUCUUGCUAUUUCUCUUUAAAACCGCUUUUAAAUUUAAUCAAAAAGACGCUAACAAGUCCUAGCCCUGUCAAUAUACAAUGAAUUAUUUAUUUAUUUAUUUUAUUUUUUAAUUGUCUUUCUUAUACUUUUCAAAUUCAAUUUUAUUCUUUUCAUCAAAAAUACUUUCUUCUUCCACACUUGAUGUUCUUUCUCGAUCCCCAGCACUCUCCCGCUAGCGAAAAAAUAAAACGAAGAGAUUAUCUUCAUAAAAACAAAGAAAAAAGGUUCUGACAAGCAUGUUUAUUAAACUUCAUCACCUAAUGACUCAUUAUUAAGUUGGGUGCAGAGUUUACUCCAUUGGUUGGAUAAAGGAAGUGAACUCUCGCUUUUAAUACAAAGAUCAUUUUAUAAAAAUGUAAUUUUUAGAACUAUUGAUUGUUAUGCAAAUAAUAAGACAUUUACAAGUUGAAUGAAUAGAUUAUUGGGCAGCUAAUGAGCCUAAUUUGUCUGUAUACAGUUAAAUCAAAAUCUUUAUUGGUGACUAAACUAAAAUAAAACUGGAAAUUUAGUGAUGAAUUUGGAAUAUAAAAUGAGUGACUAAAACGAAAUUUCUUUCAAGUUGAGUGACUUCUAAUGCCUUUUGUCCCGGACAAUAAUCUAAGAAAAAUUAGUGCCAUAUGGGAAAGUGCAUUAAAUUUUGUGACAGAAAUGUCACUCCUCACUAAAUUAUUACCAAAUCCAAAAUUUUGUCCCAGGUUUAAAAUAAAAAAUUUACCAAUUAAAAUGACUGGGUUCAAAGUUGGUGAUUUCUAGUGUUUUCUACACAUAUUUUAUGCAUUGGACAUUAAAUAAAUUAACAUGAUUUGCAUGUAAAAGAAUGGGUUGAAAACAAAUAUAAAUAAAUAAUAUCUCUCUCUUCAUCAAAAUUUACUUUUAUAUGAAUUGCUUUCAACUUUAUUUCUAUGCUCGACGUGGCACAUUAAGCAACAUAAAAAUUACAUGAUGAAAAUCUAAAGUUUGUAAUUUUCAUAAUUAACUGAAGACACUCUACACUUUUUUUUUUCUAAAUUAAUAAUAAAUAAAAAAAAGACUUGAGCAUGUUUUAUUUUGAAGAGAGUAUGAUUUAAAAAAAAAAAAUUACUGUAAAAAAUAGUUUAAUCUAUUGGUUCUCCUUCGAUUAAAUCAGCUUUUGAGGAUAAUAAGAAAUAUAAGAGAUUAACAUUCCGAUUGUAUGUGAGAAAUGCAAAAAAGUUAUUACUGGUUGAGGGGACAAUCAAUCACGAUAAGAAAGAAGUUGAGAAUGUCUUUUUUAUUCUUGUAUACUUUCAAAGAAACCUUGUUUGUUUAGCCCCCGUUUGGCCCCUGUUUUUUGGAAAUGAAAAUGGGUGAAAUAGUAUUUUUUUGAAAAAUGAGUGAUUGAAAAAGAAGUAAAAGUUUUCGAUUUACGUGUAAUAUUAUUUUAUGAAAGAUUGUGUGGUUGAAAAUAAAAGUGAGAAAAAUUGAAAUGUAAUUUAAUGGAAUUUAAUGGGGACCAAACGGGGGCUCAGUGGAAACAGCUAUUCAUUCUGAAAUCCAAAAUUGAGACUCAUUUAAAGAGAAAUGAUAAAAACUUUUGGAGCUUAUUUAUUGUAAAUGGAAUACUCACACACCUACAAAGAAGGAUGAGUCCCAAGUUGGUAUUGUGAAAACAUCAUACAAACAAUCUCUAGUUUUCCAUCUAAACUUCUUGUUUCAAGUUUAAAUUUAUUGCUCAUUAUGAGUUGAAUUUUGAUAUUUUAAAGUCAGUUUAUAGUAUCCUUUUGCAUGAAGAUAAUCAAUUUGGUUAUUGCGGUCAACUCUAUUAUGUUUAGGCAUAUUGGCCUGCAAUGGUGCCAUGCAAGUUUUGGGAUAGAAAUUAAUAUAUUAUAUGUAGUGCAAGAUGUGAACCUUGACUCUUAAUCAAUUGAAUUGGUGAAACAAAAUAUGUUCUGGUCUUUUUUACUUGGGAUCGCAAUAAUGUAUUAUGCAAUAACAGUUUGACUAGUAUAUUAGCGGAAGUGAAACUACUAACACAUUUUAUUGGGACAAAAGUUAAUGAAUUCUUAAUACAAAUAUUCUCUUUGUGACUUUUUAAGUAUUGUGGUCGUCAUUAUUAUUCGGGGCAAAAUACGUAUAGUGCUUCUAACAAUGUAGUUACCAACCUUAAAAAUAAACAUUUUGAUCCUUAUGUUUAAAUUUUGUUGUUGAUGUUAGUCCAAGCUCAUAAUUUCAAAAAUCUAUUAACACUAGUGACCAAUUUUUUCCUUCUUAAAGGUUGUUGAUCAAACUAUCACAAGCACCAUAGAUUGGGGACCAAUACUACAAGUUUCCCUAUAUUGGUAAGUUCACACAUUCUUAACAUCAAACAUACGGAAAAUAGCCUCCAAGGUCCCCACAAUUUUGACUGGUGUUGCACCUUGGUCUAAAAUCUUCAAAUCAUACCAAUUAAGUCUCCAAUCUUUUAAUUUUAGUAGCAGUUAGGUUCUCAUUGGACAGUUUUACCCUUGCCUUCAAUUAAGAAGCUAAAAUUCUAUUGAAAAGAUUAUAUUUACUCUUUUCUUUAAAUAAACCAAAAUAAUAAUAAUAAUAAUAAUAAUAAUAAUAAUAAUAAUAAUAAUAAUAAUAAUAAUAAUAAUAAUAAUAAACAAGAAUGAAAGAAAAAAUAAAAAUGAAAUUACUCUUCUCCUAUCCAUCCAGGCCACACCCGUCAAGAUAACUAAAAAAGGAAAAAUAGAUAAUUAGAAUAUAUAAAGAUAUACAAAAAAAGAGGGAAAAAAAAAAAAGAAAGAAAGAAGAGAAACUAGUGAAAAGGUUACAAGAAUUAGAUGUUGACCACUCGAUAACAGGUCAAGGUCACAAUAGUAUGUCAAAUGUCACAAUAUACACAGUAUGAUCACAAUCAUAAAUCGCACAAGGUCAGUCAGAAUUACAAAUUUAGUAUCAAUUACACUUUUUUUAGGUUGCAUAUUAUUUAUUAGUCACAAAUUAUCUAUUUUAUCAAUUACAUAUUAUUUAUUGGUCCUAAAUUAAUCAUUUUCUUGAUCACAAUCAUCUAAAUAAUUGAUCACGAACAUUUUUAAUACCACCCCCCCACCUUACCUUACCCCACCUCACCUCACCUCACCUCACCACCAUGGGCACCAACAUUGCCCCGCCAUCAGCAAUCAUUAUUUGAAAACCACCACCAACAAAGAUCAUCUCAAAACUUUGACUAUAGAAAUUGAAGGAGAAAGAAAUCUCCCUCUUAUCUACUGGGAGUCCAGUUUAGCGUCACAAACUUCCGCAGGAUCUUUUUGUUUUUUAGAAUUGUUUAUAGUUUUUUUAUCCAAACCCCCCCCCCCCAGUCANNNNNNNNNNNNNNNNNNNNNNNNNNNNNNNNNNNNNNNNNNNNNNNNNNNNNNNNNNNNNNNNNNNNNNNNNNNNNNNNNNNNNNNNNNNNNNNNNNNNNNNNNNNNNNNNGAUGGGAAUGGGGAUGGAGUGCACCUAAAUUUUAAUAGAAAAAUCUUUGCAACCGAUUUUCGAAAUGAAAAGUUAAAAAAAUGGUGUGAGUGUAAUUUUCACCUAAAACUAUUGUCAAUCACUUUGGAAGGGGUUUGUGGAUUUUAUUUAUUUAUUUAUUUAUUUAUUUUGUUUUAAAUAAGGGUGAAAUUGCAAUUAUAAUUGUCUGUUUGAUCCCGAUUAUUCAAGAAAAAGGAAUUUUUUUGAUUCAAUUUGUUGGAUCCACUAAAGCAUAUAUUAAAUUUGUUAAACCGAGAAAUAAUGACAAUGUUGAAUUCUAUCUCUUCAUCCCUUCAACAAGUUGUUGUCUGAUCUCCCAAAUUAUCCCCGAUAUUAAAAAACUCUCUGCUGAUGCCCUUUGUAUGGCAAUGGGAAAAGCACUCAGGUGUAGAAUGGUAAAUCAAUCUCCUAAGUCCAUGAAAAAAUUGGACAGCAUGGACUGGAGUUCUUGGAGCAUUUUAGGGGAAUUUAUUGGAAUUGCCCUUUUUCUGCAUAAUAUUUAAUUAGAAUUUUUCAAAUUCAUAAUAUCGCAAUUUGGUAAAAAUCCAAUUCUAAUCCAGACCAAUUAGAUGCUAAAAUUUUAGCGCUUUUCUAAGGAUACAUUGUCCACUAAGGACAUAAGUCUACAGAAAUGAGACUUUGAGGAUAUAAAUACUCUGUCUUAAAGAAAGGGGACCAAGGUGCAACAUGUGUCAAAGUUUGGGGACCCACACGGCUAUUUUCCCUCAAAUAUACAAAAUAUCCAAAAGAGAAAUAUCGACCAAACAUGGUGCCCACCACCACGAGAUAAGGAAAAAAAUAAUAACAAAGAAUAAAACAAGUCAGAAAAGUAACUAAGUGGCUAGUCCUUUUGUUCAUGGCCAUUUAACCUAAUAACAGAUUUUUUCAUAACAAAACAUGGCCAUUCCCAUAUGCUCAUUUGCUAAGCAUACACCAUCAAUCCCAACUAUUUCAAUCUCCUUUUAUCCUUGUACAAAUUCACAUCUCAAAGCAAUCAAUUAUGGCUGCCUUCCAACCUAAAGCCAUUCUUCUUCGAUUUACAGCCUUAAUUUGGUCACAGACGAAGCGUUAACUAUGACUACUAAGGGUGUGGAUGCUUCUAGAGUGGAACUGGAGUUUGCGCAGGAAAUGGAAAAGGUUUUUGAUAAAAAAAGGAGCGAAAAUGAGGUUGAGAGACAUUGGUGCAAAGGAGUUGUAGAGAGAAGGAAGAGAAGAAGAAAAAGAAGAAGGGACUUAGAAUGUUUGGAGCAUGAGAAAAAUGAAAAACAUGUAUUUUUCAAGGCUGCCAAGAAGCAGUCAUACUUGACACCUAAAGAAGAGGCAAAGUUUUCUUGGUACCUUAAGGUAGUUAUACCUCUAAUUCUAAAUUGAUUGAUAUAAGUGGGUUCAGAGAUUAAUUGUGUAUAUAUGUAUAUAUAAUGCAGUUAUUCAAUGUAGAUUAGCUGCUGUUCUUUUUGAUAUACUUUUCCAUUCACCAAAUUUUAAAUUCCAUCUGUUCUACCUUAGGAGUUUAAUUGCCAAACUAUUCAGAUAGAUCAUGGGUUUUCAGGCUUCCGUAUUGCAAUUCUAGCAAAUGCGACUAAAACUUAUUCCCAAUAAAUUUAAGGUUUACUUCAUAAAUCAAAUUUUCUGCCUCUGUUUGGUUCUUUCCUCACAUUGUUUUACAAAAAAAAUAGGAAAAAAGGUUGAACCUGUGAGAAAGAAAAUAGCAGACAUGGGAGAAGAAGAAUUAACCUCAAGUCAAUGGGCUAAGGCUUCAGGAAUCACUCAGCAAAGGCUUGUAUAUAUUUUAUGUUAAGAGAGAGAAUCACAGGAUCGAAUUUGCAGCUGUUAUCAGAGACUUGUUAUUGCAGUCGCUAGAUCUCAUCAAGGAAUAGGGUUGAGCUUCAAAGAUUUAAUUCAGGUCCCGUACAUAAUUUCAAACAAUUAACUGUGAUGUUACAAUUUUUAUUGAGUAUUAAAAUGAUUCUACAAUCUUGCAGAAAGGAAGAAUUGGGCUAAUUCGAGGGGCGAUAAGAUUUAACACGAAGAGAGGUUGUAAGUUAUCCACAUACGGUUACUAGUGGAUUAGGCAAGCUAUUAGCAGAGCCAUAGCCAGCAAAUCAACGAUAUUCCAAUUGACGGUAAGGCAUACAUCAUUAAGCAGAGUCUUACUCUGUUUUCAUGAGUUGAUUCCAAAUAUCAAUUGAUUAAUCUAUUGUUCUAUAUAUGAACAACUUUGAGUUUUAAUGGUUCUUUUGCCAUUUCGAUUGAAUAAGUCCUAAAAUGAGGGAUAAAUGUACAAUAUAUUUAGGCUCGACAUAUUCCAACAUUUCCAGCAAAUGUGAACGUGACAUUACUAGCUACCCAUCCCCACCAAAAAAAUAAACAAAUUCAUAAAUUGAAAAGGAUAAUUCCCGGACGAGUUGUGGAAAUCCCUAAUUUAGUGACAAAAGAGAAUAUGAAAUUUAACAGAAAGCUCACAAUCAGUGAAUGGGUGUUAAGGUUUUCAUGUGCAGUGCAGUAUUAGUGAAUUGGUACCUAAGAUUUGCGAGGCAAACAAUGACUUAAGCCGAAGGCUGCAGAGUAUCCUACAUGUGAUGAGGUGCAGCAGCCAUUGAUGUGGAUGCUUCAAUUAUCAUUUAGAGUGCAUGUUUAUUCCAUCAGCUAUGAGUAUGCUACAAAAACUUUGUACAAGAGUUUGAAAUGCUGAGUUUCGGCUAUAAAAAAUAAAUAACCCUCCUCCCUCCUAAAUGUGGUGUCAGCUACAUGAAUCAUUUUUCAUCAAUUCGUCCAUUUCAUUGCUAAGAAACUACAUUUUUAACUUUACCCUCACGUAUUCUACAUCAAUUUAAAUAAAUUCUUGAAAAAGUAGUAGAAAUUUGAUUGAAUUCUUUGUUUUACCAUUUUCUGUAGGACAUCAUACCGGGGCGAAAUGAAACGAAACUAGAGGCAAUGGAGAAGAAAGAGAUGUUGAAAAGAGAAAUACAAAAGCUUCUUAACUAGUUGCCUGAGAGAGGAAAAUGUCUUAAGACUGCACUAUGGCCUUAAUGGCUGCACUCCAUGUUCCUUUGAAGAGAUAGGAAAUUUAUUUAAACUUUCAAGGGAGAGGAUUCGGCAGAUUAAUAGCACUGCAUUGUCUAAAUUACAAAGGACUAGUGGGAUAAAUGAUCUCAAAUAUUUGAUAUAGCUUUUACUAUAUAUAAAGAAUACAUGCUUACAGUACAUAAAUCAUGGAUUUGUAUAUCCAUUUUCUACAAAAUUAUUGCAAAUUGAAGACACUGUCUUCUGCUCUUUUGAAUUUUUCUUAAGAUUCUGUUGUGAGUAUAUAAUCUAAAUGCAAGUUUGAAUUGGUUAUCUAUUUAAGCUAUCCCAAAUUGAACUUUCAACUCAAAAAACUCCAUUUUGGAUCAAUUCAGUUGUGAUCCUUCUUACAUUCAAAUCUAAACGAGCUUAAUUGAAACUUUUAGUGUUAAAGAGGUACAUAAAUUAAUUUCUUAUAUCAUGAAUUGCAUGUCAUACAUGAUACGGAGGUUCACUUGAACACUCUAUAUGAUCACAUAAAAAUUCAUUUUGGCAUACUCUUCCUACUUUAAAUUUUAGUUAUUGUUGGAUCAGAGCCUAAAAUUAAGCCUUAAUUUGGAUUUGCAUCAAGAUCCCGAGACUAGAGGAAGAACUAAAUAUCAAACACCAGAUUUAGUCUGAAACUAGUCUAUAUCCUCGUUGAGCUUCACCUUAUGAACUCUUAUAACUAAAUUUUUCUGGUUUGAGAUUACAGAGUACAAAGAGGCACAAAAAUCUCAACUCAAGCACGAUUUUUCCCAAGAACAGCACAUAGAUUACAAUCUCCCACAAAAAGGCACUUUCCUACAUGAUCUCAAUAUCCAAGAAGAUAGAGGAUUUUCCUAUUAACUUUUUAUCUCAAAAGCUAAGCCUAGAAAUUUAGAAGUAUUGAACUAAAGUCCAAAAUGCAGAGGCAACACUGCCAGCACAUACAUCAAAAUUUUGCCUUCCAUCUCCAGGGAAAGCUUGUAGAUAGAAACACAACCAACAUUGUGUAAGUAUUAUGCCCUAGGUCCUUUCAACUUUGGACAUAAAUACUUUUGAUAUAUAAUUAAUGCAAUUUAAUGGCAGAUCUAUUAUUUAAUUAAUUAUCUAUUAAAUAAAUAAUAGAGUCCGUAUAUUCAAAUCUUCAUAAUUUGUUAAUCACAAGGAGUUGUAAUUGUGAGAUACAAAUUACAUCUGAUUGAAUCUUAAAUCGUCCGUGGUCGUAAGUAAUAAUGAGAUACGGAUAUCGUUAUUACGGAUAGACCAUCACGUGUGGCAUUUCUUACUUGUGAAGUGAGUAGCUGAUCUCACAAGUUAAAGUGUGGUGACACUUAGAUGAAUACGUAGAUGUUUUGUUAUAGAACAAAACAUUGAAGACCCGCCGAGAGAUUCCACAUGGAUAGCUAUCUGAGUGUCAGUGGUUAAUCUCUAACAUUCGGUACUGGAAUUGGCCAUUUGACUUGAGGUCGUCAUGGUACCUUAUAUGAUGACAAUCAUACUUUGGCGGUGUUGGAUGUUGCUCUGCAAAGGGCCGCUAAUAUGACAUCAUUCAAGUACGUCAAGAAUCGUAUGAAAGUUGUGAUUGAUCAAUAAAGGAUUCAUCACUUUUAGAUAGUAUGAGAUUAUGAUCUGUGUUUCAUUUAAUUAAGUCGAUAAUGAAAUCUUUGGCCAAGGUGUAUUCAUAAGUCGAAAAUGAGUUUUCGACUUAUAUUAACUUAAUAGUGGAGCGAAAGAUAUGAUCGAUAACUGAGAUUGACACACAGAUAUGAUCGAUAAUUGAGAUUGACACACUUCCAUAUCUCGUAAUUGAUCGGAUCAUAUUGACGAAAGGAUUAUAGUUUCACAGUAAACGAACGAGUUUGGUUUUAUCAUACCACAUGACAUUUCUCGUCACAUGUAUUGCUCUUAUACAUUGCUAGAUGUCAAUCUGGGACGACGAGUGUGAAUUGACGAUAAAUUAAAAGGGUGUUUUAAUUUAUCAAUUUUGAUUAGAUCAAAACAAUAUUUCACGUCGUUAGGCAUCAUGAUCGGGAACCUGAUGGGUCACACACAAAAGAGAAUUGAAAUAUUGCAAUUUGUCAAUUAAUUAAUUUAACAAUCGUUGGAUAAAUUAAUUAAUUGAGUUGGUUAUUUAUAGGCUUGAAUUAAUUAAUUGGAUUAAUUAAUUUACGGACUGGAUUUAAUUAAAUGGAUUAAUUAAAUAUGGACCGGACCGGGCCAAACCCGUUUGGGCUUAUAUAAAUACAUGGCUAGGAUUUUCAAUCCAUAUGAUUUUUCUCAUAAUCAUUCUUGCUAGCACAAGAAGAGAAAACACUGAUAGCUGCAAUCUUAUUCUUUGUGUGGAUCACCGUUAGAGGUUGGAUAAUUGGACAGCUGUGGGUGACAAAUCAAGAUUGUUGGAACGAAAAGAAAAGCAAAAGAUUUGCAGAAUUCUUCAAAGGUACAUCUUUAUCACGAUUUCUAUCUAAACACAAAGAGAUCCUCGAUGGGAAUCGAAAUAAUUUUAAUUUUUCGCUGUGCACGUAUAAGUAGAUUCCCAAGAAAUUGAGAAGUUGAAUUUUGGAGCCAAAGGACCGUAAGUGUCAGUUGAGUAUAGCGAUUAUAGAAUAAAAACGCGAUUUUUCCAUUUUGUAUCACAAGCAACAUUCUAACAGUUAUCCUACAAGUUUUAGAAAGUAAUGUUAACAUGUUGUGGAAAUUAUAUACCAAGAACUUUGAAUCGUGCAAUUCUGGCUCAGUUUCACAAUACACCAAAUCAAACACAAACCAAUCAAAAGCUCAACCCAAAUUCAAACUUCCCAAUGUGGUUGCCAUCUUUUAAAUUUUUCCCACAAAGGACAAUAUGGUGGAUGUAACUAAUUCCACAAAGUAAGAGAUAAGGAAGGAAGGACUGGUUCAACACUCAUCAAGAACGAAGAAUGGCUGCCUUUCUUUUCUCACAAUACAAUUGCAACUCACAUGGUUCAUACAAAGGAGUUAACAUAUAUAUAGUUUAAGGUUUAAACACAUGGGCCAAGAAACAACAAAUUGGGCCAAGACUUAACAACACUUUAUUAUUUUCUUCAUUUAUUUGUCUUUGUUCUUGUCAUCGAAUUUUUAAGAAGGAAAGGGUUUCUUACAGAUUAGCAAGGUGUGCCAACAAGAAAGGUAAAGUGGGCUAAGCAUCUAAAUCCAAUUAAUGAAUGGAUGUUAAGUGUAUUUUAUACAUUUUUUGAGCCUUAAAUUAGUAAUAGUUCAUAGUUUUUUUGAUGAAAUAUAGCCUGAUUUAGUGUAUAAUUUUGUUUCAUAGAUGAAACUCGAUGAAUGAAAAUGAAAUUGUAAAAAAAGAAGAGAACAUUAGUGAGAAGGGAAAGAUCCAAAGUUCGAAGACUAAAUACUCAAAAAUUCUGUUAGACCUCAUGAUGAAGAUUCAAGAAUACUAACGGUCAAUUGAAUGAAGAAAGAAGUCAAAGUGAUGAAAUAUGAUCAAAUUAUUUUCACAAAUCAACUUUAAAUUACACAAGUAUGUUUUAGAUUUUUAGCCAGAGAUUGAGACACAAUUUUGACAUAGUAAAUUUUCAAUUGGAAAAAGGCUAUCUCUAAUAAAGGUGUAGCCAUUUGAAUUUUGUUCCAAUGCACUUAGAAUCGUCUUAAUCCAAUAUCGGAAGAUAACGUUAUAAUAAAAAUACCGAAUGAUGUGCAAAGUUGGAGCAAUAGAGGUGGCGCCGAGGGCCCACUCUCGGAAAAAAUAAUAGAUCCGUAGCGCAUGCACCGCCAAAUAGGGCUUCCAAGUGCAACUCACCUUUUAAAGGUCUAAUUCAACUAAAACUCUUCCAAGACUUAAAAGAAGACAUAAAUAUAACUCUAAAGAACACUUUUUCGGAGAAUUGGAUGAGGCAAGAGGCAAGAGAUCAAUCAAGAGGGUUAUACGCUUUGAGAAUUAAAGAGAGAAAAUGAGGAAGAAAACAAGAAAUCAAGAAUUAGCGUUUGGAAUCAAAAUUUUGGGAAAGAAGAGGAACUUGGCUCUAGAUUCAUCCAUCUCUCCACGCCUCAUUUUAAAACUCAAUGAUAUAUUCCAAUAUUAUUAUUUGUUUUUCUUCCUACAUUAUGAAUAGCUAAAUUUUUUUGAUAGGGCAAACAAUGAAAUUUAUUAAGAUCCUUUAAUUCAAGUUUCUAGAUCUUUAAAAGUUUAUGUGCUGAUUUUAUUCAUGGAGUUUAUUGCUUGAAUUCUUUAGCCAAUUAUUCAUUGAUCUUGUGAAUUUAUUAUGAGUCGAGAGGUGAGUUUCAAAUUUAGAUCACAUAAUAAAAUCCGAAAACUUGUAUAAAAGUGUAGAGACGGAUUUUCUAAUUAAUGCGGUUGUUACAUGAAUUCUUAGAAAUUAAAUGUGUAUAACUAAGGUAUAUCCUGAUUAACAUAGAAAUAUGGAAUUGACUUAGUUAAAUAUGAUCAAUUUUAACUCGAAAGAGAUUAGUUCAAUAUGUAUAGAAGAAUUCGACUGAUCAUUGCACUAUGUAAUGAAUCUUGAGUAAAGAAUUACAUGUAAUCAAUAAAAGAAAUUGUGAAAGCCUAAUAUCGCCUUCAUAUUUCAAAACCUAAUUUGAUUUUUGUGUGCAUUAAGAUACAUUCAAAUAGUAGUGUAAUUUAGAUCAACAAUCACAAAAUCAUAAAUUAUUUUUGUCAAGCAGAAGCUAUCAAUAAUAGACUAGGAAUAAAUAAUAGUCCUAGUAGGAACGGUUAUUCAAAUUCAAAGGUGCAUUAUAUUACUUGUUCAAUACCGUACACUUACGAUAUAAAAAAUGCAACAAGUUUUUGGAGCCGUUGUCAGAGACUAUUUACAUUUAAUCUAAAUUUAUUUUGUUUUAACUUUUAUUUGAUAAGAUAAAAAUGUAUUCACCGUAUGUUCCGUUCUCAAGGUGAUGAUCUUGAACCAUUUGAUCUGGAAAUAUAUGUACCUUUGACGAAAACUCAAAGAACACAAAUAAAAAAAAGAAACAUCAUAUGGCAGAAUAGCAAAAUAUUUUGAGACUACCAAUUGGACAAGGAUUUGCUAAAGUAGGGGCACCUCAAAAUCAGUGGCACGAACAAGUUGAGAUCAGUGAAGGAUUAGUGUAGAGAUGUGCUGCAGCUGUUGAUGGCAGUUGGGCAACUGAGAUUAGUGCCUAUAGGAGGCAGGAAUUAGAUGAUAUAGCUUGAAGCUCAAUUUUCCUUCACUUAUAUGACAAUGUGAUAAGAAAAAUUGGAGAAAUUACCACAGGUGAAACAUUAUGGGCAAAAUCAAAUAAGUGUUUUCUCUUGAAACAAUUCUAUAACUUUAGGUUUGAUUCCUUCUCUAGACUAGAAGAAAAUAUUGAUAAGUUCACAAAACUGAUUCAAGCCUUAGCUAACUGUGAUGAGAAAUUAUCUUAUUAUCAACAAGUGGUUGCCCUAUUAAAUUCCUUGGGUGACAAAUAACGGGAGAUUAGAAAAUGCCUUGGAGUAUGGCAGAGAGAUUCUCUCUAACAAUCUUUUUCCUUCAAGAUAAACAAUUUAACAAGUGUAGACUUUUUAAAUGCAAUAUAUAUAUAUAGAUAGGAUAUACAGGUUUCUUUGAUCCUCAAGUAAUUUAUUGAAUUCAUUUGGAUUAUAAAAUAAACUUUCAUAUGUAGACUGUACCAAAUGUACGGUUUCUUGAGCAAAGGCGUUUGGAAUAUUUUCUCCUUAUUGAGCACUAAUGCCCAUCGACCUUGACCUACCAAAUACCUGGCACCCAUUAUCUACCAAACAUCCUUCUCUGUUUCAUAUCCAUUUAUGGUAUUUUAGAUCUAUUCCAUUAAAAAAUAAGUGCUCCUUCACAAUCUUAACAUUUUUCCUCCAUAGUUAUCACAUUUUACACAUAGAAUUCGUAUCAAAUUGGGAUCAUUAGCAUUCUUUGCUGCAAACAUCAACAAAUUUUUUAUCCGUACAUUAUACGAAUACGACAUCAUAUCCAUUGACGUCCGUUGUUUGUCUAUAUUUGAUUACGAACUAAUAUCACUAGUAUAUAAAAAGGGGCAAUGUUUCACUACUGUAGAAAGAACGGUAGAUUUUUCCAUUUUGUCUCACUGUAGCUUUUUUUUUAGAGAAAGCAACGAUGUCGUUUAUCUUACGUGUUUGAUACAGUGAUUUUGUUGUUUUUCCUCAAUUUACGUGGUAUGGAGGAUUAUGUCAUAGAGCCCUAUUUACUCUUUCUCCAUUUUUACACGCUACAGUCAUGCCUCUUUAUUUCUCCACACUAAUUCAAGAGCAAAAGUGUGAAUUCCAUAAAUAUAUGAUUGAAAAUAUAUUUAAAGAAAAAUAAAUUUUAAAAAAUGAAGACCAAACAUGUUAACAAAUGAAUAUAUUUAGUUUUUGAAAAAUAAAUUUUUAUUACCAUUUCAUUUUUAUCGUGAAAUGAUUCUAAUUUUAAUAUGUUAGAUUGUGCUUCAAAAUUACAUAAUUUAUCAAAUAUAAUUUUUAAAAUUAAUUUUUAUAAAGUAAUAUAUUUUUAUGAUUUUUUUUUUUUAGUAAAGUAAAUUUUUUAUUAAAGUAAACGGAGUCUCGUGUUGAGACUUCCAGAAUUACGGAGGCUCAAGCAUGAGCCUCCGUAAUUGAUAGCCAAUGAAAAAACAGAAAGUAAAAAAAAACACGUUGAGACCUUCAUAAUUACGGAGGCUCAAGCGGUUAAACGGAGGCUCGUGUUGAGGCUUCUAGAAUUCUGGAGGCCAUGAGGCCUCCAUAAUUAACAUGGAGGCUUCCAUAAUAUUUUAUUUUUAAAAUUAAUAAAAAUUUAAUUAUUUUAUAUUUUUUAGUACUAUUAUAUUUCACCUUCCAAAAAAAAAAUCAUAAAAAUAUAUUACUUUAUAAAAAUUAAUUUUAAAAAUUAUAUUUGAUAGAUUAUGUAAUUUUGAAGCACAAUCUAAUAUAUUAAGAUUAGAAUCAUUUCAUGAUAAAAAUGAAAUGGUAAUAAAAACUUAUUUCUCGAAAAAUAAAUAUAUUUAUUUGUUAACGUGUUUGGUCUUCAUUUUUUAAAAUUUAUUUUUCUUCAAACAUAUUUUCAAUCAUAUAUUUAUGGAAUUCACACUUUUGCUCUUGAAUUAACCCCCUCAAUAAAUUAUUAUUUAAACNNNNNNNNNNNNNNNNNNNNNNNNNNNNNNNNNNNNNNNNNNNNNNNNNNNNNNNNNNNNNNNNNNNNNNNNNNNNNNNNNNNNNNNNNNNNNNNNNNNNNNNNNNNNNNNNNNNNNNNNNNNNNNNNNNNNNNNNNNNNNNNNNNNNNNNNNNNNNNNNNNNNNNNNNNNNNNNNNNNNNNNNNNNNNNNNNNNNNNNNNNNNNNNNNNNNNNNNNNNNNNNNNNNNNNNNNNNNNNNNNNNNNNNNNNNNNNNNNNNNNNNNNNNNNNNNNNNNNNNNNNNNNNNNNNNNNNNNNNNNNNNNNNNNNNNNNNNNNNNNNNNNNNNNNNNNNNNNNNNNNNNNCAUUUUUCGAAAAAUAAAUAUAUUCAUCUGUUAAUAAAUAAAAAUAUUAUUUUUAUAUAUGUACGUAAAAGGUAUAUAGUAACCAUUUGGAUGACCAAAAAAUAAUAUCAAUCAAAAUGUUUACGAACCGUUUAAAUAAUAAUUAAUUGAGGGGGUUAAUUCUAGAGCAAAAGUGUGAAUUCCAUAAAUAUAUGUAAAAAAAAUUCGUUUAAAGUUAUUUAAAAGUAAAAAAAAAAAACACUUAUAAUUGUAAAAAUUACUUGUAACUUAACAAUAUAUUAACUUAAAAAUUUGGAGUAAAUAUUUAGAUAUAUUUAAUUUUUAAAAUUAAAUAUUAACUUAUAUGUUAAAUAGAUGAUCUAUAAAUAAAAUAUUAUUUAAAUAAAAAAAUAUCAAAGGAAUCUCUCCAUAUUUAUUAUGGAGACUUGAUCUCACCAUGAGAUCAAGCCUCCGUAUUACGGAGAGAUCAAGCCUCCGUAUUACGAAGGGUUGAGACUUCCAAGCAUGAAGAUUAAUUUUUUCUUUGAAUUUGUUUCUUAGUAAUAUUUUUAUUUGUUGAUAUUUUUUGUUAUCACUAUUUUAUUUCCAACAAUCACUUUUAUGUAAGAAAUUAUUAACAAAUAAAAAUACCGACAAAAAAUAUUUGUAAAAUGUAAGAAGUUACUUAUGAGUAAAAAAUCUACAAUUUUGACGCUAAUAAAAAUAAAAUAAAUACAAAACUCGUGCGACGCACAUGUCAAAGACUAGUAUUAACAAAAAAAUAAAUGUCACAUUGAUUUCUACUAAUAGCAUAACAUGUAUUAAGUUAUGGACUGCACAUUUUAAGAACAUGAACUAUUUGGAAAUGCUGGAGCCAUUGGAAGAUAACCUUGUAAGAUGACAAUGCAUGAGAGUCGAGGCAAACCCAUGGUAAACCCAACCAACAAACUCAAGCAGACCCACGGCAAAUUAGCCAUGAGCACAGCAACUCCAGAACCACAGAAGAUAAACCCACCGUAAACGCCAGCAAACUCCAUGGGAAGACGAAUCUUGUAAGAUGGCGCGGCAGUAGAAUCUAAGCAAACACACUCAACUGCAAGCCUACAAAAAAACCCACGAGUGGACCAACGUAGAAAUUUAAGUUUACUGGAUUUAGUGCAAACCCAAAUGAAAGAGGAUGAAGGAUGAAAGAAUGAAAAAAAAAACGUAGAUAGAAGGGUUUCUUUGUCUUCAAAUUUUGGUGGGAAUCAUUAAAAAAUUGAGAGGAAAUAGAUGAAUUGUGAGACAGAUACAUGAAAUAAGGAGAGCAUGUUUGACAAUAGCUUUAAUUUUUUUUCCACAAUGGUAUAACAAAAACCGUGGUCCAUGUCACGGCUAGGCUUUAAUAAAAAUCGUUGUCUAUGAUGGAAUAGCUAUCCACCUUUUACAAAGGUUAUUAAAAUAACUGCUAUGUAUUAGUUUCUAAAAUGCAGAAGUUACACCGAAAACAGUAGUAUUUAAGCUCCUAUUUGACAUCUAUUGAAUCAAAAUUCUUUUUUUUUUUCUUUACACUUAUUUUCAACCACAUAUUUAUAUAAUAAAAGAUUUUGCACGUAAACUUAAAACUUUUUCUAUUCUUUAACCACACAUUCUUGAAAAAAGACUAUUCCAAAACUUAUUUUCCCAAAAAAAAAAUAAAAUUAAUUAAAAGAAUUGGCAGCUUGACACAAGAACUGCCAUUGAAACUGCAUUUUCCAGGAAAGAAUAUAUUCAAAUAAAAUGACAUGAUUCCAGUUUCAAUAUAUGAGGCCCCAAUUCGUUGCUACCAAAUGAAGUGAUGUUGACAUAGUUAGGUAGUAGAAUGAAUCCAUGGUGGCAACUUGUUCAUAGAUAGAAUCUCGGCAACGUGGACCUGGGAAAUGUCAGCAAGUCAUUAUGAGGUGAGUUCGUGAUGUGAGAUUAAUAAUCACUACUAAAAAACAUAGUUUCAGGCACGAAUCUUCUGUUCUUGGAACCUCGAUAUCCGUUGCUAUUAUUCUUUAACAAUGAAAUAUUUGCAGCCGCAAAUUCAUUCCUAAUUUGAGAGUCGCUAAUAGUUACCAAUGGAUCCUACCGUAAGUAAAGAGUAAAAUUUUACCAAUGAAUUUUUCGUUGGUAAAGUGUGAAUCUUUUACGAACGAAAUUUCUGUUGGUAAAAAUCUUAACCAAUAGCACCGACUUUCUGUUUGUAAAUGUCUACCAUUAUAAUUGGUAAAAAUCAAUGUUGUAAAUAGCCGCAUAGCUGCGAGGCAUGAUAAGAAAAAUAAAAAUAAAUUAUUAUUAUUAUUAUUAUUAUUAUUAUUAUUAUUAUUAUUAUUAUUAUUAUUUAUUUAAUAAUUCUAAUUUUUUUAACCUUUAGACAACCGAUUUUAAAGGGCAAAAUAUUGUUUAACCACUUAUUGGACUACAAAUUAAUUUAUAGAGGCAACUCCGAAGACCUUUUUGUGAACUUUCGAUGUGGGAUAAGUGAAUUACUUUUACCAAUGGAUAAUCCGUUUCUAAUUACUAACGAAAUAUCCGUAGGUGAAAGGUCCAAAUGUUAAACGAUUACAUGAGAUACACAAUAUCCGUUGGUAAAGAGAUAUCAUCAUUCCCAAUCGUAGUUGAAUGUGAAUAACUUUUACCAACAGAUAAUUCGUUUUUAAUUACCAACCGAUUGCAUCCGUUAGUUAUAUUCGGUACAUCACCUAUGGAUAUUCCGUAGGUGAAAUAUCCAAAUGUUAAAUAGUUAUAUGAAGCACAGAAUAUUCGUUAGUAAAGAGAUAUCAUUGUUACCAACGAAAAAUUCGCUGUUAAUUAUCGUAGGUAAAAGUGAAUAACUUUUACCAAUGGAUAAUUUGUUUCUAAUUACUAACGGAUGCAAUCUGUUAGUAAUUUUCUGUAGGUGAAAAGCUAAUUUUUAGUAGUCUAAUAGAUUCUAGAAAACUGUUUUGCAUUAGAGAAGAUGAGAUUGGUAGAUAGCAAAAUUGAAUCUGUUACCUGAUGGAAUCUUUUUAGAUAAGGCUGCCGCUGGUUAAUGGAGGGAAUGCCCAUCAAUUAGAACCUCAGGAAUGUAGAUAAUCUUGGUCCAGUAAUGACCUUUGUACUUCAAACAGUAUUUAAGUGAGCAGUCAUCGAUCCAAAGGCUCCAAAGGUUGUCGACCUGGUUGUCCAUAGGCAAUGCCCCGAGAUUUGGGCAUUUUGAGAUGGAUAAAUGUCGAAGAGAUGUGAGGUUUUGGAAUCCCUUCGAUAAGAUUUCCAGUCUCGGAAGGUCACUCAAUCACAAUUGAGUUAGAGAUGGAGGAAAAAAAUUGUGUUCCUCAUCAUUCUUUGAGAAGGAAACCAGUUCUGGAUAUCCCCCACUGACCACAAAUUCAUAUAGUGAGGUGAGUUUGUGUAAGUCCCACCCUGCCGGAGGCUUAAGUUUCCUGCAGUUGAUGAUUGCAAAGGAGGUCAGAUUGGAGGGAAUGUUCCCGUGUGGAAAGGGCUCUACUAAUGAAGUAAAAUUCUCCACCAACAGGGAUUUAAGAGAUGAUAGUAAUUCCAUCUGGUACGGUAAGGCCAUUGGACGUUGGCAAUCAGUUACAUGAAGAUGUCUCAAAAUUUGAUGUUGGCAAGCCUCCGAGGGGAAAUGCUUCCAGAUCAUCACACGAAUAUAUAUGGAGGAAAAUAAAACUUGAGUAAUUAUGACUAGACCCCAGUAAAUUUGUCAUAUUUAAGUUCCCCAAAUUGAUAAUAAUAGAUCCAAGAGGAGUUCUGCAUUCCUCUAACUCUACCAUCUUCAACAACCAGCAAGGAUAGCCAAUAUUGUUAGAGGAGAUAUACUCUUGGGCAAUAACUAUACAGCUGCACAAGAAUCAAUACUAAGGGAUGUAACAAUAGGAAGAGCACCAAUUUCUUGGAAGGACAAGAGCUGAGGGCACCUUUUUACAACUACUUUCCGUAGGUUGUCUAGUCGUCGUGAAAUAUUAUCGUUUGGCCACAAGAGUCGCAAGGUCCUCACAGUGAUCAAUUUCUAAAUUUUCAAGUUUAACUGCUCAAAUGCUUUCAAGACUGAAGUUAACCCAAAAAUGUUCUCCAAGGUUAGGGAGGUCAAAUUGUGCAUGCAAUUUAGCACCACCUCAUUACACUUCUACUUUUACUCCGAAAGUAGAUGGAACCAAAAGAAUUGGAAGCUUGACCAGUCUAGGACAUCUUCUUAUGAACAAUUCACACAACUUUGGAAAUUCAACUACCGCUUCAUCUUCAAGUGAUAAUCCAUGCCACUCCUCCCAUUCUGGCAUGUCUUCAAAAUGCAGAGUUUUCUAGUGAUUGAAAUGAUAAUUUUUCACUGCAUAAAAUUCAACUCCAACCACUUUUACUCGAUUCAUGCCUUGAAUGCUCAAUUCUCUUAACAAGGGUAGAUGCCCUAAUGUGGCAAACUCAUGCAGUUUUUACAAGAGCUGAUUCUUACUUUUGCUAACUUGGAGAAUGACAAAUCUCCAUUCCAACUCUAUAACUUUGCACCACCAUAAAAACCAAUUUCAAGACUUGAUAAAUUCUCUUGGGGUUUUAGAGAGUUAGGCACUUCUGCUUCCAGCAUUUCAUUUCGAGAAUUAUCGAAGUUGUUGCUCCAUGCCAACCUUAUUUUGUUAAGACUUGGUUUAUGCAUUAGUCUCGCAUCUAUCACUUCUUGAACAUUCACAACAUUUUGCAAUUCCAUUAUAUAAAUUUCUCCUUGUAGAAGUGAGAGUUUCCCCAAAUCUUUUAAUUUCAACCCACUACUUUUACUGACAAUCAGCUUGGAUAAUGUCUGUAGACUUGAUAGGAUUGAUAAGAUUUUUCCAUCCCUGGCGGUAAUCUGAUUAGUCCAUAACAGUUCCUUAGGAUCAACACUUGUAAGUUGACAAGAGUGAUCAGGGACUCAGGCAACCGUUUGAGCGAAGUCCUAGUUAAGUUAAGCUAUCGUAAAUGUCUGAGGUUGCUAAUAGCACUUGGAAGCUCAUAUAUUGAAUCAUAACCACUUAAUGAUAGCACUCUUAAGCAGCACAACUUUGGUAAUAGGUCGAGCAAAACUCUUUGGGACAUGAAAUUUUGACCAAAGUACUUGUUCAUGGGUAGUGGCAAAAAAGUUCUUAAACUUCAAAAUUUGUUGACCAGGUAAAAUUUUUGGUGGGACCCAAAGAAAUGGCGAAUGAACGACAAGCGACGGACCUUUGCAGAAAUAUUAUUUUGAAGAUUUUCCUUCAGCUUAUUAUCCAACAUCAAACAUUUAUCUCCAGCGAUGCUAUUAGCUAAAUCAUAAGGAAGUCAUGCAACACAAAACAUGAAGAAUUGAAACUUGAUUGUUGGAAGAAUGAUCUCGCUAAUAGUUCAUCAAAACAACCACUUCCUGAUUCCUAAAUUAACCUCUCUUGGUGUGAAUGAUGCAGAAAACCUUCAGCCAUCCAUAGAUACAACAGCUUGGACUUGUUGAAUUCAUAGUCCAUGGGAAAGAUAGCACAAUAAGCAAAACAUCAUUUCAGUUAUGGAGGAAGAUAUUGGUAACUGAGUUUUAAAGAAGGAAGGAUUUCAUUAUUUUCUCCAUUUAUCCAAAUAUCAUUAUUCAAUACAUCUUCCAAGUCUUUAGGAUUAACUUUUGUCCGAAGGAUUCCUCCAACAGCCUUUACUGCUAGUGGCAAGUUUUUACAUCUUUUCACCAAGUAUUCACCUAUCUCAUAUAGAAAUUGUUGUACAUCAAAAUUCUUUGUUCCUAAUGCAUGAUGAGCUAACAAUGAUAAAGCAUUAUCGUCUGAUAACACAGUCACAUGAUGAACUGAAAUUAAUGACAAGAUUUUGGCCACCCUUUGAUGUCGACUAGUAACAAUGAUUUUGCUUCUAGGUUUGCCAUAAAGGAAAGGACGUCGUAGAAUGUCCCAAUCUCCAAAAUUUUCAUUCCAGACAUCAUCUAAAACUAUUAGAAAUCCCUUGUUUAAAAGAUUUUCCUUUAGUUUGACCUGAAGCAUGUUAAAAUCUUCAUAGUCACACCUUCCACCUGAAACUGCCUCAAGAAUGAUUUUUGUUACCCUACAAGCAUCGAAUUCAUCAGAAAUACAAGCCUAUGCCUUCAGAUCAAACUCCUCAUUUACUCUUUCAUCUUUGUAUACUAACUGGACUAGUGUUGUUUUCCCCACGCCUCCUAUGCCCACAACGGGAAUCACAGAUAUUGGACUCUCACUUGAUUCAGCCCCCAACAUCUCAAUUAUUUUUUCUCUGUCCUCUUCUCUUCCAUGUACAUCAGAUUCAACCACAAGUGAUGUCACAUACUAAUCUUCUUGACUAGAAUUUCAAAUUGGUCAUUAGUAUCUUGUAGUUUGGAAGCAAUCCCACAGUCAAACAAAAAAUCGCUAAAAGAGAAAUCAGUACAGCAUGUGAGGAGAAGCUUCUGUACCUUACUGUUUCUGCUUUCAGUUCCAACUAAUCUUCGCUGCAAAGCUUCAGUGUUCAACUCAUCCACCAAGUCAUCAAGAUCAUAAGCCAAAUUCUCUGAUUCAUUCAGCCAUUCUUUCACAGUUUCAUUUGCUGUUUGCUUGUUUUUGGCAUCACUAAGUAUAGAUGUGAUCAUCAACAAUGUUGUAAGCCCCUCUUUCAUGUGGGCAUCAAUUCCUACGCGACAUAGAAAUUUUAGAAGCUCACCAGAAGCUGGCUUAUCAAGCAAAACUGUGACAAAUGGACCAAGAAAGACUUUGACCAGAACAAUUUUUAUAUUUUUUUCUAAGAAAGGAUUAGAGAGGUGAAAGCAAGAGAGGUCUUCUUAAUCACUUGAGUAGAAAGUUAUUGCCACUGCUCUGGCUAUCAUUAUACAACUUGAUAAAAUUAAUUAAAGCAUAUUGAUGAUAGGUGGAGCCAAUUCAAAUGCAUGAUCAUGGAUGGAAGAAGUCAUAACUAAAGUUUGGACAAAUAUAGCUUAAUUUUCUUUAAUAUACCCAAAGAAUAUAAUAUUCUUCGGUCAGCUUAGGUAACGUUGCUGGAUUAGUUGGCAAUAGUUUUAUUUAUCUAUCUAUUUUCUCUGUUAACAUCACUUUUUUUUCAUGUUUUUAUACUCCAACAAAAUGGUUGACACCUUAAAAAUAAUAAUGUUAAGCACUGGUGUCAACAUAUUUAUAAGAAACUGAUGCCGAAAUUUGAGAUAUUGAGAGUCUAUAUGAACAUUAAUUUAUCAUUAUUACAAAUUGUUAUAUUAAGACACUGCAACACUGAAUCAGCAGUUCUUGGAUAAUAUAGCAGUCAAUGUAUUCUACAAUAUUUCUUGAGGAGGAAUCUAUCCAGGACGGAAGACAAUUAAAAUAUGCCUCUUUUUUCUAAAAUUAUAUGAACGAGUGCCUCUUUUUGUCUACAUCGAAUGUAUCAUUUGUUGAGGAUACUUUGGCCCAAUCUAAGGCAUAAUUCCUGUAACAGAUUUGACCCCACUAUUCUAGCCUAAUUAUAUUUUAAUCUAGCUCAAUUAUGGGAUAUUCUUUCCAUCAAUUUCAUUGUAAUUAAGCUUUAAAUAUUCUUGAUUGAUUUGAAAGCACCUUGUAAAUCUAUAUAAAUAGACAUACUCAUCAUCACUAAGAGCAAUGUGGUGAUUUAUUCUUCAAAGAUUUUCAUGGUAUCGGAGCCAUUCUUGGAUUAACAUCCAUUGAUCCUUCAAUCUCAUCAUGGCUCUAGAAUCCACACUCCUCUUUCAACACCAUGAUCCACAUGGUAACAAUUAAACUUUCCUCCUCAAACUACCUCCUGUGGAAAAGCCAACUGCUCCCUCUUCUUGAGAGUCAAGCACUACUCGGUCAUGUAGAUGGAACCCUUGACCCUCCACCAAGAUUUGACCCACCCACCUCCCAAACACCGAACACCAAAUACUUAGAUUGGAAAACAACAAAUCAGAAGCUUCUCAGCCUUCUUCUCUCCUCCCUCACCAAGGAGGCCAUGGCUGAGGUCAUCAACCUCUCCACCUCACGCGAGUCUGGGUUGCCUUGGAAAACACCUUCAGCCACCACUCCAAAGCUCGCGAGAUUUGCCUCAAAGAUGAUCUCCAAUUGAUGAGGUACUCGUGCCUUUAAGGCACUUUGCGACCAGCUACAUGCCGUUGGACAACCAGUUGAUGAGACGGACAAAGUCCAUUGGUUUCUUAGAAUUCUUGGUGCUGAUCUCUUGUCAUUCUCAAUUGCAUAGAUGGCAGUCACUCCUCUCCCCUACUUCAGUGACCCCGUGUCCAAAGCUGAAAGCUUUGAAUUGUUCCAAAAAUCUCUUGAAUCUACAAGUCUACCUACAGCAGCGUUCACUGCCACGAAUUGCAUUGUUAAUCGUGUGAGGGCCACCUCUCACGCACCAAUCCCGGAUGCAACAACAAUCAAGCCUACUCUAAUUGUGGCAAUGGAUGAAACUUCUCUGGCCAAUAACGUCACCCCUCCCUCGCGAUAUCAGGUUUGUCGGACCAAAGGACACUAUGCUGACCGUUGUGACCAGAGUUAUUCUCGACUAGAAAACUCUGCUCAUCUCGUCAAGGCAUUCAAUAAAUCAUGCUCUAUAUCUGAAAAUGAGGCCUCAGAUUGGUAUUUGGACACUGGGGCUUGGGCCCACAUGAGCACCAAUCCAUCUAUUUUGGAUCGCUCAAGUAAUUACAUUGGUAAGGAUUGUGUAAUUGUAGGAAAUGGUGCUUCCCUACCUAUAAGACACACUGGUACUGUCUCUCCCAAUCAAAAUUUUCAUUUACUUGAUGUUUUAGUUGUCCCUCAUUUAACUAAAAAUCUUGUAUCCAUUAGUAAAUUAACUUCUGAUUUUCCUUUGUCUGUCACUUUCACUAAUAAUUCUUUUACUAUUCAGAAUUGUCAUACGGGAGAGGUGGUGGCAACCGGUAAACGAGAUGGUGGAUUAUAUGUGCUGGAGCGUGGAAACCCCACCUUUAUUUUUGUUCUUAGUCAUAGCAUGCCUUGUAUGAUUUAUGGCAUGCUCGCCUUGGACAUGUGAAUCAUUCCAUUAUUUCUCUUUUAAAUAAAAAAGGUCAUCUUUAAUUUACAUCUUUAUUGCCUUCUCCAACACUUUGUAGCACAUGUCAGAUUGCAAAAAAAUCAUCGUUUGCCUUAUUCGCAUAAUGAAUAAUGAUCAUCUAAUGUGUUAGAUUUAAUUCAUUAUCACAUAUGGGGCCCAUCCCCCGUUAAAUCCACUUCAGAUUUUGUAUACUAUGUUGUCUUUGCCGGUGAUUUUUCUCGUUUCACUUGGCUAUACCCUUUGCUUUCAAAAUCUAAUUUUUACAAUAUUUUUCUUCAAUUUCAGAAAUUUGUUGGAAAAUCAGCAUUCUGCAAGCAUAAAACUUUUCAAAGUGAUGGUGGCGGAGAAUUUACUAGCAAUCAUCUCCGGCCAUACCUUCAUAACUCAGGCAUCCAUCAUCAACUAUCUUGCUCAUACACACCUACUCAAAUGGUCGUGCCAAAAGGAAACAUCGUCAUGUGACUAAGAGUGGCCUUGCUUUCCUUUUUCACUCUCAUCUUUCUCCACGCUUUUGGGUUGACGCCUUCAGCACUGCAGUCUUCAUCAUCAGUCGCUUGCCCACACCACUUCUUGGAAGUAAGUCCCCUUUUGAGCUUCUUAAUGGUUUACCUCCAAAUAAUGAAAAUUUUCAUCCCUUUGGUUGUCGUGUUUAUCCUUGUUUGCGAGAUUUCAUGUCUGACAAAUUUUUCCCUCAUAGCAUCCCAUGCAUUUUUUGGGAUAUAGUCCAGCCUGUAAAGGGUUUCGUUGCCUUGAUUCCACAACCUCUAGACUAUACAUCACUCAGACAUGCACAGUUUGAUGAACAUCACUUUCCUUCUUUAGAAACCUCUCAUGCUCAACCUAUUUCAUCUCUCCAAUUUUCCAAUUUUUGGGAGCCCAGCUCAUCCCAUGCAAAACCAUCUCCCCCUGAGCAUCGUUCUCCUUCCAUUACUACAUCCAGACCUGACCUGUGUAUUAUUUGUACUGAUCUAGUCGAUGAGUCUGUGCGGGUUACUGACUCUAAUGCAAGUUCUACUUUAGUUCUUGAUUGAUUUGUAAGCACCUUUUACAUCUAUAUAAAUAGACAUAAUCACUAUUACUAAGAGCAAUGUGGUGAUUUAUUCUUCAAAGAUUUUCAUGGUAUUAGAGCCAUUCUCGGAUUAACAUCCAUUAUCCUUAAAUCUCAUCACGGCUGUCGAAUCCACACUCUUCUCUUUCAACACCAUAAUCCACAUGGUAACAGUUAAACUCUCCUCCUCAAACUACCUCCUGUGGGAAAGGCAACUGCUCUCUCUUCUUGAGAGUCAAGCACUACUCGGUCAUGUAGAUGGAACCCUUGAGCCUCCACCAAGAUUUGACCCACCCACUUUCCAAACACGAACACAAAUACUUAUAGUCACACGACAUGUUGAGUGUGUGAACUAUUCAAUGAUAUGAACUCGAUUUUCGAUAAAAAUAUAAAAUUAAAAAAGUAUAACUAUUUUCGAACUUUUCCACUUACUGAGCUAUCAACUCAUAUAUUUUUCCGUAACUUUCCUAUAGGUGGCAAUUGGUUCUUUUUAGUUGGAAGAGCCUAAUGAUUUUGGAAUGAGAGCCACACGACAUAUUAAGUGUUAUAACUCAUAUUGAUGAAGCACAAAGUAAAUAAUUUUGACCCAUUGCAUUAUGUUUUACACAUGCAUUUGAUUUUGGUGCAUUUCGAAGAAACUCAUAGUCAACCUUAGUGAGAGAUUUGACAUCUAGUCGGCAUCUAUCAUCGGCGCAUGUCACGUUUCAGCUCCACUUGGAUGAUUCAGGAUGGGUCGUAUCAUUUGCUCUUCUUGUCUUCUCUUUGCCUUUGUGGCUUGCAAAAUAGCACCAUAUUAUUGUCCCUUUGUGGGUGAGAAAAGGGAAUGCAACCAUAAGUGGAUUGUAGUUGUGGGUUUGAAGUUUUCAAUUGGAUGGUUGAUAUAUUGAUUGGUAAGUUUAAUUUAAGCCUAGAAUCCAUCGAUUGAAGAUCGAAAUGUCAGCAAUGAUGGGCCAUCAGCCUCCUUUGUACUUCAAACACUGUUUCAUAAUAAUUGUGUAGUCUUUGAUACCAAGUCGUUCAACACUAUCAAUCUGGUCAUUCAGAGGAAAGGCUGCAAGAUUUGGGCAGUUUUGGAUAUGUAAAAGAUGAAGAGAGGUGUAAAAGGAUUCAUUAGAAUGGGAAAAUUGUGUUGUAUUGAAUUAAGGGACGUUAUGUAUAAAAUAGUUACAGUAAAGUAAGCAUUGAUACUUGUUCACGAAAUUAUUCUUUCGAUUUAUAUACGUAAGUGUACGGUUCGUGACAAGUAAUACAAUGGAAAAUUGAGUUCGAAUAUCGUCCUACAGAGAUUGAUUUAGUUCAAUGUUAUUUAUUCUAGACUUAACUGAAACUAAAUUUUGACAAGUGAUUUUAUAACCUAAUUACUCUCUGACCUAAGCUAAUUAUGCAGGCAAUGAACAAAAUGCAGAUUGAUGUUUGAAUGAACUAAAAUGCUAUUAAAUGUUGAGAAAUCAAUUUAAUGUAUUAAGAGAUUGUAUAGCGCACCAAGAUCACGAAUUCUAAAGUAAUGUUCAAUUAAACCCUAAUUUCACAAAUUGACAACAAGAUGAAAUUUUGAAGAAUCAAUGCUUCUAAAUCUAUCCAACACUGUCUCUCGCGUAAUGUUAAACCUACUCCCAUAUACCACCGGCCUAUAUCUCUAUGACGAGUGCAAAAAUACAAGAAUGUGUGCAGUUUUGUAAGCUCUUAAAGAUUCACGCAGCAUAACGGUAUAUCUCUAACGGGAAAAUUUCAUAGUGAAGUACAUAAAAAUAGUAUUUGACAAGGACUAGACAGUAAAGACAUAUCUAAAUACAUUUAAUCAGUGCAACUGGUAGAAAAAAAUAACGUUCAAACUUUAUUUAAGGUGCGAUCUACACAUAUUCAUGUGCAAACAAACAUGUAUGAGAAUUCGGUUAUAAAUAAAUGUCUAUUGCAAUAAACUUAAAAGAAAUAAAAUUACGUGCUAAAUUUCUAGAUUUUUGUCCAGCAAGACGGGGCACAACCACUUAAUCGAAUCACCACGUUUCGACACGACCCGAUCUAACCUUUGAGUUGUAGGGAAAAGGGUGAGUACAUGGGAUACUCAGUAGGAUAUAAAAAUUUAUGGUGCGAUCCCAUAUAAUAAUUUUAAAACAUGUAUCAGAAUAUCAUAUCGUCUCAUAUCUUUAAAUUCGGCAAGAACUCAUAUCAUAUUGUUGUACCGGAGUGGCCAUAUUAUUCACAUCAUAGCAUAUCAUAUUAUAACUUUAACUUUCAUGAGUAUAAAAGUCAUCAGCAUGAAAAAAUAUUUAAACGGGAAUAAAAAAAAUACUGCACCUUAAUAUCCUACCUUAUUAGAUCGUUUUAAUUUUUGGAUGACAAAACCAAAGAAAUCACGCUCCAAAAAUCCUUCUCGCUGCUUCAAGAAUUUAUAUUGUUUGAAAUUGACUUUCUAUUUUAAAUUCCAAUACCACAGGUAUAAGUAUCUAUAAUUUUUUUUUAAGGUAUAAAGUAAUAUUCCUUUUACACUGCAUAAAUAUGGAGUCUGUAAUUUACCUGAUUUCAACACUAUUCUUUCUCUACAACCGUGUGCUUAUACAUAUGUCUUCUUUUGAUAAUCUAUAAAUAUAUCCCACAUGAUCUAGUCUAACAAAGUGGGUGUGUAGUUGGGGAUAUGUGUAGUAGUAGGAUAGGAGUAUGGAUAAAUUUUGGAAACGAAAUUUUUGAAAUAAAAUAAUUGACCAAAUCUUGUCAACCAACUUUAUCACUCAACAAGCAAUACCUCUCCCACACGUGGCCAACAAAUUGAAACAAGAAUAAAUAAAGUUUCUUUCUCUCUCUUCUUUUCUUUCUCUCUCUCACUUGGUCCUAUCUCCCUCUCUUCUUUUAUAUAUUAUUAUUAUUAUUAUUAUUAUUAUUAUUAUUAUAUCUUUAUUUGGAUAAAAAAAAUAUUCAAUCAUAAUCUACCAAGAAUCUUCUCUAUUCAUGUGACUUGAGCAAGGGAGACUUAAAUUCAUUAAAUAAUAAAUUUAAAUAUAAUUUUAAAGCUAUAUCUUUCAACCUUGAUAACUUGGGUUCCACUUAUCCAAAUUAACUUUUUCUCGAGUCUAACAUGCUUGAUUAAUUAUGACUUAUCCAACGAGCCCAAUGUUUAUAUACUUAUUAUCGCUUCGUCAUUAUCUACAUUUAAGCCAAAUAAAAUCGAAAUUUACUUUAUAUAUACUUUAGUCCCUAAACUUUCAAAACAUUAAAAUAUAGUGUACAAAAAAAUUAAAUUCCUUUCAAUGAAAUUUCGGGACAUUACAUUGGAACAUUCCUACCGAUCGUUUUGGCGUACAUUUCAUAUGGUUAAGGGAGAUCGUAUAUGGUUAAGAGUGCACCUAAUUUUUUCCAACUGGAUUUUUAUGAAUUUUAUCCCAUCUUCACAAUUAAAUUAAAAAUGUGAUAAACGCAGCAGAUAUAAAGUAAAAUACCACCAAAAUUGGGAUGAAGUGUCGAGCUAAUUUAUAAAUUACUACUAUAUUGAUUGUUGCAAUAUCAAAUGUAAAAGUGCAGAUUUUAUUUUCAAAAUUAAAUUCUUGGAUAAUGCUCAUUAAAGUAUUACAAAAUUUAGAUGAUCAUGAGAAAAUUUAGUUAUUUUAAAAGCAAUAUAUUUUUUAUGUAGUAUCCACUAUUUAUCUAUUUAGCGUGUAGUAGCAGCUAUGUAAUCUUUAUGAUUAUCAUUGGACCACAUGUUAUAUGUAAAUGAUAAAAGACGUAAAUGAUUAAACACCAGUAUCUUUACUUAAAUCACUUAUUAUUCAAUCUUUCUUUUUAUUUUAUAAAUUAAUUGCAUCCAAAUGAAGAGUGUUUCUGUAGUAGGAUUUUACCUAGUUGGAGAUAUAAGUGAACACUUUUCACUAUACUAAGCUAUUCACCACUAGCUAAGAAUAAUGUCAAACAUUCGUUCAUUGCCUCUUGUAAAUUGACAUUAUCCAUCCCAAAUCAGUCUAAUGGACUAGGAAUGUGAUGUGUGCCGAUGAUAGACGUUGACUAGAGGCUAGAUCCACCACCAAGGUUGACUAUGACUUGCUACAAAAUGUGCGCCAAAAUCAAAUAUUUAUGCAAAAUAUAAUGCAAUGGGUCCGAAAAAAAUAAUUACUUCAUGUUUUAUCAAAAUGAAUCGUAUAACUCAAUAUGUCAUCUGGCUCUAAUUCUAAUGCCACCAGCGUCCUCAAGCUAACAAGGACAAUACCACUUGUAAGAAAAAUUUGGAAAAAUAGGAAUUUAUAACUCAGUGAAUGGAAGAGUUCGAAAAUAAUUAUACUUUCUCACUUAAACAUUUUUCUCAUAUGUAGACAUCAAGUUCAUAUCGUUUAGUAAUUCACACGAUAACCUCAUACAAUUAUAGCAAAAAAUGAGACAUUCUCAUAACUCUAUAAAUAUCAUCUCAUCACAUCACAUAUGAUCCACUAAAAAUGUACUCUCUAACUAAAAUCUAAAAUACGCCCCGAGAUCUCAUCACAUUACAUGUGAUCCGCAAAAAAUGUACCCUCUAAAUAAUUCGAAAUCCACCACUCGGGCUAAGAACUUUCACCAUGGGCCUUUCGCCCUCUCCGUGAACGAAAGUUGGUCUCAAGACCUCUGGUAGUCAUUUCUAGAAAACGGGCAAGGCCUCUCUGUGAACUAGAAGAAGUAUAUAAUCACUGGUACUUUUCUGGUCAAUCUCAAUAUUACAUCUCAUAUUCCAAAUCACAAACUUUACCAUAUACAAUCUUUGAAAUUCCACAUGUAUCAUAGUAAAAGAAACUUUUAUGGUAAUCAUAUAAUUGAGCAAAUAAUUCACAUAACUUAAUAAUAUACUUAAUUUAUAAUACUUUGAAAUUAUUUAAGUUUUUCCACUCACAGAUCUAUGGAUAGAAAUUUGAUUAAAUUAAAGAGCCUUUCUAAACUUUCACGUCCCUACCUGAAAUAACGUAUAAUUUCACGAAUUAAAACUUAACAAUUAUAUUAAUGCAAAUCCACCGCUUAACAUCUCAACUUCUAUACUUACUCUUAUAUCUCCAAUUCCCCAACUUUUCUUCUCUUUAAUGAUUUAUCAACUAAUCACCAUACACUAUCAAAUUCAUUACACCACUCACACUUCCUUAAAAUCACUACCUUAUACAUAUACAACAGCUGUACAUAUUUAGUCCAAUACAUAGACUUCAAUAUUUGUCAUAUAAAUUCAUUUAAACCUUUAAAAAUCUAGAAAUCCAAGGUUUGACAAAACAGCACCAAAAUUCUAGAAUAUAGAAAUCUAGCACCAAUUUCUAUAUAUUGAAAUCUGGCAUCGAAACCAUUGACAUUUCUGGGCAGAAUUUCAGAAUUAACACUUGUACUAUAAUAGCUUGAAGAUUGCUUUAAAAUAAUGGAGAAUUCAAAUCUCAAAUCCUUAAUUUGAGUGUUUAGCAUCAUAUAAUCACAAGAAACUCAAAGAAUAUAUCUUUUAUCUCACAACCCAUUUCCAAAAUUCUACGUUCUUCAUCUUCAAUUUUCAAAUAAAUAUUUCCUUGCUAUAUUCUUAAUUAAAACCUUGAAUACACAUCAAUAACACCUAAUUCUUGCUAACUUCAAAGUUUUAGAGAUAAGUUCCAUAGACCCUAAAGGAGAUAAUUUCACAUUCUUAUACUUACCUCUCUAAAUUAAGGGGAGAAAAUGAGAAAUUGAGAACCUAGCCUUGUAAAAUUGGAACCUAUCCCUUCCUUCUUUUUCUUUUUCUCUUCCAUUUUCUUCCUUUAUCUUCCGUGGUUUUGUUCUUUGUUUCUCCAUUCGGUUUUUCUCCCCCGAAAUGACAAAAAAGAGAUCAAUUAUCCGAUAACCAUUAUAAAAUUGCAACUAAAGUCCCCAUCCUUCAUAUAAUAUACCAUUUACUCCUUUAAUUCCAAUAAAUAGAAAACAUAUCCCUAUAUAUAUAUAUAUAUAUAUAUAUAUACACACACACUUUUGGCCCUUAAGUACUUGUUAUUAGAAAUUAAGCCCCAUAAAAAUUAUUUGUUCAACUUAAGUCCUUAUUGAUUUUGACUUUGACCAAUUACUUUGCUUGACUUUGACUAAAAAUGGGUGUCACUUUGACCAAAAAUGAGUGGGGUGUAAUAAUCUUAUCCCCUUCAAAGAAUUUCGUCCUCGAAACUCAAUCCACUAGAAUUCGAACAUAUUAUAAAAUAAAGAAAAAAUAAUGAAUGAUUUCUCCAAGAACCUUGAAUGAGGCCCAAAGUUUAUUCUUUCUUAUUAUACAUCGAAUAACUUUCCUAAGAACCAAUAUAUGAUAUUCUCAACUUUUCAUUUUACAUUUCUCAUUUCUUCUUCUCUAUAAAUAUUCACUCCCUACAAUAACAAUAUACAUAUUCCACUUAUCUUCUUCUCUUCUAAUUUUCCAUUUCACUUUUCAAUUAUGCUCAUAUACAACACACAACUUACUACUGCAGUUUUCAAUUCCUCAUUCUUUUCUUUCCAUGCCUCAAAAUUUCAUUGUCAAUUUAAUUCUUUCAAGCACCACAACUAUAUGUAGAGAGAAUCCAAAAUUUUGUACAACUCCAAAUAUACUUACCCGUACUAAAGUAAGAAACUUGAGCUCACCAAUUUCUUAAAUAAAGAAAGAAAAACACAACACUUAGACUUUAUCUCUGUUCCCUUCUAUUUUUUAUUUAUUUUUUGGGCCAUCUUGACUUCUUAACUUGUUUACCAUAACUAGCAUUCCAUCUUCCUUGUAGUACAAUGUGAAGAUAUGUCCUUAGUGACUUCAUGUAAUGUAUCCACAAAAUUUUGUGUGCUUAAAUGACAUGCUCAAAACUACCAUCAUAUCCAACAGAACAUUAUUUCACCUUCUAGGCUCUAAAGUACCAUAACAUGUCAUACCUGAAACUUUUAUCAAUUUUAUAUGAUGGAAUGAGAUAUUCUACUCAUGAAAUUCAACAUAUAACUGACAAGAUAGUCAUCCCAAAUGAAUCACAAAUAACUCUUAAAAGUAAGCCAUAUUUAUAGUUUAACACGUCGUCCUCGAUAACUUAUAAAUCAACAAAAUAAACCCAAUGUUGGAUACAGGGAAAUCAAUUCACAUUUUAAUAAGAUUAUAUUAUAACAAAUUCUGUUUACGCAAGACUGUCAUAUCUUUUGUUUAUCACUAUUCAAAAUGCCUCUCAUAAUAAAAUAACCUUGUUAAGUGAAUAUCAUCGUACCAUUCCAUAUGACCACAAAAUUUAAUCAUAUCUCGUCUCAGUUGAACGAAAUGAUUCGUCGUACUUAUCUUGUUGACCCUUACUAACUGAAAAUCAUCGUACCCAUAUUUAACAAUCGAAUAUCAAUUACACUGUAUACCCAAUUCAAAACCUUAAUGGAUAUCCACACAUCUCUCUUUAUUGUUUUCUUUCCUUUCUUUCAUUCUUUCAGUAAGGACACAUACUUAUAUAGAACCUAAUACCAUUUCUUCUCUGCUACCCUUAAAUUUAUGCUACUAUUGCAUAUAACCGGUACCAAGUGAUUUAACACUAAUUCCUACUCUUUUCUUUCUAUUCUCGUUUAGUUCGACCACACGUUCCCAAAUAUAUAUUCCUAUCAAAAUUUUAUUUCCUUGAAUGGAACUCUUAAUCUUUUCCUCUAAUUUUUUUCCACAUUUUCCUUAACUGUUGUACUGCUAUACAUAAUUCCACUUCACACUAAAUUUCAUAUUCUCUUCAAAAAAUCAUUUUCUAUCUCCUUGAUCCCCAAGUUUCUACGCCAAUAAGUAACCCAUCGAGUCAAUUUUUUUCCUUCUCCAACCUCAUUUAUCACUAAUCUUUCUCAUUUUGUAACCUAUCAUAUAAUUGGUCAAGGCAGUCAUAAUACCAUCCAAGAUUUUUCUCGAAGUACACAUCAAUGAUAAUCUCCUCAAUGAGUAAUAUACAUAAUAAAACAUUGUAUUUUAUUGAUUAACAUUCUAUAUAAUAUUUUCAUUUUAUCCUUCCACAAAAUUCUUAUCAUAUAGCAUAAAUAUACACCAACAUGCUUCCAACUCUCAUCCCAAAGAAAUGACCACAAUUCACCACAAUUUCAAUAGCGCUAAUGAUCAUCCAGCUGCCCAACAUAAUCAAAACCCCUCACCGAUUAUCACCAAUUACACAUAUUAUAUCAUUUCGUUUUAUUAUUGUGCAAACUAUAACUAAAGAUUUUCCUAUGUAUACAUAAAAAUCAUGGUAAUUUUACAAAUAUAUUGAUACUUAAAUGAUUGUACCACCUAUCACUUUGAAUGCCUAUAUAUAAACAACCUAUAAAAUGAUCAAAAUUUGUUCAACUCUUAAUAUGUUACACAUGCCAUUGUUCCAACCCAACAACUAAUAACAUUUCCAAUCAUCAGAUCAUUGCAACUACCAUACUAGUCAUUUCUGGAUUUGUUAAAAAUAUUUUUCCAUCAUUUUUAGUUCCAUACAUUCGAGCUUGAGAGUCGUUGAUUUUCGCCACCAUGACAUAUGACCAUAUAUACUGAAUAUGCAUGAUAUGCCAAUGCAAGAACUACGAAAACUUUCAAAACUUUAUAAACCAUGCACUAAUACCACUCUGACACAACCCAUCCCGAAUUAGCCUAAUGGACUAAGAACGUGACGUAGGCCAAUGAUAGAUGCUGACUAUAUGCCAAAUUCACCACCAAGGUUGACUAUAACUUACUACAAAAUAUUUUCCAAAAUCAAAUAUUUAUGAAAAAUAUAAUGCGAUAGGUCCAAAAUAAUUACUUCAUGUUUUACCAAAAUAAAUCGUAUCACUCAAUAUGUUGUGUGGCUCUAAUUUUAAAACCACUAAGCUCUUCAAUCUAUCAGGGACCAAUACUACUUGUAACAAAAAUCGUGGAAAAAUAUGAGUUUAUAGCUCAGUGAGUGGAAGAGUUUGAAAAUAAUUAUACUUUAUCAUUUAAAAAGUUUUCUCAUACGUAGACAUGAAGUUCAUAUUGUUUAGUAAUUCACACGAUAAUCUCAUACAAUUAUAGCAAAAAAUGAGACAUUCACAUAAUUUUAUAAAUAUCAUCUCAUCACAUCACAUGUGAUCCACCAAAAAUGUACACUCAGAAAAAUCUGAAAUCCACCACUCGGGCUAAGAACUUUCACAAUGGGCCUUUCGCCCUCUCUGUAAAUGAAAGCCGGUCUCAAGACCUCUGGUAAUCAUUUCUAGAAAACGGCCAAGACCCCUCUAUGAACUAGAAGAAGUAUAUAAUCACUAGUACUUUUCUAGUCAAUCUUAAUAUUACGUCUCAUAUUCCAAUUCACAAAUGUACCAUAUACAAUCUUCGAAAUUCCACAUGUAUCAUAGUAAAAGAAACUUACAUGGUAAUCAUAUAAUUGAGCAAAUAAUUCACAUAACUUAAUAAUAUACUUAAUUUAUAAUACUUUGAAAUUAUUUAAGUUUUCCACUCACAGAUCUAUGGAUAGAAAUUUGAUUAAAUUGAAGAGCCUUUCCAAGGUUCCAUGUCCCUACUUGAAAUAACAGUAUAAUUUCUGGAAACAAAACCGAACAAUUAAAUUAAUACAAAUUCACCACUUAACUUCUGAACUUCUAUAAUGACUUAUCAACCAAUCACCAUACACUAUCAAAACCAUUAAAAAACUCAUACUUAAAAUUUACCUUAAACAUAUACAACUGUUGUACAUAGUUAGUCCAAGACGUAGACUUCAAUAUUUGUCAUAUAAAUUCAUUCAAAUCUUUAAAAUUUUGGAAAUCCAAGGUUUGACAAAACAACACUAAAAUUUUAGAAUAUAGAAAUCUAGCACCAAUUUUUGUAUAUUGAAACCGGCAUCGAAACCAUUGAAAGAAAAUGCACUUUUCUGGGUAGAAUUUCAGAAUUAACACCUGUACUAUAAUAGCUCGAAAAUUGCUUUUAAAAGAAUGGAGAAUUCCAAUCUCAAAUCCUUAUUUUGAGUGUUUAGUAUCAUAUAAUCUCAAGAAACUCUACGAAUAUAUCUUUUAUCUCACAACCCAUUUCCAAAAUUCUACUUUUUCCAACUCCAAUUUUCAAAUAAACAUUUCCUUGCUAUAUUCUUAUUUAAAACCUUGAAUACACAUCAAUGACACCUAAUUCUUGCUAACUUCAAAAUUUUAGAGAUAAGUUCCAUAUACCUUAAAGGAGAUAAUUUCACAUUCUUAUACUUACCUCUCUAAAUUAAAGGGAGAAAAUGAAAAAUUGGGAACCUAACCUUAUAAAAUUGGAACCUAUCCCUUCCUUCCUUUUUUUUUUUUUUUCUCUUCCAUUUCUUCCUUUUCCUUACAUCAUUUCAUUCUUUGCUUCUCCAUUCAGUUUUUCUACACCAAAAUAACAAAAAAGCGAUCACAUAUCCUUUAAGUUAGCAGAUAACCAUUAUAAAAUUGCAACUAAAGGCCCCAUCCUUCAUAUAAUAUACCAUUUACUCCUUUAAUUCUACUAAAUAGAAAACAAAUCCCUAAAUCUCUAUAUAUAUACUUUUGGCCCUUAAGUACUUGUAAUUACAAAUUAAGCCCCAUAAAAUUAUUUGCUCAACUUAAGUCCUUAUUGACUCUGACUUCGACCAAUUACUUUGCUUGACUUUGACUAAUAAUGAGUUUCACUUUGAGUAAAAAUGGGUGGAAUGUAACAUAAAUAGACCGAGUUGUUAGGGCUAGAACAAAAACUUGAGCCACCAAAAAUUUUAGAAAUAAUAAUACUAAAGAUUGUAUGAUAAAAGAGCUAAUACGAAAUUGUAAAAAUUAAAUUGUAGAUUCAAAAUGUGUCGUCAUGUGACCAUUUGGGCCAAUGGUCGUUUUUGAGAUGACCAUUUGGACAGCCCCACACGGUCAUCGACUAUCCACUAGCCAACUAAGUUUGUAAGCAGAGCUUGUACGCUUGGGACAUUGUUGUCUCUAUACAAGUCUAAACGGUUCGACCCAUUUGCCACCCCUAGGUAAAUUUAUUUAAGUAUCACUCCACAAGGGCUUUAGUUUCCUGCAAUCAUGUACUGCAAGGAAAAUUAGUUUCGGGGAAUAAUUUAAUUGGGGAAAGGGGUCUACAGACGAUUAGUCCUAUCCAAGGACUAAAGGGAGAAUGUAAUUCCAUCCUCUUUGGUAAGGACUUGAUAUAUCGUCAAUUCAUCAUAUAAAUAUAUCAAAUUGGGAAUAGGGAGUUAUAAAUUAUUUAGGAUCAGCGUGUACCCUAAGUGCCAUUACCUAGUUCCUUUAUCAACACCUUUCCUGUAGGUGGAAAAUCUUCAUCGCAAGCAGCUAGUCCUUCAAACAUAAUCACCCUAUAUUUGUGAAAUAUUUUUAUCAAAUUCGAAGAUCCUUCUACUUCAUAGUGAAAUUAAUUUGAAUAUAUAUUCAAAAUUACUACUCAUUAUUUAUAUAUUUCUUGGUCCCUGCCACUUUUCUUUCUAAAGAGCUACUACUUCUUGAAAAUCAAAUUAACAAUCAACAAAUUCCUCUCAAUGGGCAAGGAUUUUACUCCUAAACUCUCUGAUUUUGAUAUUCAAACAGGGAUAAGAGGUGAAAUGGCUAUUUGUUAUGGAGAUAUUAGAAUUCACUUGACAUUCUCUUCUUAUUUGAGAGUAUUUAUAAAUUUCCUUCACAACUUUGAUGACAUUUAAGUCAUUCUAGAAAAUAACAGGUGAUGGUUAUUUAUGGCCGACUUAUAACUGGUUUUAUUACGUAUUCACGUGUUAUUCAUUAUCUUACAUGUCUUAUGUUCAUUGACUUAAAAACCAUACUUUAAAUACUUAUGCACGUGUGUUCAAUAAUGGUUUGCGCCAAUCUGUUUCUGAUCGCAAGAUAAUUUUUAUUGAUUAAACAAAUAGUUCCCGAAGACCAAUUUUAUUAUUCAUAUUAAAUAUAGGCCUUGUUGUAUUUCAUUGUUUAACCGCAAAGUAUAGGUGGUAUUACUUAAGCAUUUUUCUCUUUCUUUUCUACGACUGACAUGUGCCAUGUUAAGAUGAUGUGUUAUGUUGUAGUCAUUUUAUUCGUGAGCCAGUGGGCCUGUUUUGCGUGUUUCCAGAUUAGUGGUAUGUGUGCAUUUUAGAUUCUGUGUAGAUUAUGCAUGAUCUCACUCGUUCAUUAUGAAUUUUAGUCAACCACCUAUUAUAGUUUUCGGUUAUGAUUGUCCAAAAUAAUUGAAAUGGCUCCGAUUGUUAUAAGCAUAAUUCAAUGGCUUAUGCCUUUUACAAAACUGAUAAAUAUCUUGUUUUUUUUAUGAUUAGAUCUCUAUCUUUCGUCUUUCUUCAAAACCCUUCUUUAUUUAUGUGUUGACUCUCAUUUACUGAUAUCUUCCCAAAGCGAUUCUCACAAAAAUUCUUAUGAUUCUGAAAGUUCUAAACUUAGGGAUGUUCCUCUAGUGCUUCUUCCUCUUCUAUAGAAGUGUUGUAUACUGAGGUGCUAUCUUACUCUGUAGUCACCUAUUCUGGUUCUUGCAUUAACCUAACAUUUUAGACAAAUGGACAUUAUUGACCCAUGGUUGAGUUACGUGGUGAGGCACCCUAACCUUCAAAUGAGCCAGUUAGUCUUAAUGAGAAUGAUGAGGAGAAUUUUGAAGCCUUGAAAAUUUUUCAGUAAUUUGAAUAAAAUUUGGAACCAAUUUAAUGUCCUUGAUGAUUUAGAAUUACUAUGUACUGAAUAAUUAGAAAGUGCAAACCAUCCCACUUGUGAUUGUAUAGAUAUUCAUAAAUAUUCAAUAGAUAUGGGGCUUAGAGUCCAUUUUUACCACUUUUUCCACAAUGUUCCUUUUUUCUUUAAUAUUGCUCCUAUAUAACUUGCUUCAAAUAGGUGGGCCCAAAUGGUUAGAUCUUUUUUAUUAUGGGGGUGCAUGAGUUUAGAGGGAAAGUUUUCACCAAAUGUAUUUCAAUUAUUUAUCAUUUCAUGCAAGCGAAAAAAAAAAAAACCCUCAAAAGGGGCAUAUUACCCUUCUCUUCAUUCUCCUAAGAUAUGCACAAAACUUGUAGUUACUCCUAAUAAAGUACAUAGCUGUGAGAAGAAUUUUUCUUCGUUCGAUGCAACUGGGGGUUUCAACUGACCUUGGGCCGUUAGUCGUUAUGCCUCGAAUCUAUGGCACAUAUAGUUAAGUGUUGUUUCGUUGUUUGUCUUUGUUGCUUUAACAUUGAUAUUAUUUUACUGUUUUGCGUAGGUACAUGUAAACUAUUAGGGGCCCUUUGUAGUCAAACUGCUAACGAUCUUCAUGCCUUAGUAGCACAUAUUCUUAGUUUGAGUUCUGAGUUUCAUGAAGCCAAAAGAUUGUUCCAUCGUUUCAACUUAAAUUUUUACAAUAUUGGCAUUCAAACUAUUACGGGUGAGUUUAUGCAUUAGGCUUUUCGUCUUUUAUUCUAUUUCUUAAUCGUCACGCAAUUUUUAAUUCUUUUUUUGAUUUUAUAGUGUGAUUUGAUUUUAAUGCAACUCCUUUCAUGGCCUCCUAGCGCCAGAAGAUUUCAACACCUCCUCUGUCCUAGGACUUCUUCAAAGGGUCUGAGAGGGCUAGUACUGUUCCUUCACUUACUUUAAUCAUUUAUUGAAAAAGUUAGCAGAAACACUUACCCGACAAAAAGGAAAAAAAAUAAUCCACUCAUAUCCAAUGUGAGCUGCGGUAUUACACCACGACCAUUAAAUAUAUUAUGAAAUUGGCAUUGUUGGUUGAUAGUUUGGACAAGAAAGCUUAGUCCUCCGAGAAUUGAUGUGACACUCUUCAAAGGAAAUUAGAAGACUUCGAGAAAGAGAAGGGUAAGUAUAAAAAAGUGUGUGUAAAAAAAUGUGUAAAACUGUUGAGACUUAAGCUAACAAAGAGGCUACUGUAUUAGCCGACCUUUGUGGGGUGGAAUUUAUUCACUGUAUGUCCUUGGCAGAAUAAGUCUCGCCACUGGUUAGAAUUUCACUAUCGACGAAAAGCGGCUCAUGUUCCAUCCUUCUUGUGCUUUCAUAAGAGUUUUCAUUUGUGUGACAACGGACGGAGAGAGAAGUGGUUUUUUCAACCGCAGUUUGCUAAAAGAGGGAGAUUUUUGUGGUGAAGAACUUCUAACUUGGGCACUGGAUCCCAAAUGCGGUUCGUCUUCUACUCGAACAGUGAAGGCAUUGAUUGAGGUUGAGGAUUUCGCCCUAACAGCCGAUGAAUUAAAAUUUGUUGCAGGUCAGUUCAGACGACUUCACAGCAGACAGGUUCAACACACCUUCCGGUUCUAUUCACAGCAGUGGAGGACUUGGGCCGCAUGCUUUAUCCAAGCAGCCUGGAGGCGGCACUGCAAAAGGAAACUUCUGGAGCUUCAUAGGAAGGAUGAAGCAGCCGAAGAGUUAGCUAGGGCCAGCACAAAAGCCGGAGGAGGCUCAUAUAGCAUUGGUGUGACGUUCUUGGCAACAAGAUUUGCAGCAAAUGCUUUCAGGGGACUACACAGAAAUCGGAAUCUUAGGAGUGCUCGGGAAUUGGUGAAACUCCAAAAGCCACCGGAGCCCGACUUUACUGCCGAUGCAGAUUGAUUUGUCUUCGAACUUGUAAGUUGAUUAAAUGACUCUUCUACGCGAGAAUGUUAUGGUCAUUAAGUUUUUUAAUUAUAAAAGUUGAAUAAAUUAAAAGGCAAUAGCUCUAUUAAAAAAAUGAUAAUUAUGUUGGUGUAAAUUUUUAUCUUUUCAAAUUAAUUUCUUUUUUCUUUUACAUUUUCACCCUAAUUUCUGUGAUCUUUUAUUUAAUUUCAUCAAAUUUGCACAAUAAAAUACUAUAAAAGUAUUAAAUGAUUCACCAUAUGAAAAAAUAAAAAUUAAAUGUACCCAAAUUUAUCGUUAAUGGGUGCUUUUGUCUAUCUAUAAUAAUUAAUUAGAAAAAUUAACUUAAUUUUGUCAAUUGUUGUGGCAUAUAAAAUUUAUUUAAUUAUUAUAAACGGUUCCACAUUCCAACCCUUGACCCUUUAGCUUUUUCGGGUCAACAUCCUGGCCGAAUUUCAGGACAUAGAUAAAAAUACAGCGAUGCUAAUUUAAUUACCCAACAAUAAUUUCUAAUAAUUCUAUAAUUAGAUAAUUUUUGAGUUUUCAAAAACGAAACAAUUGAAAAUUAAUAGUAGAGAGCCCUCUUUGUGGCAAAUGGGCCCAAGAAUUUAGGUCUUAGAAAUUGCUCCAUAAGAAUUGAGAAAACUUUUUAAAAAGCCCAACUUUUUAACGUCUAAGCUUGUCUAUGCUCACAUUAGACUGUUAAAAGAGGCCAACUUUUUUUACACCUUGUCCUUACGUGGGACAUUUUGAAAACACCUCAUGUCUAGGUGGCACCACUUCACGCCUUAUACAACUCAAUUACCCAUUUAAGCGGGAAGAAUUUGGCCCAAGACUAACUGGGAUUAUUUGUUCAUAUGCUUUCACAAGUUCUUGAUAAGUUAUUCUUACUGGCAUGUACAUUUUUCAACCAACCCUUUAGCAUCAAAAACUUAUUUUCCUAUAAGGAUUUUAAAGCAUAUCGUUCUUGUUUUCUACCAUUAGUAUCGUAUUAACAACUAGAGCCCUUGGGAAUGCAUAGUGCUAAGGUGGCAUAUGUGCACAGUCACCCGGUUAUUCUUGAUACUUGUUAUUCCUUUUACAGUUUCAAAUUUUAUUCAUAGACGAUAAAUGUGGAGACGAUAGAAAUCAGAUCAACAAAUUCCUCACACCUAGCAGCAUUUCACAUCUUAAUCUCACUAGUUCUGAUGCUUAAACCAAAGCAAGAGGAGAAAUGAUUAUUUAGGAGGGAGAUAUUUAAAUUUGCAUGGUUCACUUCUCUUUCGUGGCGAUAUUUGUCAAUUUCUAUCUGGGCUUUGGGACAAUUAUGUCAUUUAGAAAAAAAUGAUAGAUGAUAGCCUUUUAUUGGCUAUCUUAUAACUAAUUCUAUUUCGGAAUUAUGUUAUUUUCCUCACGUAUCACUUCUAGUUCCCAGGUAGGGAAUGGGCUUGCAUAAUUGAUAAUUGAUUCCUUGAUUCAAAAAGUAAUUCUCAAAGUCCGAUUUUGUUAUUAAUAUUAAAUCUAGGACUUGUUGCGGUCUUUUUAAUUGGAAACUUAUCGAUAACAUUUAUUGGCGCAUAUUUCUCUUUAUUUGUUGUGGGCUGACAUGGGCUAUCUUAAGGAGACGUUUUACGAUUUGGAGCAAUUUUUGCUUGCGACUAUAGGGCCUAUUUGCACCUUUCCAGUUAGUAACAUGCAUGCAUUCAAUGCUCAUGUUAGUUACGUGCAAUAGUGUCCAUUCCUUUUGAGUUUGUUUGAGUAUAGAGCCUAGGUGCUUACAAUCUACUAAAACCUAUAAAUAUAUUAUUCAUCUUUGCAUGUUCCUUUCUUACUUCUUUUCCAUUGCUUUUCGCUUACUAUGCCAUGUAUCCUCUCUUUUAUGAUUCUAUCUUUUGUCUUCUUGUAUCUUUCCUAAAACUUUUCUUAGGUACACAUUCCACUUUCUCUGUUGAAAAAAAAAAAGUUAUAAAACUUUCAAAUUAUAUUUUAAACAUUCGGUUUUAGUUUUUAAUUUUUCAGUUUUGUUUUUAGUUUUAGAUUCAAUAUAAAAUUUAAUCCCAUUAUUAUAUUUGUAAAAUAUGUUGAAUUAGUGAGAUGGUUGAAUUAUUCUACUAUAAAAAGGGGCGAAUUUCACAUUCUUUGACACAACAAAAUCAAACACAAAAAUACUCACUACUCUAUUUCAUACUACUCUCUUGUCAUUUUAUCUUCUUCUAUAAACUUUUGGCAAUUGAUAAGGGCUUGUUCUUUCUCUCCAUGUGGUUGUGCCCAUAGAAGGAGAAUCGACUGUGAGCUAUAAGGGUUUUAUCUUGGAGCCAUGUAGUCCCAACAGUAUCCGCAUGAAAGGGAGGCCACACGACUUUAGGACAGCGAUUAUCGUGACUCUCUUAGGCCAGCUUUUCUAACUAUAUUCUCAUAUUUACUUUAUUUGAUUCAUGUUUAUUAUAUUACAUUGCACAAAUCACGUUAAUUUUUACGACAAUCUAAAGUCGUGUGUGGGGUUUGUGUGAUAAUAAUACUUGGUAGUUGCUAACAUAUUCAUUGUUAUCAUGCUUCAAUUUUUUUAUUCUAUUAAAUUUUAGAACCUUUUAUAAUUUUCAUUUUGACACUCACUACAUAAAUUUUCAUUUUGGAAGCUCAUAGAAAUUUUAUUGAUUUAGUAUUGUACUCUUCAAAACUGCUUCAAUAUUUUUAGUUUUAAGCACUUAUUUCAUUUGAUAACUUAGUGGAAAGUUUUAAAACUUAUAUUAUUUACUUGAUUGAUUGACUUGAACAUAAAAUUAAUUGUGACUAUGUCAUUUUAAACUUCAAUAUUCAUUUAAUUUGUUAUAUUGUUACUUGGAAUAUUUGAAUUAAUAUUGUUUUGAAUAUUGGACUUAGUUGAAAAUUUUUUAUUAUUGGUCUUGUCUAUUGACAAAGUAGUAUUUAUAUGUUUAUAGUUAAUUCUCUUUGCCUUAGUAAUUCAUAGUGUAAUAAUGACAUCUUGUGAAGAUACUAAUAAUGCUAAACCGGAAAAUUUUGAUGGAAAAAAUUUAAAUGAUGGGAAAAAAAUAGAAUAUUGGUUGACCAUUUUAGGGUUAAUUUCUGCAAUAAAAGAAGGUAAUAAAGGUAGAGAAUCUACCUCUUGGUAUAACCCUAAACUGACAUAGAUAAAAAUACAGCGAUGCUAAUUUAAUUACCCAACAAUAAUUUCUAAUAAUUCUAUAAUUAGAUAAUUUUUGAGUUUUCAAAAACGAAACAAUUGAAAAUUAAUAGUAGAGAGCCCUCUUUGUGGCAAAUGGGCCCAAGAAUUUAGGUCUUAGAAAUUGCUCCAUAAGAAUUGAGAAAACUUUUUUAACGUCUAAGCUUCUCUAUGCUCACAUUAGACUGUUAAAAGAGGCCAACUUUUUUUACACCUUGUCCUUACGUGGGACAUUUUGAAAACACCUCAUGUCUAGGUGGCACCACUUCACGCCUUAUACAACUCAAUUACCCAUUUAAGCGGGAAGAAUUUGGCCCAAGACUAACUGGGAUUAUUUGUUCAUAUGCUUUCACAAGUUCUUGAUAAGUUAUUCUUACUGGCAUGUACAUUUUUCAACCAACCCUUUAGCAUCAAAAACUUAUUUUCCUAUAAGGAUUUUAAAGCAUAUCGUUCUUGUUUUCUACCAUUAGUAUCGUAUUAACUACUAGAGCCCUUGGGAAUGCUUAGUGCUAAGGUGGCAUUUGUGCACAGUCACCUGGUUAUUCUUGAUAUUUGUCAUUCCUUUUACAGUUUCAAAUUUUAUUCAUAGACGAUAAAUGUGGAGACGAUAGAAAUCAGAUCAACAAAUUCCUCACACCUAGCAGCAUUUCACAUCUUAAUCUCACUAGUUCUGAUGCUCAAACCAAAGCAAGAGGAGAAAUGACCAUUUAGGAGGGAGAUAUUUAAAUUUGCGUGGUUUACUUCUCUUUCGUGGCGGUAUUUGUCAAUUUCUAUCUUGGCUUUGGGAAAAUUAUGUCAUUUAGAAAAAAAUGAUAAAUGAUAGCCUUUUAUUGGCUAUCUUAUAACUAAUUCUAUUUCGGAAUUAUGUUAUUUUCCUCACGUAUCACUUCUAGUUCCCAGGUAGGGAAUGGGCUUGCAUAAUUGAUAAUUGAUUCCUUGAUUCAAAAAGUAAUUCUCAAAGUCCGAUUUUAUUAUUAAUAUUAAAUCUAGGACUUGUUGCGGUCUUUUUAAUUGGAAACUUAUCGAUAACAUUUAUUGGCGCAUAUUUCUCUUUAUUUGUUGUGGGCUGACAUGGGCUAUCUUAAGGAGACGUUUUACGAUUUGGAGCAAUUUUUGCUUGCGACUAUAGGGCCUAUUUGCACCUUUCCAGUUAGUAACAUGCAUGCAUUCAAUGCUCAUGUUAGUUACGUGCAAUAGUGUCCAUUCCUUUUGAGUUUGUUUGAGUAUAGAGCCUAGGUGCUUACAAUCUACUAAAACCUAUAAAUAUAUUAUUCAUCUUUGCAUGUUCCUUUCUUACUUCUUUUCCAUUGCUUUUCGCUUACUAUGCCAUGUAUCCUCUCUUUUAUGAUUCUAUCUUUUGUCUUCUUGUAUCUUUCCUAAAACUUUUCUUAGGUACACAUUCCACUUUCUCUGUUGAAAAAAAAAAAGUUAUAAAACUUUCAAAUUAUAUUUUAAACAUUCGGUUUUAGUUUUUAAUUUUUCAGUUUUGUUUUUAGUUUUAGAUUCAAUAUAAAAUUUAAUCCCAUUAUUAUAUUUGUAAAAUAUGUUGAAUUAGUGAGAUGGUUGAAUUAUUCUACUAUAAAAAGGGGCGAAUUUCACAUUCUUUGACACAACAAAAUCAAACACAAAAAUACUCACUACUCUAUUUCAUACUACUCUCUUGUCAUUUUAUCUUCUUCUAUAAACUUUUGGCAAUUGAUAAGGGCUUGUUCUUUCUCUCCAUGUGGUUGUGCCCAUAGAAGGAGAAUCGACUGUGAGCUAUAAGGGUUUUAUCUUGGAGCCAUGUAGUCCCAACAGUAUCCGCAUGAAAGGGAGGCCACACGACUUUAGGACAGCGAUUAUCGUGACUCUCUUAGGCCAGCUUUUCUAACUAUAUUCUCAUAUUUACUUUAUUUGAUUCAUGUUUAUUAUAUUACAUUGCACAAAUCACGUUAAUUUUUACGACAAUCUAAAGUCGUGUGUGGGGUUUGUGUGAUAAUAAUACUUGGUAGUUGCUAACAUAUUCAUUGUUAUCAUGCUUCAAUUUUUUUAUUCUAUUAAAUUUUAGAACCUUUUAUAAUUUUCAUUUUGAAACUUACUACAUAAAUUUUCAUUUUGGAAGCUCAUAGAAAUUUUAUUGAUUUAGUAUUGUACUCUUCAAAACUGCUUCAAUAUUUUUAGUUUUAAGCACUUAUUUCAUUUGAUAACUUAGUGGAAAGUUUUAAAACUUAUAUUAUUUACUUGAUUGAUUGACUUGAACAUAAAAUUAAUUGUGACUAUGUCAUUUUAAACUUCAAUAUUCAUUUAAUUUGUUAUAUUGUUACUUGGAAUAUUUGAAUUAAUAUUGUUUUGAAUAUUGGACUUAGUUGAAAAUUUUUUAUUAUUGGUCUUGUCUAUUGACAAAGUAGUAUUUAUAUGUUUAUAGUUAAUUCUCUUUGCCUUAGUAAUUCAUAGUGUAAUAAUGACAUCUUGUGAAGAUACUAAUAAUGCUAAACCGGAAAAUUUUGAUGGAAAAAAUUUAAAUGAUGGGAAAAAAAUAGAAUAUUGGUUGACCAUUUUAGGGUUAAUUUCUGCAAUAAAAGAAGGUAAUAAAGGUAGAGAAUCUACCUCUUGGUAUAACCCUAAACUGAUUGAAUUCCAUUGUCAUAAUCAAAUUUUAAGUGCUCUUUCUGAUAGACUUUAUGAUAUUUAUCAAAAUAUCAAGAGUGCUAAAGAGUUUUAGAAAACAUUAGAGGGAGAAUAUGGAAUUGAUGAUGCUAGAGUCGAUAGAUUUAAGGCGUCAACAUUUAACAAAUAUGUUAUGAUGGAUGAAAAAUCUAUAAACGAACAAAUCCAUCAAUUUCAAAAUUUACUACAACACGUAGAAGAAAAAUGGUCAAGUUUUAGUGAGAUUAUAAGGUUACAUGCCUUAUAGAUAAACUUCCACCUUCUUGGUCAGACUUUGCUAAAAGUCUUAGACAUAAGCAAGGGAUUUUAACAUUGAACCAAGUAUUCAAUUCCUUGAGAAUAGAAGAACAUCAUAGAAAUCGUAUCAACAAAGCUGAUGAAUCACAUGCCAAGGCAAACUUGGUAGAAAAUUCAAAACCCUACUAGCUCCUCAAAGCAAUUUAAGACUCGAGAUAAUAAGUUUAAGAAAAACUUUCACCGUUAUAGGAAAAAUUUCCAACCUAAGAAUAAUUACACUAAGAAUAACAAAGGCAAAGAGAAGAAUGAGUAAGGGCCAUGUUAUGUAUGUGGAAGAACCAACCAUAUUGCUCGAGAUUGCUACUAAAAAAAGACCAAGGAGUACAAGCUUAAGGACAAAUUUCAAAAGGAUCAAGAAACAUGUUGAAGGAUGGUGGACAUUCCAUUAGGCGUGAUUCACCAUAUGAAAAAAUAAAAAUUAAAUGUACCCAAAUUUAUCGUUAAUGGGUGCUUUUGUCUAUCUAUAAUAAUUAAUUAGAAAAAUUAACUUAAUUUUGUCAAUUGUUGUGGCAUAUAAAAUUUAUUUAAUUAUUAUAAACGGUUCCACAUUCCAACCCUUGACCCUUUAGCUUUUUCGGGUCAACAUCCUGGCCGAAUUUCAGGACAUAGAUAAAAAUACAGCGAUGCUAAUUUAAUUACCCAACAAUAAUUUCUAAUAAUUCUAUAAUUAGAUAAUUUUUGAGUUUUCAAAAACGAAACAAUUGAAAAUUAAUAGUAGAGAGCCCUCUUUGUGGCAAAUGGGCCCAAGAAUUUAGGUCUUAGAAAUUGCUCCAUAAGAAUUGAGAAAACUUUUUUAACGUCUAAGCUUCUCUAUGCUCACAUUAGACUGUUAAAAGAGGCCAACUUUUUUUACACCUUGUCCUUACGUGGGACAUUUUGAAAACACCUCAUGUCUAGGUGGCACCACUUCACGCCUUAUACAACUCAAUUACCCAUUUAAGCGGGAAGAAUUUGGCCCAAGACUAACUGGGAUUAUUUGUUCAUAUGCUUUCACAAGUUCUUGAUAAGUUAUUCUUACUGGCAUGUACAUUUUUCAACCAACCCUUUAGCAUCAAAAACUUAUUUUCCUAUAAGGAUUUUAAAGCAUAUCGUUCUUGUUUUCUACCAUUAGUAUCGUAUUAACUACUAGAGCCCUUGGGAAUGCUUAGUGCUAAGGUGGCAUUUGUGCACAGUCACCUGGUUAUUCUUGAUAUUUGUCAUUCCUUUUACAGUUUCAAAUUUUAUUCAUAGACGAUAAAUGUGGAGACGAUAGAAAUCAGAUCAACAAAUUCCUCACACCUAGCAGCAUUUCACAUCUUAAUCUCACUAGUUCUGAUGCUUAAACCAAAGCAAGAGGAGAAAUGAUUAUUUAGGAGGGAGAUAUUUAAAUUUGCGUGGUUUACUUCUCUUUCGUGGCGGUAUUUGUCAAUUUCUAUCUUGGCUUUGGGAAAAUUAUGUCAUUUAGAAAAAAAUGAUAAAUGAUAGCCUUUUAUUGGCUAUCUUAUAACUAAUUCUAUUUCGGAAUUAUGUUUUAUUCAUUUAGCUUACAGUGUCUUUCGUUUACUGAUUGCGUUAUUUUCCUCGCGUAUCACUUCUAGUUCCCAGAUAGGGAAUGGGCUUGCAUAAUUGAUAAUUGAUUCCUUGAUUCAAAAAGUAAUUCUCAAAGUCCGAUUUUAUUAUUAAUAUUAAAUCUAGGACUUGUUGCGGUCUUUUUAAUUGGAAACUUAUCAAUAACAUUUAUUGGCGCAUAUUUCUCUUUAUUUGUUGUGGGCUGACAUGGGCUAUCUUAAGGAGACGUUUUACGAUUUGGAGCAAUUUUUGCUUGCGACUAUAGGGCCUAUUUGCACCUUUCCAGUUAGUAACAUGCAUGCAUUCAAUGCUCAUGUUAGUUACGUGUAAUAGUGUCCAUUCCUUUUGAGUUUGUUUGAGUAUAGAGCCUAGGUGCUUACAAUCUAUUAAAACCUAUAAAUAUAUUAUUCAUCUUUGCAUGUUCCUUUCUUACUUCUUUUCCAUUGCUUUUCGCUUACUAUGCCAUGUAUCCUCUCUUUUAUGAUUCUAUCUUUUGUCUUCUUGUAUCUUUCCUAAAACUUUUCUUAGGUACACAUUCCACUUUCUCUGUUGAAAAAAAAAAAGUUAUAAAACUUUCAAAUUAUAUUUUAAACAUUCGGUUUUAGUUUUUAAUUUUUCAGUUUUGUUUUUAGUUUUAGAUUCAAUAUAAAAUUUAAUCCCAUUAUUAUAUUUGUAAAAUAUGUUGAAUUAGUGAGAUGGUUGAAUUAUUCUACUAUAAAAAGGGGCGAAUUUCACAUUCUUUGACACAACAAAAUCAAACACAAAAAUACUCACUACUCUAUUUCAUACUACUCUCUUGUCAUUUUAUCUUCUUCUAUAAACUUUUGGCAAUUGAUAAGGGCUUGUUCUUUCUCUCCAUGUGGUUGUGCCCAUAGAAGGAGAAUCGACUGUGAGCUAUAAGGGUUUUAUCUUGGAGCCAUGUAGUCCCAACAGUAUCCGCAUGAAAGGGAGGCCACACGACUUUAGGACAGCGAUUAUCGUGACUCUCUUAGGCCAGCUUUUCUAACUAUAUUCUCAUAUUUACUUUAUUUGAUUCAUGUUUAUUAUAUUACAUUGCACAAAUCACGUUAAUUUUUACGACAAUCUAAAGUCGUGUGUGGGGUUUGUGUGAUAAUAAUACUUGGUAGUUGCUAACAUAUUCAUUGUUAUCAUGCUUCAAUUUUUUUAUUCUAUUAAAUUUUAGAACCUUUUAUAAUUUUCAUUUUGAAACUUACUACAUAAAUUUUCAUUUUGGAAGCUCAUAGAAAUUUUAUUGAUUUAGUAUUGUACUCUUCAAAACUGCUUCAAUAUUUUUAGUUUUAAGCACUUAUUUCAUUUGAUAACUUAGUGGAAAGUUUUAAAACUUAUAUUAUUUACUUGAUUGAUUGACUUGAACAUAAAAUUAAUUGUGACUAUGUCAUUUUAAACUUCAAUAUUCAUUUAAUUUGUUAUAUUGUUACUUGGAAUAUUUGAAUUAAUAUUGUUUUGAAUAUUGGACUUAGUUGAAAAUUUUUUAUUAUUGGUCUUGUCUAUUGACAAAGUAGUAUUUAUAUGUUUAUAGUUAAUUCUCUUUGCCUUAGUAAUUCAUAGUGUAAUAAUGACAUCUUGUGAAGAUACUAAUAAUGCUAAACCGGAAAAUUUUGAUGGAAAAAAUUUAAAUGAUGGGAAAAAAAUAGAAUAUUGGUUGACCAUUUUAGGGUUAAUUUCUGCAAUAAAAGAAGGUAAUAAAGGUAGAGAAUCUACCUCUUGGUAUAACCCUAAACUGAUUGAAUUCCAUUGUCAUAAUCAAAUUUUAAGUGCUCUUUCUGAUAGACUUUAUGAUAUUUAUCAAAAUAUCAAGAGUGCUAAAGAGUUUUAGAAAACAUUAGAGGGAGAAUAUGGAAUUGAUGAUGCUAGAGUCGAUAGAUUUAAGGCGUCAACAUUUAACAAAUAUGUUAUGAUGGAUGAAAAAUCUAUAAACGAACAAAUCCAUCAAUUUCAAAAUUUACUACAACACGUAGAAGAAAAAUGGUCAAGUUUUAGUGAGAUUAUAAGGUUACAUGCCUUAUAGAUAAACUUCCACCUUCUUGGUCAGACUUUGCUAAAAGUCUUAGACAUAAGCAAGGGAUUUUAACAUUGAACCAAGUAUUCAAUUCCUUGAGAAUAGAAGAACAUCAUAGAAAUCGUAUCAACAAAGCUGAUGAAUCACAUGCCAAGGCAAACUUGGUAGAAAAUUCAAAACCCUACUAGCUCCUCAAAGCAAUUUAAGACUCGAGAUAAUAAGUUUAAGAAAAACUUUCACCGUUAUAGGAAAAAUUUCCAACCUAAGAAUAAUUACACUAAGAAUAACAAAGGCAAAGAGAAGAAUGAGUAAGGGCCAUGUUAUGUAUGUGGAAGAACCAACCAUAUUGCUCGAGAUUGCUACUAAAAAAAGACCAAGGAGUACAAGCUUAAGGACAAAUUUCAAAAGGAUCAAGAAACAUGUUGAAGGAUGGUGGACAUUCCAUUAGGCGUGAAUCAUCAACAUCUUUAGUCAUUUUUACUUAUAAUAGUAAUGAAUGGUGGUUAGAUUCUAGAGCAAAUUUUCAUGUUUGUUUUGAUAAGAGUUUGUUUAAAUCUUAUCAGACUUCAAGCGGAGAAAGCGUAACUUUGGGAAAUGACUCCAUCACUCUUGUACUGGGAUUUGGAAGUGUCGAGCUUAAGAUGACCUCUAGGAAAAGUUAAAUUUAAGAUCAAGUUCGCCAUGUUCCAGAGGUUAGAAGAAAUUUAGUUAGUGGAUCACUUUUAGUUCAACAAGGUUUUAAACUUGUAAUGGAAUCAAAUAAGGUUGUUAUAACAAAAAAUAAUGUUUCUAUUGGGACAAGUUAUAUUAGCGAUGGAUUGUUUAAAUUGAAUAUUAUUGAAAAUCUUUAUCAUGAUUCUUCCAUGGUUCAUAAUAUGGAAGUUAGAACGAUUGGGUCAUGUUGGUAAUAUGAAGAUCAAGAAACUUAUGGAUCUAAAUUUGAUGUCCAAAAUCUCAAAUUGGUAAUAAUAAGUGUGAAGUUUGUGUACAAGCCAAACAAACUAGGAGACCUUUUAAAUCUAUUAGAAGGGACACAAACCUUUUAGAAUUUAUUCAUAGUGAUGUUUGUGAUUCUAAUAGAUUGUCAACAAGAGUUGUUAAUAAAUAUUUUGUAACAUUUAUAAAUGACUAUUCUAAAUAUUGCUAUAUUUAUUUGUUGAAAGCGAAGGAUGAAGUCUAUGAUAAGUUCAAAAUCUAUAAAGCAGAGGUCAAAAAUCAAUUAGAACGUAAGAUAAAAAAUUUAAGAUCCGAUAGAGGAGGAAAAUAUACAGGGUAUAAUCUUAAGGAUUACUAUAAGGAUAAUGGUAUAAUACACGAAAUGACACCUCCUUAUUCACCACAAUCCAAUGGUAUUGUAGAAAGGAAGAAUAAAACUUUUAAUGGAUCAAAUAGGUUCUUGAUUAUAAAUUCCGAAGUAAGUGACAUUAAAAAUAAUACUAUUAUUGAAGCUAGAGAUGCUACUUAUUUUGAAAAUGUUUUCCCAUUUAAGACUACAAUUUCAAGUGAACCCUCAACUCCUAAGAAACUGGUUUUAAAUAAUACUCCAUCUACUUCAUCUUUAGAAGAUUAAGUUGAACAUGAACUUAGGAGGAGCAAAGGACUAGGAAAGAGAAAUCAUUUGGAGAAGAAUUCUUUACAUAUUUAGUUGAAGGUGAACCUAAAACAUAUAAAGAUGCUAUGAUCUCUACUGAUGCACCUUAUUGGAAAGAAGCCAUCUAUGAUGAGUACUAGUCAAUUAUAAAAAAUAAUACUUGGGUCUUAUGUGAUUUACCUCAAGGAAGUGAGGCAAUUUGGUGUAAGUGGGUAUUUAAAAGAAGUUGAAACUUGCUGGAAGUAUAGAUAAAUAUAAAGCAAGGUUAGUAGCAAAAGUAUUCAUCCAAAAAGAAUGAGUUUAUUAUUUUGAUACAUAUUCUCGUGUCGUAGAAUAACUACUAUUAGAAUGGUGAUUUGAAUGAAGAAAUAUAUAUGGAACAACCAGAAUGAUCUAAAGUCAAAGGACGAGAACACAGAGUAUGUAAAUUAAUGAAGUCAUUAUGUGGACUAAAACAAGCUCCUAAACAGUGGCAUGAGAAGUUCAAUAGAGUUAUACUAAAUUAUAGAUUUAAAAUUAAUACACAUGACAAGUGUAUAUAUUGUAAAGAAGAUAACAAUGAGCAUGUGAUACUUUGUUUAUAUGUAGAUGACAUAUUAAUAUUUUGGAAAAAUUUAGGAUUUGUUAAUGAUGUGAAGAGUUAUUUGUCAAAGAAUUUUGAAAUGAAAGAUUUGGAAGAAGCUCAUAUAAUUUUGGGAAUGAAGUUAAGGAAAACUUCUGAAGGAAUUUCACUAAAUCAAUCUAAUGCUAUUAAAAAUAUGUUGGAAAAGUUUGGGCAUUAUGACAAUAAACCAAUUUCCACUCCAUAUAAUUGAAAUGUACACAUGAAGAAGAAUUUUGGUGAACUAGUUUUGCAAUUUGAGUAUUUUCAAAUUAUUGGAUCUUUGUUGUACAUAGCAAAUAGGAUAGGACUUGAUAUAGCCUCUGCUAUUGGGAGACGUAGUAGAUAUACUAAUAAUCCAAGUAAAGAACAUUGGAACGCUUAGGAGAGGGUACUUAAAUAUCUCCGAGGUACAUUAGAUUAUUCUAUAAACUAUAAAAACUUUCCAAAUGUUAUUGAAGGAUAUAGCGAUGCAAAAUGGACAACUGAUAACGUAGAUAUUAAGUCUACCACUGGACAUAUAUUUAUGAUAGGUGGUGGGGCCAUAUCUUGGGGUUCAAAAAAGACAAACGAUUAUUUCUAGGAGUAUUUUAGAGUCAGAGUUAAUAGCGUUAGAUACAACAUGUACUAAUGCUGAGUGGCCUAGAUAUUUAUUAUUAGAUAUACCAUUAAUAAGUAAGCUAAUUCCAGCUAUUUCAAUACAUUGUGACUGUAAAGCAGUAAUAGAGCUUCUAAAUCAAUCUCACUCAAAUAAGAAGAUGAAUAGGCAUAUUCAAGCAAGACUUAAUCAAAAGGCCUUACUAAAGAGAAAUGUGAUUUCUCUCAAUUUCGUGGGAUCUGAAAAGAAUUUAUUAGAUAAUUUAACCAAAGCUUUACCCAAAAAGGGUGUUAAUGAAUCAUCAAGGGGGAUGGGCUUAAGCCCAUAAGAGAGUUACCUCCGAGAGUAACCAACCUCUGUGAUUAGAGAUCCCAUGAAGAAGGUUCAAUAUGGUAGGAACAACCCGCAUUGCAUGACUCGUAAUGGUACUAUAUUUUGUGUUCAUUCCUAUAGGUCACACGCACCCUUAGAGGACUCACCUAUGUAAGAGUUGUCAUGAGGCCGUGACUAUGGGAUUUGGCUAUUCCCUAGAUACUCUUCAAGAUAAGAGCACAUGACCAUUAAUAGCGCUACCCGUUAUGAACUGAGCUUAACUCGAUACUAUGUGUAGAGCAAUUGAAGUUUAGUUAAAGGGAUCUAAUUCAAGGCUCAGUCCAUUAUGGCUCCCUCAAAUGAAAAUUGUUAUCACUAAGUGAGGUUCAAAUCUAAAAGACAGCUACACUUAUUACAUAGUAUAAUAUUGCCACUAUAUACAUAUAUAAUUAUUUUGAAAAUUUUAAAACUUGCGGGGGAUUGUUGGAAAAAAAAAAUAAGUUAUAAAAUUUUCAAAUUAAAUAUUAAAAAAUUCGGUUUUAUUUUUUUAAUUUUUCAGUUUUAUGUUUAAUUUUCGAUUCAAUACAAAAUUUAAUCUCAUUAUUAUAUUUGUAACAUAUGUUGAAUUUUAUUAAUUUUCAUAAUGAGAUGGUUGAAUUCUUAUACAAUAAAAAGGGGGUGGAUUUCACAUUUUUUGACACAACAAAAUCAAACACAAAAAUACUCACUGCUCUAUUUCAUGCUACUAUUCUCAUACUACUCUCUUGUCAUUUUAUCUUCUUCUGUAAACUUUUGGCAAUUGAUAAGGGCUUAUUCUUUCUAUCCCUGUGGUCGUGCCCAUAGAAGGAGAAUCGGCUGUAUGCUAUAAGGGUUUUAUCUUGGAGCCAUGCAAUGCCGAAAGUACUCGCACAAAGGGGAGGCCACACAACUUUAGGACAGCAAUUAUCGCAACUUUCUUGGGCCAGCUUUUCUAACUCUAUUCUCAUAUUUACUUUAUUUGAUUCAUGCUUAUAAUUAAUAGUACAUUGGACAAAUCACGUUAAUUUUUAUGACACUUUCAUCUUGCUCUUGAGAUCAUUUUUCAUUAUAAUGUCUUCCCAGAACGACUCCCAAAAUAUGUCACAUGAUAUAAGGCAGAAAUCUCUAAACUUGAGAAUAUCUCCUCUAAAGCGCCUUCCUCUUCUAAGAAAGUUCAGUGUAUUGAAGCGUUGCUUCAUUCUAUAACUAAUCUACCUAACACAGAACUUAGUUCUCAACUUAGGAUUGAUGAGGUUUGUGAGCCUUUGAGUGAUUCAAAUGGCAUUAAUGUUAGCAGCAAGAAGGUUUUUGAAGCCUCAGAAAUAUUUACUAGUAUUACUGAGAAAGGAUUGGAUGAAAAUCAGACCACUUUAAUAUCCCUGACAUAGAAUUGCUAUGUCCUAGGCAAUUUCAAAGUGCAAAUUGACCUCCUUGUGAUUGUAUAGCUUUUCAUGAGCAUUUGAUAGAUAUGGGGCUCCACUUUCACUAUUUCUUUCGUGAUAUUCUUUCUUCUUUUAUUAUUGCUCCUACUCAGCUUAUCCCAAAUAGAUGGGCCCAAAUGUUGGGACGUUUUGUUAUAAAAAUGUUGUGGAUUUAGAGGUAGAGCUUUCAUAGGAUGUAUUUUGAUCUAUUUACCAUCCUUAAAGUUAGGAAACAAAGCGAACCCACAAGGGAUAUUACUAUCUUCCCCUUCACUCUUCUAUGUCCUGCUCAAGACUUGUAAUUUCUUCCAAUAAAGUGCAUAAUUGUAGGGAAAGUUUUUUUCCUUUAUUCGCAGCAAUUGGAGGUUUCAACCCAAUGACCCUCAUCCUUUUGUGAUUAUGCCCAGUGUUUCGGCGAAUAUAUUAGAGUUUUUUCUUCGUACAUUAUUUUCUUUUUAACAUGAUGUUUUUUUGUUUGGCAGUGCUCAUAUAAGUAAGCAGACAGCUCUUCUUUUUUGUCGAGCUCUUAACAAACUUCAUGCUUUAAUAGCAACUAUUCUUAGUUUAAGUUUCAAGGCUCACAAAACCAAGAAACUACUCCAACCAUCCAAUAAAAAAUUUCACUACAUUGGUAUCCAGACGAUUAUGAGUAAGUUUAUACACUAGCUUUCUUAUUUCAAAACUUUCCUACUUUCAAAUAAUAUCAGAUAGCUAUUUUUCUUUUUAGUGUGAAUUGAAUUUAGUGCAACUCCUUUGGCGGCCCCUCAAGAAUAGAAAACUUCUACAACUCUCCUUCCUAAAAAAUUGGUUCGUCAAGGCUCUGGGAAGGUCUAAAAUUAUGCUUUCGUGGGUGGUCGAGGAUUCAACCAAACGACCUCCGCCAGUCUUCUGUGGCCUCAGGAUCCUUUCCUAAGGAAUACGUGCCUCCUACUCUGUUGACCCAUUUAGGGAUUCCAAAGGGAAAAGGAAAAUAUCGGGUGGGUCCGACCAAUUAUAGAGCCCAAAGUAUCCUAUUUUUCUAGCAGGUUUACCUCAUUUUCUAAAUCUUUAUUCAUCCAUCGCUGCAACAAAGUAUUAGAUGUUUUAUCGGUGCUUCCUCCUUUAUUUCUUAAGCAACGAGAUUUAUGUAUGCUUAUUUUAAUCAACACUUGAAAACUUGCGGAAGAGGUUAAACUUACUCAAAGAGGAAAAACGAUUCACGCCCACCUUAUGCAAUCUACUAUCUUGCAUAAAAAAUAAAAGUUUGAAUAUGAUGGUUGUGUUUUGUAGGCAGAUGGCUUGGAUAAAAAGACCGAUUCUUUGGAAAAGAUGUGAGGGACUCUCUAGAAGAAACUAGGAAAGAUCGUAAUGGAGCGAGUUGAACAUUAACAAAUUUGUAAAGGUGUCAAAGUUAUUACUAUGUAAGAACAGGGAAACGUAACAUUUCACGCCUUAGAGAGAAGUUCUAAUUGACAAGUUUGAGCAAUAUGCUACUUCUAGGGAACUUGAUAAUGUAAGGAAUGGCAUAACCUUGCUCCACAAUCAAUUGGAGAACAAUUGAGACAAAAUUAGCCAUUGUAGACUCCAGCCUUUCUAAAGUGAUUGCUCGGGAGGCAAAACUGUUGAGGAUGCUAUAUAGUUAUUGAUAUAAUUAGAAGCUUUCAUCUUGAUGUAAUAUAAAAUUUUUGGAGGCUUAUGAAAAUGAUGUUGAAGACACCGUAUCUUCUGAGGUCAUUUGUUGGCUUCUGAGGAUCAGGGUACUUCGUCCUUUUCUGUUGACCCUUCUCAACCAAUGGAUUUUCAAGUCAUUGGGGUUGUGGCUAUUAUUGGGCCAAUUGAUACUUCUACUCCCAUUCCUAUUCCACAUUCUGAAGUAAUUUUGUCCUCAGGGAGAACAUUCGAGUUAACCAAGACGUUCCUACUUUUGAGAAUCUUCAGUUCUUGGUUAAUUUAGAAGCAUAGCUUGCAUUUGUCUCAUCCUUUUGCAAUAGUGAAAUUUCCUUGCAUGUGCAUAAAAUCGAUCAUUUGGCAAUCGAUUAAUGGAAUAUCAUUUCUCAUUUGUAUAAAUUGAUCAUUUGGCAAUCUAUUUAGCCUCAUAUUGCUUUACUCAUUUGAUAUUUAGUUAAGCUUCUCGUAGGUGCAUUUAAGACAAUUGUAUAUCAACAAUACAAAUAAAAAAAAUUCAUGAAUCAUUCUUUACAAUAAAGGAAAAAGUAUUAUUGUCUUGUUCUUGCUAUGGCUUUUAUUACAUCAAUACUACACACGCGAUUACAACAUGUUAUGAUUUCAAUUUUGGAUGAAGGCAGGUGUGAUUUCACCCUUGAUGAUAAGGUUUUUUAGGGUGAAAAUUAGUCGUGGCAUUUUUUUGCUCCACCUUUAGUCAAAAUUUCAUUUAGUGGAGCAGUAUGCCUUUGAUUUCAACUUCACAUUGGAUAGAAAGAGGCUCGCCUUUCAUUUAAAAAUGGCAGAAUAAGCCUCACCUUGUUAACGAUACUCACUCAUGUGACCUUGCUUAAGGUAAAACAUUGUUUUGAUUGUUUCAUCAUUUAUGCAUUCACUAGUACUUGUAAGGUUAUGUUUAUUGGCAAGCACGUUUUUCAAUUUACCCUUCACCGUAUCAGAUACUUGCUUUCCUAAACAAGGCUUUUUAAGCAUAUAAUCCAUUCUUUCAAUAAUUUCAUUUUCUUUCUCAUCUUUAUUACCAUGAUGAUUUGUUCCUUUGGAAUUAAACAAGGCUUUUUAAGCAUGUAUUUCUUUCUUUCAAUAAUUUCAUUUUCUCUCCUUACUUUAUAACAAGGAUGAUUUAUUCUUUUGGAGCUAAAUACUCUCCAUUGAAAUCAUAUAUGUAAAGUCUCGAAAAUUUUCACGUGCUAGAAUUUAUUUAUUUUAUAUACUAUAUUUUAGAUUUGAAAGGUUGGAGGACUGAAAUGAUGAAUAUAUUAAAUUCAAUUUUAAUUGGGUCAAAUAUUUAAAUAUUGAUAGAGUAAUGAUAAAUAAAUCAAUAUUGUACUCGUUGGAUAGCCCGUAAUUAAUUACGUAUAUUAGGCUCGAGAAAAAGUUUAUUUGGACAGGUUAGAUUCAAGAUGUGGCCCUUUGUAGAAGUUAUCAUUAAUUAGAAAUUUAUUUGAAUUUUGUAUUAAAUUCUUUGAUGAUAGGUACACGUGCAGAGUGCCAAACAAACCCAAAAUUAUCUUCCAUUUUGAAUAGAAAUCUGAUUUUAAUUAAAGUACACGAAUCUUACCUUUGAUUUGACAUCUCAUGCACUACUCUCAAUAAGAGACCUUAUUUACCCAAAUUCUUAUCCAAUAUCUUGUUGGCAAGGCUCCAACCUCUAAAUCAUUACAAACUCUAGUAGACUAGAGUCUAAGGGUGUAGAUAUAUAUAGGUAUCAACUUGGAAACUAAUGACAAAAAUUUUUAUACAUGCGUGAGAGAGACGUUGGGGGAAAUCAAGAAGCAAAUUACAUAUAUCUAACCCUUGUUUGAGCCCCAUUCUUUGCAUAAUAACGAAUUUUUGAAUAGUGUAUUGAUGAGAAAUGUGUGGUUAAAAAUAAGGAAAAAUUUUGAACUUGCGUGUAAUAUUAUUUUAUUAAAGAUUGUGUGACUAAAAUAAUGUCAAAACACUGUUUAAAAAUGUAUUUUUUUUAAAAGAAUAGGGCUCAAACAAGGGGUUAAUAUUACUAUCAAGCAUACUCGCACAUCCAUUUAUUCAACGCAUUGGUUUGAGAAAAGAUUUGGAACCGGGAAUUAAGAUCUUCAGCGGUUUAUGGUAGGAUAUCGAUGUGCAGUGUAUUCUAUGCCGUUUAAUUUUUUUCAUGUUGGUGAAUUACUGUACUCACGAAAGCUAAAAUAUGAUAUAAAUGAUAUGGCUAUCGGUACAAUUGAUAUGAUAUGAUAUGAGCUCUUACCGGUUUUUAAAGAUAUUAGACGAUAUGAUUUUCUAAUACGUGUUUUAAAAUUUUUAUUUCAGAUUGCACCAUUAAUUUUUAUGUCCUAUUGAGUAUUUCCAUAUACUCACCCUUUUUCCUACUCCUCACAAAUUAGAACUGGACGUUGGUUAGCGGGCGAUAAAGUGCAGUCGUGGUGCCAAGAUUUAUGAAACUCAAUAAAAAUAAAUCCAUAGUAACAUGAUCAAAGAUUUUAUUUUCAGUGUUAUUUUAGUUUUUAUUUUCAUGUGAAACUUGUUAUUUAGGAUUCAGAUCAUGUUUCAUAGAUAUUUAUUUAUUUUAUUGAUGGAACAAAAAAAUUUUCUAGUUGGGAUGGUUUGAAUGACUUAUUUAAUUGGAAUGAGAGUUUUAGUAACUAUCUAAAUUGUUAAAAUUUGGGUUGUUACAAUAUAAGAUUUCAGCUAUGGGUACCUUGGGACAAUGGAAAAAUAUUUUCGAGUGGAAUAUUUACGAAAUUUACCUUCAAAAUAUAGUUAAGGCCAUCCCGAGUUCUUAAGGCUCAUGUCCCCGACACAUCAUGGUUGGGGAUAUAUGAUUCACAUCGUCAUUACUAUACAUAAUUGAAAAAAUCUAGGUUUCAGGAUUUCCUCAGAUCUAGAAGUUUUCAAAUACGGGCUUUCUAGAUAUUUGGGAGCGUGUUCUGUACGCGUUCUUCGUACCUUCUUCUGUAUAAGGGACCUUCAUUAUAAUAUUGAUUUCUCUCACCGAAGGUUGGGGGAUCACAACAUUGAUCAACACUUGCGAUGUCUUAGCAUGCCUUCGUUUCACUCCCUUUAUUCCAUCCGUUUAUUGGACACGCUGGCCUUUGACUCUCAGGUGCCUUAGACACAUUCUCCUACUAUUUCAUAACCUUGCCAUUUUAAACAUUUCGAAGCAUUUUUCCUAUCAUGGCCUAGAUGUGAUGGAUUUUACAAAAUUGUGCCUUCUACCUUUCUGUAUACUUUCCUUAUACCCUGUGAGAAUGUUGUAGAGAAUGCGCAAAUUCAGCUCUUAGCUAUCCUAGAGAUGAUAUUAUAAUCUAUGUAAUCCAAAUGCAAAAGAUGAAUCUUCUGAAUUUUUUGGUAUGAUUUUGCUCGUUCUUCCUUCAACUCUCGAGAAUGUCUUCUCCCUUGAUCUCAUUAUAUAUUAGAUCUGGAUACCUUUUGCUGCACAGCCUGCACUUGGUAAAAGGAAGUUUUAUUCAACAGGCCAUUUUUUUGUCUGGGAUGGCCUCAUUGGUGACUAUUUCAACUUUGAAUUGUGCGAAAUGACUCCUGAAGAAUUCUUCUUCUCUUGCUUCACACCAUUAUCUCUUAUCAUUAGUGUCUGUCUCAUUUCUAGGCCCGCUCAUUUUUGUAUUGGCCAACCGUUAGUUGAGUCUAAUGGUAAUUGGCAUAUCAAAUUUUCCUACUUAUCAUCUUUCUCUGCGGCAGAUUGGUCUUCAAAGUUUCCAUACAUGUAGAUAUUAUAAGAAUUGCCCAAGCUUCUCGCUCUCCGAUCUCUCCAAUGCCUACAUUGGUUAUAUUUCCAAUCAUGACAGUUUGCCUUGUCUGCAAGUCUCUUCAGGGCGGAUUUGUUAAUCUGCUGUUCUCUUCACUUUUUAGAUGCAAUGUCACAAGUUUGCGGUAACUGUAAAUUUGCUACUUUUCUUAGGGAAAAAAAAUUAGUAACAGGCCUUAUUUGUCCUUAGCCGAAUUCAUCUUGUCAACUUCCCAUUGAAUUCUCAUACUUCGCAUAUAAAUAUGCAUUUUUUGCUGCUAGUGUCUUGAGGCUCUCCACAGUUUCAUGCAUAUCCUUUGCUGUAUGCAUUCUCUUCUAUUGGCAAUGGUAUUGGAUAGAAGAAACACUGGAAUGAAAUCCUACUGGUGUUUCAUCCCGCUUUCGCUUCAAAUUGGUAUCGUUGUUGGCUAGCUUACCACUGGAUUUUCUCUUUUGACUUCCAAUACCUUUGUUUCUUCUAAAUCUAUCUCCAUUUAGCUCAUCUCUAUAGUUCCCAAGGUAUUCUCAAAUCAAAUAGCUAUUUUCAUUAUUUACGUUGCUCGAGUUUCCCACAGAUGGUGCCAAUUGGCUAUAGAAAUCCGAUCAAAAAGUUCCUCUCUCCUGGGUAGGAUUUUCACCUCCUAAAAUCAGAUCAAAUUAGAAUAAGAGGAAAAAUAACUAUUUGAUUUUAUAUGGUUUUUCCUCUUAGGUGGAGAUUAUGGAUUUCCUUCUGGUUUCAGGGCAACUAAGUUAUUUAGUAAAAAUGAUUAAUGACAGACUUUUAUUAUCUUCCUUAUAGCUAAUACUUCAUGUUUUAUUAUUUAGCUUACGUGUCUUAGUUUACUAGAUGUGAAGUCAUGAUUUAAAUACUAGCUAAUGUAUGCCUUAGUAACAAUUUUUAUCCAGCCUGGAUAAGGAAUGAAUCACCUAUACUCUGAGUGAGCUUUCUAUGUUUUUUUGUUUCCCUCUCAUAUCGUUUAUUGUUCACAAGUAGGGGAUGGAUUCACGGGAUUGAUUCCCUAGGAUUCCAUUUUAAGCGAACCUACAAUUCAUGAUCAAAAAAAUCCAUCCUUUGAAAUGUUGCUGGCUCUUCACCCAAUCCAUUCAUCAAGGUAUUCUAUCUUCUUAUGACCAAACUAUCUCUAGUGAAACUAUAUAAGAGUUCAGCUAUGGGUAACAAGAUCAAAAUCACUUGUAAACAUAAUAUUUACAAAGCUACCAUUAUCCACCAAUACACGCUUAAGGUCAUUACAAGCUAUUACAGCUCGUACUACAAAUGAUCAAUGGGGAUAUGUGAUUCCCUGUUCAUCAUCACUAUUAAAUGUAAUUGAAAGAGAUGUCGUUUUAGGAUAAUCUCACAUCCAGAAAUUUUCCAACGUGGGCUUUUUAGCUGCUCGAGUAUAGUUUCUUGAUUUGUUCAUCAUUUUUCGUCGACAUAGUAUAAAUUUCUCUCACUGGAGGUCAGUAGUGCAAGACAUAUACUAAUGCUCGCGAUGAAUCUACAUACGUUUGCCUACCUUCUCUACCUUGCUUUCUAGUACCUAGGUAAGGAAGAUUUUGACUUUUAGAAGCUUCACGUCUCCCUACUUGUUAGCUUUGUAGAUUCACCACCUUAAGUAUUUCAAAGCACUCAUUUGUGUCAUGGUCCUUAGUGCGAUGAGUUUUGCAAAGCUUUACGUUUUAAUUUUCAGGUGAUAGAUGUACUUCGCUACUUGGAGAGAUUGCAUCCACUUUGCUCCUGAACUCAUCGAAAUGUAAAUACUAUUAUUUUAUGUCUUGCCUUUUCCCUUAAGAUCUCGACCUUGUUUAAUCGUCUUCCAGUUUUCAAUAGUGUCUUCUGUGUAGAUCUCGUUUUGCAUUAGACUUACUAGCUAAUGAUGGGAGGUUGGAUUUUUGUUGUAAACAUUUUGCCACAAGGAAGUUUCCUUCAACAGACCAUUCCACAAAGCACCCCUAGCCUUUUUGUCUGAUAUGUUCUGACAAACGAUCAAUUUAGCACUAAAGCAUGUGAAAUAGCUUUCCAGGCACUCUUUCCUCCUGCCUCAUAUCAUUCAACCUCGUGGAUGGUGCUUAUACCAUCUUACUUCUAGUGAACACCCUUAGAAAUGCUUGCUUCAAGUGUGGCCAACUUCUGAUUGAGCCUAAUGGAAGCUUACUAAACCACCAUGUAGCAUGUCCACCCAAUGUCAAAUGAAAGCCUUGAUACUUAAGUGUGGGGCUCGCCUUCUUCAGCUUCAUUUUAUCUUAUACUCACACAGGUAGUACAAUAUAUCAUCUUUCCACUACAUUUUUCCUACUUGAUAGAUGAAAUUGUCCGAAAUUGGAUAUUUCUUAUUUCUUUUGAAAAUGGCAAGUGCUCAUCAUCAUUAUCGAGCUAAUAUCAUCCUGUAGGUCGAUCUUCACAUUCAUCACACAUAUGAGUAUUACGUGAAGUAUUGAUUAGCUUUCCGCUCUUUGACCUUUACAAUGAUAUUGCUGGUUAUACUUCCUAUCGUGAUAGUUCACCUCAUCUAGAAGCCCCUCUAGAACAUACUUGCUCAUACGCCACUCUUUUCAUUUCUUUCUUGGCAUACUAUUGUUGGUUUUUGAUAUCUACAGGUUGCUAGUAUCUUCGUAGAAGGAGCUAUUCACAAGGUCCAUUUCAUUCUCAUCAAAUUCACUUAGCAAACUUGCCUUCAAAUUUCAAACUUUGCACAUAGAGAUGCAUUUUUCGCUAUUAGUGUCUUAAGGCUUUUAACCACUUCUUGUAUAGUUUUUGUCACUUUGACUUAGUAUCACUUUCAUCGGAUCAUUGCUGUGAUCUUCUACAUCCACUUCCAGCACUUUCGUUUAUUUUGAAUUUACUUCCAUUUUUUGCUCAUUAAAAUUUGAAAUAAUGGAGGCCAAAUCGGAGCUUAGUAUGAGUUUCCAUUUUCAGUGGUGAAUGGUAGCUUGAAAUUUUGCAAGGCCAGCGAGAAGUUGAAGAAAUCUAAGGACGAAUCUAUAAGGAUUCUAAUAUUCGUAUUGAAAUAUUCUUGAUAUGCUUUGUAGAUGCUCAAUAGAUGAGUAACGUUUAGAAGAACGUGAACAUGGGGACCUAUUAGUGAGUAAACAUUCUUAUGUUGAUUAUUUAAUUUUUCGAAUGUUUUUGUUUAAGUUUCUUUAAAUUAAAACGUUGAUUUGGGAGAGCCAAAAAUCCUAUUUUCAAUAUGGUUAUGGUUUUGAAAUCGAAACCUUUGUUGUUCUGUUUUGAAAAAUCUUUGAACAUCUCAAUCUAAAUUUUUUUGUUGAAACUAACUUAUUUUCAAAGUCUGUGGCUUGAUCUAUUUGUUAAGAAAAAUAAGUUACAAUGUAAGCUCUUGAAUAUUACAAUGUAAAAGAUCAUAUUUAUAGGGUUACAAAUAACAAUAAAAGGAAAUAAACAUAAAAGGAAAGAUUACACAAUCAACUAAUAUGGAAAAUAACCCUACACUAAAGGAAAUAUAUAAGGGAAAAUAUUCCAUACAAUAUUGCUAUAUUUUACACCCUCCCCUCAAACUCAAUAUGGUAUAGAGUAUUGAGUUUGAAGAAAUUGAUCUAGUCAAAUCUUCCAAAUUGAUGAACUCUAUGCACUUGAGGUCUUUGUUAUUGCUGAUGGAGAUAAGUUUUUUCUUGUUUGCUAGAAGAAAAUAUUUGGUGGACAUUUUUUUGGUUUUGUUUUUUUUUUAAGUGAAAAAUAAAUAAGAAAGUGUUUUUCAAAAUAAGAAAACACUUUUUUCUUUUUUAAGGGGCACGGGAAGAGUCGAUAAAUUUCAAGGUAUCGACCUUUCAUUUUUUUUUCAACAUAAAAAAACCUCUAGUUUGUUUAAGAGGCAAGGGGAGUGCCGGUAAAAUUCAAGAUACCGACCCUCCAAAUUUUUUUUCCAACAUAAAAAAACCUCUAAUUUGCUUAAGAGGCAUGGGGCAGAGCCGAUAAAAAUCAAGGUACCGACUCUCCAAAUUUUUGUUUUAGAAUAAAAAAAACCUCUAGUUUGUUUAAGAAGCAGGGGGGAGCCAGUACAAUUCAGGGCACCGACCACCAAAGUUUUUGUUUUAAAAUAAAAAAAUCUCUAGUUUGUUUAAGAGGCAAGGAGAGAGCUGGUAAAAUUCAAAGUACUGACCCUCCAAAGUGUUUUUCAAAAGAAGAAAAUGGGAAAAAAGAUUUUUUUUUUUUUUUUUUGAAACAACUCAAAAAAAACUUAAAAUACUAAAAGAGAAGAAGGAGUAGGAGAAUAAUAAAACUUGCAAACACAAGAGAGCUGGCCAGAUUACUAAACUGGUGAAAGUUUCAGACAUGGCAAAGCAUGUGAAAGUUCAACCUGUAAGGGUAAGGAUGCUCUUCUUGCACCACUUUUGAAUAGCAUGUAAACUACUAAACUGGUGAAAGUUAAACCUGUAGGAUUAUUUUCAGAAUUUCUCUUCUGGUCAUGAUUGAAGAUUGUUCUUCUCCAAUUCCAAAAUAAAAUAUCUUCUCUGCAAAGUCCUUUAGCAAUGAAAGGAAUCCCAGUAGCGAAAUCAGAUGAGACAUGAGAAUAAUUUUCCUUCUGCUUCAACACGAGAGAAUUACUUCAGCAUGCUCUGAUACCAUGUUAAGAAAAAUAAGAAUGAUAUUAUAAUGUAAGCUGUUAUGAAUAUUACAAUGUAAGCUCUGAAUAUUACAAUGUAAAAGAUCCUAUUUAUAGGGUUACAAACAUAAAAGGAAAGAUUACAAAAUCAACUAAUAUGGAAAACAAUCCUACACUAAAAGGAAAUAUAUAAGGGAAAUAUUCCAUACAAUAUUGCUAUAUUUUACACUAUUUUCUAUUCAACCUUUGAUUGGUUUUCUUAAAAGCUGUUUGGUGACUCACUUCAAUCGAUUUUUAGUAAAUUUGUUUGUUUUUCUCAUGAUUAUUAGUGAUUCAUCCUAUUUCUGGCUAAGUUGUGGUAACUCGUUCUUGGCUCGUUGAAUCUUGGUGACUCGUUCUUGACUCUGAUGAUUCUUAGUGAUCCACUCCUAUUUCUGGUUGAGCUGUGGUAAUUCAUUCUUAGCUUAGAGAUUCUUGGUGACUCAUUCAUUUUCUUUCCUAUUUGUGAUAACUCAUCCUGUUUUUGAAUGAUCCUAGUGAUCUCAUUCUAGUUUGUGUUGACUACUGGUGACUUAAUUAGUUUCUUGAUUAAGUGAUGGUGACUUAUUGUAUCAACAGUUGAUUCUUGGUGAUUCAGUUAGCUAUUUGAAAUUUGUCCAGUCCAUUCUUGGUAGUCUUGUAUACUUUGCAAUUUUUGGAACCUAGGUUUUCAAGUUGGUACAAUCUAAUACCAUUAUUUAAAAUAAUAUUCAGUUUUUGUGACAUUAUUAAAGUAAUAAACUUCUUUGGUGUUUUCCUUUGUCCAAGUUCUCGUGUAAGGAUCUAGAAAUCACAGAGAACACUAUAUCAAACGGGCUUUCAAUCCUUAAACUUUAUUCAAUCUGCAUUUUUCUUUAUAUUCAGCAAUUUGUGAUUUUAUGUUGAUUCUUGAUAUUGUUGUCAUACUUGAUUCUGUAUAUAUGAGUGUACAACUGUAAAUUUUUAUGAUUUGUGAAAGAAACUGUUUAUUUGUACAAAAUAUUUUCUUCUAAAAUUUAUAGUAUAUAUAUUUCAUCAAUUUAGCCUAAGUUUAAUAUGCACAGUGUGUGUCAUCAUUUUGUAAUUUUGACCUUGAUUGCCGAAUUAUAUUCUUCACAAACGUUUGAAGUAGAUCUAUGGAAUGGUACUAGAGAUUUUAGUCUUUGGCUCCAAAAGAUGAGAGCUAUGUUGUAACAACAGAGGGGUGCUGUUGCCUUGGAUGGUUCUUAGGCAACAGAAAUUAGUGCCGUUAGGCUUCAACAAGAAGGAACACCGAUGAAUAGGCACUUCAUUCUGCACUGUUGUGUGUCAUCAAUUUGUUUUUUUGACCUUGAUUGCUAAAUUGUGUUCUUCACAAAAGUUUGAAGUAGGUUUAUGGAAUGGUACUGGAGACUUUAGUCUUUGGUGCCAAAAGAUGUGAUUUAUAAUGUUAUAAUAGAGGGGUAUUGUCGCCUUGGAUGGUUCGUAGGCAACAAAAAUUAGUGCCUUUAGGCUUCAACAAAAUGGAACACCAAUGAUUAGGUACUUUAUUCUGGUUGUACUUUUAAUAUGUGUCAUGUUAAAGAAUGGAUCGCUUGUUAAUGUGAAUGGUGAGCUAGUACAAAUGAAAAAUUACAUGAGUUGUAAGAUUAAGGGAAUUUAAAAAAAAAAAAAAAACAAUUAUUGAGCUCUUGUUUGAUCUCCAUUAUUUUCGAAAUAUAAUUUUCUUUCUCAUCUUUUCAAUUACACAUUUUUCAAUGAAAUAAUAUUACACGAAAACAAAAAACUUUUGGGUUAUUCAUAACAACACAUUCCCUAUCAAUAAAGUAUUCCAAAAUCCAUUCUUAAUAAAAAAAAAUGGGACUCAAACAGGCUUUGAAUAAUAAUCCAUAUUCUAGAAUUAAAAGAGGCUAGAUGUUAUCCUGAACUUCAAUGGAAUCAAGUUUUCUAGGAGAAUCAGAUGAUGAAUAUGAUAUAAGGAUUCAUAGAAAGCUUUACUAAAAUCUCCUUAAAUUCCCAAGAAGUUAUUUCUACACCUAAGAUUAUUGAAAUCUACAUUGUGUAGGCUAUGCCUUUAGUAUACAACAGUGCUGCAAUCAUGAGUGUAAAAUAUGAUCAAUCACUUAUGUGUUACAAAAGGUAAGGCUAUAUGAGUGAUAAGAGGCUUCAAACUUUAAAGAUAGGAGCUUUUGGAAAAAUAAAAUAAAAUAAAACAGCUUAAAUUUCAUGAAAUGUUUAUUUCAGGAAAACAAGUAUUAGGAUAAUAUUUAUGAGUGGUAUUUUGUAGAUUCACUUCUGCUCUUGAAUAUUUAUAUGCUAAUCUUUGGGGACCAGAUACUUUAAAAUACCCUCAAUGGGUUCAUAUUAUAUCUACUAAUUGUAGAUAAUUUUCAAGAAAGAUCUUUACUUUUUGUUAAAAGCUAAAUCUAAUACUUUUCAAAACUCUAAGCAAAAAAAGAUUUUGAUGGAAAAUUAUACAAAUAGAAAAAUUAAAGCACUUAGAACAAAUUAUAUAUAGAAUUCAAGAUUACCCACUUCAGGUUGUUGCUGUGUUUAUAAAAAUUAUAUAGUGUGGUGAAAGGAAAUCUGACUUUUUCUUUGUGGAAAACAGUAGCAUAAUUGAAAAUAUAUAGGAUAAGUGUCCCAUAGAAAGUGGGAGUGUAAUUUACCAAAUUUUUUUAUCCAAUUCAAAUAAAACAAUCCAUUUUAAUUCAAUCUCAACAACCUCGCGCGGCUAUCCACUUCCACAAAACAAGCAAUAGUAAUAAAUAAUAUUUAUUGGCAACUUCUUUAAACUUUAAUAACUUAUGCUUCGCUUAUCCGAAUUAAUUUUUUCACGAACUUAAUAUGCAUGAUUAAUUACGAGUUAUCCAACGAACCCCAUAUUGAUAUAGUAAAUAUCGCUCUAAUGAAAUCUAAUUAUUUGGCCAAAAUAAAAUUGAGUUUUAUAUAUUGCACUUUAGCCCAUCAAAUUUCAAAAUAUAAAAAUAUAGCAUAUACUAUGAAUAAAUUUUUCUAUACAUUCUCUCCUCCUUAUAAGAAUUUCAUCCUCGAAAUUUUAUUUGGCUAAUUGAGGAGUUCUAGAUACUUGUUCUUAAACUCCACAUCAGAAAAAAAUAAUAUCAUCCAUGUCAAUCUAUUAUGGUCAAUAUAUCAUGCUUAUAUUCUUAUUAUGGUAAUGAAAUGUACUUCAUGCUCGCAUAUACCAUUAAAGGAAUCAUGUUUUACUUGAAAUAUAAUUUAGCGAGAGAAAUGUGCAUGUCAUCAAAUCUAUAAGGUUGCAAAUAGAAAAAUGUAAAGUUGCACAAAAGAUUUGAAUGUUCAUUUAUUUCCUUACCUCAUUAUAUACCUUAGAGUCGUUGGGGGUGGUCAUUGAGUGCCAAGGUUUUUCAACUUAUAUAGGUUUUAAUUAAUCGAGUAAUUCACGCAUAACCGAAUUCAAUUAACUUCAUUUAUAUACAUACAUGAAGUCAUAUCUAAACUAGGGAUGGCAACGGAGUGGGUAUGGGUUUGGUCGGCCAUUUCCACCCCCGUCCCGUAAAGUAUUUUUGUUAUCUUACCCCAUACUCAUACCUAUACCCGGUUAAAGUGGGAUGACGUAGGGUCGGGACGGAACAAGUCUCUGCCCCAUUUAUCGCCCCAUUUAUUUUAUUUUAUUUAUUUUAUGUCUAUGUUCUUAGUUAGUAAAUAGUAUUACUUUUUACCAAUUUGUUAAAAACAACUUAUGUUCUCUUUAAAAAUGAUGAUAAAUCUAUUAUUUUUGUUUGAUAAAAACUUAAUUUGAAAUUAAUAUUAAACAGGGCGGAUAAUAGGAUGAGGACUAUGUUUCCCAUACCCGUUUCGGGGCAAUGACCCUCGCCCCAUACCCAUCCAAUGUAGCCAGUUAGGUAGGUAUUACUCGUGCCAAUUCGGGGCGAGACCCCACGGGUAUCGGGUUGAACAGGUUUUUUUACCAUCCCUAAUCUAAACCUCUAUAGAAUUUCGCAUAAGAUCAAAUGAACAAAUCCCAAACAAUACCACAUUCAUACAUUUUUUUAUACGAAAUGAUACAAACAAUUAAGUUAUAAAGAAUAUUCCCACCACAUAUGGAUUUAUAUAUAAAACUUUUAGAGGGUGUUUGACAUAUGUGUGGUUGAAAAUAAGAGAGAGAAAAUUGCAUUUUAAGAAAAAUGUGAAUCAAACAGGUAUUUAAUAAUAAUAAUAAUUAUUAUUAUUAUUAUUAUUAUUACUACUACUACUACUACAUCAUAGGGACUACAUCGUAAUUUCAGCAACUGGAAAAUAUAACAUACUAGUACAUGAACUAUUAUGAAAUUUCACAAAUUAAAAAAGCUAGUAACUAAUAUAUUUAAUGAUCAUUGUGGUUAAACAUAAAACUUUCUAUUCUAAUGAAAGCAUUUAAAAAAUAAUAAUAAUAAAAAUAAAUAUUGUUUACAAAUAUACAUACACACACAUAUAUAAACCAUUUAAAUAGCAUCCUUUAAAAAAAAAAAAUUUCCCCGUCAUUGGUUGUGUGAACAGUGUGUCGCUAUUCACGUCAGAAUUAAUUUUUGGGAAAAUUGCAACAGAAGCCCAAACCUUUGAAAUAUUAGUAGACUUUCCUCAAAUCUUUGAUUUGUUGCAACCGUCAUCCCUAACCUUUCCAAACGUUGCAGGUGAAGCCCUUUUGGACGGUUUCCAUCCAAAAUUCCGUUAGUUGACCAAAAAUUUAACUUUGACCACUUUUUAAUAUUUUAAAAAGGGUAAAAAAGUAAAUUUUUAUUUAUCACAUUAAAUAAUAAUUAAAUCAAAAAAUAUCCACAACCUUGUUUUCUUCCACCCCACCCCACCGCCCAGUCUUCUUCCUCAAACCUAGAUUCCUUACAUAAGAGAUACAGAGAUGGCUUCUGCUGUAAUUUUCCAAUUAUCUUCCGCUGUCGCCACCAUCUCCACUUGUCUUCUUCCUCCCACCGUACCCCGCACCCGUACCCCCAACUCCACCCCCAAAUUCUACACCAACCAAAGAUUUGAGGCAACUGCUGCUACUGCUAUAUUUAGGUAAAGACUUGACUAGAUUUAGGUGGUGUUUAUACUUAAAAAGAAAAUGUUGAAGAAUGAAAAAUGGUGGCCAAUUAAUUUUGCUGGUGUUUAUAUCAAACAAAUUCUUUGAUAAUAUGAUGGAUUACUGGACCAUUGAUUUUGGCCACCCAAAAGGGAAUCAUGUUAAAUUGACAAUCUGAAGUGUCAAGUUGUUGCUGCAGAUUCAAUGUCCAGCAGUUUAGGAACCCUAUGCACACAAUUCUUGCGAUUUUUGUAAAAUUUGCAAAUUUUUCUCCUUGAAUUGCUUGUGUGAAGGUGAAUCGGAGCCUUCUUCUUGAGAAUUAUUGGUCCAUUCUUCUUUGAAUAAAUAUUCUUUGUAUCUCUUUUGUAAGUAAUUCUCGCUGGGUUCUUGUUCGCCACCAUCUCCACCUCCAUUCUGGCCACCAUCUCUGUAUCUCUUGACUAAGGAGGAGGAAGAAGACUGGGGGUGGGUGGGAUGGGAUAGGAGGAAGAAAAAUGGGCUGUGGGUUUUUUAUUUUUUAAUUUAAUUAAUAUUUAAUAGAAAUUUAUUCUUUUACCCCUUUUGAAAAUAUUAAAAAUGUGGUCAAAGUUAAAUUUUUGGUCAACUAACAGAAUUUUGAAUGAAAACCGUCCAAAAGGGCUUCACCUACAAUGUUUGGAAAGGUUUGGGGAAAGUCUGCUAAUUUUUCAAAGGUUUGGAGCUUCUGCUGCAAUUUUUCCUUAAUUUUUUCCCUUCUUUACACCAUUUAUUUUAUUCCCUUUUUUUUUUUUAACUCAUGUUAUGAAAAUACAUGUGGAUCUACAAAAAGUUAAAACUAAACUUUGAUACCAAACUAUAACAUUCCAAAUUUUAAAGAUUUAAAUCGUUAUUAAAAGUUUCAUUCCCAUAGUUAAAUAAAUUUAUCAGACAUCCCAACAGGAAAAUUUACAUUCCACAAAUAAUAAAUAAAAGAUAUAGGAAACAUAAUCAAUUGAAAUAUGUCACAAUUCCUAAAUAAUAAAUUUUACAUGGAAAUAAAUCUAAAAUAACGUUGAAAAAUAAAGCAUAGUCAUGCUACUCCGGAUUAUUUUUAUUAGAUUCCAUAAUUUUUAGCAUUACGACUGCACUCUAUCGCCCCCCAACCAACGACCCACUCUAACCUGUUAAGGGUAGGGAAAAGGUUGAGUAUAUGGGAAUAAUCAGUAGGAUAAGAAAAUAAUGGUGCAAUUUCGAAUAAAAAUAUUUAAAACAUGUAUCAGAAAUAUCAUACUGUCAUCAUAUCUUUAUAAACCAGUAAAAGCUUAAUAUGUAUCAUAUUUUUUGUAUUGGAUGGCCAUAAUAUACAUAUCAUAUCAUAUCUUUAAACUUUCAUAAACAUAAUAAUUCAACAACCUGAAAAUAAACAAUUUAAAUGGGACAAAACAACUGCACCUCAUUAGAUCAAAUGAAUUUUUGGGAAAAAUAAAAUCAAAAUCACGUUCCAACUUUGUUUUCAGCCUAUUGUUGUGUUUAUAAAAAUUAUAUAGUAUGGUGAAAGGAAAUCUGACUCUUUCAUAAAAAGUGGAAGUCCAAUUUGCCCUAAAUUUUUAUCCAAUUCAAAUAAAACAACUCAUUUUAAUUCAAUCUCAAUAGCCUUACGACGUGGCUGCCCCACUUCCACAAAACAAACAAUAGUAAUAAAAUAAUAUUUAUUGUCAACUUCUUUAAAUUCUAAUAACUUAGGUUUCGUUUAUCCGAAUUAACUUUUUCUCGAGCCCAAUAUACAUGAUUAAUUACAAGGUAUCCAACGAGCCCCAUAUUGAUAUACUAAAUAUCACUCUAAAAAAAAUCUAAAUAUUUGACCAGAAUAAAAUUGAGAUUAAUAUAUUGCACUUUAGCCCAUCAACUUUCAAAAUAUUAACACAAUCAUGAAUGGAAGAAAAGUCGCAACUGAAGUUUGGACAAAUAUGACUUAAAUUUCUUUAAUAUACCCAGGGAAUAUAAUAUUCUUCCGUCAACUUAGGUAAAGUUGUUGGAUUAGUUGGUAAUAGUUUUUUUUCUUUUUUUUCCCUCUGUUAACAUCAUUUUCUUUCAUGUUUUUAAACUCCAACAAAAUGGUGUACACCUUAAAAAUAAUAACGUUAAGCACUGGUGUUAACAUAUUCAUAAGAAACUGAUGCUAAAACUUGAGAUAUUGAGAGGCUAUAUGAAAAUAAAUUUAUCGUUAUCGUUAUCGUUAUUUAGACAAAUUGUUACAUUAAGACACUGCAUCACUGAAUCAAUAGUUUUGGAAUAAAAUAGAAGUCAAUGUAUUUUACAAAAUUUCAUUACGAGGAAUUUGUUCAGGACGGUAGACAAUUAAAAUACGCGUCUUUUUUCUAAUAUAUGAACGAGUGCUUUCUUUUGUCUACAUCGAAUGUAUCAUUACCCUUAAUUUUCUCCAAUCCACCCUGUCCAGUCUAGUGAUUUCCUACAACUUUCCAUUCAUUACCAUUUGCAAAUGAGUUCAAUUACAUCUCUCAAUUUUGGCUUCAUCUCUUUACCAAAUUUAGCACAUUCUUCUAGCAACAUCACAAUUCCAAUUACCUAUAUUGACUAACCUUUCCAUUCUUUGACAUUGAUAUCAGUUAUUAUGAGAUCCCUUCCUUAAAACCUCACACAUGUUAUACACACAUUAGUUUGCACUUAAAAAAAAAGAGACACGAUCAGCUACACAGAAUUGUCCAUAUACUGAUUGGUAGCUGAGCAGGUCAACAAUGGUGUUCCUUCACAAAUAUCUAGUGGCAUAUCAAAAAACUAUAACUAAAAUAUGCAUGGUAUUAUAUUUUUGUCUAUGGCUUGAAGGCAUCGAAAAAAAUAUUUCGGCUUACCUUCUCAAUUGCAACUUCACAGCUAAAUUGCAUAUCAAGCUCUUGUUUUCUAGAGAUUUUUUUAGAACAGAUUUUGUGAUAAUUGAUUUUUUUGAAAGAAUAUGUGGUUAAAAAGUAAAUAAAGUUCUGAAUUCAAGCGUUAAAUUAUUUUAUUGAGAGAAUCUAUAGUUGAUGAUGUUGUAAAUUAAACUUGAUUCAUAAAUGAUGAAAAAAAUUAAAUUUGAUACAUGAAUUAAUUUAUUAAAUAUUCAUGCAUUUAUUUAAAUCAUAUAUCCAAAUGGUUCUUUCUAUCCUAUUAUUCAUAAUAUGUAGGAAAAGUCAUUAAUUAGUCUAUUAAUUUCACACAAUGUAUUUGGGAUCCUUUGUAUCUAUAAAAGGCUUUGUGCUUGAGACAUUUUAUUCAGCCAAGUCAUAGAAUACAAAUAUUUUUGAGAAUUCUCUGAAUUUUUCUCUCUAGUAUUUCAUUUCAUAAUUUUGUAUUUCCAACAAAACGGUAUCAGAGCCAUUUCAAAGAAGAAUAGUUCAUUUCCUUUUGUUGUUCCCAAACUAACAAAGGAAAAUUAUGGACAUUGGAGCAUACGCAUGAAGGCAUUGCUUGGCUCACAAGAGGCAUGGAAAGUUGUAGAGAAAGGUUAUAAUGAACCAAAGAAUGAAGGAGCUUUAAGUCGAGCUCAAAUGAAUGCCUUGCAAAGGUACUACAAGUUAGAUCAACAAGCUCUCUCUAUUAUUCACAUGGGCUUAGAUAAAGCCAUGUUCAAGAAAGUUGCGUCCUCAACAAAAACUAAGGAAGCUUGGGAAAUUCUCGAGAACAAUUUCAAGAGAAUUGAAAAAGUGAAGAAGGUUCACCUUCAAAUCCUUCAUGGAGAGUUUGAAUCUCUGCACAUGAAAGAGUCUGAAUCUGUCUUUAACUAUUUCACUAGAGUGUCCUCCAUUGGGAGAAUAUUGAAGAAAGUCAUUUCAUCGAGAAAAUUCUUAGAUCGCUUGACUCAAAACUUGAGUUUGUUAGUAUUGCCAUUAAAGAGUCUAAUGACUUGGAUACCAUGACCCUUGAUCAACUCAUGGGGUCCUUGGAAGCAUAUGAAGAAAGAUUAAAGUAGAAAGGAGGAUCGGUGGCUCAAGUUCUCCAAACGAAUGUCUCCUUGGGAGGUCAACGAAAGAGUAAGGACGAUCUCAAGGAAGAGGUUAAAUUUAUGGUUGAGGUUGCAGUCAUGGUCGCGGAGGGAAUUAUGGUCGUGGUAAUGAAAGAAAUGAUGGAAAACAAAAUUUGAAUAAUGAAGGAUCAAGCAAUCAAUCAAGAGAACGAGGGCGUUGGAACUGUGGCUCCAUGACAAGUGGUGGAAGAAGAUAUGAAAAGUCCAAUGUUCAAUGUUACACUUGUCAUAAAUAUGGUCACUAUGCUUCCGAAUGUAGAAGUGGCACCACCAAUAAUGAAGAGAGAGUGAAUUAUGCUGAAGCAAAGGAAGAUGAAGAAUUGUUGUUGUUGUUGUUGUUGGCAACCAAAGAAGAAAAGGAUAAACAAUCGUGGUACCUUGACAUCGGUGUCGCCAACCACAUGAGUGGCAACAAGGAGUUAUUCUCAACAAUAAAUAAGUCGGGAAAAGGCAAUAUUGUUUUUGGGGAUGAAACUAGAGUUCCAAUAAAAGGCAAAUGUGAUGUUCUUAUUCGUGCUAAAAAUGGAAGUCAUCUUUUGAUUUCUCAAGUUUAUUGUGUACCUACUUUGAAGUCUAAUAUUUUGAGUUUGGGACAAUUACUUGAGAAUGGCUAUGACAUUCACUUGAAGAAUCGUUGCCUUACUUUGAGAGAUGUUUCUCAUAAACUGAUUGCAAAGGUGCUAAUAAAGAAAAAUAUAAUGUUUUUACUCAAUGUUAAUGUUGACCAUCCAAGGUGUCUAAAAGCUUGUGUUGAAGAUAAUUCUUGGCUUUGGCACUUAAGAUUUGGUCAUUUGAAAUUUGGUGAUUUGAAGACCUUGACGAAUGAAGAAAUAGUGAAUGGGAUGCUAAAAAUUAAUCAUCCUAAUCAACUUUGUGAAGGAUGCCUCGUUGGCAAGCAAACUAGAAGAAGCUUUCCAAAGUGAUCUACCUCAAGAGCAACAAAGCCAAUAUAACUUAUUCAUGCGGAUGUGUUGGCCAGUCAAACCACCCUCUCAUGGUAAAGCAAAUUAUUUCUUACUAUUUAUUGAUGAUUUUUCUCGGAAGACCUGGGUUUAUUUUUUGAAGAUGAAAGAUGAAGUUUUUGAAGCAUUCAAAACAUUCAAAGCCCUUGUUGAAAACGAGAGUGGCAACUCAAUCAAAGCAUUAAGGACAGAACGAGGUGGAGAAUUUACUUCCAAGGAGUUUAACAAUUUUUGUGAUACCAAUGGAAUCUGACAUUUCCUUACAGUUCUAAGAUCACCGCAACAAAAUGGUGUUGUGGAGCGGAAGAAUAGAACCAUACUCAGCAUGGUUCAUAGCAUGCUUAAGAGAAGAGUAUGGAGAAGGAGUUUUGGACCGAGGCUAUUGCAUGUGUCGUGUAUUUGUCUAAUCUUUCCCCGUUGAGGAGUGUUCAAGACAAGACUCCACAAGAAGCUUGGAGUGCUAAGAAACCUAGUGUUUCUCAUUUACGUGAUUUUGGUAGUAUUGCCUAUAUUCAUGUGCCAGAUGAGAAGAGAUUAAAAUUUGACGAGAAAGGUGAAAAGUUUAAUUUCAUCGAUUAUGAUGUAAACUCUAAAGGCUACAAGUUUUACAAUCCUUGCAAUGGAAAGAUUGUGAUUAGUAGGGGAUGCGAAAUUCAAUGAAGGAAAUUCGUGGGAUUGGAAUGUUUCGAAAAAUGAAGAAUACUGAUUUUUCCUUUUCAAGAAAGAGACUCGAGCCAAAAUGCAAGUGAAGAUGCCACUCUACCGCAUUCUCCUGCUCCUCCAUCUCCUCAUGAUAGUCCCUCUUAAGGACCGAGUCGUAUCAGAAAUCUUGUAGAGAUUUAUGAAGAAAAUGAAAUUGUUGAUAAUCCAUCUUUGUUUUGUCUCUUCGCUGACAACGAGUCAUUGAACUUUGAAGAGGUAAUGGAAGACAAGAAAUGGAGGCAUGCAAUGGAUGAGGAGAUCCGAUAAAUAAAAAAAGAACAAUACGUAUGAGCUAGCCUCUCUUCCUGAAGGGCAAAAAGAAAUUGGCGUGAAAUGGGUGUACAAAGUAAAGAAAAAUACUUAAGGAGAAGUGGAGAAACACAAGGCAAAACUUCUUGCCAAAGGCUAUAGCCAAAAGCAUGGCAUUGACUAUGAUAUUUGCCCCCGUUGCUUACUUGGAAACCAUUCGAUUAAUCAUUUCCUUGGCAGCUCAAAAAAAGUAGAAAAUUUAUCAAAUGGACGUCAAGUCUGCUUUCUUGAAUGGAUACCUUGAAGAAGAAGUGUACGUUCAACAACCAUUGGGUUAUGUUGUCAAGGAACAUGAAGAUAAAGUUUUGAAGUUGAAGAAUGCACUAUAUGGCUUGAAGCAAGUGCCUAGAGCAUGGUAUAGCCGGAUUGACAAGUAUUUUCAAGAUUAUGAAUUCAUCAAAUGUCCACAUGAGUAUGCUCUUUACAUUGAAAAUGAUGCAUUUGGAGGAUUUAUGAUUGUGUGCUUGUAAGUUGAUGACUUUAUCUUCACCAGCAACAAUGAAAACAUGUUUGAUGAAUUUAAGAGAAUGAUGGCUCAAGAAUUUGAGAUGACAGACAUUGGGCUCAUGUCAUACUACCUCGGAAUUAAGGUAAAAAAAAUGGAGAUGAUAUUUUUAUUUUUCAAGAAGCUUAUGCAAAGAAAGUUUUUGAAAGAUUCAAAAGGCAAAAUUGCAAUCCGGUGAGUACUUUCAUUGGGUGUGAAACAAAGAUGUCAAAAUACGACGAGAGCACGAAAGUGGAUCCAUCUCUCUAUAGAUAAUUUGUUGGAAGUUUGAGAUAUUUGACUUGUACAAGACCCAAUAUUCUUUAUGGUGUUGGUCUUGUUAGCCGUUAUAUGGAGGCACCAACUUUAACUCACUUGGAGAUUGCUAAAGGAUACUUCUCUACAUUAAAGGUACCCUUGAUUAUGGCUUAACUUAUUCUUCUUCUACAAAUUUCAAGCUUCAUGGUGAUAGUGAUAGUGAUGGGCUAGUGAUAUUAAUGAUUGAAAAAACAUCACUAGAUUUUUGUUUUCCAUGGGUAACACCAUUUCACUUGGUGUUCAAAGAAGCAACCCAUUGUGACCCUUUCUACUUGUGAGGUUGAAUGUGUUUCCGCUGCAUCGUGUGUUUGUCAUGCUAUUUGGCUACGGAAAUUAUUGGAGAUGCUUCAUGUGCCUCAAAAUGAAGUUAUACCAAUUUAUGUUGAUAACAAGUCAACUAUUGCUUUGGGUAAAAAUCCUAUGUUCCACGAUCGAAGUAAGCAUAUAAAUAUAAUAUUUCACUUCAUUAGAAAGUGCAUUGAGAACAAAGAAGUUGAACUUGCUUAUGUGACGACCAAUGAUCAAGUUGCAGACAUUUUCACCAAACCAUUGAAAAAUGAUGAUUUUGCAAGAUUACGUACUUGGAUUGGAGUUAUCAAGAGUAAAUCAAGUUUAAGAAGGGGUGUUGGAGAUUAAACUUGAUUCAUGAAUGAUGAAAAAAAUUAAAUUUGAUAUAUGAAUUAGUUUAUUUAAUAUUCAUGCAUUUAUUUAAAUCAUGUAUCCAAAUGGUUCUUUCUAUCCUAUUAUUCAUAAUAUGUAGGAACAGUCAUUAAUUAGUCUAUUAAUUUCAUACAAUGUAUUUGAGAUCCUUUGUACCUAUAGAAGGUCUUGUGCUUGAGACAUUUUAUUGAGCCAAACUAUAGAAGACAAAUAUUUUUGAGAAUUUUCUGAAUUUUUCUCUCUAGUCUUUCAUCCCAUAAUUUUUUAUUUCCAACAGAUGAGUCGAUUAGUUGAAUUCCUCUCUCUCUUCUUUUUUACUAAUGCCCUCAACUAUUUGAAUUUCCAUCGAACACUUGGUGGACCUUAUCAGGCAUUAUAUUUCAAUGCUUGCGAAGCUUUCUCAACCAAAAACUUGUUUCUCUCCCUUAUCCUCAUUCAUUAACACUCUUAAUUUCAUAAAAUGACUUUAUCUAUAAACUUGAUUAAAACUACAUUUAUAAGCGCUUGGGCAAUAUAAAAUCAUACAUAAUGAGGUAAAAAAGGAUUCUAAAGCCACAAAUAUAGCAUGGUUUUACAAAAAUGCUGGGAUCAUUAAAAUUAUAUUAUCAAAAUGAGUUUCACUAAUACCGACUUUCAAUGCUAUUCCAGCAAUGAAUAAAUGAGCUAAUUGAAAAUCUAUUUUUCUUAAUGCUAAUGUGAAUUGUAUACAUCAAGAUAAUGCUCAACGGUAUGUAAUAUGAUAUUACAUGCUCAAUUAAAAAAUUGAUCUUUGUUCGCCUCCUGAGCAAAAGAGAAAGAAGAUGCAAAAGCAAGUCUCAAAAUAUCUAUUAAAAAAAGCAGACACAGAAUAGAGAGAGACAGAGACAGAGAGACACACACGCAAACACUUGUUUCUAUACAUUUUUCAUUGGGGUGAGAGAUAUGAACAACAAAUAGUAGAGACCUUGAAGAGGGAGUGAGAUUACUAGUAUUGGGAGGGUAAAUUAGAUUUUUAUUUUGAAAUUUAAAUUUAAAUGUUUUAAAAAUAAACUAUAUGGGCAGGGAGCAGGACACCCUCUACCCAUCCCCCCUCCCCCGACAAACCUAACUUUGAACUUGACCAGUCAACAAGAUGAUGAACGAAAUUUUUAUCCGUUUGAAUCAAAGGCCUACAAGUUUUGGGUGGAUCGAGAUUUUUGCCAUCCCUAAUUGAGUCAUUCAUGAUAAACUGAAAACAUUUGAUGGAAAUAGAUAAGGGAAAAGCUAUUUGUACACCAUGCUAUAUAGCAUGGUGUACAUCCCCUCACAUAUUGAGGGGGCUCACAUGAAUAUUAUAUUUAUGAGCCCCCUUAUUGUGAGGGGACUGUAAAAGUGUACACUAAGCAAAUCCCAAUAGAUAAUUUGAAAGUUACUUUUUGAUGCUAUUUAUCUUAAUUUAAAUGAUAAAAAAAAAAUUAACAGAAAUUUUUUUUGCAUCAAUUAAUUGUUUUGACAAGAAAAAUGUACACUUUAUAUCUAUUCGUGUAUUCUAAAUACACAAAAUAAUAGUUAAUAAAAAAAGUGUAUCAUCAUAACAAAUGGGUCAACUCGACAAGUAAAACUCCUAACUUGGAAAUGAAAAAAAUGUAAUGGCUGCAGUAAAAUUUUUUAACAGAAAAUUUGUAAAGCUUGAAAUUUUGAAAAAAAAUUGUUAAGUGUACAUGACCGAUUUAAUAACUCUUAGCUCUGAUACCAAUUGUGACGGUCUGAAUCCUUAACUAUUUUAGUGUUACUAAAUAAAAACUCAAAUUCUUUCAUAAGAACUUAGACAAUGACAUAAAAUAAAUUUUUUUGUUCAAUAAGUAAAUAAAUUGUGAUUUUAUCAUCUAACUGUGAAGAAAUAAAUAAAGAAAAAAUUUCAAACAUAACAGUUAAAUUAAAAAUUCAAAGUUGUGUUUCAAACACAAAAUAAUUUAUUAAUCCUAACCCGUUGAGUGAGAUUUAUAAAAUCUCAAUAAGUACGCUAUGAAUUAUUAUCGUGUAUAAUUUUAAGGAACAUAAUAAUCAUAAUCAAUAUAAUGGAGACACAAGAAUUUUACCGAGCAUAAGUGGUAAGAAUUCUUAUGUGUAGCGCUACUAAAGUCCGAUCCUCUUAACAUAAUCAUAAUCAUAAUUAUAUUGUGCCAUAUUGAACCCAUAAUAAUUUUUUUGAAAUUAAUAACAUAAUAAUAAUCCGAACAUAGGUAGCGUACUUAUCGUGAAAUUUAAAAGAAAGAGUAAUAGAUACACAAUAAAAUUGCUUGAUUUCUCUACAGUUUCCACCUCUGCUAUGUGCAUGCAUAUGUAUGUAUUAUUUGGAUGGAAAAAUAUUGGUGAGUGGUAGCUUGUGAAUGUGAAUAAUGGGUUUACAUAGGAAAAGACUAGGCAUACAUCAUUAAAGAAAAACCCACGAUAGUGAAAAUUGUUCCUUGAAAUUUGUAAAAUGAGCAAGAAUCUCUUCCUCAUUUCUCUCGUAAAUAAGACAUUCUAUAUACACAUGCAUUCACACUACACAAUACCCUAUAUUUGGUCGAUCAAGAAUAUGACAAAAAGCAUAUAUCAAGAAUUUUCUAUACAAGGGUUUGGCCAAACAUUCAACCCUUCUUUAAAGCAAAAACAUGUGGAAAUUUUCCUUUAUACUAAGUUUGCUACAAGGUCCUAGAAGGUGGAUUAACCUUCAAAUGAGGCCCAAAAUUUUCAAUUUUGAUAAUUAGUCCCAAAAAUUGAGGUGUGAGUAUUAUAUAUAUGUUGUUCAUGAAUGGGACAGAUCAAAAUCUAAGAAUAGCGAUAAAAUUUGCAAUUACUACAAGAAAAUGGCACAUCAACUUUGAUUGCUAUAGAGAACUUUUAGUGGUGAAGGUGGAGUUCUGACGAUUAGCAAAGGUGUCAAGUUAUGAUAAAGAGACAAAAAAGGUCUGAGCAAUUGUAUGGCUUGUAGACGAUUACAGAUGAUGCAUCUAUCACUAGUAAAUUGAAGAAAAGAUAUAUUAGACCUCCACAGAGGUACAAUGAGACUGAUUUGGUUGCUUAUGAUUUGGUAAGAGUCGAAAGUAUUGAACCUAGCGAAGAACCUUCUACUUAUUCAAAGGGAGCAAGUUGUGAUGUUAUUACUUCUUGUGAUAGAGACAAUCUUAAUUUGAUGAUGAAGUCACUUCCUAUAUCUAAGUUUGAUCAUUGCUUGAAUUUGAUUGAUGUUUAUGUUAAGUUUGCCAUAGGGACUUUUGUAGAAGAGGUGGAGAGUUUUGUUGGGGAAUUUUUGUUGAAGAGUUAUUAUUUUAUUUUUUUUGAAUUGGAAUUUGUCUUAAAGUCAAAAUUUUUAAUAAGAGUGAAGUUUUAUUCCUUGCAAUGGAAUUCGUGUCAAAGUGGAAAUUGUUAGAGUUUGGGUAUGACCCGAAUUCUAUUGGGAAUCGAUAGUAUGCCUUGAAGAAGUUAAGGAUAGACAGAGUCUUAUUUGCGUGGAGAAUGCUCGUUGACCACUAUCAACCGCACGGGGGCACCUUUACCACUGACUGAACAUGAGGCCAUCGUUCGAGUUGUGGUGUUAUCCUGUGCAAUUAGGGUUCGCAAUUUUAUAAUUUUUCUCGCUUAUUCCAAAACUCUCCAUUAUUUAUUAGGCAUAUUAUAUUAGGACCCCACCUUAUAUUAUUCUCCUCUUAGUACUAUACACAUGAGUAAAAUUCUUGAGAAAAAAAUCAUCCUACACAAUUUGUAAUCUUCCAUAAUUGAUAUUAUUGAAUUCUCUUCCUCUGUCCGUAUUAAAAAAAAAAAAGGAUUUUUACGUAAAUCUUGUGUUAUUAUUCUUAUAUUUUCAUAUUGCAUAUUCCUGCUUUAUUUCUAACAACAUAUUUAUUAAACAUCAUCGCCUAAAGACUUAUAUAAAGUUGGGUGCAGAGUUUACUCCGUUAGUUGGACAAAGUAUGUGAACUCUGGCUUUUAAUACAAAAAUCAUUUUAUGAAAAUGCUAUUGUUAGAACUAUUGAGUGUUAUGCAAAUAAUAAGACCUUUACAAAUUGAAUGAAUAGAUUAUUGAGAAACUUAUGAGCCCAAUUUGUCCAUAUACAGUUAAAUUAAAAUCUUUAUUGGUGUCUAAACUAAAAUAAAAUUGGAAAUUUAGUGAUGAGUUUGAAAUAUAAAAAAGUGACUAGAACGAAAUUUCUUUCAAAGUUGAGUGACUUCUAGUAUCUCAUAUCCCAGACAAUAGUCUAAGAAAAUUAGUGCCAUGGCAUUCAAUUUUUUGAUAGAAAUGUCACUCCUCACUAAAUUAGUACUAUAUCAAAAUUUUGUCCUAGGUUUAUAAUAAAAAAGUUAUUAAAAUUGAUUUUGUUCAAAGUCGGUGAUUGUGUUUUCUACACAUAUUCUAUGUGUUGGUUAUUAAAAUAAAUCAACUGAAGACACACUACUCUCUCACUCUCACUCUCACUCUCACAACAUGUUUUUAUUUUGAAGAGAAUAUGAUUUUUUUUUUAAAUAAUGUAAAAAAUAGUUUAAUCUAUUUGUUCUGCUCUUGAUUAAAUUGGCUUUUUAGAAUAAUAAGAAAUAUAAGAAUUCCAAACUCAGAUUGUAUGUUGGAAAGAAAAGAAAAAAAAAACUUAUUUUGGGUUGAAACGACAAUCAAUCACAAUAGGAAAGAAGACAGGGUUAUUUUUUUUAAUUCUUGUCCCUAUAAUAUAAAAGAGGCACUUUGUAUGUUCAUAGGAAGAGUGCCACUUUUUUACUUUUUUGUUUUCUCUGUCUUUUUAUUGUUUGGGGAACGUAAACGAUGUCAUAUUAUUUUGCAGACAGAAAAAACAAUUUUACACGCAACACCCAUAACGUCUGAGACACUUCACGCAACCAUAAUUUCCAUUCUCUUCUCCAUCAGCUUCCCAGACAACCAUCCACACUUCUCCUUCCUUCUUCUCUCUUUUUCUUUUUCUUUUUCUUUUGCAUCAUAAAUCACCGAUGAGUGUUGCAAGUUGCAACAGCCAACAAGAGCUUCCUUUUCCCAUCAAGGGUUACAUAUCUAAGAUCGAGUCAUAGCUCUCAAACAUCUGCGAUGGUAUUUUGAAACUUCUCAAUUGAAAAUCACCAGGUCUACCACCUCUUGUGAUGCCAACACUUUCUGCAUGAAGAUGAAGGGUGUUAAAUACGAUCUGUCGACUAUAAGAGUUAAGUUUAUUGUUUCACAUACAUAAUUUUUUUUUUCAGAAUUAGAUUUCGAUUUUUAGGGUUUCGAUCAUCUUCUCAAAUUUUUUUUUCCACCGGGUUUACUUGAUUAUUAUGUAUUUCGAACUUCUUGUCCUUGGUUGUUGCAAUUUUUUAGGUAUUUAGUUCACGAUUUGUUAAUUUCUUAUCUGACUUUAGGUAUUUUUGCUCGAUCUUUGCUUUGUCGUGUAUUUCUUCAGAUUUAUUUACCGUAUGUUGUUGUCGUUUCAUCCAAAAAUACCAAAUGAAGCUCGGUGGAGUCUCGAACUCCAAGGACUCUUCCGAAGACAACUUGGACUUCUUCUCCAAUGAGUCUGAUGGUGCGUAAUUUUUUUUAAUUUUUUUUUUGCUUUUACUUUAUAAUUUUAGCGUUCAAUGAUAAAUAUAUUGUAGCAGAUGCGAGGACAAGUGGUUUGUUAUGUGAUUUAAGGACAAAUCGGUUCAAAAAACCAUGGUUAUUUUUGGAAAUAUCAGUCAGGAAUAGUAUGUUAAUUGUAUAAGAUGAUGUCGAAGUCUCGAUUUGCGUUGCAGCUGUUUAAGCUAUCAAUGCUAUCUAGCUGUAUUAUCUAUUUCUUUAUUAGCAAAUUUACCUCGGUUCUUUUGGCAUUAAUUCUUUUUUUUGUUCCCCUGAUUCAGGAGUUUAGUAUCAGAGAAAAUGGGGAGACUCCCAAUUGAAUCAGCAAAACAGGGGAGAAGUAGAUUGGAUGAUCUAUUGUCAUCAAUUGAUGGCGGAAAGCAUGACUAGAUUGAUAAUUCCUGAAAAUAUUUUACCGCCAGAAAAAAAAAUUGUUUUAUAUUAAUUGGUUCAAGACUCUUUAAGUUGGACAAAAAAUGUAUGCAAGUUAUAAAUUUUAGGUUUCAUUUAUAAAUCUAGGUUUACUUAGUUUCCAAAGAGAAUCAGGGAACCAAUAUUCGGUUUUUUUUUCGAAAUAUUCCUAAAAGGACAACUUUCACAUGAAUUAAUAAUGUAGUUCCCCUCGUCAUAUUGUGAACUUAGACAAGGAAGUCCUGUAUAUUGUGAACCAUUCUAAUUUGAUGAAUUUCAUUUCUAAUUUCAAUGUCGAGACCAUAAGCAUGUCUAUAAAAUACAACCUUGGUGUUUUCCUUGCUAAAAUCAUUAACCAAAUGGAGUCUAUGUAUUGAAAUUCAAACGUCAGAACUUGAAUUAGAAGAUGGGAAAUGAUAGGUUCAUCAAUUGUUUUCCUUGGAUUUUGAUUUUCCUCAUUUUGUAAUGUAGGUUCAUCAAUUAGUUGUAAAUAUGGAUCCCAAAUUCACCAACUUUGUGGAGAUUAGCUAAAUUAUUAGGUUUUAUUUACUUAAGUUUUAAUUUUGAGCGAAUAAUUGUUUCUUUUAUCAAUUUUUGCGCUGUUACACCUCGAGGUUUAAUUAAAACAUGAGAUUAACCAGUUGAAGUAGCAUCCUUGUCAUAUUAAAAAUAGAUGACAACAUUUAAGGUUAUUAGUUUACAAAUGAGAUCCCAACUGCGCAUGUCAGCUCUACGCAUUUUCAUCAGCUCAUGUUAUACACAAUUCGAAAUCACAGUCAUCGCCAUAGCUCGGUAAUACUUGCUUCUUGAUUGUCAGUAUAAUUGUUGAUUAUUUAACAUUUUUAGUUUCAAUUAUGUUUCCCUUUAAUCAUGGCUCUAUUUAAUUAUUUAUGCAUUGUUGCUUUUUGAAUUUCAUCAGUUGGCUCUUAAGAUGGGUUCUUGCUUGUUUGAUUAAAAUCCUACUUUAAAUAAGCCUCUGCUAAUGUUGCUAUUAAAUAUACUUUGAGUUACUUUCACCAUGAAAAGAUAUGAAUUCGAGGUUUCGACUUUCGAGACGUUAAACAUUAUUUUAUUCUUUAUUUUUUCCAAUGUAAUUUUUUCUAUAAACUUAUUUAGAUCUAUGCUGCGUGGAAAUCGUUCUUUUCCCUGUUCGAACAUCUAUGUUGUACUGAUUGUUUAUUACUGCCUUUUUUAAUAGAAAAAGUACCAUUGAUUGUUAUACAUGAUUUGAGGGAUUUCAAGUUUUAUGAUUUCUGUCUGUAUUUUCGUCUGCCCCAUUCGUGUAAUUUCAUUCUUUUUGAUGAUGCCUAUUGGAGAAGAGAAGAAAAUUCGGUUUUGCUCUCUGUGCUCUCUGUAUGCAAGUUCUUUUAGUUUGAGACUUUUGGGUAUGUUAAACUUUGAGUAUUAUUUAUGGAUUUAUUUAACUGUCGAUAAGUUGAAGUGGAAAUCUUUCAUAUUAAGGUCUGAAUUGCCUGAAUUUGGGUGGUGUUUCCUGCUGGUCAUUGUGAUUUUUUUUUUUUUGUACUGAUUUUUCAUUGUCCUAAGUGAGUUUUGUCUAUGAUGGCAUUACUUUUAUGAUUUCGAAAUUGGGUUUCGUGUUUUGGGUUUUGAGAAAAUUGGAUGAUAUUUGGCUGGAUUAUCUUUUUUGAUUUUCUUUUAUUUUCAGGUAUUUGGAAGUAAAAUUAUUAUUAUUAUUAUUAUUAUUUAUUUAUUUUUUUGGCAGCAGUUUCUGUUGUUUGAGAUCAAGACUCUUUCAACGGAAAGAAAAACUGAUUUUUACUGAAACGGAAUGAAAUGUUUCGACAUUAUAUUUGGUUUAUUUGUUUUAACCUUGCUGAAAGAAACUUCUAGACACUGGUUAUUAAUUCUAUAUGAUGGAACAGGGCAUAAAAAAAGCUUUCUGAGGUUUCAUCAGGGGAAAAUAGCAAAAAAGCAGCUCUUGAAGCUAAACUAAAGCAAAUCGAGGUAAUUUUACCUUUUAUAUUAUUUAAACUUAUUUUUUGUUUUAUUUAUUUUUUAAUUUCAUGACUAAGAAUUUGUUUUAUGUGCUGAUGAUCGUUGCAUGACAACUUACUCAGCUUGUGAGGUUAUUAUAUGCUUCUAUAGUCUUUAGUUCCUAUAGAUUACCAUUUUCCUUCAUUCGUAAAUGGAUUAGCAUACCAAGGUGGACUAUUUACUCCAGUUUCCUCGCGGUUGUUUGAUCAUAGACAAAUGGUAUAAAUUAAGUUUAAGUUCAAAGGGGCUGAAUAAGACCAGCGAUUUCAACCCAUUAGUUUUAUCACCUAUUGCUUCAUUGUAUACACAUGAUUUAUAUAGAAAAGAAGAAGAAAACACCAUCAUUUAGGUUAUUUCAUAUUUUUUUCAAAAAAAAAAAAGAAGGUAUUCAUAAAAGUUCACUUCCUCUCAUAUUUUCUUUUGAAUAGCGCCAAUAUUCUUAAUAAAGUUUUGUUCUAUAGAAAAGGGAAAAGUAUCUCUAUAGGUUGUUUUAAUAUUUUUAUAAAUGAUAAUUGUGUUGCUAAGUUUUUUAGAUGUUCAACUUUUUUUUUGGAUAAGGUAAGUAUAUUAUAUCUAAAGUGUGAGAAUAAAGCACAAGAUCACAUAGGCAUACCCCGGAAAAACAAGACUAGGAAUAUAUGCAUUCGUAGCACCAACAACAGGAGCCUAGAUUUAUAGCCUAUUCAUGACAAGAGAAAAUAUCCACAGAAAAAUCCCACGAGCAUUGGAACAAUCUAUUUUUAUUAGAUGGAGCCAAGACUCUACAUUAAUCAACUCGUGCAUAAAUAGUAAAAACAAUAUCCUGAAUAACAGCAGACUCAUGUUUAGGAGCCUCACUAUGGGUUCUAGCAUUACGCUCACACCAAAUAGCAUAAAUCAAACCCGCAAACAUCGAAAGAAUAACAGUAGAGCGCAAUGACCUGCCACGAAAUUGCUCCAUCCAAGGAAGAGUAUUUGGCCAACUUCGCUGAACCCAAGGCAAGUUACAUUUCAUGUGCAAAGCUCACCAAACAUGUUCAGAAAAUGGGCAAGCAAAGAAAAGAUGAUCUAAAUCCUCCUUAGAAUAACCACACAGCACACAAUGCAUAGAUUGUAUUAAUCCAAAGCAAAAAAGCUGUCUGUAUAUAGAGGCCAUCUUGAAUUGCUAUCCAAAGGAUAAAUGCAUGGCGGGGAAUACAUUUAGGGAACCAUGCAAUGUGAUACCAGGUCACCCUAGGGCAUCGAGGUCGAAGAGACUCCCAAGCACUACGAACAGAGAAGACUCAAUGUACACCAUCCACCCAUUGCAAGACAUUCUCUCUAGCAUUCUUUAAAAGAAGCCUUAUUUCUCUGUUAGUGAAACAACUAUUCAUUCCGAAAUUUAAAAUUCGAGACUUAUUUAAAGAUGAAUGAUUAAAAUUUGGGAGCUUAUUGUAAAUGGAUCCUCCACAGGCCUACAAAGAAGGAUAAGUCCAUCUUUCACAAGCAUGGCACAGUGAUAAAGAAAGAGGGUUCCAUAUGGAGUAUCAAAGGUUUAAAUAAUAGUGAUAGUUGAAAGGCAACAUUUAUAUUGGAAGGCUGUGGUUUUAUUCGAACAAAGUCAUGGUGCGCUUUGUCACACUUUCGAGUGUCCUGUCACACAUCAUAAAUGGGGGUCUACAAGGAGAAGAAUCGCUUUCCCAAAUAUCACGUCCAAGUGUGUAUAACUGUGAUUGCAUCUGACUUACCGAGUUGAUAAACAAGAAGGGAAAGCCAUCACUCCUAGGGAUUAGUUGGGUGAAACUUGAACACCUGAAUUAUAAAAAAAUAAAAAUAAAUAAAUAAAUGAAAAAUGGAGGAGGACGAGUCCAAUGUUGGCAUUGUGAAAGAUUCUUCAAUAGAUACACUUUUCUUGACUUAAAUUUUGGCAUUUUCGAAACGGCCCAUGCAUUGUUUAUGUUGGUUCCAUUUGCCAACCUGAUGCAAAUAUUAGCUAGUUUUCAAUCUAAACUUCUAGUUUCAACUUGAAAUUUAUUAUUCAUUAUGAGUUAAACUUCCAUAUUUUUGAAGCAUGAUAAUAAUCCAUUCAGUCGUGUAAUCAUACUCUAUUAUAUUUGUUGUGCUUAGAAAAAUUCAUUCGUGCAGUAUCACAUUUCAAACCGAACACACAGAAAGCAAAAAUAAGAUGAGAGAACACGAGAUUUUUCGGCCCAAAGGCCCCGAGGUUCGGCGACCAAAUCUAACGCCUACAUCCCCGUUGAGCAUCCAUCAGGAAUAAGCUCAAAUCCACUAUGAACAGCCCAAAAAUAGGCAAAACAGUCUCAAGAACACACAGUUACAAAACUUCUCAAAAAAAGGAAAGAUCUUCUCACAACAAUAUUGAACUCACACAAGAGUUCAUCUAAAUUCCUAAUUCUCUCUACCAAAAUCACACAAGAUCUAAAGAGAGAACGAAUCAAAAGAGAAGACGAAAGAGACUCUAAAAACUCGAAGCUGCUGGGUUAAAAACUCUAACCCUAAUCACCCCCUUUCUUUCCUUUUAUAUGAGAGUAACAAUUUAUUGUCAUCCAACGGUCCACUUCUUGCCACUUGUCUUGAAUUCGGAAGAGUUGUUAUUUCAUAACAAAAAACGCAUUUCUGUUUUGCACUUAUAACAAACCGGCUCUAGUUCUGGAAGUUUUUUCACAAUGGAUCAUCAAUUGCCCACCAAGUUUGGGCCACACUUCACAGUCCAUUUAAAUCAGCUGGGCAUACACAAAACCCAGCAAAUCAAUUCUUACAAUCUCCACCUUCUGUUGCAUUUUGUGACAGUACAUAAGUGGAUUUAAAACUUAAACUGACUUCACUUGCUCUAUUUACCUGCAAAGAAAACAGAAGUUAAUAUUCUUCAAGAUUAAUUAAUCUCAAAGAAUCUGAAAAUUUACUAAUAGGGAUUACCUUAGUUCCGGCAUCUGCUGGAUUUACCUUCAUUGGAAUUUUAACCAAUCUAAUAUCACCCCUAUCAAUGAUAUCUCUAAUGAAAUGGAACUUAACAUCUAUAUGUUUAGAUCUAUCAUGCAAAAUAGGAUUUUUACUAAGAAAAAUGACACUUUGGUUAUCUGAACAUAGCUCCACCUGAUUUUCUAUAAGUCUUAAUUCACUAAGUAAACCCUUUAACCACAAUCCCUCUUUCACCGCUUCAGUUGCAGCAAUGUAUUCAGCUUCGGUUGAAGACAAUGCAACCAAUUUUUGAAGCUGGGAUUUCCAGCUAAUGCAUGUAUUAUUUAUAACAUAAAAAUAUGCAGUUGUGGACUUCCUAUUGUCCGGAUUACCAGGAAAAUCUGAAUCUACAUAUCUCUUAAGUCUGAGUCCAUUUUUAUUUGUUUUGAACAUUAAACCUAAGUUACUAGUUCCUUUCAAGUACUUAAUCAGAUUUUUCAUGCAUUGCCAAUGUAUUUCACCUGGGUUACUCAUAAAUCUACUUAACACACCACGGCAUAAGCAAUAUCAGGUUUAGAGCAAACCAUAACAUACAUAACAGAUCCAACAGCAUUAGAAUAAGGCAUAUUUAUCAUUCUUCUAUGCUCUUCUUCAGUUUUAGGUGAUUGAUUGACAGAUAAUUUCAUACCAGCAGAUAAAGGCAAACUAACAGGCUUAGAUUCAUGAAGGGAGAACCUUUUUACAACCUUAUCAACAUAAGAUUUUUGUGUUAGAAAUAACUUUCCAUUUAUCUUAUCUCUUUUUAUUUUCAUGCCCAAAAUCUUUCUAGCUGGUCCUAAAUCUUUCAUUUCAAAUUCAGAUUUCAGAUUUUCUUUAAUCGAAUUAAGUGUAACAGAAUUGUGACCAGCAAGGAGCAUAUCAUCAACAUACAAAAGUAGAUAGAAAAAAAUCAGAUUCCCCUUCUUUCUUGUAAUAGAAACAUGGAUCAUAUUCUGAUUUCCUAAAGUUCAAACCUUGUAUAAAAGAGUCAAAUCUUUUAUACCAUUAGGGGUCUGUUUUAGGCCAUACAAAGAUUUCUUUAAGAGACACUAAGUUUCCCUUUCCUAAUACUUCAAACCCUCUUGGUUGAGUCAUAUGUAUGGUUUCAUCUAAAGAACCAUACAGGAAGGCAAUUUUCACAUCAAGUUGUUCUAACUCCAAAUCAAAUUGUGUCACUAUAGCAAGUAGGACUCUAAUGGAUGUAUAUUUAACAACUGGUGAAAAAAUUUCAUUGUAAUCUAUCCCUUCCCUUUGAUUAAAGUCUUUAGCUACAAGUCUUGCCUUAAACCUCUUAUCACUAGCCUUUGUCUCACCCUCUUUUAAUCUUAUAAACCCAUUUACAAUCAAUCAACUUACAAUCUUUGGGUUUUUCUACUAAAGUCCAGGCUUCAUUCUUAAAGAUUGAGUUCAUUUCAUCUUCCAUCGCGGCAAUCCACUUAGGGGAUUCCUUGGAAGAUAUAGCCUCUUCAUAAGAGGUAGGUUCUAGUUCGAACAGAUCAGUUUCAGACUGAUCAGAUGCAAAAUUAGCAUGUUGAUACCUAGAAGGAGGUCUUAUUUCCCUCCUUUCUCUAUCCCUAGCAAGUUGGUAGCCCUGCAGGUCAUGUGCAGGCUCCAGAUGUUGUUCAUCUUCAAUUAUUUCAACAUCAGAAUCAUUUUGGGGUACUAUCUGAUGUGGCUCCACCUCGAACUAAGCCUGGUCAUCAGAAUUGUGGUUAUCGGAAUUAAUUUCUGUGAUAAUAAAAUCAUCCUUUCCUAACUUCUCACCAGAUUUGUCACUAAGACAAGGAAAAUUAUCUUCAUUAAAGAUAAUAGAUCUGUUUAUUAUCACUCUAUAACCCUUCACAUCUCUUAACCACAAUCUAUAGCCUUUAACCCCUUCUCCAUAUCCUAAGAACACACCCUUCAUUGAUCUAGGGUCCAGUUUUGACUUAAUAUGAUGUGCAUAAGCUGCACAUCCAAAAGUCCUUAGGUGAAAAUAAUCUGGCAUUGAACCAGACCAGAUUUGUUCGGGAAUUUUGUUAUUCAGAGAGCUGGAAGGACAUCUAUUAAUAAGAUAACAGGCUGUCUUUACAGCCUCACCCCAGAAUACUUUUGGGAGUCCAGAACUGAUUAACAUACAUCUGGUCCUCUCAAGAAUUGUCCUAUUAAGCCUCUCGGCAACCCCAUUUUGUUGUGGGGGUAUAGCUCACAGUUUUAUGUCUCAUUAUCCCUUGUUUACUGCAAUAUUGAUCAAAUUCGAUAUUGCAAAAUUCAAAUCCAUUGUCAGUUCUCAAAAUUUUUAUCUUCUUACCAGUCUGAUUUUCAAUCAAUGAAUUCCAUUCUUUGAAAAUUUUAAAAGUAUCAGACUUAGACUUUAAUAAGAAAAUCCAUAUUUUUCUUGAAUAGUCAUCGGUGAUAAGAAGAUAAUAUUUGUUUCCAGAUACUGUUGGCACUGGGGCAGGUCCCCAUAAGUCAGAAUGUAUGUACUCAAGAACAUCUUGAGACUUAUGCAGCCCUACCUUAAAUGGCAGCCUAACUUGUUUUCCCAUUAUACAAUGUUCACAAAAUGUUAAUUUUUGAACACUGUCUUUUCCAAAAGCCCCUUGACAUGAUAGAGUUUUUAAGCCUUUUUCACUUAGAUGACCAAGUCUCUUGUGUCAUAAUUCUGAUUUAUCUGUAUGUGUGACAAGAUUCACACCAUUAUUUGGUGAAAUUAUUUCAACACUUAUUGUAUAAAUUCCAUUCAGCUUUAAUGAACUGACAAUAAGUUCUUGAUUUCUAAUAAUAUUGGUAGAGCCAUUCUUUAUUUCUAUUUGAUAAUUUUCAUCAUCAAGAAUACCUAGGGAUAUAAGGUUUCUUUUUAGGGCUGGAACAUAUCUUGUAUGUUUUAGCAACAUGUGAUGACCAUUUUGAAGUUUUAGCAACACAUUUCCAAUAGCCUUAACUCUACAUGUCUCAUUAUUUCCAAGUUUUACUGACCCUUCAUCAAGUUCAGAGUAGUUAGUCAGGUAGCCUAUAUUAGGUGUCAUAAGAAAAGAACAUCCAGAGUCCAAGACCCAGUCCUGAUCAUAAUUUUCUGUUAUUGACACAUAGGCUACUCCAAUAUUGGCUCUUGCCUCUCUAUAGUUGGAAGCAUUCAAUGGGGCAUUUUCAGUAUUGGGAUUUUUCUUUUGGUCAUGGGCCUUCUUGAAACAAUUCUUAAUGAAGUGCCUAGUUUUUCCACAAUAAAAGCACUUCUUAUUAUUUGUCUUUCCUUUAAGUGACUUCUUGUCUUUUCCUUUGGUGUUAUUCCAUUUCUUUUUGACAAAGUUUUUAUCCUUGUUGUAAUUUGAAUAACUACAGUUGCUUGCACCUUUAGCAAGUGUUCUUUGCUUAGGUGACACACCCUCCAUAUUAGAUACAUCUCUGUGUUCAGAUUUAAAUUCCAGUUCUCUGUUCAAGAGAGAACUGUGAAUUAUUUCAACAGUAAGGUCACUCCUANAGGCUCCAGAUGUUGUUCAUCUUCAAUUAUUUCAACAUCAGAAUCAUUUUGGGGUACUAUCUGAUGUGGCUCCACCUCGAACUGAGCCUGGUCAUCAGAAUUGUGGUUAUCGGAAUUAAUUUCUGUGAUAAUAAAAUCAUCCUUUCCUAACUUCUCACCAGAUUUGUCACUAAGACAAGAAAAUUAUCUUCAUUAAAGAUAACAGAUCUGUUUAUUAUCACUCUAUAACCCUUCACAUCUCUUAACCACAAUCUAUAGCCUUUAACCCCUUCUCCAUAUCCUAAGAACACACCCUUCAUUGAUCUAGGGUCCAGUUUUGACUUAAUAUGAUGUGCAUAAGCUGCACAUCCAAAAGUCCUUAGGUGAAAAUAAUCUGGCAUUGAACCAGACCAGAUUUGUUCGGGAAUUUUGUUAUUCAGAGAGCUGGAAGGACAUCUAUUAAUAAGAUAACAGGCUGUCUUUACAGCCUCACCCCAGAAUACUUUUGGGAGUCCAGAACUGAUUAACAUACAUCUGGUCCUUUCAAGAAUUGUCCUAUUAAGCCUCUCGGCAACCCCAUUUUGUUGUGGGGGUAUAGCUCACAAUUUUAUGUCUCAUUAUCCCUUGUUUACUGCAAUAUUGAUCAAAUUCGAUAUUGCAAAAUUCAAAUCCAUUGUCAGUUCUCAAAAUUUUUAUAUUCUUACCAGUCUGAUUUUCAAUCAAUGAAUUCCAUUCUUUGAAAAUUUUAAAAGUAUCAGACUUAGACUUUAAUAAGAAAAUCCAUAUUUUUCUUGAAUAGUCAUCGGUGAUAAGAAGAUAAUAUUUGUUUCCAGAUACUGUUGGCACUGGGGCAGGUCCCCAUAAGUCAGAAUGUAUGUACUCAAGAACAUCUUGAGACUUAUGCAGCCCUACCUUAAAUGGCAGCCUAACUUGUUUUCCCAUUAUACAAUGUUCACAAAAUGUUAAUUUUUGAACACAGUCUUUUCCAAAAACCCCUUGACAUGAUAGAGUUUUUAAGCCUUUUUCACUUAGAUGACCAAGUCUCUUGUGCCAUAAUUUUGAUUUAUCUGUAUGUGUGACAAGAUUCACACCAUUAUUUGGUGAAAUUAUUUCAACACUUAUUGUAUAAAUUCCAUUCAGCUUUAAUGAACUAACAAUAAGUUCUUGAUUUCUAAUAAUAUUGGUAGAGCCAUUCUUUAUUUCUAUUUGAUAAUUUUCAUCAUCAAGAAUACCUAGGGAUAUAAGGUUUCUUUUUAGGGUUGGAACAUAUCUUGUAUGUUUUAGCAACAUGUGAUGACCAUUUUGAAGUUUUAGCAACACAUUUCCAAUAGCCUUAACUCUACAUGUCUCAUUAUUUCCAAGUUUUACUGACCCUUCAUCAAGUUCAGAGUAGUUAGUCAGGUAGCCUAUAUUAGGUGUCAUAAGAAAAGAACAUCCAGAGUCCAAGACCCAGUCCUGAUCAUAAUUUUCUGUUAUUGACACAUAGGCUACUCCAAUAUUGGCUCUUGCCUCUCUAUAGUUGGAAGCAUUCAAUGGGGCAUUUUCAGUAUUGGGAUUUUUCUUUUGGUCAUGGGCCUUCUUGAAACAAUUCUUAAUGAAGUGCCUAGUUUUUCCACAAUAAAAGCACUUCUUAUUAUUUGUCUUUCCUUUAAGUGACUUCUUGUCUUUUCCUUUGGUGUUAUUCCAUUUCUUUUUGACAAAGUUUUUAUCCUUGUUGUAAUUUGAAUAACUAUAGUUGCUUGCACCUUUAGCAAGUGUUCUUUGCUUAGGUGACACACCCUCCAUAUUAGAUACAUCUCUGUGUUCAGAUUUAAAUUCCAGUUCUAUGUUCAAGAGAGAACUGUGAAUUAUUUCAACAGUAAGGUCACUCCUACCAUACUCCAGAGCAUUUCUUAUAUCUUUGUACUUAUCUCCAAAGGCAUUAAGUAGACCAACUACCUUUUGCUCAUCUGAUAUUUUCUCAUCACAGUUUAUCAAGUCUUGAGUUAUCCUUUUAAAUUUAUCCAUAUUAUCUUCUAUAUCAAGAUUAGGAUCAAACUUAAAAAUGAAAAAUUGCCUCCAAAGAAAACAUUUAUUUGGUAAGAUUUUAGUGAGGUACUGUUUCUCUAAUGCUGUCCACAAUUCUACAGCAGUUUUGGUCUCACCUACUUUCCUAAUCACAGUAUCAGUUAAGUGUAGAAACAUAGUGCUUCAGGCCAGUUCAUCUUGUUCAGUUUUUCUAUUCUCAGACAAGCCUUUUGGCCAGGAUUCAUCAAUUGCCUUAGCACAUUUUAACUGUAACAUAAGAGCCUUAAUUUUUUGACGUGAGAGACUAAAGUCUCCUUUGCCAUCCCACAUUUGGACAUCUACCUUAGAAGUCAUGAUGUGCAGUAGUGUGAGCAAUGUGUAUGUACAGAAAUGUACGAACAAGCAGUAUGUCGCAGUAAUGUAAUAGAGGUCAAUUAUUUGAGAGAUUACAGUAUUUAUAUGCAAGGAUAGUAUUCAUAAAAAAUUGUCAAGCACACAAUGGAGUACAAAACAGAUUACUCUUAGACUCAGUAAUCUACCAGAAAAAUUAAUGUGGUACAUACACCUCCAAGGAAGACUGUCUCUGACAAUCAGUAUCAGCCCUUUCCCUGUACAAUCACAUUUGAGUAUUAGUUAAUCAAAUAUAUAUAUAUAUAUAUAUAUAAUUCAUAAGUAUCUCUUCACAGUAACCGGAUACAGAGAAGAAAAAUUAUAAGAUUUCUUGAAUCGAAAAACCCUAGUCCCCUCAGAUUCUAGGGUUCUCUCAAUGACCCCUAGACAAAGGUGGAUUUAGGGAAGAUUCAAAAUAGAAACCCUAAUCUCCUUUAAGAAAAACGUUCGGUUACAAAUUUUUUUUUUUUUUUUAAAUGUGGAAGUCGAAAUUGAUACUCAGAACCACCAAAGGGAAUCGAACAAUGUUAUAAGAACCCCUUUAAAAUGUUUUAAAGAAUCAAAGACAGGAAACUGUAGAUCGUCAAAAAUCUGAGUGUUCGAACUCGAGCCCAAAAAAUGCAUAAACUCAAAACGCAGCACAAAUCAGAUUUUCCUAAAACGCUCUCAUACCACUGUUGUGUUUAGAAAAAUUCAUUCGUGCAUAAUCACAUUUCAAAUCGAACACACAGAAAGCAAAAAUAAGAUGAGAGAACACGAGAUUUUUCGGCCCAAAGGCCUCGAGGUUCCGCGACCAAAUCUAACGCCUACAUCCCCGUUGAGCAUCCAUCAGGAAUAAGCUCAAAUCCACUAUGAACAGCCAAAAAUAGGCAAAACAGUCUCAAGAACACAGUUACAAAACUUCUCAAAAACAAAAGAUCCUCUCACAACAAUAUUGAACUCCCACAAGAGUUCAUCUAAAUUCCUAAUUCUCUCUACCAAAAUCACACAAGAUCUAAAGAGAGAACGAAUCAAAAGAGGAGACGAAAGAGACUCUAAAAACUCGAAGCUGCUGGGUUAAAAACUCUAACCCUAAUCACCCCCUUUCUUUCCUUUUAUAUGAGAGUAACAAUUUAUUGUCAUCCAACGGUCCACUUCUUGCCACUUGUCUUGAAUCCGGAAGAGUUGUUAUUUCAUAACAAAAAACGCAUUUCUGUUUUGCACUUGUAACAAACUGGCUCUAGUUCCAGAAGUUUCUUCACAAUGGAUCAUCAAUUGCCCACCAAGUUUGGGCGGCCACACUUCACAGUCCAUUUAAAUCAGCUGGGCCAUACACAAAAUCCAGCAAAUCAAUUCUUACAAUAUUUAGGCAUAUUGGCUUGCAGAGGCGGAUUUGGGGAUGGCCAGCCCAUUUCAAAAUUCCCCCCUAUCUAAUUUUUAAUCCAAUCUUGGCUCCGUCUCCAUUGGCUUGCAAUGGUUCCAAACAAGUUAAAGGGUAGCAAUUAAUAUAUUUCUUGUAGUACUUGAGAUUGUUAUCAUAGAUUGUUUUCAUGUAUUAUAUGACAACAAUUUUUCUAGUAUAUAAGUUAAAGUGUAACUGUUAACACAUUCUAUUGAAGGGAAAAGUAAAUUCUUAAUGCAAAUAUUUUCUUUGUGACUUUUUAAGUAUCAUUGUGUCGUCAUUAUUAUUCGGGAAAAUGAACAUGUUGAUCCAAGUGUUUUAAUUUAUUUGUUGGUGUUAGACCCAACUCAUAAUUUCAAAAAUCUAUUAACAGUAGGGAUAAACUUUUUUCCUUCUUAAAGGUUGUUUAUGAAACUACCACAACCACUAUAGAUUGGGAACCAAUACUACAAUUUUCCCUAUUUUGGCAAGUCCAUGCAUGAUACAUUCUUAACAACAAAUAUAGGAAAAGUAGCAGAAUAGGUCCCCAAAUUUUGACCGUGUUGUGUCUUGGUCCGGUUUCUUCAAAUCAUAGCAAUUAAGUCUCCAAUCUUUCAUUUUUAGUAGCACUUAGGUCCUCAAUGGACAGAUAUAUCCAUUCCUUCAAUUAAGACGCUAAAAAUUUAUUGAAAAAAUGAUAUUUACAUUUUUCUUUAAAUAAACAAAAAAUUACAUGCAAAACAAGGAUGGGGAAAAAAUCUGAAAUUCUUCUUCUUUCCAUCCGACACCACCUACGACUACCCACCGCUUGUCAAAAUAACUAAAACUAUCACUAAUCACUUUGGCAUGGGAUUGUGCAAGAUUGAAUUAUUAUUAUUAUUAUUAUUAUUAUUUUCAAAUUCAUCAUUUUUAUUUAUUUUUUGUUUAUUUAUAUAUAAAUGACACUGUUUUUAACUAAAAUUUUAACUCACUUCUGAGGAUAAAAUUGCCCACCAAGGACCAAAUUUCUACUUAAAUAAAUCCGUGAGGAUGUCGAUGCUCUAUCAUGAAGAAUGGGGCCAAGAUGCUAUAUAUGUCAAAGUUUAGGGACCUGAAUGCCUAUUUUCCCUCAAAUAUACAAAAUAUCCAAAAUAGAAAUAUCAACCAAAACAUGGUGCCCACAGUCACCAGAAAAAUAAAAUAAACAAACGAGAAAAAGGAAAAUAAAACAAGUAAAAAGUAUCAAAGUGGCUACGCCAUUUGUUUAUGGCCAUUUAACCCCAUAACAGAUUUUUCCUCAACAUAUCAUGGCCAUUCCCAUAUGCUCAUUUGUUCGAAUUCAAACACUACAAUCUUUUGUAAUAGUUGAACUAACUUGAUGUCUCACUAUAUUUAUAUGUAGAUAAAUUCCGUUAAUUGAAUUUAAAACAUCCAUCUUGAAACCGUAUUUGACAACAACAAAGUAUAUUUGUGACCAACUUUACACAUGGAAAAAGGUUUUUUUUGUAAAGUAUGUGUCAUCAAAAUUUAUGAACAAUCUCGUAAUAAUUGUCGAAUACUGCUGAACAGAAUUACUAUGAUGCAAAGCAGUUAACAAAGAAAAGCACAUGCCAACGAGAAAAGAGAAAAAAUAAGAAGUAUCUAUGAAAAUAAGUGUGACUUCAAGCUCGGAUAUCAGAUUUAUGCGAGUGAGUAAAAUUCGGAAAUGCUCUCGACCCUGCAUGUGUGGUGACGAUUGGCUUUCAACAGACAUUGUCAAACAUUUAUGUAAUGCCCCAUUUUUUUUUAUUAAGCAUAAACACGGGAAUGUUACAAAAACUCAUUUUUCUUUAAUAAAAAAAAAUGCGGAACUAUAUAAAAUUCUUCAAUAAACAAAUAAUUGUAACGUUUAAAUUAAAAUUAUUGAAAGCGUAUCUAACCAUAAACAUAAACUCCUAAGUAAUUCAAAUAAUGCGUUCUAAAUUAAAAUAAACAAAUUGCUAAAUUUAAAAUGACAAACUUAUUUCUUUUUCUCUAUUCUUUAUCCACUUGGUAGUCCGCAUCACCAAUUCUCCACUGUUCCAAUCGACCCGAACUAAUCUGAAAAAUUAAUGUAAGAGUGAGUAUUAAAAAUACCCAGUAAGAUACGUGCAAAUUUCCAUACACAGGUAUAUAACAAAUAAAUAAUACACUUCAUACCGCUCUUCUCUUAUGGAGUAUCGGUGACCAAGCGACACACCCAUCUUAGGUCCUCUUAAUUUUCAUGUAGAAAUUUCAUAUCUCUUUCUCUAGAACCCGAAGGUCCACUAGCAUUCCAUGUAUAUUUAAUCGCAUAUAAGAGCAUAAGGAAACGUAAACACUUUGCACAUAAAUGUAUCUUACCUCGUUGAAUCUACAGUAUGUUGAAAAUCGUUCCUCCGCUUUGAAAGUAUGUGAUUAAAAUACUCGAUGUAUGAAAUUCUAUUUCUAAUGCUGCUUUUUGUCUUCCUUUUUCUCUCCUUUCUCUCUCUCUCUCUCUUUUAUCUUUCUCUUUCUCUAUUUCACGUGUGAAUUUUUGGUGUGGUAAAAUGUGGGAUUCUAGCCUACUAUUUAUAGGUGUAGNNNNNNNNNNNNNNNNNNNNNNNNNNNNNNNNNNNNNNNNNNNNNNNNNNNNNNNNNNNNNNNNNNNNNNNNNNNNNNUCAUCUAAAUUCAAAUGAGUUUGAGACUAUCUACAAUACUAUAUUUGCAAAUAGAAAAUUUAUUUGCCAUCACUUAUCUAUUAUAAUAUAGUUUAUCUUCCAAAAUAAAUGCUCCGAAAUAAUUAAAAUUCUAUCUUAUUUUAAUAAAUAUUAUGUUUAAACAAAAGGCAGUCUCAUUAGUCAGCACUGCCUAGAAUAUUUAAUUAAAGGGAAUUAUAUUAAUUCUUAAUUCUAUUUAAUCUUGUUUCAUUAUUCCAUGACGGCUUUUCCCGUAAAAUGCCUCAAUCCAGUAUAAUCUACAGUUAUUUUUCCCUUAUCUAAACAUCACUCGGAGUCUAUCAACUCGUAAAGUCAAGUAAUUAAAUAAUACUAAAAUAAUCAAUCCCUAAAAUCAAGGAAACCUACCCUUCUUUUUCUCCAAAAUCAAAGCAAAUAAUUAUUAAAAUAAACUUAUUUCUUUUUUAUUCAUAACUAUUUCUAUACGCACACACCAUACAAAAUCAAGACAAUUCCAUGUACACAUGUCAACAUCACAUCUUCCUUCCAAGUUUUAAUUGAAUUUGAAAACCAAUUUCUUCAAAUCGAAAUUUCUUGAUGCUGGGUCAUCCAAAUCGACUAUUUCUCGAGCCUAAAAUUCAUAAUUAAAUACUGGCUAUCCAACGAGUAUAAUAUUAAUAUACUUAUUUUUACUCUAUCGAAAUUUAAUUUUGACUCAAAGUAUAAGAAUUUAAAAUAUAUUACCUCUUAGUCCCUCAACUUUUGAAAUAAUAUAAUAUAGAUAUUAAAUAAAUUUUUAUCAAAAAUUUUGGGAUGUUACAAUUUAGGGUCAAAUUCCAUAAUUUAAGGGUCUGUUUUAACAUUUAUUUAUUUAUUUGUUGUUUUGAGUCAAUUUAAGUGUACUUUCAGCAUUUUAACUAUUUUUAAGUUUUAUUUAGAUUUGUCUGCCGAAUUAAGAUUUCACUAUGAUUAAGAUUCAUUUUGACUCUUUAAAUAUUUGUUAAGGGUUUGAAAACCCUACGGACAAUUUUUUGAUAAAUUAUAUUUCACUUUUCUCAUUAUUUGGUAGAUUUCAAUAUCUCUCACGUUCAUUCGACAGAAAUUUGAUCAAUAUUCGUUCUAUGUUACGAACAAGACCCUUUUAUUGUUAUUCAUGUUUCUUUCAUACGUCAUAACAUGGAACUCGAAUUAAAUAUUUGAUUAACAUAUGGCAUGUUGAUGAAUAUAUUUGUAUAAUGUAUUUAGAUUUGUUAAUAGUUGAAGAUGAAAACAAAGAAGCCUGACAGAUAAAAGAAAAGGUUGGCAACCACAAGAGGCCUAAUCAUCGGAUUAGUGUGUGGGUUCGGUCAUCUCGAUUAUAAAUCAUACUAAAUUACACUUAUAAAGAAUUAAAGCCUUCCGACAUUUAAGAAACCCUCUUUUCCAGCUACACAAUGAGCAAUAGUUCGACCAAUUAUUUGGUUUCAUGAUCUUUUGCUCUAUACGAGAAGAUCCUUUUACCAUCACCUGAUCCAAAGGGUUCACACAAACUCUAGGAUGGUCGAAUUGAGUGCUCCUUGCAGUUGGAGAGGUCUUUUUACUUUAUGUUUGAGAUAAGAGUACAUGUUGAAUAUAAAAAUUUAAAUAAAUAAAGUUGCCUCUCAUCUAACAUUUUAAGUUCUUAAAUGGGUAGCUUAAAAAUGAUGUCGUAGCAAGUGACUGCCUUGAGCUCCAGCCUUAUUGCCAUCUAAACAAAAAAUCAUAGACAUAUUAGCCAGGACGUGAAGAAAAUAUUAGAUAAAAGAUUUUAAAUAAAUUAAAAAAAAAAUCUAAGUGGCCCAACUCCAUACAAAGAAGUCUAAGUGAAAUUGGAUACCAAGUCAAGGAUCUAUUUGGAGGAAGGACGGUUUUAAUAUGUCACUCAAUGAAUUUUUAUGAGUGAGCUACUCAAAACCGUUGGAUGUGAUUUGAAUCAAUGUUCGGGAUUGAGGGUAUUUUCUACCACUCGCUGCCCUAAUUUGUCAUUAUGUUCAAAUCAUCAUCUCUCUCUACGCUCCUAUUUUUCUCUUUAGUUAUUUGCUUUAGUAUUCUCCUUUUGUGUUUACGAUUUCUCCAUUCUUAUGUGAGUGAUUCAAAGAGAUAGUUGGAACAUGUGGCUUCUUGUGUGGUCCAAUUACUAUAGCAAGAGAUUUGGGUUCGACUUAUGAAUGUUUUUUGUGAGACAAGGGUCUAAAAUUUCUCUUUACCCUAGUUAUUACUAAUGCUUGAUAAGUGUACUUUAUGUGUUUAUCUAGACUUUUAUUCUUAUUUAUUGGUAGAUUGAUCGAAUGUCUACUUAAUUUAAGUUUAAAUUAACUGAUUUAAAAACAUUUGGAUGAAAUUGGAGUGAAAUAUGUGAAAUUAGAGCAUAAUUGAAGUUAUUUCAAAGUAAUUAAAGACUAUCCGAGUUGCAAUCAAUCAAUAGGAAGUAUUAAGGGGUAAUCUGAGGAAAUUCAUAUGAUAAGAGAUUUAAAUUCGACAAUUGAAAAUUUUAUUUGAGGACUAAAUUGAAAAUUUUGAAGACUUUCAAGGGAUCGAUAAUAAUGAUUUUGGAAUGUAUUGGACGAAAUUUUGUGGAAUUGAAGAUGAAGGAAUAAAGAUGAAAUAAAAAAGGAUUCAAGCUGAAUGAACACAAAGAGUUGGGGACCAAAAUUGAACGUGACUAAAAAAGUUGGGCCUGGAUUGCAACCCUUGACAGCAAAUGCCGAACGGACCUUGAUGCAAUCAUAUGGACCUUUUCCGGGUUUUGCAAUGGGCCACAUUUUUACCCAAUUUUUUUAGUCUAUAAAUACGUGUCUUACUUCAACAAUUAGAAGAGCCUUUUGGGAUACAAGAUUCACAAUAAUUACAAGGAAAAGAGAGCCCAAAAAACAAGAAAAACUCAAAGAAUCAAUCAGGAAGCUAUGUUUUCAAGGUUUUUCAAGAAAAAAUUUAAUUCUUGGUACAAAAUCUUCACAUUUUUUAUGUUUUUCCCUGAAAUUCGGUGAUGUAAUCUAAUUAUUUCUUUUACUUUUAUUCUUCAAAAAUAUGUAGUUAAACAAUUAAUUAGGACAAACAGUGUAACAUAGUUUAGACUUUAAUCUUAAUUUUGAAAUUUUAAUUUUCAAUUGAUGCUUGUGUUGACUUUAUCUUUAACGUUUAGAACAUAACAAACAAGUUAAUAUUAUUUUCUAACAAUUGAUUUUAAAUGAUAAUAGUUUUUAAAGCAUCAUUGUUAAAAUAUAAUGCACCAAUUUAUCUUACAUUUACUGAAUUUUGAAUCACUACAUUGUCAUUAUCAUAUGUUGAACAUAUAAUAUAGUAAUAUACAUUACAAUGAGAGUAGCUUUUUAUGACAUUCAUUUACAGCAUGCAUUUUAGGUAUGUUGUGAAAGGUCUCUUUUUGGGCCGUACCGUAAAUAUGUGCUGUAAUAAUUCAAUUACUUAAAGUAUUUACGGCAUAUAUUUAAGGCACGCCGUAAUAAUCGAAACCCAAAACAAAAGAAAUAUUCAAUUCUUCAGAAGUGGGAUUUCUUCAUAGAAGAAAAUAAAUGUUCAAAAAAGCAGGUUUUUUCCUCCCACAUUUGUCCUCCAGAGUCCAAGCCCAGAUAAUGGAAAAUUAAAACCCAUACCAGCCCAAACCCUUCCCCAUUCCCCCAAUUGUUCCUGUGACUCUCAAUUCAACCAAGCCGCAGGCGAUUCGUUCAAGUUUUCAGCCGUUGGAAUUCUUAAUUUUUGCAGUGAAGGCAUGGCUUAGUCGUGAAUUUUCAGAAGUCAUUUUGGUGAGAUUUGUUGCGUUUUUGUGAAAAUUCAGAUCAAAUUUUUAAUGCCAAGUGAUUUGCUGUGUGCAAUUUAGAAGAUAAACAUUGCCUUCCAGAAAGAGAAGGCCAUGUAUGUGCCCUCUAGAACUUCUUAUGGUAUCAUUUUUUUUUUUUUUUUGUUAAAAUAAAUGCACCCUUAAUUUAUUCCACUACAAUUCAAUAGAGCCUGAAGGUCGAUGGGUAAAAGAGAAUUUGUACAACGACAUUAUCUAAGGUUAACAUUCAAUGACAUUAUCCAAGUGAUUUCACUCAGCCCAUUGAACCUGGUGUUGAGGUUGAGGUUACCAUUGCUGAUUUUUAGACUUGACUUGCCUUGUCUCGGAUGUAUUUCUAUCUUUUGUUAGCGGCAAAUUCUGUGCUUGAUGAACUUGCAUUUCAACCGUAGAUGGGUAUUGUAAUAAUGUUAUGAUAGGAGUUCUGCUAUACAGAUUUGGAUUCGAAUGGGAACUUGGUUAUUUAAUGUUUAUUCGUUAGACCGAUUAAUGCAUAUUACUUUCUAAAUGAUCUAAUAAUUGAACUGUAGCAUUAUUUUAUAUCAGAAUGAUCAUUGGCAGGAAUGAGAGAAUACAUUAAUGAUAUUUGAUAUGUUAAAGAGUGGACAUAUUAAACAAGCUUUUUGUAUUCUUAAUUCUCUCAUUCCUGCCAAUGAUCAAUAGCACGAGUCUUUGAUUGUGCCUAAACAUAGGGUAAACUUGGUUUUAAGGUACUUAUUUUCCGUUCAAACUCGCUUUUAUUUAGAAGCAAAGUUACUAUCUAUGACCCUAAGCGUUUAAGCAUGGCCAAAGGAAAUGGUUUUUAAUUUUAUUACAUGAAGAUUUAUCGAAGGAAUUGUGUAAUUUCUUGUUAAUAUGCAGAAUUAAACAUUUCUUUGUGCUUUUUAAGUAUUUGCACUUGAAUCUUUAUUGAUAUAUUAUAAUUUUUUUCUUCUGUUUUACGCUUUUUUUUUUUUUUUUUAAAAUAUCUUUCACUACAACAAAGAUUUUGCAGGAUGUUGUUGAUUUUUCAAGCGGUUUAAAGUUACGUGAGUAUUAAAUUCACACGUUUAGUUCUCAUCUCUGUGUUCAUUCAAAUUAUUAUAUAAUUACAAAUAAUGACGAAAUUCAUUUUGUUUCCUACUAGAACGAGCGUAUACUAAAUUUAAUUUCUUAACCAAGUUCUCAAUUACUUUUUCAACAGAUUGCAGUGGUGUUGAGGAGGUUCUAACUGUUCCAAUUUCACCUAUUUUAUUUCAGGUUAAAAUUUAUUUUUUGCAAUUUUAGUGUGUGAAACUUUAUUAUUAAAAUGGCUUACCUAAUUGGAACCUAAUUUCUAUGAUGUCCUAAUAUAAUCGUAUUUCACUUCAUUUUUACCGUGCUUUAAUAGAUUAUAACUCAAUAGUGUUGGUAUAUAUUAUCAUGAAUAAAGAUUGGGUACGCUAAUCAAGGUUAUCUUGUUCUCUUAAAUUUAGAGUAUUUAAAAUAUUUCCAUAUAUGCCUUUUAGAUGAUUUAUUUAGCAUAAUUUGUAUAGAGUUUCAAGGCGUAUCAACAUGGUGCAGGAAAAUUUGUAUAUAUGGUGCAAGCCAAUGGGGGGAAUCCAGGAAAAGUCAUAUGCCCUUGCAAAUGUUGCAAAAACCUAUUCCACUAACAUUUUGAUAUAAUGUAUGAGCAUCUAAUUAGUAAUGGCAUGAAUCUUACAUAUACUACCUGGGUGUUUCAUGGGGAAAAAUCGAAUGUAGCAUCAUCGCCUCCUCAAGAUGUAGAAAAUUUAGAGACUUAUAGGAUGUAUAGAAAUGCAUUUUUUUCAAGAUCACAAUAUUGUGGAACUAGAAAAUGAAGAUAAAGAGAAAGAAUUUUCAAAUUUAUAUGACAGUGUGCCUUAAAAAAGACAUAUUCUUUGUUUAAUGGUAUCCAUAACCUAAAAGAUGUUUACCUCAAAAUAAUACUCUUAUAUGUUACAAAUUGUGUGUGAUUUCCAAAGAGAGCAAUAACACAAUUUACUUUUCAAUAGACUAUCAUGUGAUUAAAGAGAAACUAAGAUUGAUAAAAAUCAUCUAUGAAGACUAUAUUUGUUGAAAUCUAUAUCAAGAGAACACAAAACAUGUUUUUACCAAAAUAAUAUUUGAAUAUAUUGAUGUAUAAGACAUGGAUGACUCGAUACAAGAAUAUUCAUUUAUUGAAAUCGGGGGAGCAAUUGUACACUUUUUUCUUAGCUCAAGUUUGUCCCAUUGUAAUAUGUCAUUCAAGGGGGAGUAUUGCAAAUUAUAUAUUUAUUAAUAAAUGACCAUUAUACCCCUACAACCCUUGUUAUUAUGACUGUUGUAUCCCUUGCGAUCCUAAAUUCCUUUUUAUAAAUGCUUUGAUUCUCAAUGAAAUACAUGUCGUUGAUAUCACAUAUGCAAGCUUAAUCAUCAAAAUACGCAUGCAUUUGUGUUAAAAUUGUGUAAAAAUUAGCCUAGUAAUUAAGUUCGGCUCAUUUUUAUAACUAAAAAAAAGGCAAAUUGAGCCCAACAAACAUUAAAUUAGUCCAAAUCACCCAAACCCAUGAAUUAUAUACAACAAUUUAUAGGGUUUUGGCAUUUAGAAAAAUAAAAAAUCAAAAUAAAUGUUUCGUAAAGUUGUAAACUAUUCAUAUCGAGAUUGUGCCUCAUUCUUCUUUGGCCUUCUUUUAUUUUUACUAGCAAGUGAUAAUAGUAAUUUAUAAUUUUAGAUUGUUGAUGGCUAUGAUGAUUAGUGGGAGGUUGACAAUGAUAUUUUACCAUUUACAAGGGGUAAUAAAAAUUUUCCAAUUGAAAUAGGGGAGCUCAAUAAGAUGAUUUUGCAUCGAAUGACACGGAAGAUGACAUGGAUGAGGAAGAGGAAAUUGAAUUAGAAUUCAAUAAAGAGGUAGACAAGAUUUAUGAUUUUUUGAGUCGGUGUUCGUGUCUAAACUAUUUGUAGGAACUAAUUAUCAAAUAAUUACAGUAUUUAUGAUUUUAAGCAAUAUAUUUUUAUUGAGAUUUUGGAAAAAUAUGUAUAAAGUUUAAGUAAUUGUAGUAUUUAUGAUUUUGAACAAUAUAUAUUUUUAUAUUUGAAAUAUAUAUAUAAAGCUCAAAUAAUGAAGUAUUUUAUGUAUUUAUUAUGUUAAAUUACUUUUAAAAUAAUAUUAAAAAUCGAAAUAUGUAUAAUUACACAUUUUGUAUAGGCAGCAUAUCCUUGUAAUGUUUAUUACUUGAUUGAAAUGUAUUAUCAUGCAUUGCGCAUUUAGAAUCUUGGGUAGGAUUAAGGGAGUGUGGUUGGUAGGAUUACAUGGGCGAUAAAAGCAGCGAGAGCAAGCAAGGUAAGGAUUGGGAAAGGUUGUAAUGUUUUUAUUUUUCUUUAGUAAUUUGUUUGAUAAAGCUUUGAUAAAAUUUAUCAGCAUAAGCAAUCAUAUUUUAAUUUUAAACAAGUAUUUCAUGAAAUUCAUAUUUUCUUUUUAUCAAUUUUUUAACCAAGUAUUAUAUCAAAAUAUAUCCCCCCUUUGAUGAUCAUUAUUUUGCCAAAAGAACAUUUUGAAUAGUGGUUUUUAUUAUGUGAAUGUGAUUAAAAAUAAAUAUGUAGAAAAAAAGUUUUUGAAUAAUGAUUGUCCAAUAGGGGCUUAAUCAAAAUCUACUUUCUUUUCAUUUUUAUUUUUUUUUUUAAUAUCAAAAGCUUUGUAAAAAAGGGGGGAAAACAAAAAGAAGAAACCCUUAACAGGGUGGACAACGCCACGGACAAUUUACGAUUUUCCUUUUUUCUUUAUUUUUUAUUGAAAUUAAGUCCCUAUUUGGUUUAGCCAAAUUUAAAUUUUUAGUAGAUUUUGAUAUAAGUUGGUGAAAAGUGUUGUUGGAAAGUUAUUAAACAUUAUGAAUGCCAUAAACUAAAUAAUUAAAAUUACUUGUUGAUUUUAUAUUAAAUUUUUAUCAACUUUAACUUAACCAAAUGAGUAAUGUUAUUCAUAUUCAACGUCUACGGUCAUCAUCCUUAUGUAACAGUUUGUUAUUUGAAAUAUCAGCUUAUUAUUUGAAACAACAAGAUUAUAGAAAUUUAAUGCCUCAUAUUACAUGCUGUCACAUAGGAUAGUUACUGUAGUUGUUGACUAUGAAUUGCAUUAUUCGGUUUGAAUAGGAGAUAAGUAUUUAACCAUUUCUUCUAUUAAAAAAUAGUGUAGAAUAUAGAUUUUAACUUGCACACUUAAUAAAAAAGUGAGUGCCAUCACAAUGCAAAUUUAGAAGAAACCAAAUCAAAUCAAACCAAACCAUUGGUCUUGGUCCGGGUCAAGACCUCACAUGGUAGGAUUAAAAUCUAAAGAGUAAAUCACACCAACUAUGAUUCUUAUAGACCCAGUCAAAUAAUAAUGACCAUAAUUUCCCCCAAUCUCCAGGAUUUAUUGGGUCCCACCUUCGACAAACUUAUGAACAUUCUGAUAUGAAAUGUUGGAAAAACAAUUGGAAAUGGUCAUCAACGUGUUUAAUUUUAUUUUUAUGCUUACUAAAAAGUUGAGUUAAGUUUAUUUAAACAAGUCAUACAUAAAUUUAUAUG